CCGCGAAGUUAGAGGCAAUACACUUUGAUUAAACUCCAAUAUUUUAGAGUUAAUAUAAAAUCCAAUCAUUACACUUUCGCUUACAAGUCAAAUAGACCCCGUCUCUCACGAGCCUAUUUUCUAUAGUCCAACCGGCCUAAGAUUUGCUAGGUCCACUAAGACUCAACCCUAGACUCUGAUACCAAUAUAAUCUAUCACGCACCGAGGCCCAGCGGAAGCCCGCCCGGCAUGUGUCCAGACCCGCCAUAUACCCACAAUAUAUAAGGCGUCUACAACAAAGCGAUAAUUAAAGCAACAAUAACAAGUAUCUAGAGAUAUCAAAGCAUGUUUACAACUAAAUUCUAAUGACAGGUAGAAUAUAAAAGGGCUAAACAACUAUCAUAAUCCACAAGUAGAUACAUCAAGAUCUCAAAUACAAGUGCUAGAUAUACGAAAAUGGUGGUCUCUACACAUAGGUACAAAACUCUUAUCCUCUCCAAAUAAAAACAAAAACAAAAAGAGAGGUGAACCACAUAAUAGCAAUACCCCUCGCUAACUAGCUAGUGGCGAUCCCUUUACCGCGAUCCCGAGCCUCUCCCGGUGCGGAUGGCUCUGUAACAAAAACAUCAACAUAGAGGGCGUGAGAACUAUUAAUCAAUAGUUCCCAGUGGGUAAGCCGCCGACAUCAGCGAAAUACACUACUAGGUUAUGGAGGCAUAAAUAGUAAGAUCUAACAUUUAAUGAAAUGGACAGCAUGUAUAUUAAACAUGAAUAAAUCUUAUUAACUACUAUGCCUCUACUUAGCAUGAAUGUCCACAAGUAUGAGUGCUAUUCUAACAAGAAUAAGCAUAUAUAUAAAUAGCAUGAUGUCCAUAAAUGCAACUAGUAAAAUGUCAACAUUUACAAUUAGUCUAAUGUCCAUAUUGCAUUUUAGUUCAACAUUGUUCCAAUCAUAGAGGACCUACACAAGGUAGUCCGGCUUGCGCCGUGCCUAAUGGCCCCAUGGUAGUCAACAUUUCCACCCUAGGGAUGAGCUUCCCCAACGGCAUCCCAUUUCGGCGCCCAAUCCCGCACGGGCUAGCAUAUGUCGCAAUGUCUAUCUCCGGAGUGCUGGCUUGUUGUGAGCGACCCUCACAAUCAUCCGUCUCAAGUCUAAUGUUAUCAUGUCUAAAAUAUGGUAUAACAGUUAGUAACUCAAUGGCUUAUCACUAUGUCAUCAAGAAGGAGUUUAACAAUUUACUAAGUUAAAUGCCUCUUUAUAACAUUUUUGUCCACUAUGUCAAACAUGAGUUCUAUGUCUAAGAGCAUAUUUUUCUUGUCAUUUUCAUUACAUGAAACAUGAUUUUAAGCCAUAUCAAAGAAUGCUAUUUACAUAUAUGAUUACUAUACACGUAUCUCUCUACUACAUAGAGGUGAUUUUUCAUGAAACAUAACACAUUUAUUUUAAGCAUUCUAAAACUCACAUAUGCCCUAUCUAGCAUGAAUAUGCAUGAUUUUCUAUUUUACAAUAAAGAAAAUAGCAUAGGGGGAGUUCACCCAUUUCGGUGAGGUCAAACCCACCAAAAACUCCUCGGAUCCCCUUCGUUUGCGCGAACGAAAGUUUCCACAAGUCUCCUACCUUCCUAGAGAUAAUUCUAAGAGAGGUAGACGAAAUGAACGAACACUACACGAGUUCAUCUUUAACCAAUCCAAGAAAAGGGCAAAACUCACCUUGUAUGGUGAAAAACCCUCACAAUCUCCAAAUGGACGCUAGAGUACUUCAAAUCCAACCUAGAUGAAGGUUCUACACCUAUCAAUUAAGCCCUAAAAGCCACAAAUCAAAAACCCCCAAAUAAAAUCCUAGAUUUCACAUUCUAGGUUUUCAUCUCAAGAAAGCUACCAAAAUAAGAUCUAAGGUACUAACCUCUCAAUAAGCUCCAAACCAAGCUUGAAAUGAGCUAAGGUUGAAGAUUUAUUCUCUAGCAAGCUCCACUCUCUAAUCCAAGGCUUCUCCAAUGGUGGAAAUCCAAAUGAAGCAAGAAGGAGAGGAAAAAAGAGAUUAAUCCAAGCAAAAACCUCAAGAAAUGAGAGAAAAUCAAGGGAGAGGAGCUCUACCUGUGCUCUCCAUGGUUUAGGGCUCAAAAGAGCUCUCCAAAGGGCUGUAGGGGGUUAUAUAGAGAUGUAACAAUCUCAAAAAGACCCUCCAACAAUAUGCAGUCUGCAUCUGCACUGCGUACUAGUGACACGGGAUGGAGUACCGGUACCAGGCAGCAGCACGCGCAAACCCGAGUCUCGGGUAAGCAAGAAAACACACUGCGUACCGGUACUCUCACGAUGCAGUAUCAGUACCAGCUCCAGUACCUGUACUCAGGCAAUGCAGUACCGGUACUCUGCUCUGCAGAGCUCAACCCGAAAGCAGCCCCAAUUCCUGCAAUUUAGAGGUUUGGUGCUAAGUUUUAAUCCUCACUCCUCGGGAUGCGAGUCAUAGGUCGGAACACAGUCAACAACCAUCCAGAAUACCUGAAAAAACUCAGAACACUGCUCAAACAGUCGAACCUUGCAAUUUGCUAAAGUCCAGUGUGUUAAAUUCUUCCCUCCUAUAAAGGAGUUUCGUCCGCGAAACUAAAAAGCAAGUUACCUCAAAACUCCAUCUGAAAAAGAUGGGAAUAGUGUUCCUGCAGUGCGUUUUCUAAUUCCCACGUGGCCUUGCGUUCAUCGUGGUUGCUCUAAAGAACCUUCACAUAAGGAAUAUCAUGAUUUCGAAGCUUCUUCACCUCGCGGGUCAAAAUUCUCACCGGUUGCUCUUCAAAGCUCAAGUUAUCUCUCAGCUCUAAUGGUAUAGCUUCCAAAACGUGAGCCGGAUCGAAAAUAUACUUCCGAAGGACCGAUACAUGAAAGACAUUGUACACUCCCGAUAGGUUCGGUAGUAGAGCGAGUCGAUAUGCUACCGGCCCUACACGCUCCAAAAUCUCAUACGGUCCAAUAAAGCGGAGACUCAACUUACCCCGAAUGCCAAAUCUUCUAACUCCCUUAGUUGGCGAGACCUUCAAGAAUACAUGAUCUCCAACUUUGAAUUCCAAAUCUCAUCGACGCUUAUCGGCAUAGCUCCUCUGUCUACUUUAAGCCGUCAACAGUCGCUCUCGAGUAAUGCGAACCUUGUCCUCUACUUCCUAGAGCACAUCGGGGCCUAAGGCCAAACUCUCGCCAACUUCACUCCAAUGAAGUGGCGAUCUACACUUCCGUCUAUAAAGUGCUUCAAAGGCGCCCUACAGGCUCCUCCAAAAGUGAGAUACAAAUUUGGGAUCUCGAUCAGACACUAUAGAAGUAGGCACUCCAUGAAGCCGCACAAUCUACACUUGUGCGAGCUUCUCUCCUGUCCAAGUCGUGUGAAUAGGUAUAAAAUGAGCCGAUUUCGUUAACCUAUCCACAAUCACCCAAAUAGCAUCAUGCCUGGCCUGAGAGCGAGGCAAACCCAUAACAAAAUCCAUGGUGAUCCUUUCCCACUUCCACAUGGGAAUAGGUAAACUCUGAAGUUUUCCCGAGGCCAGUCGGUGCUCAGCUUUCACUUAUUGACAAGUUAAAUAUCGAGCUAUAAACUCGCCAAUAUCCUUUUUCAUCUUCGGCCACCAAUAAAGUAACUUCAAAUCCUUAUACAUUUUUGUGCCUCCCGGAUGUAUAGCAUAAGGUGCACAGUGAGCUUCAAGAAGAAUAUCCUCUUUAAUUCCCGAUUCCGCCGGUACACAAAUCCGCCCACGGAACCGCAACAACCCUUGGUCAUCCAUAAUGAAAUCACCGGUGUAACCAUCAACCACCUUAGCUCGAACCUUUUGCAACUGCACAUCGUGAACUUGCUUUUCUUUAAUCCUUUCCAAUAAGGUAGGUUGCACCACCAAUACCAUCAGUCUCAAGGGUGUAUCAGGAACCACUACUUCCAACUCCCACCGUUUUAUUUGUUCAAUCAACGGCGGUUGAGUCACCACAAGCAUCGCUAAGUUAUCCGUCGAUUUCCAACUUAGCGUAUCCGCCACUACGUUAGCGUUGCCCGGGUGGUAAAGAAUCGUCAGAUCAUAAUCCUUGAGUAGCUCCAACCAUCUGCGCUGUCUCAAGUUCAACUCCUUCUGAGUGAAUAAAUACUUUAAGCUCUUAUGAUCCGUGUACACUUCACAGCGCUCGCCAUAAAGAUAGUGACGCCAUAGCUUUAAUGCAAAGACUACGGCCGUCAACUCUAAAUCAUGUGUAGGAUAGUUUCUCUUAUAUUCCUUCAAUUGGCGAAAAGCAUACGCGAUCACCUUCUCAUCCUGCAUCAAGACAAAGCCCAAUCUAUUAAAAGAUGCAUCACUAUAAAUCACAUACCCUGCUCCUGCAACUGGUAAGGUCAAGUCGGGGCGGUUGUCAAUCGUUCCUUCAACUCUUGAAAGCUUCUCUCGCACGCAUAAUUCUAAAUGAACUUAGUGCCUUUGUGCGUGAGCCGCGUGAGCCGCGUGAGGGGAGUAGAUAACUUUGCAAAUCCCUCAACAAAUCUCCGGUAGUAGCCGGCCAAUCCAAGAAAGCUUCGAAUCUUGGUGACGCUCGUCGGUCUAGGCCAAUCCUUGAUAGCUCCAAUCUUUCUAGAAUCCACGGCUAUACCCUAUCCCGAAAUUAAGUGUCCUAGGAAUGCCACCUCUCGAAGCCAAAAUUCACACUUUUUCAGCUUGGCAUAAAGCUUCCUUUCCCGAAGCACUUGAAGUAUAAGUCUUAGAUGCUCCUCGUGAUCCCCAUCACUUCGGGAAUAAAUCAAGAUGUCGUCGAUAAACACCACGACGAAUCUGUCCAAAUAAGGCUUGAAAAUACGGUUCAUUAGAUCCAUAAAAGGUGCCGGGGCAUUAGUAAGCCCAAACGGCAUAAAGGUAAACACAUAAUGUCUAUAACGUAUUCUAAAGGCCGUCUUCGAUACAUCCUCAGGCUUGAUCUUUAACUGGUGGAAUCCCGACUGCAAGUCUAUCCUGGAAUACACACUUGAUUCCUGAAGCUGAUCAAAUAGAUCAUUAAUCCUCGGCAACAGAUACUUGUUCUUGAUCGUGACUUUAUUAAGUUCACGAUAAUCCACGCACAAACGAAGUGAUCCGUCCUUUUUCUUGACAAAUAAAAUCGGUGCCCCCCAAGGUGAAACACUCGGUUGAACGAAGCCUUUAUCCAAUAAAUCCUACAACUGUGCCCUCAGCUCUUUCAACCCCGCCGGUGCCAUCCUACGGGGUGCCUUUGAGAUUGGGGUAGUCCCAGGGAUGAGAUCUAUCACAAACUCAAUCUCCCUAUCAGGUGGCAUACCUGAUAGCUCUGCUGGAAACACAUCACAAAACUCCUGCACCACCGGAAUAUCCUCAAUCCUAGGGGUAUCAUCAUCACCCCUCAGUACCACACUAGCCAAAUAGGCUAUACAACCCCUGCUGAUCAACUGUCUAGCUCGAGACGAGCUCAUCGUCAUCGCAAAUAGCGAACUCUAACAUCCCCUGAACACCACUUCCUUCUGCCCCGGUUCUCUAAAUGUGACCGUUCGAUUCUUGCAAUAGAUAGUGGCGAAGUAUCUCGUCAGCCAAUCCAUGCCCAAAACCACGUCAAACUCACCGAGUUUAUGCAAUGCAAGUAAAUCCACGGGCAUAACCCAAUUUCCUACCCGAACAGGGCAAUUGGGGCAAAACUCCUGAAUGUCCAAAGUGUGGUCGGAUACUACAACACGUCCCGGAUACAACAAAAAAACUAGUGGGAUGCCAUGCAACUCGGCGAACAGCCGAUCUAUGAAUGAAUGCGAUGCACCGGUAUCAAACAAAGCUCGAACUCUAAUGCCAUUUAAUAAAAUGAUUCCUGCCAUCACAUCCUCGGCCACUGCCACCUCCUCUGUCUGGGCCGCAUACAUGCGCCCACUCGGGGUCUGUCGUGACCCCUCAGUCAGUCGCUGGACGGGUGGCCGCUCAGACUAAUAGUGUGUCGACGGAGUCCCUUGGCUAGUAGCUGGUAAAACCGGUGCCAAUGCAGAUGAUGAUGCCGGUGACGAACCCCUUGGGCACUCGGUACAAAAGUGGCCUUCCUGGCCACAAAGGAAACACCUGCCUCCCCGCUGUGGAAACUGCGGUAGAAUGUGGGGACCACUGUAGAUCACACACUGGGGAGGUCGGCGACGAUUAGAACCUUCUUGCUCCGCAGAUGAGCCACGCCUUCUCAACUGGCUUCUCGGGGGUCUCGGCGGCCUCCUGGAGCGCGCCUGACUUGCACCCUCAGCCGCGGACCUUUUGCCCUUACCCUUGUCAAAGCCUUCCCUUCGCUCCUGCACAUCCACUGUGCCCCUCUCCAUAAUGAGAGCGCGGUUCACCACCUCCGGGUAGGUUUGCAGUUUCGACGAUUGCACAAACCAGAAGAUCGAUGGUCGAAGUCCACUCUCAAAAAUACGGGCCUUGUCCUCGUUGUCCCGCAUGACAAAAGGCACGCAAUGGUGAAGCCGGGAGAACUCGCGCUCGUACUUAGCUACUGUUCGCUCACCCUGGCACAAGCUGCGCAAAUCUCUCUCCAUUUGCCUCUUGGCGCUGUCGGGGAAAUAGUGCGCCAAUAGAAGCUCCUUGAACCGCUUCCAACUAAUAGCAGAUAGAUCGGUGUUGGGGUUAUCUCGGAUAUCCAACCACCAACGAUAGGCCUCGCCGUCCAGGUGGUGAGUGGCGAGCCAAACUCUGUCGCUCUCCUCCACGAAGGUAUCAUAGAAAAGCUUCUCCAUGUGUAUCAACCACUUCUCCACGAUCCAGUAGUCGACCUUCUCUCCAUCGAAGAUUCGGAGAUUGCACCUCUUAAACUUUAAGGCGAUCCAAAAAUCGGUCCCGCUCCUCCCACACAACCAUCACGGAAAAAACUGCCCCCGCUAGAGGCUCCUGAAUAGGUGGUGCCGCAACCACCUCCUCCCGAGGCGCGACCACGGGUGCCACACGUGAAGAGCUGGGCGCGGGAGAUGGCGCUCUCGAUGCUACAUCCUCUGCUGGCGUGGGUGGUGUGGGAGCCUGAAUGUUCCUAGAAGCCGCCUGCUGAAGUAGCAAGUCCUUGAGCCGCUUCAUCCUUGCUUCCUGUCGGCGCGCCACAUCGGCUUGUUGCUGUGCCGCCGUUGCCUGCUCGGCCACCAAGUCGGUUAGGACCGAAAGCUGUGUCCUCAGCUCGCGGACCUCACUAGAUCCGGAGGUAGCUAAGGUCUCCACCUCCUCGAAGUUUGCCGCAUUAUCCGCUCCAACAGAUUUAGAGCGAGUCAUCGGCAUUAUCACUACAACAACAUAAAAGCGCAAGUUAGUAAAACCCACGUUAUCGCAACCCUACUCAAAAAGAUUAAUGCCCCAAAUAAUGCGAAAGUAAGGAAGUGUUCUUUACUACUAACUCCCGAUGUUACGUUGUCGGCCGCCAACGUAAUCCUCCGUGAAGUUAGAGGAAAUACACUUCGAUUAAACUCCAACAUUUUAGAGUUAAUAUAAAACCCAAUCAUUAUACUUUCACUUACAAGUCAAAUAGACCCCGUUUCUCACGAGCCUAUUUCCUAUAGUCCAAUCGGCCUAAGGAUUGCUAGGUCUACUAAGACUCAACCCUAGGCUCUGAUACCAAUAUAAUCUGUCUCGCCCCGGGGCCCAGCGGAAGCCCGCCCGGCGCGUGUCCAGACCCGCCAUAUGCCCACAACAUAUAAGGUGUCUACAACAAAGUGAUAAUUAAAGCAACAAUAACAAGCAUCUAGAGAUAUCGGAGCAUGUUUACAACUAAAUUCUAAUGACAAGUAGAAUAUAAACGAGCUAAACAACUAUCAUAAUCCACAAGUAGAUACAUCAAUAUUUCAAAUACAAGUGCUAGAUAUACAAAAAUGGUGGUCUCUAUACAUAGGUACAAAACUCUCAUCCUCUCCAAAUAAAAAUAAAAAGAGAGGUGAACCACCUAAUAGUAAUACCCCUCGCUAACUAGCUAGUGGCGAUUCCUUUACCGCGAUCCCGAGCCUCUCCGGGUGCGAAUGGCUCUGUAACAAAAACAUCAACAUAGAGGGCAUAAGAACUAUUAAUCAAUAGUUUCCAGUAAGUAAGCCGCCGACAUCAGCGAAAUACACCACUAGAUUAUGGUGGCAUAAAUAGUAAGAUCUAACAUUUAAUAAAAUGGACAGCAUGUAUAUUAAACAUGAAUAAAACUUAUUAACUACUAUACCUCUACUUAGCAUGAAUGUCCACAAGUAUGAGUGCAUUCUAACAUGAAUAAGCAUAUAUAUAAAUAGCAUGAUGUCCACAAAUGCAACUAGUAGAAUGUCAACAUUUACAAUUAGUCUAAUGUCCAUAUUGCAUUUUAGUUCAAAUUGUUCCAAUCAUAUAGGACCUACACAAGGUAGUCAGGCUUGCGCCGUGCCUAAUGGCCCCAUGAUAGUCAACAUUGCCACCUUAGGAAUGAGCCUCCCCCACGAUAUCCUAUUUCGGCGCCCAAUCCCGCACGGGUGAGCAUAUGUCGCGAUGUCUAUCUCCGAAGUGCCGGCUUGUGGGGAGCGACCCUCACAAGCAUGUGCGAUGAGCACAAUGGCAAGCAAGCUUAAUCAUUUGUCUCAAGUCCAAUGUCAUCAUAUCUAAAAUAUGGUAUAAAAGUUAGUAACCCAAUGACCUAUCACUAUGUCAUCAAGUAGGAGUUUAACAAUUUACUAAGUUAAAUGCCUCUUUAUGACAUUUUUGUCCACUAUGUCAAACAUGAGUUCUAUGUCCAAGAGCAUAUUUUUCUUGUCAUUAUCAUUACAUGAAACAUGAUUUUAAGCCAUAUCAAAGAAUGCUAUUUACAUGUAUGAUUACUAUACACAUAUCUCUCUACUACAUAGAUGUGAUUUUUUAUGAAACAUAAUACAUGUAUUUUAAGCAUUCUAAAAUUCACAUAUGCUCUAUCUAGCAUGAAUAUGCACGAUUUUUCAUUUUACAAUAAAGAAAAUAACAUAGGGGGAGUUCACCCAUUUCGGUGUGGUCAAACUGUCACGCGCCGAGCCCCCGCCUAUUUCGUUGGAUUCGAGCACGCCAACAGACCGCCGAACGGACAGGGUUUUUCCUGUACCGCGGACAGAGUCUUCCCUGUACGUCCAAGCCGUCACAAUCCAUACAAUGCGCGAGGUUCCAACCAGGAACAACAUUCAAACAUAGAUUGCAUAAGGAAGGUAUCGAAAACAUAAAUACAUCUAUGCUAUUACAAGCAUUCAUCUCAGUUUUUAUUUUACAAUACAUUAACUUCGAUUCUUACUACCAAAUAUAAUCCAGAUUUUACAAAUCAUUACAUUCUUGUCUUUUCAUCAUUAUACCCCUAAGCUAAGCCGACUUAAGUUACUACUAUCUCUGGCCUCAGUGGUAGGGUGCUAUCUAUAGAGCUACGCCUUUUUCUUGCGCCGCCGCGCCGCUCGCGUGUGAACCUGAAACUCCCAAAAUCAUGUGGGGUGAGAACUAUAUAAAUAUAGUUCCCAGUGGGUACGGUCACCCAAGGGAAGAGCUCGACCCACCAGGUCCAAAGGAGGCACUGCAAACAUGUUAGUUCCACAGAUAUAUAUAUAUAUAUAUAUAUAUAUAUAUAUAUAUAUAUAUAUAUAUAUAUAUAUAUAUAUAUAUAUAUAUAAAAAUAUAUAUAUAUAUAUAUAUAUAUANUAUAUAUAUAUAAAACAUCAUAUAAGUCAUGUUCAUGCCUCACAACAUGCAACUAUGCAAAUCAUGCAACUCAUGCAAGUAGAUCACUCGUUCUACUCACUAUCACUUGCCAUUCUUUAUCAUUUACCAUUAUUUAAUACUAGCCAUUCUUUAUCACUUGCGAUUCUUAGUUCUUUAACAUUCUUUAUUCUUUGACAUUCUCUACUUUUUUCUAAGGUUACCUUUACCUUAGCCAACUAUGCCACUCGACUCGGUCUUGAGUCAAUCAACCGCGGAUAAUCCGCGCUUUGUCAGGCUCGAGGUGAAGAACGUCUCACAUGCACCUCAGCCUUAAAUCCACAAGCCACAUCGCCCAACGGGUCGCCCAGAGCUGCGUACACUCGUGGUCAGGGACCCCCGGUGGGAGAGGAACAUGCCGCAUAAACCCACAGCCGAGAUCCUCGAUAUGGAGGGGAACAUGCCACAUACACCCUUGCGCUCAAUCACAAUCCUCGAAGUUCUUCCGGUGGGAGAGGAACAUGCCACAUGCACCCGCGGCAAAAAACUAUCGAGCUCACAAGUCUUGGGAUUCCGGAAUCCACUUUCCAAAGCUCAAGGGUUGGUCUUACCCAAUGUCAUUACCGUCUUUAGGUUUGGCUCAUACAUAUCCUAGUGGUCACUCUACCACUAUGAUCCAUAACAACUCAUGACCUAGGUUACUCAACACUAGGUCCAAUGUCCUUUCCAUCCUAGGUCCACUUGACUCUAGGUUCAAUGUUAUUCAUCUCAUAACCUAGAUUUACUUGACUCUAAGUUCAAUUCUCAACCUAUGUUUAAUGACACUAGGUUUCAAUGCCACUCAUGAAUCACCUAUGUUCAAUGACACUAGGUUUCAAUGCCACUCAUGAUUCUUGUCAUCCUAGUUAUCCACACUUAGGAUUCUUUACAUGCCAUACUUGUCGAGUUCUUUACUAUACUUAGAGUUCAUCAACUCAAGUUCAACAUUCAUGUCAUUCUAGCAUAUUCUCACAAUAUGUCCUCAUGCAUAUAUUCUUUAGCAUCACAUACACAUGCCUAUGUUCUUAUCAAAAUGGUAGUCAACAUAUCUCAUGCAUACAUUGGCAUAUAUCUUAUGCAUUUAUUAGCAUCUAUCACAUGCAUAGGGAUGUCAAUGGGUAUGGAUACCCGAAAUUUUAUCCGAACCCGAACCCGAAUGAAACGGAUAUAUCUGAUGGAUAUGGAUAUGGAUUUGGAUACGGAUAUAAAAAAUAAAAACCCGACGGAUAUGGAUUCGAAUAUGGAUUUUGAUUGUACCCGACCCGAACCCGAACCCGACCCGAACCCGAAUUUAUUUUGUAUUAUAUAUAAUAUAUAUAUAAAAAUUUGAUGUUAUAUUUGAAUUUGUAUUUUAAAAUUUUAAAUUUAAUAUAAUAUAUUUUGAAAUAUUGAAAAAAGAAAUAAUUGUUUCGGGUUCAAAUUUUUCUGUUCGGGUUCGGGUUCGGGUUUCGGAUUUUUGGUCGGGUUCGGGUUUGGAUAUGGAUUUUUAAAAUCCGUCGGGUUCGGGUUCGGGUUCGGGUCUCGGGUUUGGAGUCGGGUUUGGGUUCCGGUUUUUAAAAAUCCGCCCUCUACACAUGCAUUCAUUAGCAUCUAUCACAUGCUUUCAUCAUUAGCAUAUAUCGUAUACAUUCAUCUAGCAUUUGGCUUAUGCAUUCACUUAACAUCUAACUCAUACAUUCACUUGCUUUGCAAUUUGCUACCAUUACAUGCAUCAAUGACGAAACACACUAUACUUUGGCAUGGAAGCGACCUAAUCGCUUCGAUGAGCACAACCCACCUCUUAACAGUCUCCGAUUGUUUGUAGUCACUUGCAAUCGGGCUCCCGCGGCACACGUUGUCCGGUUCAGCUCCAACUCGCAAUUGAUCGCCGAACGCCCAACAAUCCGCGACCUAGGGUCUUCAAGGGCCUUUCUCUAACCUUCAAUUAGAGAAUAAUAGGAUUAUAAUAGAUCAAAACCUUCAUUUGCCCAAAACCCCAAUUCUAUCCCCAGCAUAAGCAUAUUCUCCAAAUAACCCAAAAUUCAUGGAGAAAAUAUGCUAGAAAUACUCUAGAGAUCAUUAGAAUCUUAUACAUAAAGGAUUUAAUUGAAAUCCCAACAGUUACCAAAAUGCGAACGCCGAGUCGAAAGCACCCCGCUCCACUGGGCGCACGGAGACUCGAUCCGUUGCUCCACACACGUUCCCAAGCUUCUUCUCCACCAACCCUCCGAAUUUGGAAGAGAGAUCUAGAGAGAGGAGAGAGCUUCUCUCUCUACCACCAUGAAUGUGUGUGUGUGUUCUUUGGGCUGUGGGAGGAAGAAAAAGGGAUGGCCCCAUUUUUAAGUCAACCCCCACCCAAUUUACAACACUGCCCCUACUCAAACUGGGCAAUUUUCGAGCUCGGGGUCCGGACCCUGGCAACUAGUGUCCGGACCCCGUAGGUCCAGACAGCCCAGUAAUUUAGUACUUAGCCAAAUAUCAGCAUUUUUCAGCUUUUUCUCCGUUUUCGCUCGUUUUCGUUCGUUUGACCUCCGAUUCAUCUCAAAUCGCACCGAGACCCCCAAAACACAUUUUCGACCGCGUUUAAACCUUCUUUUCAUCCACGCUUUGCCGGAUUUUAGGCAAAGUCCAACAUAGCUUUUCGGAUUCCGUUUUCGCGCCCAACGCGCACCGAAAACACCCGAAUGCUCUCGAACUUUACCGGGACAAUUCUAAUAGUUUCUAACAUCCACCGAAACUUCAUAACUUUAGAAGUUCAGUAUAUCACACAAACCCACCAGGAACUCCUCGGAACCCCUUCAUUUGCGCAAACGAAGGUGUCCACAAGUCUCCUAACUCCCUAGAGAUAAUUCUAAGAGGGUUAGACGAAAUGAACGAACACUACACGAGUUCAUCUUUAACCAACCCAAGAAAAGGACAAAACUCACCUUGUAUGGUGAAAAACCCUCACAAUCUCCGAAUGGAAGCUAGAGUACUUCAAAUCCAAUCUAGAUGAAGGUUCUACACCUAUCAAUUAAGCCUCAAAAACCAUAAAUCAAAAACUCCCAAAUAAAAUCCUAGAUUUCAAAUUCUAGGUUUUCAUCUCAAGAAAGCUACCAAAACAAGAUCUAAGGUACUAACCUCUCAAUAAGCACCAAACUAAGCUUGAAAUGUGCUAAGGUUGAAGAUUUAUUCUCUAGCAAGCUCCACUCUCCAAUCCAAGGCUUCUCCAAUGGUGGAAAUCCAACAUGAAGCAAGGAGGAGAGGAAAAGAGAGAUCAAUCCAAGCAGAAACCUUAAGAAAGGAGAGAAAAUCAAGGGAGAGGGGCUCUACUUGUGCUCUCCACGGUUUAGGGCUCAAAAGAGCUCUCCAAAGUGUUGUAGGGGUUAUAUAGAAAUGUAACAAUCUCAAAAAGACUCUCCAACAACGUGCAGUUUGCAUCUGCACUGCGUACCAGUGACACGGGAUGGAGUACCGGUACCAGGUAGCAGCACGCGCAAACCCGAGCCUCGGGUAAGCGAGAAAACACACUGCGUACCGGUACUCUCACGAUGCUGUAUCGGUAUCUGCUCCAGUACUGGUACUUAGGCAAUGCAGUACCGGUACUCUGCUCUGCAGAGCUCAACAAAAGAGCAGCCCCAAUUCCUGCAAUUUAGAGGUUUGGUGCUAAGUUUUAAUCCUCACUCCUCGGGAUGCGAGUCAUAGGUCGGAACACAGUCAACGACCCUCAAGAAUACCUGGGAAAACUCAGAACACUGCUCAAACAGUCGAACCUUGCAAUUUGCUAAAGUCCAGUGUGUUACAGUAGAAGGUGUUGAAAACUCCCAUAAUGUCAUCUUUAAGGAGGUUCCAGAAUCGCUAGUAGAAUAACAUCGGUAGUCCAUCAGGAUCAGGGGCCUUCUCAGAAGCACUAGAGAAAACGGCUCUCCUUACUUUGCUUAAAGUGAACGGUGCCUGAAUACUUGAGAGGUCCAAAUGUUCAUCACCAUAGGGUGCCUAGAGAUUAAUACCGGCAGAGGGAACAUGUUCCACACCCAGCUGGUUGAGGAAGAAGAAGAAGAGGUGCUCUGCGAUCAACUCAGGCGAGGAAAGAGUGGCAGAGCCGUUCGAAAGUUUAGAAAUGAAAUUUUUGUUCCUGCGAGCAUUGGCCUUGAGGAGAAAAAAUUUUGUAUUGGCAGCUCCAACCUUAAGCCAUUGAACUCUAGAUUUCUGCUUCCACUUAAUCUCCUCUUGUAAGCAAAGGUCUUCGUAUCUGGCCUUAAGCUUCGGUCUCAAACUGCGCUCAAGGGCCAUUAGGAGUCUUCCUUAUUCUGCUUUGUCAAGCCAGUCGAUCCAGAGAAGACAUCGUUUAGCCUAUUCCCUUAUUGUUGAAGAGAGACCUGCGCUCCAAGAUCGAAGAGCAGAUUGGACAGAUUUGAUUUUCUAUGAGAAAAGAUUCACGGGGUCGGAAUUAGGCAAAAUCGAAUUCCACGCCAUGGAGACUACAUCCAUGACAGCAGGGUGACGUAGCCAGUAGCUCUCAAAUCUGAAUUGAUUGGCAUGAGGAAUGAAGGUGUAGGCUGAAAGUACCAAGGGCGUGUGGUCAAAUCGCGGUCGCGGGAGGGCUCGUAGGGUGGAUCGGGGAAAAACAAGUAGCCAGGCACUGGAGAUAAAAGUGCAAUCCAGACGCUCUAGAGUCGAAACACCCCUACCAUUAGACCAUGUGAAAGAUUUAUUUUGGAUGGGAAGAUCAACCAACCCAAUCUCAUGUACGACCUCUCUGAAGUUCAAGAUGUCAGUCACGCUUGCGGUGGGUCCAUUCUUGUCCUGAACGGAGAGUGGGACUUUGAAGUCGCCGAGCACAGUCCACACUCCAGAGAACAACUCACCAAUGGAGCGAAGUUCAUGAAAAAAGUCAGCUUUUAGAUUGGCCGCAGUAGGGCCGUAGACGCUCGAAAUCGUGAAUGAUUUUCUAUCCACUUUCCUCUUAAGCACCACAGUGAGCGAGAAUCUGCCAGCCCAUUCCUAAACACAGUUGAAGAGAGACGAAUUCCAUGCAGUGAGGAGACCGCCUCUAGUCCCCUCUGCAUUUUGAGUUCGAAAGUCAUGCAGGUGAAACCCAGAGAAGGAGCAAAACUUGAUAGUAGAAGUAGAGGAUAAUUUAGUUUCUUGAAAGCAUACAACACAGCAUUUGGAAUAUCGAAUGAAGGAUUUGACGACAGUGCACUUAGAGAGGUCAUUGAGGCCCCGUUAGGAAACGAAAGAUUCUGUUCCUAGCCAUUGAGAAAAAGAACAGCGACCUAGACUCAAAGCGAGGAGAGGCAGAAGCUACACCCCAGUCGUGUUCGCACCAAUAAUACUAGCAGCAGUGAUCCAGCAGGUAAGCACAACACCAACAUCUAUGUCGGUAAUUCCGCAGACGGUCUUGAUUAGUUGUAUCUCUUCAAGAGUAAGGGGGUGUAGCACACUGGACCUUUGCAAAUUGCGAGGUUCGAGUGUUUGGAAGUAUUUCGAAUGUUGUCCGACCUUUGCAAAUUGGCUUGUAGAAUGUUGUCCGACCUAAAAAGUUCGAAAACUGGAAUUCUGGACAAGUCCUGAGAGUUUUUACUCUCGGGGACCGAUCCCUGGAAGGAGAGACCGGUCCCCCAGUGAGCAGUGUUGCGGCAGCCCUGAGGCAACCGGUCCCUGGCGGGCGAGACCGGUCCCCGAGCGCGCCUUCGCAGUAAGAGACCGGUCCCGCGUAGGGAGAGACCGGUUCCCGAACGUUGGUUCUCCGGGUUCGCAGCGAGAGACCGGUCCCUGCUGGGGAGAGACGGGUCCCUCUGGGCGAAAACUGCCCAGUUCGGGCUGAUGCAAUUUUAGAUUUUUGAGGGACCUAGCUGGAUUUUGUUACAAUAGAGGGUCUAUAUGACCCAUCCCCUCUCUCUUCUUCUCAUUUCCCUCCUCACACUCUCCCCACACCCUUGUUAGAGAGAGAGAGAGGGAGAAAGAGAAGAAGAAGGAGGAGAAGGUUUUGGUGGACUUGGAGCAUUUCUUUGCCUCUCUUCCUCUUCCCACCUUGUUGGUGCUUGAAGGCUUGGACUUGGAGCUUGCAUAGGAGGAGAUCUUCACCCUUUGAGCUUGGAUUGAAGCUUCUUUGAGGUUGGUAGCCCUUUCUCUCCAUCUAGACUUGGAUUUGAGGCUUUCUUUGUGUUGGAACCCUAGAAUGAGGUUUAGGGUUGAUUUUGGGGCUUUUUGAAUUUAGGGCUUUUGGGGCUAAAUUAGUUGGUUUAGAACCUUCCUUGGGCUCGGAGUGGAAGGGUUCUAGCUCUCUUUUAGAGCUUUGGAAGAGAUUUCUUCUCUUGAUGUGAGAAUUGACCCCUUUUGCUUCUAGGUUAAUGUUUGAUAGUAUAAGAUGAUCGUAAUGCCCGUGUAUCUUGUCGCUCAAUACUUUUAGGGUAUUUUGAGACUCGAGGACAACUUCGUUCGGCGAAACGAGGCCCUACGCGACGGUUCGGUGGGUUUGAUCUAGCCUAUAUAUGAGAAAUUCUCACAUAUGGUUAUAUAUAUGUUCCGUAAAUGGGAAAAGCAUGCAUAUUCAUACUAAAUGUAUUUAUUAUGAUUUUUAGAAUGCUUAAAAUGCAUAUGUUACAUAUGAUGAAAUUUUGGACUCUAUGUAGUAGAAAGUUGCUUGGGAGAUCUAUGGUUGCAUUUAGCAUUCUUUAUGAGACUUGGUUCCAUACUUCUAUAGUGUAAAUGAGUUCGGAUUCAUACAUUUAAACUUAAGUUUACUUGUAACAUGAAAGAUGACAAAAUUGCCAUUUAGAAGGUGUGUGAACUAGAGAGCUAAUGUCUUCAAGUGGCAUUGAGCUCGGGACAUGUGUGAACCUAGUGGAUAGGGCCAUUGAGGAAUGUGGAACAUGCUUAAACAUUAAAUUUCUAAGUGUCAUAGAGGGGCACUAGACCUAGAGAAUGUUGGAACUUCAUUUGUGACUUAGAACUAGAUCUUCGAGAUGCUAGUGACUAUACCAUGUUAGAGACAUGAGGGUUGGAUACUUGAGACUUGGACUAUGCUUGCUUGCCAUUUGUGCUCAUUCGCACAUGCUUGUGAGGGUCGCUCCCUACAAGCCGGCACUCCGGAGUUUGCCUUCGCGACCUAUGUUCGCUCGUGCGAUAUUGAGAAGCCUACGNNNNNNNNNNNNNNNNNNNNNNCCCCUUGUUGGCUUGGAUUUUGGUGGAUUUACUCUUCUUUUUGCCUUUUGUGCUAUUUCCUCCAUGGUAGAGAGCUUGGUGCUUGGAGUUGAGCUUGGUUUGAGGAAGAUCACCACUUCUAAAGGGUUUUGAUCAUUGUUUUGGAGCUUCUAGAAGGUAAGCAACAUUUCCUUUCCCCUAGAAUUGGGUUUUGGUGUUCUCUACUAGAUGGAACCCUAGAAUGAGAGAUUAGGGUUGUUUUUGGGGCUUUUUGAUUAGAAGCUUUUGGAACCAAUCUAAUGGGAUUAGAACUUUGGAAUAGGUUCCUUUGAAUGUGAUUUGCCCUUCCUUUGAGCUUUGGAGAGGGAUUUCUACUCUUGAAGUGAGUUUUGGCCCUUUUUGCUUCUAGGUUAAUGUUUGAUCUUAUAGUUGAACGUAACGCCCGUGUAUCUCUUCGCUCAAUACUUUUAGGGUAUUUUGAGACUCGAGGACAACUUCGUUCGGCGAAACGAGGCCCUACGCGACGGUUCGGUGGGUUUGACCUAGCCUAUAUAUGAGAAAUUCUCACAUAUGGUUAUAUAUGUUCCGUAAAUGGGAAAAGCAUGUAUAUUCAUACUAAAUGUAUUUAUUAUGAUUUUUAGAAUGCUUAAAAUGCAUAUGUUACAUAUGAUGAAAUUUUGGACCUCUAUGUAGUAGAGAGUUGUUUGGGAGAUCUAUGGUUGCAUUUAGUAUUCUUUAUGAGACUUGAUUCCAUGCUUCUAUAGUGUAAAUGAGUUCGGAUUCAUGCAUUUAAACUUUAGUUUACUUGUGACAUGAAAGAUGACAAAAUUGCCAUUUAGAAGAUGUGUGAACUAGAGAGCUAAUGUCAUCAAGCGGCAUUGAGCUCGGGACAUGUGUGAACCUAGUGGAUAGGGCCAUUGAGGAAUGUGGAACAUGCUUAAACAUUAAAUGUCUAAGUGUCAUAAAGGGGCACUAGACCUAGAGAAUGUUGGAACUUCAUUUGUGACUUAGAACUAGAUCUGCGAGAUGCUAGUGACUAUACCAUGUUAGAGACAUGAGGGUUGGAUACUUGAGACUUGGACUAUGCUUGCUUGCCAUUUGUGCUCAUUCGCACAUGCUUGUGAGGGUCGCUCCCUACAAGUCGGCACUCCGGAGUUAGCCUUCGCGAUCUAUGUUCGCUCGUACGAUAUUGAGAAGCCUACGGGGUCGGGUGGGACAGACACAUUCCAAGAGUAGGGAUGUUGGGCUACCACAGGCACUUAGGCGGCACAAGCUGGACUACCUUUGGUAGGUCCUUGAUUGGAAAUGAAAAUCGACACGGUGUUGAGAAUGAAUAAUCGCUACUAGAUAGGCUUAGUAGUUGGAUUAGGUGACAUACUCAUGACAUAGCAAUAGGGUAUAUAGUACACUUGCCGGUUUCAUGCAUUGCAUCAUAGUAUACUGGGUUAUCUUGAUAGAGCGUACUCCUUAUAUUUUGGCAUAUGGUAUUGUGAGAUUUACUUGUUCAUUAUGUUGAGGCAUAUUAGUAUGCAUUGGAUAUAUUAUCUUAUAAUAGCGUAGAUGUACAUCACCAUGACAUCAUGCUUAUUGGAGACAUAGUAGUAUAGCCUUUCAUUCAUGUUUUCUUUUAGCAGUUUUUGUGUUCGCUAUUUAUUGCAUAUUACUAUAUGUCGUUACUUACCCUUUUCUUUUGGGGCCUAGUGGUGCAUUGAGCUGAGGUCAGUAAUUGCCCACUGGGAACUAUAAAUUAUAGUUCUCACGCCCUCUUUUUCUCGAUGUUUUCAGAGCCUUCUACCUCUCGAUAUUUUACCUUUUUACCGAGAGGUUGAGGGUUUUACCAGUGUACUAGAGACCACCAUUUUUGUACUAGAGACAGAUAUUGUACUACUUGUGGUUUCUUUUAUUGUCUAGCUUUAUUUCUUUACUUUGGUGUAAAUGAUAGAACUUUACUCGCUCUGAUAUCAUUAGUUGCUAGUUAUUUCACUUCUUUUAUUUGUUCUAUCUCUUGCUUUACUUCCGCUUUUGUUGUAGACGCCUUAUAUGUGUAGACAUAUGGCGGGUCUGGGCACGCUAUCGGGAGGGCCUUCGCCGAUCCCAGGGCGUGACAGGGGGUGUACGGGGUCUCUCUUUAGAGGGGAAGCAGAGUUUAUUCCAGCGAUAUCACUCUUCAACGAAGGAGCAUUAUCCUUCCCGACAUUCAUAUUGGAGGCUCCCGAAUCCUUCCCGGCAUGCGUAUCAGAAUCUCCCGAAUUCAGCCCUAUACCUGGAAGCUGUGACUGGGCCAAGUGAGGUAGGUCCUCAGAGGAUGAAGCAUCAACAGGAGUAGCGUUGGACAGGCUGGCGACCUUCAAUGCGAGAUUCAUCACUUUUAUUUUCUAGCACCUUAAAUCCUGAGCUUUCUGCAGGGAAGACUUCUUGUUAUCUCUGUUUUUGGCGCAGACUACUUUUGAAAUUGAAACGUUUUUUGGUGGUGGAGCGGUGAUGAAGGUGAGAGUCCAGUUCUAUGGGAGGCGUCUCCGAUCUCAGAAGCGAGGCGGAAUGAUAUGAUGAGACCCCGCCCAAGGGAGGCUCAUCGGUAAACAUGGGGGGGGGAGGGGGGAUUGUUGGGCUUUGGGUCCACAAGUAAGGUGGGCUCAGUGAUGGGACUGGCGGACUUAGUCAAAGACCCAAGAGGAAGUUUGGGCGAGGUAGAAGCCAGGAUAGGUUGUGUAACACACUGGACCUAUGCAAAUUUUAAGUGUUUGAUUUGUGUUCCGAGCUUUUUCACAUUUUCUGGAGGGUCGUUGAUAGUGUUCCGACCUAUGGCUCGCAUCCCGAGAAUCGAGGUUUAGAACUUGGCACUAAGGUCUCCGAAGUGAAGAACUUAGGCUGCUCUUGGGUUGGACUCUACAGAGCAGAGUACCGGUACAACAUUGAGCUUGUACCGGAAUGGGAGGUGGUACCGGUACAACAUCGGGUUUGUACCGGUAUCGAGCGCCGUUUUCUGUCAACCCGAGGCUCGGGUUUGCGCCUACUGUGACCUUGUACCGGUACAACUUCCCGUGUACUGGUACGCAGUGCAAACUACAGUCUGCUUAUUUUUUAGGGUUGAUUUUGAUAUUGUAGCCUUAUUACAUAUACCCUCCAUGGCCCAUGGAGGUCCCCUGAGCUGAGACCAGUAGAGAAGAAGUUAAGGGAGCUCUCCCCUUCCCCUCUUUCAUUUCCUUUCACUUUAGUUGGGAUUUUUGAAGAUUGAACCUUUCCUUUUGCUUCUUGGUGCCAUUUCCAUCAUGAGAAAAGCUUUGACUUGGUGUUUGGAGCUUGUUUGAGAGAAGGUUUUCAACCCUAGUUGGUUCCUAGGGUGGUUUGAAGCUUCUAAAGAGGUUAGUAACAUGUUUCUUUCAUUAGAUUCAUAUUUUGAUGGAUUUCUUGAGAUGAAAUCCUAGAAUGUGAGAUUUAGGAUUUAUUUUAGAAAUUUUUUAUUAGAGACUUUUGGAUCCCAAUUGAAUGGUUUAGAACCUUUGUUUAGGUUAGAUUUGCAGGGAUCUUACUCUCAUUUGGAGAUUGAGAGAGAAUUUCAGUUUUGCCCAUUUUCCUUAGGUUGGUUAUUGUUUGAUCUUAGGGUUGUUCGUUCGUAGCGUUUAACUCUCUUAGUUUAACUUUUAGGGUGCUAGGAGGCUUGUGGACAUCAUCUUUUGAGCGAACGAAGGUCUACGAGGAGUUUUGGUGGGUUUGGCCUCAUCGAAAAUAGAAAAACUCCACCUAUGUCGAUAUUUAAUUGCCGUAAAAUAGAAAUGCAUGCAUAUUCACGCUACAUUGAGCAUACGAGAUGUUUGGAAUGCUUAAAAUACAUAUGUUAUAUAUGAUGAAAAAUUGCCUCGAUGUAGCAGAGAGAGAUAUGUGCAUUGUAGCCUUGCAUAUGGUUAGCAUUCUAUUUAAUGGUUUGGAAUCAUGUUUCUUGCAAAGAAAUAACUUAUAUAAUAUGCUCUUAAACUUAGAACUCAUAUUGGACAUAGUGGAUAAGAAUGUCAUAAAGUGGCAUUGAUCUUGAUGAAUGCAUUGACAUAGUAAGUUACAAUGUCAUAAAAGGGCAUUGGACUUAGUAAACAGCUAAACCUUUACCUUGAGACAUUGAACUGGACCUUUGGGGUUACUAGUGUUUAUUACCAUGAUUGAGACAUGAUGACCGAGUAUCUGAGAUGACUAUCACGCUUGCUUGCCAUUUGUGCUCAUUCGCACAUGCUUGUGAGGGUCGCUCCCUACAAGUCGGCACUUCGGAGUUGGCCUGUGCGACAUACGCUCGCCGUGCGUGAUUGAGGACCUACUGGGUCACCGUGGGAUAGUCACAUUCCUAGUGAAUACUGGACUACCCGGGGCCAUUAGGCGGCACAAGCUGGACUACACUCAUGUAGGUCCUAUUUUGGAAAUGAAAAUUUGACAAAGAACAACUAAAUGAUAAUCACUACUAGACUAGUACAUAGUAGUUGGAUUCCUUUGGCAUGCUUGUAGCAUAGUAUUGGACAUUUAGUUGACAUUCUUGGACAUAUAGUAUACUUGUGACUUGUUUGAACACACUAGUUCAUGCAUUUAAUGUACUUGCUCAUGAUAGCUAGAAGCAUCAUUUUUAUCAUCAUGCUUACUUGCGACAUAGUAGUGGUAGUAAAUUAUAUUGUUAAAUCUACUCGUUGAUUUCCUUCUUUAGUGCUUAUUUACUCUACUUAUGCUUUUGGGGCCUAGUGGUGCUUCCUCGCUGAGGUCAGUAAUUGCCCACUGGGAACUAUUAAUUAUAGUUCUCACGCCCCCUGUUUGAUAUUUUCUUUCAGAGCCAUCCGCACCGGGAGAGGCUAGGAAUCGCGGCAAGGGAGUCGCGUCUAGCUAGAUCUCAGGGAUCUCUUCUAUUAGAUGGUUAUCUCUCUUUUUGUAUAGUUGGGGAGAGAGCGAGUUGUACCAAUGUAUAGAGACCACAAUUUUUGUAUAUCUAGUACUUGUAUUUGAGACUUAUUGUUGUAUUACUCUAUAUUUUACCUUAGUGGUUAGCUCUCUUUUCAUCCUACUUGUUGUUAGAUUCUAGUUGUAUACUUUCUCUGAUAUCUCUAGAUACUUGUUACUUCUUGUUUAUUUAUCGCUAUCGUUGUAGACGCCUUAUAUGUGCAGGCAUAUGGCGAGUCUGGACACGCACCGGACGGGCCUCUGCUGGGCCCCGGGGCGUGACAAAUUAUUUUGGUAUCAGAGCCUAGGGUUAAGUCUUAAUGGACCUAGCAAACCUUAGGCCGGUUGGACUAUAGGAAUUAGACUCGUGAGAGAUGCAGUCUAUUUGACUUAUAAGGGAAGUAUUAUGAUUGGGUUUCUUUGAUAACUCUAAAAAGUGGAUUUGAAUUGAAGUGUAUAACUUCUAACUUCGCGGAGGGUUACAUUGGCGGCCGACAACGUAACAUCGGGAGUUAGUAGUAGAGAACACUUCUUUACUUUCGCAUGAUUUUGGGUUUUACUUGUUUAAGCGGGGUUGCGAUAGCGUGAGUUUUACUAACUUGCGCUUUUAUAUUGUUGUAGUGACGAUGCCGGUUACUCGCUCUAAAUCUAUUGGGGCGGAGAACGCAGCAAACCUCCAGGAGGUGGAGACCUCCACUACUUCCGGAUCUAGUGAGGUCCGCAAUUUGAGGACUCAGCUUGCGGUCCUCAUUGAUUUGGUUGCUCAGCAGGCAGCGGCGGCUCAGUGGCAGGCCGAGGUGGCGCUCCGACAGGAGUCGCAGAUAAAGCGGCUGGAGGGCUUACUAUUUCAGCAGGCGGCUGUGAGAGAGACUCAGGAUCCAACACCACCCGCGCCGCGCUAGUAGUGGACGUGGCACCGCGGGCGCCGUCCCCUGCGCCCGGUGUUCCACGAGUGGCGCCUUUUGUUGAGCCUCGGGAGGAGGUUUUUGCGGCAGCACCUGUGUAACGUACCGGACAUCAAAAAUUAUGAGGACACGGUGUAUGUUAGGUUCGAUGGCUAAUCCGAUGAUUCCGGUGAAGUCUGGUGAAGUUGGAAACUUUGGUGCGUUUCGGUGCGCGUAGGCGCGAAAACGGAACCCGGAAGGUUACGUUGGGCCGCGAGCUAAGUCCAACACUAGUGUGGAUGAAAAGAUGAUGGAGACAUGUUCAAAAAUAUGUUUAGUGAGCCUCGGUUCUAUUUGAAAAGAAUCGGAAGUUUAACGAGCGAAUUAGAGUUGAAACGGACCUAAGAUUGCACUCUGGAGCAUUGUGUACCGGUACAGGUUGAUGGCUGUACCGGUACAGCAAGCGACCCGAGGUAAAGGCUGCUCUCGGGUUGGCUGUUGCGCGAGUCGUGUACCGGUGAUACCAACCCGUGUACCGGUACGCGGUGGACCCGACAGCAAAAAUUAGUCUGCUGUGAUUAUAAUUGAUUGGAGGGGUUUAUUUGCAAUUGUUACCUAAUGUAAUAGCCCUAAACCCCUCUCCCUCACAGCAGAUCUCUCUCUCUCCCUCUCUCGUGUCUCUCUCUCUCUCUCUCUCAGCCGAUUGCAAGAGAGGGGAAGGAAAAGAAGAAAAAAAAAAAGAAAAAGAAGAUAAGGAAGGAGAAGAAGGAGCUUACCUUUAUCUUCAUCUUCCUCAUGCUUGGAGCACGCUUGUGAGGUAAGCUUUUUGUCUCCUCUCAUGGUGGGAUUAGGGUUAGGGUUUGGUUUUUAAACCCUAAUACUUAGAGAUUUGAAACUUCUUGCAUGUUUAAAAGCCUCUUGAGACCUAGAACACCAUGAAAUCCAUGGUUCUCUCAUGAUGCUCUAAUGGUGGAUUUCUAGGGUUUGUUCUAAACACCCUAGAAAUGAUUCAUAUGCUCCUAGUUGAGCUCCUAGAUGAUAAACAAGCUCUCUUUUGCUUGUUUUAUAGAUCAAAUCCGGGGUAUUGUGCAUAUGUCACGUUAGGGCAUCCCAAAGAGGGGUUUUGCUCAUAUGAAGUUUUGAUCUAUUUUGACCCCUUGGAAACCUAAUUGGGGACCUAACAAACGCGUUGGUGAAGUCGGUUUGACCAUUCGUCGAGUGUGCGCGAAGUUAUUGACAAGAUAGUGUUUUGUCGUACAGAUGGCCGCAGCACGCAAGAUAAACGCCUAAAAAUCGUGGGAUCGGAACCGGAGCACCUUGGAGUCAGGGAGUAAACUUCGGAAAAGACGGAUCGCGAUUCGGAGGUCAUUUGGAGGUCGCGCAAGAGUUCGGGCCAAACCGGGCAACGGUUGCCGCGGGAGGCCGAUUGCAAGUGUCGACAAGCAAUCGGAGCGUAAGUCAAGGUGGGUUGUGUUUACCGAAGCGACUAGGUCGCCCUUAUGUCUAAGAAAUGUUAAGAAUCCUCAUUGAUGCAUAUAAUGUAAAUGUGGUUUGUGGAUUAUGCAUAUAAUCAAUGCUAGUUCGUGUAUGUUAAUAGUAUAAUGCAAAAUGCCAAGUAACGCAUGAUAAUAAUGAUAUGAUGCGAAUGCCAAGAUAGAUGCAUACAAAAUGAUAUAGAGAUCAUGAAUGCAAGUAGGAAUAAUAUACAAGAGCAUGAUUAGCAUUGUGAGAUCGUAAAUGCACAAAAUGAACGUUAUGUUAAGCUACCACAUAGAGUAUAUGACAUAUGGUGGUCGUGUUGUAUGUAAAGAAUGACAAAUAAAGGACAUGUGUAUGUGGACAUUAAAUACAUAUAGAUCGAGUGGCAUCGAACCUAGAGUCGGGAACCUAGGUUAAACAAGAAUGAAUGUGAACCUAAUGUUAGUAAAUAUAGGUUGGACAAAGGAAAUAAUGGACCUAGUGUUGAUGAACAUAAGUUAAAUAAGAAUGGCAUUAAACCUAAUGUUAGAGAACAUAGGUUGUGAGAUAAAAAUAACGAACCUAGAAUCACAUGAACCUAGGUGAGCAAAGGUAAUGAACCUAGAGUUAAUAACCUAGGCUAUGAGUAUGGUAACAACGAACCUAAAGUAUUAACUUAGGUUGAAUAGAGGCUUGGACCUAGAUAGGUCAAUUCCAUAGGGUUAAGACCAACCCUUGAGUAAUGAGAAAUGGAUUCCGGAAUCCCUAAGAAUGAUUGCUGCUAGUGCAGCAGCUGCUAGUGCAGCGGAUGCGACUGAGUGAUGACUGCGGGUAUGUGUGGUUCUCCUCGCCUGGCAGUGACUCAUUGGGUACGUGUGAUUCUCCUCGCCCGGUUCGAGUAUGAGAUUGGGGACGCGGGUAUGUGUGGUUCUCCUCGCCCGUAGGUCCAUUGAGCGACUUGUGGUCCAGGGUUCGACGGUAUAUCCUCACCCUGUGAGUAGACCUAUAGUCGAGAGGAUCUUAGGCUGAGGUGCAUGUGAGACGUCCUUCGCCUCGAGCCUUACAGAGCGCGGAGUAUCCGCAGUUGAUUGACUCAAGACCAAGUCGGGUGGCAUAGAUGAUUAAGGUAGAGAGACCUUAGAUAUGAGUUGUCAAUGACUAUGGCAAAGAAUAAGAAUGCUAGUAAUAAUUAAGAAUGUAAAUGAGUAAAGAAUCGCCAACGGGCGUAGUGUAAAGAAUGAUAAGGAAUAAAGAGUAAAGAUUCGCCAAUGAGCGUAAUGUAAGAAAGGAUAAUGAAAUAACAAAGUGUAAAGAAUGGCUUCGAGUAGAAUUAAAAUAAUCUACUUGCAUAAGUACAGGUGUUGCAUAUUGCAUUUUGGGAGGCAGGACAUCUUAGUUCAAUAUCUGUUAUAUAACUGUUAUAUGUUAUUGGACUAACUUGUUACAGGGCCUCAUUAGACAUAUCGACCGAGCUUUUCCCUUGGGUGGCCGUACCCACUGAGAACCAUGGAGUUGGUUCUCACCCCACGUUGUUUUGGGGUGUUUACAAGUAUACACGUGAGCGUCGCGGUGGCGCGAGGCAAGGGCGUAGCUCCGUAGAUGGUGAACCAUGGAGUUUACAGGUAUACAUAUCGACCGAGCUUUUCCCUUGGGUGGCCGUACCCACUGAGAACCAUGGAGUUGGUUCUCACCCCAGAGACUGAGAUAGCAGUACCCGAGUCGGUGGUCUAGCUGGGGAGGUUUAAAGACAAGAGCAAACUUUGAUCAUGUUGUAAUAAAUUAAAAUAAUUGAGAUUGUAUUUGGAAGAUGAGUGUAAAAGAAAAUUGUGUGCAAAAAUGUAUGUAAGUUGAAUGUUGUAAUAACUUAGUAGUAUUAUGUUUUUGAUACUUCCUUAUGCAAUCUAUGAAUGAAUACUGUUCCUGAUCGGAACCUCUUGUAUCGUCUUGAUUGCGACACCUUGGACGUACAGGGGAGACUCUAUCCGUUCGGCGGUCUGUUAGCGUACCCGAAUUCGGCCAAAUAGGCGGGGCGCGAGGCGUGACAACCUGCUCAGGUGCCCCCGGCAAGAGCGGCUUUUCCGAUAAUAGUCGAGGGAGCGGAGAGAGACCGGCUUAUGGAUCGCCUCAACGAGUUCAGGAGGUGCAAUCCGCGGAUUUUCGACGGGGAGAAAGUCGACCAGUGGAUAGUAGAGAAGUGGCUCAUGCAUAUGGAGAAGUUAUUCCACGACACCUUCGUGUAGGAGAGUUACAGAGUUUGGCUCGCCACACAUUAUCUUGACGACGAGGCCUAUCGCUGGUGGCUGGAUAUUCAGGACAACCCGGAUACGGAUUUAUCGGUGAUCUCUUGGAAAAGGUUCAAGGAGCUUCUGAUGGCUAAGUACUUUCCAGAGAGCGUUAAGAGAAAGAUGGAGCAGGACUUGCGCGGCUUACACCAGGGGGAGCGGAUUGUGGCCGAGUACGAGAGGGAGUUCUCUCGACUUCUACACUGCGUGCCUUUUGUCGUGCGGGACGACGAGGACAAGGCCUGCAUCUUCGAGCGAGGACUUCGGCCGUCCAUCUUUCGAUUUGUGCAAUCCUCCAAUCUCUAGACUUACCGUGAUGUGGUGAACCGCGCGCUCUUCGUGGAGAGCGGUGCGGCGGAUUUGCAGGAGCGUCGAGAGGGCUUGGACAAGGGUAAGGGCAAAAGGCCCACGGCUGAGGGUGCGAGUCAGACGCACUCUGGGAGGCCGCCGAGAUACCCUAGGAGCCAGUCUCGUGGGCGCGGCUUGACCGCGCAGCGUGGAGGGUCUGAACUUCCUCGGGCUCCUCGUUGUGUGAUCUGUAGUGGUCCCCACCCUCUGCGGCAGUGCACACAGCGUAGGGGCAAGUAUUAUUUGUGUGGCCAGGGGGGCCACUUCCAGUCUCAUUGCCUUAGGGGUUCACUUCCAGCACCAUCAUCAGCAUCAGCACUGGCUUCACCGGGUCCCAGCCAGAGGACUUCUUAGGCUCAGUACCAGAUCGGGCGGCCACCUGUCCAGCGCCAGACCGAGGGGUCAUGACAGGCCCCGAGCGGGCGCAUGUAUGCGGCCCAGACAGAGGAGGCGGCAACAACCGAGAAUGUGGUAGCAGGUAUCAUUUUAUUAUAUGGCAUUCGAGUUCGAGCAUUAUUUGAUACUAAUGCAUCGUAUUCAUUCAUAGAUCGGCUAUUUGCCGAGUUGUAUAGCAUCCCGUUAGUUUCCUUAUUCAUCCGGGACGUAUCAUUGUUCCCGACCACUCCUUGGACAUUAGGGAGUUUUGCCCUAGUUGCCCUGUUCUGGUAGGAGAGUAGAUCAUGCCCGUGGAUCUUUUAGCCUUGCGUAAACUCGAGGAGUUUAACGUAGUUUUGGGCAUGGAUUGGUUGACCAAGUAUUUCGCCACUAUCGAUUGCAAGAAUCGAACGGUCACCUUUAGAGAGCCGGAGUAGGAGGAAGUUGUGUUUAGAGGAUGUCAGAGCUCGCUAUUUGCGAUAAUGAUUAACUCCUCUCGAGCUAGGUAGUUGAUCAGCAGGGGUUGCAUAGCCUAUUUGGCUAGUGUGGUACUGAGGGGUGAGGAUGACACCCCUAGGAUUGAGGACAUCCCGGUAGUGCGGGAGUUUUGUGAUGUGUUUCCAGCGGAGCUUCCAGGUAUGCCACCUGAUAGUAAGAUUGAGUUUGUGGUAGAUCUCAUCCCUAGGACUACUUCAAUCUCAAAGGCGCCCUAUAGGAUGGCACCAGCAGAGUUGAAGGAGCUAAGGGCACAGUUGCAAGAUUUGUUGGAUAAGAGCUUCGUUCGGCCGAGUAUUUCACCUUGGGGAGCACCGGUUUUAUUUCUUAAGAAGAAGGACGGAUCAUUUCACUUGUGCGUGGACUAUCGUGAACUUAAUAAAGUCACGAUUAAUAAUAAGUAUCUGUUGCCGAGGAUUGAUGAUCUUUUUGAUCAGCUUCAAGGAUCGAGUGUGUAUUCCAAGAUAGACUUGCAGUCAGGAUACUAUCAGCUGAAGAUUAAACCCGAGAAUGUUUCUGUUUCUAAGACGGCUUUCAGAACACGGUAUGGACAUUAUGAGUUUACAGUUAUACCGUUUGGGCUUACUAAUGCCCCAGCAGUUUUUAUGGAUCUAAUGAACCAUGUUUUUAAGCCUUAUCUAGACAAGUUCUCGUAGUGUUCAUCGACGAUAUUUUGGUCUAUUUUCGAAGUGAUAUGGAUCACGAGGAACAUUUGAGGCUUGUACUUCAAGUACUUCGGGAAAAGAACCUCUAUGCCAAGUUGAAAAAGUGUAAGUUUUGGCUUUGAGAGGUGGCUUUUCUUGGACAUUUGAUUUCGGAAUCAGGUACAGCCGUGGAUCCUAGGAAGACUGAAGCUAUCAAGGAUUGGCCUAGACCGACAAGUGUCACAGAGAUUCGGAGCUUCCUUGGAUUGGCCGGCUACUACCGGAGAUUCGUUGAUGAAUUUGCAAAGUUAUCUACUUCCCUCACGCGGCUCAUGCAUAAGGACACCAAGUUUAUUUGGAAUGAUGCGUGUGAUAGAAGCUUCCAAGAGUUGAAGCAUAGAUUGACGACCGCCCCGAUCCUAACCUUGCCAAUUGCUAGAGCAGAGUAUGUGGUUUAUAGUGAUGCUUCCUUUAAUGAAUUAGGCUGUGUUUUGAUGCAGGACAGGAAGGUGAUCGCGUAUGCUUCUCGCCAAUUGAAGGAAUACUAAAAAAAUUAUCCUACACACGAUUUGGAGUUGGCGGCCGUAGUCUUUGCAUUGAAGUUAUGGCGCCAUUAUCUUUAUGGCGAGCGGUGUGAAGUAUAUACGGAUCAUAAGAGUUUAAAGUACUUAUUCACUCAGAAGGAGUUGAACUUGAGGCAGCGCAGAUGGUUGGAGCUACUCAAGGAUUAUAAUUUGACUAUUCUCUACCACCCGGGCAAGGCUAACGUGGUGGUGGAUGCGCUAAGUUGGAAAUCGACAAAUAACUUAACGAUGCUAGUGGUCACUCAACCACCGCUGAUUGAGCAGAUGAAUCGGUUAGAGUUGGAGGUGGUGGCUCCUGAUACACCCUUGAGACUGAUGACAUUGGUGGUGCAACCUAUACUUUUCGAUAGAAUUAAAGAAUGGCAAGUUCACGAUGUGGAGUUGCAAAAGGUUUGAACUAAGAUGAUUGAUGGUUACACCGGUGAUUUCUGAGUGGAUGAUCUAAGGAUAUUGCAUUUCCGUGGGCAGAUUUGUGUACCGAUGGAAGCGGCAAUUAAAAAGGACAUUCUUCAAGAAGCUCACCGUGCACCCUAUGCUAUACAUCCAAGAGGCAGCAAGAUGUAUAAGGAUUUGAAACUACUUUAUUGGUGGCCUGGGAUGAAAAAGGACGUUGGCGAGUUUGUUGCUAGAUGUUUAACUUGCCAACAAGUGAAGGCUGAGCAUCAGUUACCUGUAGAAAAAUUGCAGAGUUUACCGAUUACCGUUUGGAAGUAGGAAAAGAUCACCAUGGACUUUAUGAUAGUAUUGCCCCGCUCUCAGGCCGGGCAUGAUGCUAUACAGGUAUAUUUAGACGAGAUAGUGUGACUUCACGGGGUACCUACUUCGAUAGUUUUAGCUCGAGAUCCCCGGUUUGUAUCUCACUUUUGGAGGAGUCUACAGGAUGCCUUGGACACGCGCUUGGAUUUCAGUACAGCUUUCAACCCUCAGAGUGAUUGGCAGUCAGAGCGCACUAUUCAGACUCUUGAGGAUAUGCUUCGAGCUUGCGUGAUAGACUUCCAGGGAGAAUGGUCAUAGCAUUUACCGAUGGCAGAGUUUGCUUAUAACAAUAGUUAUCGAGCAAGCAUCAAGAUGGCACCCUUCGAGGCACUUUAUAGACGAAAGUUAGAUCGCCACUUCAUCGAAGUGAAGUCGGCGAGAGAUUGGCUUUAGGCCCUGAUGUGCUCGAGGAAACAGAGGACAAGAUUCGCAUUGCUCGGGAGCGAUUGUUGACAACCCAGAAUAGGCAAAAGAGUUAUGUUGAUAAGCGUCAACGAGACUUGGAGUUUCUAGUCGGAGACCAUGUCUUUUUGAAAGUCUCGCCGGCCGAAGGAAUGAGAAAAUUCGGCAUCCGAGGUAAGUUGAGCCCCCGAUUCAUUGGACCAUAUGAGAUUUUGGAGCGUGUAAGCCCGGUGGCGUAUCGACUUGCUCUACCGCCAAACCUAUCGGGCGUGCACAAUGUUUUCCGUGUAUCGGUUCUCCGAAAGUAUAUCCACGACCCGGCUCAUGUUUUGGAGGUUAUACCAGUAGAGCUGAGAGAGGAUUUGAGCUUUGAAGAGCAACCUGUGAGAAUUUUGGCUCGUAAGGUGAAAAAAUUUCGGAAUCGAAAUAUUCCGUAUGUGAAGGUGCUUUGGAGCAACCACGAUGAACGCGAGGUCACAUGGCAAUUGGAGAGCGCACUGCAGGAGCGCUAUUUCCAUCUUUUUCAGAUGGAGUCUUGAGGUACUUUGCUUUUGAGUUUCGCGGACGAAACUUCUUUUGAGGAGGGGUGAAGGUAAUACACUGGACCUAUACAAAUUGCGAGGUUCGAGUGUUUGAUUUGUGUUCCGAGCUUUUCCACAUUUUCUGGAGGGUCGUUGACAGCGUUCCGACCUAUGGCUCGCAUCCCGAGAAUCGAGGUUUAGAACUUGGCACUAAGGUCUCCGAAGUGAAAAACUUAGGCUGCUCUAGGGUUGGACUCUGUAGAGCAGAGUACCGGUACAUCAUUGAGCUUGUACCGGAAUGGGAGGUGGUUCCGGUACAACAUCUGGUUUGUACCGGUAUCCAGCGCCAUUUUCUGUCAACCUGAGGCUUGGAUUUGUGCGUACUGUGGCCUUGUACCGGUACAACUUUUCGUAUACCGGUACGCAGUGUAGACUGCAGUCUGCUUAUUUUUUAGGGGUGUUUUUGAUAUUAUAGCCUUAUUACAUAUUCCCCCCACGCCCCAUGGAGGUCCCCUGAGCUGAGACCAGUGGAGAAGAAGGUAAGGGAGCUCUCCCCUUCCCCUCUUUCAUUUUCUUUCAUUUUAGUUAGGAUUUUUGUAGAUUGAACCCUACUUUUUGCUUCUUGGUGCUAUUUCCACCAUGGGAGAAGCUUUGGCUUGGUGUUUGGAGCUUGUUUGAGAGAAGGUUUUCAAUCCUAGCUGGUUCCUAGGGUGGUUUGAAGAUUCUAAAAAAAUUAGUAACAUGUUUCUUUCAUUAGAUUCAUAUUUUGAUGGAUUUCUUGAAAUGAAACCCUAAAAUGUGAGAUUUAGGAUUUAUUUUGGAAAUUUUUGAUUAGAGGCUUUUGGAUCCCAAUUGAAUGGUUUAGAACCCUUAUUUAGGUUGGAUUUGCAAGGAUCUUACUAUCAUUUGGAGAUUAAGAGAGAAUUUCACCAUCCAAGGUGAGUUUUGCCCCUUUUGCUUGGGUUGGUUAAUGUUUGAUCUUAGGGUUAUUCGUUCGUAGUGUUUAACUCUCUUAGUUUAACCUUUAGGGUGCUAGGAGGCUUGUGGACAUCAUCUUUUGCGCGAACGAAGGGCUACAAGGAGUUUUGGUGGGUUUGACCUCAUCGAAAAUAGAAAACUCCACCUAUGUCGAUUUUUAAUUGCCGUAAAAUAGAAAUGCAUGCAUAUUCACGCUAGAUAGAGCAUACGAGAUGUUUGGAAUGCUUAAAAUACAUGUAUUAUGUAUGAUGAAAAAUUGCCUCUAUGUAGUAGAGAGAGAUAUGUGCAUUGUAGCCUUGCAUAUGGUUAGCAUUCUAUUUAAUGGUUUGGAAUCAUGUUUCUUGCAAAAAAAUGAUUUAUAUAAUAUGCUCUUGAACUUAGAACUCAUAUUGGACAUAGUGGAUAAGAAUGUCAUAAAGUGGCAUUGAUCUUGAUGAAUGUAUUGACAUAGUAAGUUACAAUGUCAUAAAGGGGCAUUGGACUUAGUAAAUGGUUAAACCUUUAUCUUGAGACAUUGAACUGGACCUUUGGGGUUACUAGUGUUUAUUACCAUGAUUGAGACAUGAUGACCGAGUAUCUGAGAUAACUAUCACACUUGCUUGCCAUUUGUGCUCAUUCACACAUACUUGUGAGGGUCGCUCCCUACAAGCCGACACUCCGGAGUUGGCCUAUGCGACAUACGCUCGUCGUGCGGGAUUGAGGACCUACUGGGUCACCGUGAGACAGUCACAUUCCUAGUGAAUGCUGGACUACCCGGGGCCAUUAGGCGGCACAAGCUGGACUACACUCGUGUAGGUCCUAUUUUGGAAAUGAAAAUUUGACAAAGAACAACUAAAUGAUAAUCACUACUAGACUAGUACAUAGUAGUUGGAUUCCUUUGGCAUGCUUGUAGCAUAGUAUUGGACAUUUAGUUGACAUUCUUUGACAUAUAGUGUACUUGUGACAUGUUUGAACACACUAGUUCAUGCAUUGAAUGUACUUGCUCAUGAUAGCUAGAAGCAUCAAUUUUAUCAUCAUGCUUACUUGCGACAUAGUAGUGAUAGUAAAUUAUAUUGUUAAUUAUACUCGUUGAUUUCCUUCUUUAAUGCUUAUUUACUCUAUUUAUGCUUUUGGGGCCUAGUGGUGCUUCCUCGCUGAGGUCAGUAAUUGCUCACUGGGAACUACUAAUUAUAGUUCUCACGCCCCCUAUUUGAUAUUUUCUUUCAGAGCCAUCCGAACCGAGAGAGGCUAGGGAUCGCGGCAAGGGAGUCGAGUCUAGCUAGAUCGCAGGGAUCUCUUCUAUUAGAUGGUUAUCUCUCUUUUUGUAUAGUUGGGGAGAGAGCGAGUUGUGCCCGUGUAUAGAGACCACAAUUUUUGUAUAUCUAGUACUUGUAUUUGAGACUUAUUGUUGUAUUACUCUAUAUUUUACCAUAGUGGUUAGUUCUCUUUUCAUCCUACUUGUUGUUAGAUUCUAGUUGUAUACUUGCUCUGAUAUCUUUAGAUACUUGUUACUUCGUGUUUAUUUAUCGCUAUCGUUGUAGACGCCUUAUAUGUGCAGGCAUAUGGCGGGUCUGGACAUGCAUCGGGCGGGCCUCUGUCGGGCCCUGGGGCGUGACAGGUUGGGCCACAUCUACAUCCAAACAUUCCUUUUUCUGAUGAUCCAGAUUCNUGUUGUUAGAUUCUAGUUGUAUACUUGCUCUGAUAUCUUUAGAUACUUGUUACUUCGUGUUUAUUUAUCGCUAUCGUUGUAGACGCCUUAUAUGUACAUGCAUCGGGCGGGCCUCUGUCGGGCCCUGGGGCGUGACAGGUUGGGCCACAUCUACAUCCAAACAUUCCUUUUUCUGAUGAUCCAGAUUCGCAUUGGAAGUGGAAGAGGUUGGGACAAGCACACGAUCUGCCUGAGACAAGACGGCCCCUUGACCUACCAACACGUUAGGUAGCUGGUCACGGGAGUCCACAGUCCCACUGACAUGGGCAGGCCUGCUCCCGUCAGCCUGGCUAUAAUGCUCCGGGAGCUAGCUACCCACUGGAUUUGAAUUUGAAAAAGACCCCCUGACCGGCCUCCAGGUCCGCCGGCGAAGCACGGAGAUCCUCAAGCGACUAGUCCAGUCAGAAGCCCUCCGCCGUCCGCCGAGGAGGGAUCCCUGCCGGGGUACUGUGGGGAAAGCCUGACCCCGGUAGGCGAGGACCGAGUUAAACCCAGUCUGCCGGAUGAACCCUUCUUGCGCUUCUAAAGAGGCGAGACUUAGGUGCUCAUCAAGUUCCUCCCCAAGUAGAAUGGGAUUUGCCUCCUCACAAGAUUCUAUCUCGAUGGGAACAGAAAAGCUUCUGUCUUCCACCGUGAGAUCUAUCGUCUCCGGGAUAACAUUAACAUUCUGGCAACGGACCAAGAGACGGAAGUAGGAUACGUUGGAGUGCUGCUCACUGUGGAUAUCAACAUCCCAAAGCUCACCAAAUUCGCAAACAGCAGCCUUUACAUCUUCUUUGUUCCAGCAGAGGAUGGGCCAAUUGUGCAAUCUGAUCCAUACUUUGUGUCGAAGAUAGCCUCUCUCUCUCUCCUCCAGCACCACCCAGUUAGAGAAAUGGAAAUUAAAAUCCUCGAACCUGAAGGGACUUCUUCUGAUGGCUGACUCCCUCACUGCCCAACUAGGGAAGACGACUGCUCGUGUCGAUGGAAGGAAAGAAGCCACCCUGAAAUCCGAGCUGGAUACCCCAAACCUGGCUGCCAGCCCCCGAGUAAGAAUAUCGUCAAUGUCUUCAGGGUGUGGGCUAGGGAUAUCAACCUGAGCGAUGCAGCCAGAAAGAGGUGGUUGCCCCGCAGUGGGAGGUCUAGUAGGGAGAAAUACUGCCGCGGUGGAAGGCCGAGAGCUUGAAGGACCCGGCUUUAUGGAUAGACGGCGGGAUGCUGCCAUCGAAGAACGACGAGAGUUGGCCAUGGUGCGAUGGUGUGAUGCUGCAGCAGAUGAGGGCCGCGUGAUAGAGGCACAUGGGUCUUUCGCUGGAGUAGGCCUGGAUGAUCCAAGAACAUGCUUAGGGUGACAAAGGGUUUGGCGCCAUUUACAGAGCGAAGCAGGGUGGCCUAUCCUCAUACAUAGGAGGCAGCGUUGUGGCUCCUUGCAGUGAGCGGCGAAGUGACCCCUCUCGAAGCACCGAUAACAGCAACCCAUAAGAGAUGGGUUAAGGAGGAAUUUAGGAGGAAGACGCGGUAAGAAAUGGUUUGCGGCAAAAGCAUGGGGUCUAAGGGCGGCUCGAAAAGGAGUAGUCGCAGAAUGGGACAAAAUGGCAUUUUUGUAGGAAAAGUUGGGCCUAACACGUGCCCGACACAUGGACCUAGGUGGAGGAGCUAGGACAGGGGGUGGUGGGGUAAGAUGUUUGCGGGAGUCGAGACAAAAGGGGUGGUCAAGAAGCUUGCGGUAAGACGAAAGGAGCGGGGGGGAAGGGUUGGACGAGAAGCCAUAAUGUAUUUGUAUAUGUAUAUGUGUAAAUGUAUGUGUAUAUGUAUAUAUAUAAGUGUAUGUCUAUGUGUAUGUAUAUGUGUAAAAUUUUAUAAAAUAAUCCAAAUUAUGUAAAUUUUUAUAAAAAUUCUACUUAACAUCAAUAAUAAAAUCUGUAAUGUAUCAAACGUUUGGCUAAAUUGACAAAAUACUAAUCAAAAUUAUACUAGACAUAAUUAAAAUAGGUUUAGGAAAGGCUUUGACUAGUUUGGAACGAGUUGGAAUCAAUUCAAAUUGAAAAGAGUUUUUAUUAAAGUUGAAUUUUGAGUUUCAGAUUUUUUGGAUGUCCGGAACAAGGUUUCAGGCAUCCAAAACCAUUUCAAAAGGUCCAACUGAGUGCCUGGACCAAGCGAACACUUUACCUGAGUGCUUGGGUUGCGAGAGAAUAACAUUCAGGCGUCCUAAUGGUCUCCCCAGCGUCUAAAACAUAUUCUGGAUGUCACAAUGGGCAUCCAAACUCCUACUGGACACUCAGCGAGCUCGGGUUCGUGGAGAAAUAAAGAAUUGGGCGUCUGAAUGUGGUGGGCAGUGUCCAAAACAUCUUCUGGUGAUUUUCGCGGGCACCCAAACUCCUUCUGGACGCUUAACUUGAGAGCAGGAAUUGUGGAGCUUGUUAAAUAAAUAGGCACCUGGUUGCAUUAUGGUUGCCCGAAACAAGAAUUAGGUGGACUAAGCGGGCGCAUGGAUCAUCUUCCGGACACUGCAAUUCAAAUAUGGAGGGUUAAUUUUGUAAUUUGAAUGAGUUUCAUGAUUAACCUGCAGUCAGUAAUGUAAGAUAGUCAAUCCUCUUCCUAGCAAUAUUUCGGGAGUUAUCUUGUACUAUUAGUAGUGCUGAAUUACGUACCAAUCAGGUUACUUGCGGGAUGAACCAAAUACAACAAUUUGAAAAAAUUACUAUAAAAUAUAUAUAAGUCUAGCUACUAUACCCUUAUGAGUAUAGACUCUAUUGUACUCAUAAGUUUCGGUCGUUAAAUAUACUCCUUUAAUAAUUUCCACCUGUUGGAUCAUACUAUUCAUGCCAGCUAACUACUCAAUCUUAGAAAAUCACUAUUAUUCUAAUCAGGGAUUACUAUAUAUUAUCACAACCGCAUAUUCUUAAUUUCUUCCCACAAUCAAAAAUUUGUAAGUACAAAAAAUGUUAUAUUUAUUAAAAUAUAAUUAUUUUAAUUCUAAAAUAUUAUAUAAUUCUAACCGAACAACAACGCAAACCAAAAGCCCCCUCAAAACUUUUAAACAGAAACUGUAUGGCAACACUGCCCUUAACAAGUAUUAAAGCAGGCGCUACUUAAUAAUUAAAGUAAGGACAGCAGGUGCACUGUGAAGGGCAAAAAUUUUCUGGGCAUCGUCCCCAAAUUAUUAGUUUGGGGAUGAUGCCGAUGGGUGCCGCGUGGCCCAUCUGACGGUUGCCCUCCCUCUUCCUAUGUUGCUUUUGAAAGAUUUAUCCGACACAAAAAAAAAUCGCAGUGAAAAUUAAAAUUGUAUUUUCGAAAAACAAAAAUCCAUAUUACAUAUGAAUAAAAAAAAAAAACAAAUCAAUCCAAUGCUGGCGAAUUAUUCUCAUGUUACAAUGUAAAAUAAUAAUCUAACCUAAACAGAUUUGAAGUUCAGGCUACAUCACCUCGGACCAGCUAAGGUCUAUUGAUCUACUGUACGAUUGAAACUGAAAUUCCGAUUAGCCGCGCACGUGCGUGGCCUCUACGCGUAUCCAUAUGGAAUUGAUACAAAUCCAAUGCCUUCCGUCGCACGGAACAGAUGAGUCGCAGAUUACAAAGACGGUGCUAGCAGUCUUCUGAUAUCUACGUUCCCUUUAGGGCCCGUUUGGUUCGAGUUAUGUAAUAUUACAAAGCACCUGCAUGCUUACUUUAUCUACGUUCGCUAACAAGCACCUGCAUGCUUACUUUAUUGUCCCUACACUAAUGACUUGAGAUUCGUCACCUCAAUAUAGAAGUGUAGCAUACACCGGCCUAUCCGGAAAUAUCAUUGUCCGUAUAUUAUUCCUAUGGCUAGUAGCGUUUAAGAAUCUUAUACAAAGAAAUAUAUAUCUCAAAUUCUUAACUCUUAGAAAUAUAUUUUUUUAACGAAGAUUCAAUGGACGAUUCAUAUAAAUAUAUUGUAUGUACUGCUAACAAUAAAUAUGAAUAAAAUUUAUCCUUUAUUAAAUAAAAAAAAUACUUAAUAUAUUCACAAGUCUAUGUCACCGAUUGACUUUAGGGUAUAUCACUAACAGCUUUUUCUCUUUUUCUCUAAAAACACGGGGCAUUAAUUUUUUUUUUCUUUUCAUUCAUGGGUGCCGUCGGAUGGCCCACGUGGCACGCAUCCGCAUUGUUGUCCCACUGUUGACGAGAGCGCAACUUACGAAAUUUACUGAAGCAAGGACGGCGGGGCAAACGGCUGAGACGUCGCAAUCCUGGACUUACUUUGGGGUCCACAAAUAAUUUCGGCAGCAGAUGCUGACGGAAGGCAUCACACGUCAUCAGAGUCCAUAGCUGCGGCUGCUGUGCUUCUUCCUUCUAUAUUCUAUAUUUUAUAUCAUUUCAUUAUUUUCCAUUUCUUUGACCCUGGACUGUUUUGUUUUUUUUAUUUAAUGCUCGAAAACAACUAGAUAGCGACAGUUGACUCAGCGCCUCACCUCGUCCGCAACACACAAACCAAACAUAAAUCAAGGACUCUGUGGACCCCCAUAUAUAGAUGCUCUCCUCUUACGGAUUAUAACUGGUAAAUUGGGACGUGCUUUGGACUCUACUAGUGCUAUUAGUUUAGCUAUUUUUAGACUGAUUCUAUUACGAGUACGUAUCCCUGGUAUAAAAUUAAUGUUAUUAUAUUAGUAUUAGUAUUAGUAUCAUGCUUGAUAAUAUGAUAAUAAAUUAAACAUCAUAUCUGUGGCAUAUCACCAUAUUGUCAAUUAGUAAAUGAGCCAUACGACUUGAUUUCAAUAAUUUUAAACAUUUGAGCUAGAAAAAAAUUCGAACCAAAGUGUUCACUUCCUAGUACGAGGACGAAGAGUAAAACUUAGCCAGUAAAAAUAGAUGGUUGUGUUGGAGAAAAAAUCCAAAAUUUUCUAAUUAUUAUUAUUUACUAUUCUAAUUAAUAAGUUGGAACGUACGGAUUAAAGGAGUGGGCCUCUAACGUUCCCAUCUCAAGUCCUCAUAUAUAAUGCCUCUUGCACUGUUCAUAUGACAUGAACAUUGGAGAGAGAGAAGAAAAAAGAGAAAGAAGUAUUUUUAUUCUCUAUUUUAUUCAAUUUCUUAAUCCUUUUAGUCAUCGGGUGUUGAAAGAGUUUCCGUCAACCUCUUUCACGAUCGUGCUCGCAGGAGGAGGAAUUUCGGUCGUAUCUUGGGGUAUUGUUCCCGGUUAAUCCCGCACGUAAGGACGAGAAUACGCCUUAGGGCAGUGCCUCGCACGCUUCCGGAUCAAAUUUUCUAUUUGGAUUUAGCAAUUAUCUGUAAGUUGUAUUUAUUUAUUUUUAUAAUAAAAUUUAGUUAGAUUUAAAUCACAAUCAGAUUUUCGUUGCGGUAUUUGUUCCAACAGGUUUCCUUUUCUCUAAUGUUUUAUAUCACCCCUUUGGCAAUUUUUUAUACACAAAAAUCUUAUAUGUAAUAGCAAUUUUGUAUAAAAUCAAGAUUAUAUGGCUAAAAUAUAGAAAACUCUAUUAUAAAGCCUUAUUUAUUCACUUCUUCUCUCUGAUUUUUAAAAAUCUUUAUUUUGCCUUCUUAAAAUUUUAAAUUUUUGCUCUUAGCUCAGCCGUCAAUAUCCCAUCACUAUUUCGUUAAUAUUUUAUAUUAGGGAUAAUUGCCUAUACACCCCUCAUGCGUUCGGAAAUAUCCGAUCUACCCCUACUUUUUUUUUCUUUCUAAAAUGCCCCUCAUAUGUUCCACCGUUAUUCCAAAAUACCCUCGCAGUUAUCCCCUGUUAGCUUAACUCGGGUUAAACAUGAGUUAAAUGUAUACUAGAGUUAAAACCUAUAUAAAAUACCUAUUUUACCCCUAACUUAUUAUGCCAAUUCCUUAAGUUAUCCUCUUUCUCUCCCAAAGUCCCAACUUGAUCGCCGGCUCCUCCGCCUCCAUGUCGCCGGCUCCCGCUGCCGGCGGGGCGGAAGCGGCGGCGCCUCCUGAGCACGGAGAGUGGGUUCUUCGCCCUCGCCAAGACCUUCGCCGCAGGCAUCAUCCUCGCCACGGGCUUCGUCCACAUGCUCCACGACGUCGAGGCCGCGCUCACUGGCCCCUGCCUCCUCCGCUUCCCCCGGCGCUGCUUUCCCUUCUCCGACUUCGUCGCCAUGGCCGCCGCCCUCACCACCCUCGUCCUCUACUUCCUCGCCACCCAGUUCUACGAGCGCAAGCACCGCGCCGCCGCCGCCGCCGAGACCGACGCCACGGCAGAGGACGACGAGGGGCGCUCCAUCACCACGGCGGCGCUGGAGCCACCCGUGGACGAGGACGAGGACGAGGGCUCCGCCAAGGGCGGCGACGCGGUGCACAUCGUCAGGAUGCGCGCGCACGCGGCGGCGCACGGCCACAGCCACCACCACCACGGCCACGCCCACGGCCACGCGCACGAGGAUGGGGACGAGGGCCAGGUCUCCUUGCACGUGCGCCACAUCGUCGCCCCCCAGGUGCCAAUCUAAAGUCUAAACCACCCCUAUUAGCUGUACAUAUCAUCCUGUCACUAAUGACAAUUAUUAAAUAAUUAGCGCUUAAUUAUUUAAUAACUAUGUUCCUGUAAAUCAACUGUCGUGUUUUCUGAUGAUAAUAAUAAUAAUAAUAACUAAUAGAUUUAUUCAUAUAGUAUUUUAUUUUUAUAUAGAAAUAUUAUUAUAUAAUAUUUUAUUUAUAAAUUUGUAAUUAUUUAUUAAUAUUUUUAAAUAUAUAACUCUUAUAUAUUAUUAAUAUAAGUUUAUUAUAAUUUUAAAUAUAUUUAAUCUAUUAUUAAAUAUUAUAAUAAUAAUAUAUAUAGUAUAAUACCGAAUUUUUAAAAAUUAUAUAUAAAAAUUAUAUUUGAUCCCGAAUUUUUAAUUGGUGAACGUAUAAUACCCGUAUAAAUCACGUAUCCGAAUAACUGCCGAAUCCGUUUUUUAGCCGUAUUUUUCAAUGAAUUUAAAAAUUAAAAGACGAAUUUUAUCCGAAUUAUAUCCGUACCGAAUUUUUGCCGAAUCCGAAUUAACUAACUAUGCCUCCAGCUACCAAGGUUGGUUUAACUGCGAUCGAUCUCGACGUGCUUAAUUAAUUAAUUUAUAUUUGAAGGGCAAAUAAGAAAAAUAUUUGCUAUAUAAAGGGUAUAUAAGAAAAGUUAGUUACGGUAGAAGGGUAUAUUGGAAUGGGCAAAAUGGUAAUUUUACCGAGAUAACGGUAGCUCCCUAACGGAGCUUAACUCCAGGGGUAUAUUAGAAAGACUUGGAAUAUAAGAAGGGUAUUUUCAAUAUUAGCCUUCUAAGAGGGGUAUAUAAGAAAACCGGAAACUUUUCAGGGGUAUAUAGGCAAUUGCCCCUUUAUAUUAUGUAAUCUAAAAUAUCCAAGAUGCCCUUGAAGUCUCCUCUGCCUCCGCCUUGACGGUACCGCGCCCUCCGCAGCUGGUGAAGAAGGUGAUGACGUGUAAGGACUGAGACUUUUGCAGUGUAGCUAAACUCUCAGUUGACGAUGCUUUUAUGUGUAAUUUAAUUACAAAAGCACUCGUCAAGUUUCGGGCGAAAAUGAGUUAAAACGGAGAUUCUACGCGAUUUCCAAGUUUCACUUAAAGUGAAUAGUAACUCGAUUUUCCGGAGAAGCCACGGUAUGAAGUUGGCUUCAGGCUCGUAUCGGACUCCGUUCCUAGCGGUCCAAUAGCUCGUUUCGAUCGGUUCAGCUGUUCUGGAACCAAUGGCGCUGACGGAUUUUGAGUUUGACGCACGAAUUUCGAGAAAAUCCAAAAAUACAUGUUUUAUAUGUAUUUAUGUGUGUGUUUCCUUCUAUUGGAAGAAGGUUGGAUUUUGUCGUGAAUCCGUGGUCGAUCGAGAUGAAACGAAAUCGCAGCUUUGUUGUCUCCGUCGUACUGAUCGCACUGGUGCGAACCGUUCGCGAAUCUGACGGACGGAUCUGCGGAGAUCGCGCGUUGAUCGAGGAGAGGUCGGUAGUGGCAAAACGGUAUUUUCGCGAAAGUCGCGAUAUUUUAUGUAUCGUUUCGCGAGGGAUCGCACGUGGAGGGGCGUUCAUGCGUUUUAGUCGUACUGUGAGGGUCUCGGAUUGAAAUUCUGAUGUUUGAGGGGCUUUCUUGCGAGUUGUACCUUGUUUAUAUAGUGGUUCCUAGGGUUUUGAUCCCCUAACCCUAACCCUAGCCAGCCCCCAGCUACCCUAGUCGCCCCAGCCACCUUCACCCUUCCCCCUGCCCUUGCUGCACCAGCCCCGGCCGCCGCCGGCUGAGCCCCGGCCGCCGCCGAGCCACCACUUCUCUUCCUUCCCUCUCUUUCUCUCUCCCUCUCUCCUCUCGGGUUGUGUGAAGGCCCGGGGCUGCGUCUCCUGCAGACCCUCCCCCUGGACUUCACCGUGCUCCGGCAAAUCAUCCCCGCCGACCGCCGCCGUCGCCUGCGCCGCCGCAGCCGCUCCAGCCGCCUGCAGCAGCCCAGGCCGAGCCUGGCCGAGCCGGGUUGCCGCAGCCACCAGCGCGCCGCCGCCGCCUGGAAACUCUCCCGCCGACGUCCACGGAGCCCCGGCACCCCUUCCCGCCGGUCGCCGCCGCCCCAGCGCGCCGCCGCCGCCGCCUCGGCCGGCUGCAGCCGCCCAACCCGAGCCCGAGCCGAAGCUGUGUGCGGCCCCUUUCCUCGCGCCGCCGCCGCCCUGAGCCACCUGUGCCGCCCUCCCCCGACCUCCUGCAGCCCGCCUCCGCCGUCCCGGAGCUCCCCGGCCGCCGCCGUGGCCGCAGCAACUCCUGGAACCCGAGCCCGAUCUCGUGCGGGCUCGGUUUGCUCCGCCGCCGCCGCCGCCGCUUCCAGCCGCCAACUGAGGUGAGCACGGUGUUCCUCACCUCCCCCUCACCCGACUCAGGGCCCCGCGCGCGCCGCCGUGCCGCCGGAGGCCGGCCGGAGCAAGGUUGCUCCGGCCAAGCCCGAAAUAGGGCUUAUUUGAGUGGGUUUCUUGUUCUGGGCUUCCCGAGCUUCCCCGAUCUCUACGGAAGGGAGCACGAUGAUCCUGGCAAGUUGCUGAUCAUCGUGCUCACCUUGGUUUCUGUCGGGAAGGCCCCGUUCCGCUGUUUUGGCGAUGUCGCUCCGUUUCAGCCUUUUUGGCUGCUGUUUCGGGUUUGUGCUUGUUUUUCCGGCGAUCCGAGGCUGUUCCGAUGCCUCCGGAGGUGAGCACGGUGACCGCUGGUCAGUGCUGAUCACAAUGCUCACCUUCCCUUGGAUCAGAAGUGUCCGGUUAGUUCUGUUCGGCGCGAUCUUCCCUGACUGCGCGCUAUUCGCUGAACCUUCGGGUUGCUCCCGCGCUUCCCACAGCGAGCCGCUGUGCUCCGGAUCGUGAGCACGGACUCCGGUACGUCGAGACCUGUCAGUACGUGUCUCUGCGGACUUCGAAAGUCCUCGGUUUGCGUGAACGAGCCGCUUGAUCGCUCAAAUUACAUAAAAUGAUGAGAUUUUAUGUAAUUAGAGGGUCUUUUAUGCAUUUGUGCUUUGCGUGGCUACUGUGGGCAGUGUGUGGGAGUUUGUAAUGACCGCUGGACUGAUUGUCCAUGGUCCGUUAGCUUUCGCGGAAAUCGGUAGGUCGAUUUCGGUGCGUUUUUCGGCGAAAUUCGCCGAAAGAACGCGGUUUCGGUUCGGAUCCUUUCCGACGGUGUUUGGUUGCUUCGUGUUUUGUCGCUGAGCCUUGUUGGCUGGUCACCAUCGUCAUUUUGUGGGUUCGAUGAUGAUAGGUGAGCGACGGAGGGUUCCGGUGUCGAAAUAGACACUUCCGGGAACCCGGAUUCGUACGAUUAUCCGGCGAUGAUCGUAUUGCUGUGUGACCUUGCGUUCGCUGCCAAGGCAUCCAAAUUGGAAUGUUUUGGGGCAGCGGGUGACUCGUGGUAUGAGUCGGUGAGUUCGGGACACUUAGUGGGUCCCGACGGCGUCCCGGUGUGGUUUUCGGGACUUCCGGCGAGUUACGGUAAUCGGUAUUGGGAAACCGAUCUUUGUGGAAUCGUUUGUGGGGUUGUGGAUACUGUGAUUAUUAGUUGUGGGUUAGAUACUAACCCGGUGGACCCUCUAUAGGUCCUGUCGACAUUCUUUUGCAGUCAGGAGACAGACGCGACAUCCUUACAGGUGGGUACUUCGAUCCGACGUCGGUACAGUGGUGCACGCUUGGUGAUGGUUUCUUACCCUUACUCUUCUGUUGUUACUAUCGCAUAGUAUAUUGAGCCUUGCACCCUUGUUUAUUCGUUAUACUCUACUCGUUGUUUGCAUGCUUAGUAUCCUGAGUAGGAGUAGAGUAGUUCUAUCUACAUGCGUAUCUGUUGACCUAGUUGGUUGGUUGUUGCAUUCCGUAUCUGUUGACCUGGUUGGUCGGUUCUCGUACUUCGUUUCGGUGACCUGAUUGGUCGGUUCUCGUACAUCGUUCGAUGACCCUUGAGGUCGGUAUACCCUAAGGGGUGGGAUUGUCGGUUAGCACCGACGGAUGAUUAUAGUUUACACAGUUCCACCGACGGAUGAUGACCUAUGAGGUCGGUGUACCCUGAGGGGUUGGAUUGUCGGCUAGUGGCCGACGGUAAUUCGGGAUUCUAUUGAUAUACUCUGGUGACCUAUUCGUCAGUUCGUCGUGCAUAUGUGUUAGUUGACUUUAGUAGUCAGUACUUGUAUACCUUGGUAGGAUGUUGAGUUGUUCCCUCUUAGUUGACCUGAGUAGUCGUUUCUUGUGCUUCUAUAUAGUUUGAUGACCUAUUGGUCGGUUUGCCCCGAGGGGCGGUGCUUGUCGGCUAGUUACCGACAUUUUGCUAUUGAUCAUAUCCGCAUUGAUCACCACAGCUCGAGUGCAUUUCACGUACACCAGCGGGUUGAUCCCCCGCAGGAGGGUGUUCUUUUCCGAAAAAGUGGUCAUACAUCCGACCCGUGAGCCCAGCGGUGUUCUCUUUGUGCUAGGGUUACAUGCCAAGUGCGAGCAGGUAGUGGCUUUUGCCUGAGGUCCUUAGACCGACACGGCGGUUUAGAUUGGGUACUUUUGGACUACUUGUCCGGUUGACGCAUAUAACUAUAGUAGCAGUGGUCACUUGUAUAUCUUCAGUUCUUUCGUUACAUUGUCUUGCUACUAUAGUCUUGUUACAUGUAUACAUUCAGUUGUUCAUUACAGUAUCGAUAGUUGUACUUUCUUUCAUAUAUAUGUCACUUUCAUUCAUUAUUAUUGCUACUGUAUUUUCUACUGACCCGUACUGUUGUUUAGCUCUUACUGAUCCGGUAAGUACUCCUCGCCUUCAUCGGCUUGCGGUACCCACUGGGAGGGGAGACAUGUUUACAUGUUCUCACCUCCCCCACCAUUUUUCAGGUAUUGCAGGCGAUGAGUUUUGGGACGAGACGUGAGGUACGUUCGUAGCGGUCGAUAGAGCUUCCAACCCAAGUUAUCGAUUUAGUUUUUAUCCUUACUAUUCUAUUGUUAUAGCCUAGUUAGUUUAUAUGGUUCAGUUAGAUGAUCAUACUUGAUGUUUGAACGUUGUGAGCUGGUUGAAUUUGUGGAUUUGUGGAAUUGUGGAUUUGGUUUAUGGAUCUUCAGUUUUGGGAUGUUUGUAUACUUUGUGGUUCUCGGAUUUGUAUUUAUGGAUUUACGCAUCGUGGUUUUCUACCCCUCGAGGUAGUCGGUUUUCAAAAUAGAGUUUCCGUGUGGGAAACAGUUUUCAAAAGGUUUUCAAAUGGUUUUUCAUGAUGAAUGAAUUAGAGUUCAAAAAUAAAAGCUUCUGUGUGGGGAGCACUUUUAAAUAGGAUGGUUAUUGUAUUGUGCAUUGCAUCAUCCAGCGCCUAAGGAGUGCUUAGAGGCAUGCAUCAUUCUAAGGAUUGUUAGCUGUAUGGAAAUACAUAUCAUGCUUUGCUUGUUGAUUGGUAAAUGUAGGUUGUGGUUGAGAUCCUGUUGUAUCCGUUGGUACGCCGUGCAAAUACAAAGGAGACUCUGCCCGAGUGGACAGAGGAACUUUGUAUUUGUGGCGGGUCUGUACGUCACGUGGGCCAGGUUGAAAAAAAAAAAAAAAUGGCACGCUUUCCGCAACUCUGAGUUUUAAAAAUGGUAAUGGCUUUUAAAAUCAGCCCCGGGGCGUGACAUGACGACACAGGCAAUGUAUUCUUGUCACGCCCCGAACUCGGUCCUAUUUGGCCGGUUCGAGCACGUCGAACAGACGCCGAAUGGACAGCACCUCUCUUGUCCGCCCAAGGCUCAACACAAGUAUAUUUCAAGUAGAGAAAUUUGCACAUGCGGAAACAUAUAUAAUUGGUUUGCACGAGGGCAAACAAUAGCCAAAGUGAAAGUACUAACUAAACAUGUAUACAAGUAAUAUGAUUAACUUUUAACCACAUACAUGCAUUCAACUUAUACAUUUACAUUCUUUUCUUUAACAUUAUUUUUUCUCUUUAUUCAUCACAUGAUAUCCCAAAAUAUAACUCUUUGCAUUUAAAUAUAAACUCUUUUACAUCAUUUAUUUAAACAUCUAUAAUCAUCAAAGUACAAAAGAUGAUAUAUAAAGGUAUGCAACUACAAAAUAUAAAACCCAACUCGAGUGGUCUCUGUCUGUGGCACGAUACCCUUACCGCGAUCGUCGGCUGGCUCGCUCGGUCCCAGCUCUGUGAAAAAAGGGGGGUGAGAACUACAACAAAAUUCCCAGUGGGUUCGGCUGCCGACCUCGCCGACUUUCCCACUAGAUCUAAAUCAGGCAUAAUAGAAAGAUAGAUAAAUAGUAACCAACUAACAAAUGCAGCUAAUAUGCCUGAACAAUAUAAUCAACGAUUAUGCUCAAUAGAAUGCUCAUGAUGAAUGCAAGGUCACUUUCCAAUUCCCAAUCUCGUGGCUAACCCGUAGGUUUCGCCCUCAAUAGACUCACCAACUCAUAAUCCCAAAUAUCGGAGAUACUACUACGACCCGAUGGAACCGUCCACUGGGGAGACUACUACGACCCGAUGGGACCGUCCACUGGGGAGACUACUACGACCCAGUGAUGACAACUCCGGAGCUCAUCGCUCGAGGGGGAGCUACCACCCUCCAAGUAAGGACUUAUAGGCGAGUAUGAUUCAAUCCUUAACUAUAAGGAUUCCAAGUUCAAUCCAUUCCUUAACUAUAAGGAAGCAGUGCUCAUAUGACCCUUAACUAUAAGGUUGCUAUGUCAUUAUGUCAUUGUAAUGACUGAGAUUUUUGAUUUAUUGAUUAAACCCUUUUGUUUGACGAUGUUCUUGUGUGUAAUAUAAUUAUAAGUGUACUCGUCAAAUUUUAGGAGAAAACGAGCUAAAACGGAGAAGUUACGUGACCCGGAAGUCUGACUUAAGUGAAUAGUAACUCCGAUUUUUCGGAGAGGCCGUAGAGUAGAGUAGACUUUCGACGCGUAUCGAACUCCGAAUAUAGCCUUCCAAUAGCUCGAUUUCAACCGCUCGACUAUCCCGGACCCAGUGGCACUGACAGAUUUGGAUUUGGAUGCACGAAUUUCGAGAAAAAGGGGUUUAAUGGUUUUUGCAUAUAUUUGUCUAUAUGUAGUUUUUGGUGGAACCUGGGAGGGAAGGUUUUGUCGCAAAUCGGGAAUCUUUUCGGGCAAAACAAGAUGCUAGAUUCGAUGCCUCUGUCGUGCUGAUCGCGCUGGUGCAAUCCGAUCGAAAAUCCGACGGACGGAUCUUCGGGAAUCGCGAAAAGUCCGCGAAGGGGCUGAUUUGAAUAAUCGGAUUAUUCGCGAAAAGGCCCCAUAUUUUAUGCGUCGAAUUGCGAGUUUUCGAACUUAGAGGGACUAUCACGCUUUGUGCGACUGCUGGUUGAGAGCUGGGAUUAAUUCGACUCCUUUCGAGGGGGUUUUCCGCAAGUUUUCCAUACCUAUAUAUAGGUGGAUCUAGGGUUUUUUUUUGGAUCUAACCCUAACCGUAGAACCCCCAGCCGCACCUGUCAUCCCAGCAACUCCCUGCCCCGCCAGUGCUCGCGUUCCGGCCGCCGUCGAGCAGCCCCGGCCGCCGGAAACAGCCUGCAGCCAACUUUCCCUCCUCUCUUGGACCACCUCACCACCGGCUUAAGUUUGGUGCUUGGAGAGCCUUGUUAGCCCGAGCACCACCUUCCCCUGGUCGAGACCUUCCUCAGGCGUCCUCUCCCGCCGGCCCCGGCCAACCCCGAACGUUGCCGGAGCCGCCGGAAGAGGCUGCAGCCAGCCGGGUCUGCCCAGACCCGAGCCAGGCCGAGCUCAGGUUGCGGGCCUUGGGACCGCACUUCCCCUGCGGCCAAAGCCCCCUGUCGACCCCGGCGAUCUCCUGCAACCCGGCGCGUGCGUCCCCGGCCGUCCCCGCGCCUCGCCGGCCGCCGCCAAGGCCUCCAGCCGCCGCUCGGGUCCUGUGCGGGCGGACCUUGGAGCCGCGCCACUCCCGAGCGCCGCUGUUGCCCCCUGAGGUGGGCACCACCUCCUCCUCGGUCUCCGGCACCGGAUUAUCGCCGCCCCGACCUCCCCCGGUCGCCGCCUUGCCGCCGGCAAGCUCCAACCCGAGAGGAAGUCGGCGGGCCCGAUCUCCGUCGCCGCGCCACCGGCUGCUGCCCGCCGCCGGCCAGCACCUCCCCCGGACCUCCCCGACCUGCUGCUCCCAUCACCGGCCGGAGUGCCCGCCGUCCGAUCGCCGGCGGCCAUCCCUAGCUCCCACAGCUCCGGUGAGUAAUUUACUUUGGUUCCAGCACUGCUGUUUUGCGUUCCGGUCACUUUUCCGGUGAUCCGAUGACUCCCUGGCACCUCGGGAGGUGAGCACGGUGAUCGUGGGCUCGUGCUGAACACGAUGCUCACCUCCAUUUAGGUUAACGGUGCCCUGGUUAGUGAGAAAAGGAUGUUUUCCACAGUAUGCGCACGGAUUCGCUGAGGGUCGCGUCGCUCGUGCGCGCGUGGUUGCUGCCGGCAGUGCUUCGAAAGGUGAGCACGGCCUCAGGCAUGCUGAAACCUUGCAGCAAGUGCGAUGGUAACCUCCACAGAUCCCUGGUUUGCUGGUACGACCCGUUAAAGCCAUGAAAUCACAUAAAAUAAUGUGAUUUCAUGGGCCAUUAGGGAUCCGUUUGCGUUUCGCUUCGUCGUGGCUGCUGUUGGCAGCAGGUUAAGGCUUAAGAUAACCUCUGGACUGAUCGUCCAAGGCCCCAAGUCUUUGCGGAAAUCUAUCGGUCAUUUUCGGAGCGUUUUUCGGCGAAAUCCGCCGAUAGAACGCGCGUUUGACUCGGAAUUCAUCCGACGGUGCCUCGUGGUUGACUGUAGCGUCGCUGAGCCUUGUUGGCUGGUCACCCGUGUCGUCUCGAGGGUUCAGAAACGACGGGUGAGCGACGGUGGAGUUCCGGUACGGUUUUCGGGACUUCCGGCUGGUUCGGAAGUUGCGUUUGAGAAACCGAUUUCAAAGGGGUUAUGAUUUUGGGAUUUGUGUGAGAAUGGUCGUGUUAUUGUGUUCGUGGGUUAGACACUAACCUGGUGAACCCUUCGUAGGUCCGGUCGCUUCGUCUCCGCCUUAGCGAGACCGUUUCAGCUUUAUACAGGUGGGUACUUCGAUCCGAAGUCGGUACAGCGGUGCACGCUCGGUGAUGUCUUCCUUUAUCCUAUCUUUUACAUCGUCUAUUCAUAUUGUUUACUCGUUACAUAUUGAGCCUUGCACCAUACUGUCUUUAUUUAUUCUGCCCGGUUGUCCUAUGCGUAGUACUCUAUGUAGGGGUAGAGUAGAUGGCUUUAGUAUAUAUUAUACGUGACCUGAUUGGUCGGUUCUUCUGUUGCAUCGGUGACCUGUUUGGUCGUUCGUUACUUUUCGUACAUUGACCUAUCUCGAUCGGUUCACGUUGUACUUGAUGACCUAUACGGUCGGUUUGCCCAGAGGGGCAGUGAUUGUCGGCUGGUUGCCGACGGUUGGCUAUUGAGCAUAUCAGCAUCGAUCGUCACCACUCGUUCGCAUUUCACGAACACCAGCGGUCUGAUCCACCGCAGGGGGUGUUCUUUUCCGGAAAAGUGGUUGGGUUUGCCCACCCGUGAGCUCAGAGGUUACGACUGGGUAUAUGCAGGUUGAGUGAUUGUGGCAUUAGCCUGAGGUCUCCGGACCAACAAGGCAGGUUCAGAUUGGGUAUCGUUGGACUAUCCACCAGUUGAUGCAUACAUACAGUAGCAGUAGUUCAUUACUUGUACUUCAGUUCCUUACUCGUACUUUCUGUUCUUAUAUCUUAGUAGCUACUGUAGUUGUUUACCCUUACUGUUGUUUAGCCUCCUUUGCUGGUGCGUACCCUCGCCCUCGUCGGCUUGCGGUACCCACUGGGAGGGGAGACAUGUUUACAUGUUCUCACCCCCCCGCCCCCAUUACAGGUGACGUCGCAGGUCCGAGUGGGACGGCAGGUGAGGAGCGAGUCUAGCGCGCGUUAGAGCUCCGUCCCGUUUGGUUAUCUCCUUUCCCCUUGCUUGAAUAAAUAGUAAACUUUUAUUACGGUUCAGUUUCAUUCCGUACUUGAGAAAUUGGUUUUUUCGCUGGCUUUACGUAUGGUGAUAAAAAGAGAUUUAUGGACUUUUCAAAGUAAAAUGGCUUUCUACCCCUCGUGGUAGCGCUUGUUUUUUUUAAAGAAAAGGAUUUUCAUAUUCGAUACAGUUUUCAAUGAUUUUUCUACCCCUCGUGGUAGUAUUUUAAAAGAUAAAGGUUUCCGUGUGGGAAACAGUUUUAAAAGGAGCUUUUAAUGGAUUUCCGAGACUUAGUAUUUCAAAACUUGUUUUCGGGAAGGAAACGUUUCAAAUGAUAGAUUUGGAUUUAUGUUAAAAACUAUGAAUACCGUCGUGUUGUGAAUGGUGAAUGUAUGGACGUCUGUAUGUGCGGAUGAGGUUGUAUGUUCAUAUGGUUGUGGUUGUAUUCUGGAUGUACUCUGGUUGUAUAUUUGUACUUGUGCGACGCCGUGCAAAUACAGGGGAGACUCUGUCCGUGUGAACAGUGGAUUCCCUGUAUUUGUGGCGGAUCUGACAUACCCUGGGGUCAGGUGUUUCCAAAAAAAAAAAAAAAAAUUUCUGUCGUUUCCGCUGUUUUUCCAAACAAAAAGGGACCCCGGGGCGUGACAGAUUAAAAUGGUAUCAGAGACAAGUUACAACCACAACCCCAUUCACAGACUGUUUUUGAAAAUAAAAAUAAACUGAACCAUUGGUUAGGUUGACCCUAGGAAGACCCACGAUGUAUAGGCACGUGAGUGCGGGGUUUUGGGAUUAUGCCCCGAUUCGAGUCGGUCGAGUCGGUUAUUCGGCUAACGGUGCUUUUGUGUUACAGAUGGCUCGUGGUAGACCUCCUCUUCGUGGUCGUGGCGGUGGACGCGCCGCAGAGGGCUCUAUCAAUAGCCCUGGAGAGCAGGCCCCGAGAGACAGAGGCAGGGGCAGGGGCAGAGGGGAGCAGAUUGGCCCAGAUCAGCAGGGCGAUACUCGUGCCCAGCAGCUCGAGGCUGAGGUAGCAGCGAUGAGGGGUCAGAUGACAGCCCUCACUGGGGCGGUUCAGCAGCUCCAGCAGCUUUUACAGCAGCACGCUGCAGCUGCUGUUCCCCCGGUACCACCCCCGACGCCGCCGGUUCCUGAGACAGCUGCCCCUCAGGUGGCGCCUGCACAGACGGCCCCUCCGGCCGUCCCGAGGACGACGACGACCACCACGACGGUUCCAGCUGGGGAUACUGAUACCACAGCAGCAGAGGGCGCCCGUAUGCGUGCGAAGCUGAUCGAGUUCAGGAAGUUCGACCCGCCGAAAUACGCGGGGAAGAAGGAAGAGAAUGGAGUUCUCGAGCGCUGGCUGACCGACAUGGAGAAACUACUUGAGGACUUAUUCAUCGAUGAGCAGGACCGCGUCCCCUUGGCCGCCCACUUUCUGGACGGGGACGCAAGCUCUUGGUGGCGCCGACAUCUAUCGCUCAAGCUGGGCAAUGUUUUCCCGCCCUGGGGGGAGUUCCGGAGACUCCUCCACGAGCAAUUCUUUCGGGACAACUCAAAAUUGGAGCUGGAGCGCGAGCUAGAGCGUCUUCAGCAGGGGAACCGUACCGUAGCUGAGUACGAGCAGGACUUCUCUCGCAUUGUGGAGCUGAUCCCCUUCGUCAUCCGAGACGAGCGCCACAAGACGAGAGUCUUCGCGAGAGGCUUGAGACCCAACAUCAGGAUGCUGCUGGCUUCUCAUGGCACGAUGACAUUUGACGAGUGCUUGGACCGAGCCCUCGUCAUCCAGAGCGAGUCUACCGAGGUCCGAGCUGCAAAGGAGGCCUCGGAGUGAUCGGGGAAUAGAAAGCGUUCCCAUUCUAAGACUGGUGGCGGCUCCUCUUCCAACAGUAACCGGCCGCCAAAGCAUCCGCGCACUCAGCAGACAGCAAAGAGUGCGCCCUCCGGUAACCAGCAGAGGGGCGAUCGACCUUGUGUGAUCUGCGGUGAGGCACAUCGGGUGGUCCAAUGUUCGCAGAGGAGGGACCACUGUUUCCGUUGUGGCCAGCCGGGCCACCUGCGAGCUCAGUGUCCUAGAGGUGGCGGGACUUCUCAGAGUGCUGUCUCCUCCCCGGCUGCACCCCGACAGAGCCGCGGAGCCCCGAGUGCAGCUGCUUCGUCCGGGCGUCCCCCCUUACCUCGGCAAACUGAGGGGACGCGCCAGGCAUCUGGUGGGAGAGUCUUCGCCCUGACUCAGCACGAGGGCACUGGUGGCGACGUCCUUGCAGGUAUUGUCACCCUCAACCUUACUCGUGCUAGAGCCAUUUUCGAUACUGGAGCAUCGCACUCUUUUAUUUCGCAUUCAUUUGCAUGUGAGCAUGGUCUUUCCUCGCAACCACUCGAUGUAUCACUUCGGAUCGAGACACCUGGAGGUGAUCUUACUGCUGUCAGCUGUAUCUCGUCGUACCCCGUCUUCUUGGAUGAUCGGUCUUUUCUAGCUGAUCUGGUGGUUAUCCCGAUGAAGAAAUUCAACCUGGUGCUUGGGAUGGACUGGUUCACCAGGCACCACGCUACUAUCGACUGCGAGCGGAGGAUGGUGAUUCUUACCGAGCCUGGUGGUGAAGUAUUCGUCUACCGAGCAUGUAAGAGCUCUUAUUUCGCUGCGACUAUCUCUUCUGCGAGGGCAAAAAGGUUGUUGAAUGCCGGGUGUGUGGCUUAUCUGGCUUCGGUAGACGUAUCUCGCCGAGCUGCACCAUCUUUGGAGGAGAUUCCUGUAGUUCGGGAAUUCCCAGACGUUUUUCCAGCCGAGCUUCCAGGGAUACCUCCGAACCGGGAGAUCGAAUUCUUCAUCGAGCUUGUCCUGGGCACUGCACCGAUCUCGAAGGCCCCCUAUCGUAUGGCCUUCGCUGAGCUGAAGGAGCUGAAGGCGCAGCUUGAGGAUCUGCUUGACAAAGGGUUCAUCAGACCUAGUGUGUCUCCCUGGGGUGUCCCUGUCCUCUUCGUCAAGAAGAAGGACGGUAGUCUUCGUCUGUGCAUCGACUACCGGGAGCUCAACAAGGUCACGGUGAAGAACAGGUAUCCCCUGCCCAGGAUUGACGAUCUUUUCGACCAGCUGCAAGGAUCGUCGGUGUACUCCAAGAUUGAUCUGCAGUCCGGGUACCAUCAGCUUAAGAUCCGGGCUGAGGAUGUGCCGAAGACCACCUUCCGGACUCGUUACGGCCACUACGAGUUCACGGUGAUGCCUUUCGGGCUCACCAAUGCUCCGGCAGCCUUCAUGGACAUGAUGAACGGGGUCUUUCGGGCUUAUCUGGAUCAGUUUGUCGUGAUUUUCAUAGAUGACAUCCUGAUCUACUAGCGGAGUGAUGAGGAGCACGAGGAUCAUCUCCGACGAGUAUUGCAGAUACUUCGGGAGCACAGAUUGUAUGCUAAGCUCAAGAAGUGCGAUUUCUGGCUCCGUGAGGUGGCAUUCUUGGGGCAUAUUAUAACUCCGGCAGGCAUUUCGGUGGACCCGAAGAAGAUAGCCUCGGUGGUUGAGUGGCCUGAACCAACUUCGGUGACCGAAGUCCGGAGUUUUCUGGGUUUGGCAGGGUAUUAUCGGCGAUUCGUCGAGGGCUUCUCCAAAAUCGCCACACCGCUUCACAAGCUCACGAGGAAAGGAGAGCGGUUCCGGUGGACUCCGCAGUGUCAGCAGAGUUUCGAUGAGCUGAAGGAUCGAUUGACUCGCGCACCAGUUCUUACCCUACCGCGGCCUGGUGAGGACUUUGUGGUUUACUGUGAUGCCUCCCGGGUCGGCUUGGGGUGCGUACUUAUGCAGCGGGAUCGAGUCAUCGCUUACGCCUCUCGACAGCUGAAGCCCUAUGAGCAGAAUUAUCCGACUCAUGACCUGGAGCUUGCAGCGGUCGUUUUUGCCCUUGAGCUGUGGAGGCAUUAUCUGUAUGGAGCUCACUGCGAGGUGUUCACUGAUCAUCAGAGCCUGAAGUACCUCUUCACCCAGAAAGAGUUGAACCUCAGGCAGAGGCGUUGGCUCGAGCUCUUGAAGGACUACGACAUCACGAUCCAGUAUCAUCCGGGAAAGGCGAACGCGGUGGCGGACGCCUUGAGCCGGAAACAGCCUUCAGCUGAGAUGUCCUUCAUGAUCACGAGCCAGGAUCGACUUGUGGAGGAGUUCCGCCGUCUUGAGAUCGAGGUUGUCCCCACCGGAGCUACGGCUCAAUUGAUGACUCUGGUGGUACAACCGACUUUGGCAGAGCGGAUUUUGUUCGGUCAGCACAGCGACCCGUAUUUGCUUAAAGUACGGGCGGAGGUCGAGCAGGGCCAGGACGGGGAUUUCACUAUCCACUCCGAUGGAUCUCUGCGCUUUAGAGGCAGAUGGUGCGUGCCUAGUGAUUCGGAGCUGAGGAACGACAUCCUAUCCAGGCGCACCAAUCCCCUUACACAGUUCAUCCAGGCGGAACCAAGAUGUACCGCGACUUGAAGCAAAACUGUUGGUGGCCUGGGAUGAAGCUUGAUGUGGCCCAGUUCGUGGCUCGGUGCUUGAUUUGUCAGCAGGUGAAAGCCGAGCACCAGCGACCGGCAGGAAAGCUGCAACCACUUCCGAUUCCUGUGUGGAAGUGGGAGCAGAUCACUAUGGAUUUCGUCACCGGAUUACCUCGAUCACAGCGAGGUCAUGAUGCGAUCUGGGUUAUAGUGGAUCGGCUGACGAAAUCGGCCCACUUCUUGCCGAUUCAUACGACGUGGUCCCGUGAUCGACUGGCACAGUUAUAUAUCGAUGAGAUCGUCCGACUUCAUGGUGUGCCAGUGUCGAUUGUGUCUGAUCGGGACACUCGCUUCGUUUCCCACUUCUAGAGGAGCUUGCAGCAGGCUUUGGGUACGAAGCUGAACUUCAGUACGGCUUUCCAUCCUCAGAGUGACGGUCAGUCAGAGCGAGUCAUCCAGACUCUUGAGGACAUGCUUCGCGCAUGCGUCCUGGAUUACGGUGAUGGAUGGUUUCGGUAUUUACCGUUGGUGGAGUUCGCCUAUAAUAACAGUUUUCAGGCGAGCAUCGGGAUCGCACCGUACGAGGCGUUGUAUGGGCGUCGAUGUCGUUCUCCUAUCUGUUGGGACGAUGUCGGAGAACGCCGGUUGGUAGGGCCAGACUUAGUAGAGGACGCAGAGGCAAAGAUCCGCAUUGCGAGAGAGCGGCUUCAAACUGCACAGAGUAGACAGCGGAGCUACGCGGACCAGCGGAGGCGUGACCUGGAGUUUCAGGUCGGUGAGCAUGUGCUGCUCAAGGUGUCGCCUUCCAGGGGAAUCAAACGGUUCGGUAUGCGGAACAAGCUUAGUCCGCGAUUCGUGGGACCGUUUGAGAUCCUAGAGCGCGUUGGUCCGGUGGCUUACAGAUUGGCUCUUCCUCCGAGUCUCGCCCGAGUGCACAACGUUUUUCACGUGUCUAUGCUUCGGAAGUACAUUCCGGAUCCGUCCCACAUCAUCAGUCUGACAUCCAUUCAGUUACGGGAGGAUCUGAGCUAUGAUGAGGCUCCGUUGCAGAUCUUGGCACGCGAGGUGAAGCAGUUGCGGAAUAGGAGCAUUCCGUAUGUCAAGGUCCAAUGGGAGAAUCACGAGGAGCGCGAGGCUACUUGGGAGCUCGAAUCGUCUAUGCGGGAGCGUUAUCCGCAGUUGUUUGCGGGGGAGUCUUGAUUUAAGUUUCGAGGACUAAACUUCUUGUAAGGAGGGGAUAAUGUAAUAACUGAGAUUUUGAUUGAGUGAUUAAACCCUUUUGUUUGACGAUGUUUUUGUGUGUAACAUAAUUAUAAGUGUACUCGUCAAAUUUCAGGCUGCCGCCCUGCGCCGCUCGCCCUUUUUCCGUUUUUUCCCUUCGUGCCGUCGUCCCUCCGGUUUUCCCGGGGCCGCCCCGGCGUCGCGUGUGGCGUUCUGGUGCGUCUCGGCCUCCUCCUCCUCCGUCCUCGCUCGUUUCGCCGGUUCCCUGUGUCUGGCCCUCGCUGGGCUGCUGAUUUUGCGUUUGCCCGCCCGCUUUCGCGCCCACUCCCCCCGUCCCUGUUUUCUCUGGAGUCUUUGGCGUGUGUGUUUCCUUCUCUUGGCCGACGCGUUGGCUUUUGUCGUGCACUCGUGGUCGCUCGGUGACUCGCCGGGUCGCUUUGCUGUCUCCGCGGCUGCUGAUCGCCCGGUGGGACUCCCGUUCGCACACGACUCUGCCGGACGGCAUCUGCGGCACUCCGUCGUUGCUGCCGGCGCGGUCGGUGUUGCCCCACGGUCAUUUCGCCCCUCGCCCCCUCUUUUCUUCCCGUUUUGCGUGCGCUCGUCCUGGCGGGGUCUAUUUUGCGUUGUUCCUCACCUGCUUGUGCGGGCCAGUCUCCACUCCUGCCGUUGCGCGGCUUUUCCGCCUUUGCCUUCUACAUCCCCUGUUGUCUUUUCAGGUUCUGCUACUAGAAACCCUAACACUAGCCCCUGCACUUCAUCCUCUUCCACUGCCUGUUGCGUACGCCCAGGGCCACCGCCGACUGAGCCCCGGCCGGCCAGCCGCCGCCGGAGCCAUUUCUUCCUCCUCUCCUAUCUCUCUGGCCUGGCUCCCAGGUCUCUCCUAUCCUCUCUCGGGCGUUCGGAGCCAGAGCCGACGCUCGCCUUGCUCCCGGCCAUCGCUGGUGUCUGCCCUGUCCCGCUUGUACGAGCUCGCGACCCGCCGCGCUCCUCACGCCAGACCGGCCACCCGGCGGCCGGAGAGGCGAAAGGGCGCUCCUGCAGCCGCUUGGCCGACCCACAGCAGUUCCCUCCAGGCGCCGCCGCGCCGUGUACUUUCAGCAGCCUUCGCCCGGGAGCCGUGGCGACCCCUUCCGCCCGGCGCCACCGCCGAGCUCUGCGGUGCCGCGCGCCAGCACGCGUGCUUGGCAGCCGCGGGCGCCUGCCGUCACCUCCUUGCUGGCGAUCGUGUGCAAUCUAGCUCUUGGCGGCCACUUUAUUCUCUUUUCUGAGUUCUUUUUCUAGUGUGUUCCUUUGAGCCGCGGUCAUCCUGCCGCUCUUUCGUCUGUGUGUCUUUUCGCUUUUUCUUGUGUUUGUGUCACCUCUUUUUUUUCGUUUCUUUGUUUCUUUUCCUGUCCGCCUGCUGUCCGUCCGUUUGUUGUGGGUGUACCUUAUCUGCUCUGUCUGUUCCCUUGUUCUUUGAUCGUCCUCUGCCUUGCCCGCCGAUGGCCUUUUUUUUGCAUGGGUGUCUCUGGUAUUACCUCUGAUUGUCGUAACUUUUCUUUUGGUUUGGCUGUGCCUUUUGUGGUGGUUUCCUACUCGCUUUGCCUUUUUUUCUCUUUGCCUUGCGUUUUUUUUGUCCAGCCCUUGCUUGAACGUGAUUGGUGGAAUGCUAGUCGUGUGUUCUCCUGUCCCUUCUCCUUUCCUUUGCUGUACCGCAGUUUUUUUGUUUUCCGGUGGCCCCCGGCCGCGCCGGGCUCACCGGAGGCCGGCCCGAGCAAGCUUGCUCCGGCCAAGCCGAAAUAGGGCUGUUUGGGCUGUUCUGUCUGUCCUCGGCGAGCGAUCCGACGCUCGCCCCGACCUCCCUCACGGACGGAGCACGGUGCAUCCGUGGCAAGAUGCCUGAUCAUCGUCGCUCACCUUAGAUUCUGUUGGGGAGACUCGCCGGCUGUCUGCUCGUGAUCCGGCCCGGCUGUUCAGACCCCGGGAGCCUGUUGGCUGCUGUUCUUGGUUCUGCAGCACGGCUUUCAUGCCCGGCAAUCCGCCGCAGCCUCUCACUGAUGCCUCCGGACGGUGAGCACGGUGCAUCGCCUGGUCUGUGCUGAUGCACAUUGCUCACCUCACCUUUGGAUCAACAGUCGUGCCGGCUCAGCGCCCUGUUUGGCCGCGAUCCACUGGCUCCCCCGAACCGUCGACGCCGCCGCGCGCUGCUUCGCGAGAACUGUCCGGGUAGCUCCCCGCGCGCUCCCCACCAGUGCACUGUGUCCUCGCGACGUACCAUGAGCCACGGCAUCGCGGCCGGCACGUCGAGGACCCUGUCAGCUCAGGUUGCUCGCGGAACUUAGAGCCUCCUCAGUUUGUGACGAACGACGGCCUCAGUAGGGAUGCCCUGAUAUCUACAUAAAAUUAUGAUUGUAUGGUAAACAGUUAGGCGCCUUUUUGUGCAAUUGGUACGCCUUGUGCCACUGUGGGCCCCGCGUGUCAAGGGUGUGUUCUUUGGAACCAUCUGGCAACUGAUUGCCAUGAUCCUGCUAGCUUUCUUUGCGAAAAUCCGAACGACAGGUCGGAGAUUUCCGGUGCGUCUUUUCCGACGAAUAUCCUCGAAAAGAACGCGAUUCGCAUCGUUUCUCGAUUCUUUGACGGUGUUUUUCUCUGUGCUUCUGGUUGCCUGCAGCUUGUUGUGUCACCAUCAUUAAUUCUGUAGGUCUACGAUGAUGACCUGUGCAGCGACCGGCAGGGGUUCGCUGUGAAAUACGACACUUGGCGAACCCGAAUCGCUACAAUUAUCCGCGAUAAUCUAGUGUGAGGUGCUAUCUGUGUCUGCAUGCCAAAACAUCCACAAUUCCCCAAGUCGCUCUUUGGGGCAGCCGCGUUGACUCCGUCGGCACCGCGAGUCGGUGAGUUGGGCACACUCUAGUGCGCGCGACCGACGCCGCCCGUGAUCUAAGUUUUCGGGACUUCCCGGCGCACGCUACCGGUACAGCGGACUUCAUUACGGGAAACCUAUUCCUUCGUGGCAAUCGUCUUCUGGGGUUGUGGAUACCUGUGAUACUAUUUAGUUGUGGGUUUAGCAUCUGACCUCACACCCGGCUGGACACUGCUAUCAAGGUCCUGCCUCGACAUUCUUUUGCAGGUCAGGAGACAGUGGUCCAUCCCGAACAUGGGGUACUCGAGCGACCGCGCGCCUCGAUCCGACGUCGGGUCCGAUGUGCAGCUCGGUGAUAUUUCUCUCUAUCCUGUUCUUCUAUUGCUAUUCCUGUCGUUAUUCACUACGAUGAGGCUGUCAGAACCGCCUUGCAUCCGCGUUGUUCUUAUACAAUACUCUACUCAUCACCCUGUCUUCUAUGCCUAGAUCAUGGUAGGAGAGAGAGUAGCUUUAUGCCCUUAUCCAGGCUGCAUACCGGCUGACCUGCAUUGGUCGGCUCGUACUCGUUUCGGUACCUGAUUGUCGCCUUCUCCCGUACUUUGUCUCGGUCGACCGAUUGGUCGCUCUCUAGUACUUGCCCAUUUCGGUGACCUACGUUUAUCGGUGCUUUGAUCGUUGCAUAUCUGCUUGACCUGGUUGGCGGUCUGUUGCAUUAGUAUCGGUUGGUCUCCUUCUCUGACACUUCCGUCCGUUGACUGACCGUUUGAGGUCGCUGUAGUCCUGCAGGGGCUAGGAUGCUGUCCCGGACCCAUUAGCAGCCGACGGUAGAUCGUAAUUAAUGACUCGAAAUGCACUUGCUUGUAUCGAUUCUUGCAUAUUAUACAGUAGUGUAACGCUAUAGAUCAGUAUGCCUACAUGCUUUCUGGUAGCGCAAUGUUGAGUUGUUGCCAUCCCAGUGGUGAUCUUGUAUCAGUACUUGCAUACAUUGGAGAGGACUGCUAGAGGCCCUCGUGCGGCGCAGCCUAGUUGACCUGAGUGCGGUCGGCCUUGCUGUGCUGCUGAUCUUUAUCGAGUUUGAUGACCUAGAAUCGAUAGUUAGCACCAGAGCACAGCAUGGAAUACGCGUCGCCACCAACGACCCGCAGCAUGAGUUUCCGACAAUAUCCUGAUUGGGAUCCAAUACACCACACAAGCAUUCACUACCAGCAAGUUGAUCACCCCGCAGAAGGGUGUUUUGUCAUCUCGGCACAGUCAGAUAAAACACCCGGGACGCAGCAGCGUGCUUCUCUUUGUGCUAGGUUCGACUUAUACAGAGUAGCACAGAAUGCAUGAGCACUCUAUGACCCAACGGGGCUAUAGGAUUACAUUUGGACUCAUCCCAGCACCUAUUAGCAGGACUAUCAACAACAUACAAACAACAACACAAAUCACAACAUCAAUAGACAGAAUGAUAACAUCACAGUACGGAAAGUAGUCAUUUCAUAGAUAUAUACACCCAUACGACAACACGAGCGUGCUACUGAUAAUACCCAUAACGUAUCGUACCUCCAAUCAGCAUGAUACCCCCACUAAUAUACAUAUAUUCUGCAACACGGACCACACACAUGAGGAGAGGAGCGAGCAGAAACAAAUAUAAACAAUGUUCUCACCUCCCACACACAUAUUUUCAGGAUAUCGGCCGCACAACUGGGGGCAGACUGAGGUAAGUGAUGUAGGACGAGUAGAACAUCCGACACCAAGGAUUACCUUUGUCGUUACGUUGUACGUGGCACCCUUCUAACAAUUAUUGUCUGAACUAUAAUAAGUAGUUGACAUUAAUGUGGUUCAGGUAAUUAUCUUACAUUCGAAUGUGAUUUCUUUGGGAUUUGUAAAUAACACGGUUUUCUACCUCGUCGUGUAGCGUUUUUAAAGGAAAUAAAGGUUUUUCCUGUGUAAGGAAACAGCUUUUGCAAAAAGACUUUUGUUGGUUUUCUGCUCUCUAUACCGUUGAAUGAAAACUGCUGAUGUGAACUGGUGAAGUAUGGAAUGUAUAUAGGUUAUACUUUAUAUUCUAUGGCUGUGGUUGUAUCCUCGGCUGUACUGUGAAUAUUUGACGACCGCCCGUGCAAAACAGGGAGACUCUGUCCGUUGGAACAAGUCGGAUGUGCCCCUCGUAUUGUGGCGGAUCUGGCAAAUAACUCCUCGGGUCAGGAUUUCAAAAAAAAAAAAAAAAACACAUGUCCAGCCACGUUCUUCCGCUUUGUUUUUUAAACUGCAAAAAGACCCGGGGCGUGACAGUCAAUAGAUCAUCAAGCGAAAAAUUAUAAUGUCACGCCCCGGGGUCCCUUUUCGGUCUGGAAAGACAGCGGAAACGACUAAAUUUUUUUUUUUUAAAUACUGACCCCAGGGUAUGUCAGAUCCGCCACAAAUACAGGGAAUCCACUGUCUCACCACGACAGAGCUCCCUGUAUUGCACGGCGUCGCACAAGUACAGAUAGACAAUCAGAGCAACCAGAAUACAACCACAACCAUAUGAACAUCAAUCCCAACUACACAAGCAGACGUUCAUGCACAUUCACCAUCACUCAAACGCGACAGUAUUCCAAGUUUUUAAAACAUAAAUCCAGAACUAUCAUUUGAAUGGUUCCCACACAGAAACUUUUAUCUUUUAAACGCUACUCACGAGGGUAGAAAGACAUUUGAAAACUGUAUGAAGAAUAUGAAAACUCUUACUUUUAAAACGAGCGUACCCGACGAGUAAGAAACCAUCUUUCUUGAAAAGCUCAUAAAUCUCUUUUAUUACGAAAACCAGCACGAAAACUGAACAUUCAAUGUACCAAAUGAAACUGAACGUAAUUAAAAGUUUACCUAAUAUUUCAAGCAAGGAGAAAGAGAUAACCGAACGGGACGGAGCUCUAUCGCGCGCUAGACUCGCUCCUCACCUGCCGUCCCACUCGACCUGCGACGUCACCCUGUAACACGGGGCGGGUGAGAACAAUGUAAACAUGUCUCCCCUCCAGUGGGUACCCGCAAGCCGACGAGGGCGAGGGAACGCACACCAGCAAAGGAGGCUAAGCAACAGUAAAGGUAAACAACUACAGUAGCUACUAUGAUGUUAAGAAACAGAAAGUACAAGUAAGGAACUGAUGACAAGUAAUGAACUACUGCUACUGUAGUAUCCAUCAACUGGUGGAUAGUCCAAAGAUACCCAAUCUAACCUGCCUUGUUAGUCCGGAGACCUCAGGCUAAUGUCACAAUCACAUCACCUGCAUAUACCCAGUCGUAAACCUCUGAGCUCACGGGUGGGCAAACCCAACCCUUUUCCGGAAAAGAACACCCCCUGCGGUGGAUCAGACCGCUAGUUGGUCGUGAAAUGCGAACGAGUGGUGACGAUCGAUGCUGAUAUGCUCAAUAGCCAACCGUCGGCAACCAGCCACACGACCGUAUAGGUCAUCAAGUCAAAGUAACCGACGACCGAUAGGUCAAAGUAAGUAGUGAACGACCAAAUAGGUCACGAUGCAACAGGAGAACCGACCAAUCAGGUCACAAGUAUAGUAUAUACUAAUGGCAACUACUCUACCCCUACACAGAAUACUACGCAUAGGACAACCGGCAGAGUAAAUAAAGACAGUAUGGUGCAAGGCGUCAACAUGUAACAAGUAACAAUAUGAAUAGACGAUGUAAAAAGAUAGGGUAAAGGAAGACAUCACGAGCGUGCACACCGCUGUAGCGACUUCGGAUCGAAGUAACCCACCUGUAUAAAGCUGAAAUGGUCUCGCCUAAGGCGGAGACGAAGCGAACCGGACCUACGAAGGUCCACCGGGUUGAGUCUAACCCACGAAUACAAUAACACGACAAUCUCACACAAAUCCCAAAAUCAUAACCCCACGAAUCGGUUUCUCAAACGCAACUUCCGAAUCAGGCCGGAGUCCCGAAAACCGUACCGGAACUCCACCGUCGCUCACACCCGUCGUUUCUGAACCCUCGAGACGACACGGGGACCACCAACAGAGCUCAGCGACGCUAAGCGCGUCAAUCACGAGGCACCGUCGGAUGAAUUCCGAGUCGAACGCGCGUUCUAUCGCGGAUUUCGCCGAAAAACGCUCGAAAUGACCGAUAGAUUUCCGCAAAGGCUUGGGGCUUGGACGAUAGUCCAGAGGUUAUCUUAAGCUUUACCUGCUGCCAACAGCAGCCACGACGAAGCGAAACGCAAACGGAUCCUAAUGACCCAUGAAAUCACAUCAUUUUAUGUGAUUUCAGGCUCUAAACGGGCCGUACCAGCAAACCAGGGAUCUACGGAGGUUGCCAUCGCACUUGCUGCAAGUUUCGGCAUGCCUGAGGCCGUGCUCACCUUUCGAGCACUGCCGGCAGCAACCAUGCCGCGCACGACGAGCGACCUCAGCGAAUCAGUGCGCACAGCGCGAAGAUCGCACACUACUCAUUACCACAGGGCACCGUUAAUCUAAAUGGAGGUGAGCAUCGUGUUCGGCACGAGCCACGAUGACCGUGCUCACCUCCCGAGGCGCCAGGGAGUCCUCGGAUCACCGGACAAGUGACCGGAACGCAAACAACAGUGCGGAACAACAAAUGCUACUCACCGGAGCUGUGGGAGCUAGGGAGGCCGCCGGCGAUCGGACGGCGGGCACUCCGGCCGGUGUGGAGCAGCAGGUCGGGAGGUCCGGGGGAAGGGCCGGCGGCGGGGGCAGCAGCCGGUGGCGCGCGGCGGCAGAUCGGGCCCACCCUACUCCCUCUCGGGUUUGGGGCUUGGCGGCGAGGCGGCGACCGGGGACGGUCGGGCGGCACUGUUCCGGGCCGGAGACCAAGGGGGAGGUGGUGCUCACCUCAGAGGACAACGGCAGCCCUCUGAAUGGCGCGGCUCCAAGUCGCCCGCACAGACCCGAGCCGGCGGAAGACCUUGGCGGCCGCGGCGGGGCGCGGGAGGCCGGGAACGCACGCGCCGGGUUGCUGGAGGCUCGCCGGAGGUCGACGAGGGAGGCUUGGCCGCAGGGGAGGUGCGGUCCCAAGGCCCGCAACCCGAGCUCGGCCCGCUCGGUUCCGGGCAGACCCGCUGGUUACAGCUCUUCCGGCGCUUCCGCGACGCUCAGGGGUGGCCGGCGUCCGGGAAGGGCGCCUGAGGUGGAAGAGGCGGGGCUUGCCUCCCGAGGCAUGGAGACCCUCCACAAGCCCUGCGUGUCUAAAGAGGCCGAGGAGAGAGGAAGCCGGUCCGAGGCAAGUUUCCGCCGCGCCGCGGCAGCCUGGCGGCGGUCGCGAACGUGAGCCACGCGGGUAGGGCAAGGGGCUGCUGCGUGGCGAAGGGCGUGCUGGUCAGCUGGGGGGGGUUCAUGGUUAGGGUUAGCUCAAAAAACCCUAGUUAACCAUAGAACUAAAUAGCUGAGGAAGACUUCGGAAAACCCCCUCGAACAAGAGUCAAUUUAAUCACCCUCUCAGUCCAAGCCAGUCCGUACAAACGCGAAGUCCCCCCUGAGUCUCGUCACAGUACCCGCAAAAUCGGCGCAUUAAAAAUACGGUGCCUUGUCGCGAAUAAUCGAUUAUUCAAAUAUCACCCCCUUCGCCGGACAUUUCGCCGAUUCCCCGAGGAUCCGGUCCAUCGGAUUUCCGAUCGGAUCUGCACAGCCGCGAUCAGCACGCCAGAGGCACGAAUCUAGCAUCUCGUUAUCAUCCAAAAGAUUUCCGGAUUUGCGACAAAACCUUCCUUCCUAGGUCCACCAAAACAACAUAUAGGACAAUUAAUAUGCAAAAACCACUAUACCUUUUUCUCGAAAUCCUGCCUCCAAAUUCAAAUCUGUUAGUGCAAAGGGUUCCAGGAAUUAGUUCGACAGUCCUGAAAACGACUAUGGACAGGCUAUAUUCGGCAGUCCGAUACGCGUCGAAAAUCCACUUUACUCCGCGGCCUCUCCGGAAAACCGGAGUACUAUUCACUUAAGUCAGACUUCCGGGUCGUAACUUCUCCCGUUUUAACCUCCCGUUUUCCUCCCGAAGNNNNNNNNNNNNNNNNNNNNNNNNNNNNNNNNNNNNNNNNNNNNNNNNNNNNNNNNNNNNNNNNNNNNNNNNNNNNNNNNNNNNNNNNNNNNNNNNNNNNCCCCGAAAUUUGCAAACCGAGAGCAGCCUAAGUCCUCCACUUUGGCGACCUUAGUGCUACUUGAAAUACCACAAUUCUCGGGAUACGAGCCAUAGGUCUGAACACUGUCUACGACCCACCAGAAAAUCUGAAAAAACUCAUAACACCAGCCAUACACUCGAACCUCGCAGUUUGCAAAGGUCCAGUGCGUUACAAGAUAUUUCGUUGGUUCUUACGAAUUUGAUCGUAUGCGAUCGUCUCUUUUUCCGGAGAGAAAAUGGGGCGUAUAUAUAGGAUAACGGAACCCCCAAAUAUCCUGAAUCUCAUAUAGAUUAGGAUAAGGAUCAGGAUAUCUACUAACAUAUAAUAGAUAUCCAUUAAUAAAUACGUUUCUUAACUGAUAAGAAACAUAUGAUUCAUUCUUGUCCUAAACUUAUUAGGAAAAAUUCCAAUCCACAUCUUAAGUGGAUCGGGUUAAAUUAAAACCCGCCAAUGUGGACACACCACAUGGCUACAAUCUCCCACUUGGCCACAUUGGCCAAUUCUCUCUUAUUCAUUCAUCUCUUCAUACGGGUAAUGGAGCGUGCGACCUGACGAAAGAAACACAUGCAGGAGUGCUAUAUUAAGUCACCACCAAACUAACAUAGCACAUCACUAACUUACUUCGUCUAUGCCCUAGACGUUUCAACACACACCGGAUCAAGCAUCACAAAGUCCCUCUCCUGUAAUGACAGGGUUCGACCCCACCGUUAUUUCUCGUACUCAUGAUUAUCUCAAGUAACACAACCGAGAUAACCGCCCAGGCAAUGAGUCACAAGACUUACGUGGUGUGUUAUCGAAACAUCUUUCUCAGCCCCUCGCGUUAAUUCGUAUUGGUCCAAGCACUUUACUAGACAUGCUCCGCGAGAUCGUAUUUUCUCAUGACCCUGAGAUACAUGCUAAGUUAGUUACUUUGGACCUCCACUUCAUAACGUAGUUCUAAGUCGAGGGCACAAAAGGGUUAGUGCUCACACAGUGACAUGGAGGGAAGAACUUAUAUCACUCUACUAACUGGUCGACAAGCACAUACAAUAUGAUAUGUAUGCUAUGGCGGAGCUCCCACUCAAUGGGUCAUGUCACGCCAAACAAAAAAAAAAAAUGCCAUACGAACCUUGGUUCUAGUAACCAACGAAGGUAUUAAGCCUAUCAACAACCACAAGUCAUCUUCCUAACCUGAGCAUUCAUAGGUUCGGCACUAUACAGCCGAUAUGAAAUUUUAACAAUGUAUAAAUUUCAUAAUCCACUCAUUUAAGUCUGCAUCUUAAACUAAUAUAGACGCGAGCUUUAAAUUAUAACUCAAACACUUCAUUCAUAACAUAAUAUGAAACAAAGUAAAUCAUAUUACAUACUAACAUAAUUUAAUAUGAUUAUCUAGUCUCAAUCCUGCUCACACUUAUGGUUCCAGCGCGAUCACCCUGGUGGUGGGCCGAUCUAGCCUGUGACUUAACAAAUGUCCUACAAUAUCAAUUACCUAUUCUCAUUAAAAGCAGAAAACAUAUUUUCAAAUAUAAUAAAGCGUCAAGACUACAAAAUAAUAAUGUCCAUAUCAAAAACCUACUAAGACCCGCAAACUCCUAUCGUAGUCUGGAACAUAGUCAUCCUACUAUCUUCGGCUUGUCAACGGAUCAGCCAACAUCCAUAGUGUGAGAUAUUGUCUAAGAAAUGACCCUCGCCUAGCCUGAAUCAUUCUCUCGAAUGUAGUGAAAACGAUACUUCAAUAUGCUUGUCCUGCCUGAUCACUUGGAAUCUUUCACAUUACUCAGGGCCCAUGUCUGUCAAACGACAUCUCGACAAGAUUUUCAUGUUUCUCGAUCUCACGAUGUCGAAUGCUGGGAGAAAUCUUCCUCAGCCAACAUAGCAGCUUCCUUAACGGCAGCUAGAACAAGCAACAAUACUCCGCUUCCAUGUAUGAACAAGGCAACACCAGCUCUGCUUCUUACUGAACCAGGAAAUUGCACUACCUCCAAGCAUAAACACAUAGCCGAAGUGAACCCUGCGCUCGAUCUCUAUCACUCACCCAAUCAGCAUCACUGAUAUUCAUUUCAAUCUCAGGUCCCCACCUUGAAAACAAGAACGAAAUCGCUGGUUCCUUUAAAUAUCGACAGUUAAUUCUCCUUGGACCGCUUCCAAUGAAUAGGUUCCUCGGAUUUGCUUUGGUAACGACUUACCAACCUAACAGCAAAAGCAAAUGUUUAGUUGAGUACACAUCAUAGCGUACAUAAACUGCCAAUUUGCACUCCGCUAAUUGAAAUGAAACCCUACUCAUUUUGCUUCUUUCUUUUAUCCUUUUAGCGCAUGAUCAAAACUUUAGAGUGUGAUUCUUUCCCAUUGGAAGUGCCAUACAGGUUUUGCAAUGAUGCAUCCUAAAACGCUCAUAGAAAUCUUUUAAUAUAAGUUAUCUGAGAAAACCAAGAAGCUUUCUAGAGCGAAUCACGGAUACUUCACUCCAAGCACAGUAACUCGCCUCAUCCCAUGUCUUUCAUUUCAAAAUUGAGAGACAAACCCAGUCCUUAAAUGUAUUGAUUAACAUCCAUGUCAUUUCAGCGAACAGGUAUAUCUUCGACUGUUAUAAGAGAGAAACAAAAUCCCAUUCUCUGUCUUCCUUGACAUAUACACAGUGCCUCCUCUAUCAUGAACACUUUACCGAUAGAGUAAAUGGGCUUCAUAAAACCUGAAAAUAUCCACUGUCUCGGACGACUGCUUGAGACGUAAAUGGAUCUUUUAAAAGACACAAACUUUUGUCUUCUUGAACCUUUGAGUACAAAACCCUUAGUUGAUGGCAUAUAAAUUCUCCUCCCCACAAUUCUCCCAUUAGUAAAAGCUUCCUAUGACACUCAUUUGGAAUAAUUCCAUAAUCUAGGCGCCACUAAGGCUAGAAAUCAAACGAAUAGAGAAUAAAUCGCACAACGGGAGUCAUAACCUCGUUGUAAUCCACUCCUUCCUCUGAUUAGACCUUUAUAGGCCACGGCCGACCUUGUAUUAUCGAUUGAUCCACCGCCGCUUGCGCUUAAUUUUUAAACCCAUUUAUUUUACAAUAGACUUUCGCCCAGGCGCAAUGUCAACCAAUUCCCAGUACUUGUUCUUGCUCAAGAUCCAUCUCAUCUUUCAAUAGGCGCCACCAUCUCACUGCAAGCUACCGUCUGCAAUACAUUCUUUUAAAUGUAAUCAGUCAUACAUCAUCGAGCGCAGUGACAUAACAAUAAAUCCCUUCGAUCUCAAAAAUGGUCGACGGGAAUAUGUCCACGUUCACUUCUUCGUAAAGAGGUCAAAUACUAACCGAACCUUCCCAAGUAGCUCUCACUCAAAGAAGCACUCACACUAGCCCGGAUAGGAUCGCCUACCCCACUUCCUUCAGCGACUUUCGAGAGGUGAUCGAUCACCCCAACAUGCAGAUAGUGUAGCAUCGUCCUGUAACAUCAUACAAUCCGAAUGUCUCCUUUCGCAUUUCCACCAUGCUUGGAAAAUCCUUUCUAGGAAUUCUACAUCAAACGAACUGCAAUCUCGUCAUUACCCACCAUGCUGGGUGUAUCACCAUAUCAUCCACAUACCCUUGCGAAUUUUUAGAUAUCGAUGAACCCAUCUUGCUCGCCUAGGCCGAUUCCCCAGAAUGCUAAUGUGAAUAGGCUGUGAACAUAUCUAUUAACCCUAAAAGGGCGUAAUAGUGUAAACUUGGUUUUCUAAGCCGCCCCAAACUACAUCUGGUAGAUGCACUGAUUUGCUAGAAGACUCAUUAAAGAUAUUAGGCUUCGAGUACGAAAGAGCAUCUCCCCAAAAAUUAUGAAUUUCGCCUGCGCUAUCAUCGAAUGACCAUGUCUAAUAAGUACGGUUCCUUCGCUCUGCAACACGGUAUUUUGCGGAGUACAAAAUAAUGAGCUGUCUAUUAAUAUCCCUUUUGCUCAUAGAAGCCUUGACCUGAUCAGACAAUACUUCACGACCUCUGGUUCAGUGCGAAGCACCUUACACUUUCUUUCAUUUGCAUUCUCACCCACAACAACGAACGCUUGAAGCAAUCUAAAGCUUCAGAAUCGUGAGAAAGCAAAUACACAUAUCAUAAACAGAGAAUAAUCAUGCAAUGAAUGAUGAGAAAAAUCAACACUAUGCCGGGCCUCACAUUUCAUCUGCCCAUCAAAUCGUCUUAGUGGAUAGCUCUAAAGAAGAGCAACGAGUAGCUUAGCUGAAGGCUUUCUACAUUGCCUUCGCCAGCCAUCAAGGCUCCUACACAGUAUAGGCCAAGCUUUUGCAAGAAGACCCCAAAAGCCAUUCUUCGAGCCGGUCUAUUUAUUCUUCUUGACCUAUUAUGGCCUAAUUCUGGCAAUGCAUUUAACGCGAUUCAUCACAGAGAGUAGAAGAAGUAAGAACACAAAUCAAACUAAUCAUCCUCCAAAUCCUAAUAUUAUAAGAACACCAAUCCAACAACUAAUUACGGAUAUUGUAGCUAACAGCUGGACCUGUGCAAUAUUGCGAGAUUCGAUGUUGAUGUAGCUACAUCGACACUUUUUCACACUUGGUGGAAGGCCGUAGAUGUAUUCCGGCCUACAAUUCGAUCUUCUAAUUAUUUGGUUUGGCUUUGUUCUAGAGAGUUUCACUCUCCGGACCGUCCCUAAUUAUAGAACUGUCACUCAUUCAGCUCAGUAUUUCUGCUCAGCUGGCGACGGCAACGACGGUCCCUGGCAGGUGAGACCGAGUCCGUCAGCUGCUGGUUUUGCGGCGGGGAGAGACAUGGUCCCGUGCUGGGAGAGGAUAGACCGUCUCCCAAAUGUUGGAUUUUCGACGGCAUGGCUUUGAGAGACGCGGCCCUAAGUUGGGAGACGGUCCGCUCGGGCACGAAAACCUGCCUAAGUACGCGGCUGAUGUGAAUUUAGUUUUGAGGGGCUUAUUUCUAUAAUUGGUUGCACUAGAUUGGUCUCUAUGUCCCUUUCACUUCUCCUCUCCUCCCUCUUUCUAUGCUUUCACAGUCCCAUGUCUAGAGAGAGAAGAAGAGAGGGAGAAGGAAAGGAAGAGAAGGAGAAAGAAGAUCUGCUGUAAGGGCCUUGAGCAUCAACUUCUCCAUUUUUCUCCACAUUUGGGGUACUUGGAUGCCUGCUUUUGAACCUUGGGGACCAAUCUUCAACACCUAUGAAGACUUACUGUUUGGCAGCUUCCUAGAGGUAUGUGGCUAUUUUCUCCUCUAGACCUAGUUUUGGAGUUUUUUUGCUUGAUUGAAACCUCUAAUUGGAUGCUAGGUUAGAUUGGGGCUUUUUUGUUUGAGGCCUUAGAAACCUAGUUGAUGGGUUUGGAAAUCUUUUAUGCGUUGAUUUGAAGAACUCUAAUUCCAAUUUGAUUUGAGCAGGGUUCUCACCUAGGUAGUUUUCUAACUAUAGCCUAUGUUGUUUAUUGAUGACUUAGGGUGUAAUCGGAAUUUGUUUGACUCCUGUUCUACAUCUUUAGAGUGCUAGAGACUAGUCGACACUAUUCGUCGAACUUACAGAGAGUUUCGGUAAUCAUCGUGGGUUUGGCUCUAAUGAACAUGGGGCAAAAUGGCCCCUACGUUUCUAUAACUCGUCGUAAAGUAUUUUUGAAUGCAAAUCCUAGCUAAAUAUGAAUUGAUGUGAAUUUUAGAACACACUUGAAAUGAUGCCCUUAUAUCAGAAAUUUGCACUCAUAUAUGUAAUCUAUUUGUGUAACUGCAUUAGCAUUGUGAAGGUAGUUGACUUGCAAGUUGAGAACAUGUCUCCUAAUGUUUACAAUGAGUAGAUUAUGUUUAUUCAUCAAACUUAGAUACCAAUCUUGCUCAUUAAACAAAGUGUCCAUAAAGGGCACUUGAAGCCUUAACUAUGAAAAUACAACAAUAGAACAUAGUUGAUAUGCCAUCUGAACAUCGACUAUAUUUCUAUGUUAAGAUGACAUGAAUACAUAGUAUAGGCCUUUGUAAUUCUAUAGCAUUCCAUGUUCAUGUACAUGAGACUUGGUAGCUUAGACAUCGACUUAUACGUCAUGACUUUGCCAUAUUGUGACUCAAUUCGCACAUGGUAGAGAGGGUCUCCUACAACCGGCACUUUCCGAGUGCCAUCGCUGAUACGUUCGCCGUGCGGAUUGGGCGCGCGAAGUAAUCCGUGGAAAGCGCUCAUUCAGGGAUGGGGAUGUUACUACCACGGGGCCAUUAGGCAUGUAAAGCCAAUAGGCCUUCGGUGGUCGUUAUGCAGACAGCUUCGGGUGGGUCCAAUCAAAGUUGAAGACUGUAAACAAUUAAAUGACAAGUUGGACAUGAUUAGAAUAGUAAUACCAAUGACACCUUACUAAUUUACAAUAUGACCAUUGAUUACUGCAUACUUAUGCAUUUGCAUGUUGAAUACGCUUGUGCACAUACUUGUGUAAAUUGCCUCUUACCUAUGCAAACAUGCUAAAGUAGAGAUAUCAUGUUGAAUAGUAUUCAUAUUAUUUCAUUAGUUGUUCUUAUCGCUUUGCUUUACUCUUGUACACUGACGCACACUUUUGUUAUUUUGGGCGCUAGUGCGCAUUUCAACUAAUCAGUAAUUGCCCACUGUGGAACUAUUGUAUAAUAGUUCUCACACCACUUGUCUAUGUUUUCUUUUCAGAUGCUUCGGCAAUCGCGAGGCACGGGAGCCGCGCAAGAGUGUCCGCGUAGCUACUCGGGAGAGAUCCGUUUGCGAUAGUGCCUACUCCUUCUUUGUUUGUGUUGAGAGAGGGAGAGUUUUGGCACCAUGUAUAGAGAACCACCUUGUAUUCAGAUUUUACUUGCUUUGGACUCCUUUUGUAUUACCUUAUGUUCUACCUACAGAUUAUUAGUUUUAUGAUCUUCUUCUUGUUGUAACACUUCGUAGAUGUUUGCUCUAUACACUUAGAUGCUUUCUUUUAUUGCUUAUUAAUCGCUUUUAUUUUAGACGCCUGUAUGUUAUAGAACGUACGCGGUCUCGACACGCCGGGCGGCUAACGCUGGUUCCGGGCGUGACACAUAUCCAAAUAAAGUACAUGAAAGAAAAUAUCAAGGCGGUCUCUCUGUCAAAAUCAGAAAUGAAUAUCCUAGAUGCAAACAAAACUAAAACUAACAUAGAUUAUAUCGAAUUCCGAUGCAAUAUAGCACGUCCUGAAGAAGUAAUGUGCGCCACCACGCAACUUAGUUGUAUACCGAUUCCUAGAUUCUUGCUUCGUGCCAUUCCCAAGGAUGACAAAACUGUGUCCAGAACGGUACUUCAGUGAUAAUUUACGAACCCCACUCGGUCACGAACAUACGUGUUUGUUACAUCCUUUUUCGCUCAGGCCUGUUUGUUUCCCUGUAAAAUGGCCCCGAAAAAAUUUUCAACGGAAAAAUACAAUUCCGAGGUUGUUUGUCCGUAAAAAUUUUUUUGGAAAAUUCUUUUUACACGAUACCAAGAAAACUGAGAUUUUUUUUUCCGCUUUAAACGAGCGAAAAUGAAAACACAUUUUUCCGGGCUUGGAGGGCGGGUUCACAGGUGCGCGGUCCACGAGCGCACACCCACCUUCGUGGACCGGCGAAGAAGAGUCCACUGGGUGCGGUGGACCUCUCUCCCCCAUCUUCUUUUUUUAUAUAUAUUAUAUAUAUAUAUAUAUAUAAAUAUAUAUUUAUAUAUGUAUAUAUAUUUAAAAUAAUAUUUUAUUUAUAAAUAUAUUUAUUAUAUAAUAUUUUAUAUCUAUUAAUUUAUUUUAUAGUAUUAAAUAUAUAUUAUUAAAUAUUAUAUUAUAUAUUUAAUUAUUGCAUAAUAUAUUUUAAAUAUUUUUUAUUUUAAAUAUAAACUAUAAUAUUAAUAUAUAUAAUAUGAUAAUAAUUAUAUAUUAAUAAUAUAAAAUAUGUAAAAUAAAAAAAAAUAUAUAAUAAUUUUUAUUUAUAAUUUUUUUUUCCUUUCAACCAAACAACCGUCGUGGAAAACUACUUUUCUUUUCCUACAAACCAAACAUAAACGACGUAAAACAUUUUUUCCACUGAUAAUUUUUUUUCCAUCGAAAAUUUUUUUUCCACAGUUUUACGUGGAACCAAACACACCCUCAGGACAAUUCCGAGCGAAAUGACCCUUCUUCUUGCAGUUGUAGCAUUUUAGCUUUGUAGCAUCCUUAUUGCCAGUGCGCUUGCCUCUGCGGCGCUUUCCAACUCUACCCUGAGGAGCUUGAUUCCAUUUCUUUUGCGCUCCAUUGUUGUGAUGCUUUUUGCGCUUGGGUGCAAUGCCACUGCGCUUCUUGGAGCGUGCAACAAGAGCGUCAGAACAGUUCACUUCUAAGCGCUCUGCCUCGAGCUCGAGAUGGCGCGAGAUGUCAUUAAACGUUUUAAUGUUCUCGCUGUGCGUCAUCAGAAGCUUCAUCUGGGACCAUUCAGUAUCAGGUAGUGAAUGAAUCACUGCUAGAACUUGUUGCUCAUCAGUGAGCUCGUUUCCAGCAGUCUUAAGGUCCCGAAUCAUGGCGCUCAUCACACGAAGGUACUCAGCCAUUGAAUGCUUCGGGUCUUUAAUAUACUGUAGAACUUGAGAUUUAAGGUACGUAGCCUCGUAGAUGAAGUUUGACCAAAAGUAAUCUUCAAAUUGUCCCACAUGUCCUUGGCAGUUUCAAAGAUCUCAAACUGUCCAAUGAGGUCGUCUUGUAUGGCACAUAACAAAGUAAACCGAGCAGUUCGAUUCUCAUUGACCCAUUUGUUAUAGAUCUCUUUAUCAUACUCAGAAGUAGUGCCUUCGGCAGGCAGAACUCUUUUGACAGAAAGGGUUUCUAGAACCCCUUGUUCAUUGAGCAAGUAUUGCAUUUUCCUAUGCCAGAUAUCAUAAUUCAUUCCAUCUAGCUUAUCACUCCUGGUGAGGAUCACCUAUGAUGUUCUUGGAAGUCAUUUCAUUACAUUCAAAAAAAAAAGGUUUGGACAUUAGGCACAUAUUUUCAAAAAAUUAACAAGAUUGGAACAUUAUCCUUGACACAACGGGAUCAAAAACUUCACUAUGCUCGUAAUCAUCACCCCAAUGUCGGUUCAAAAUACUACAAUCUUAUUAAUUUUCUAUUAAUUUUGAAACUUAUCCAAAAUUUGGAACUCAUCCAUAUUGAAGAACAUAUCUUUUCUUGAAAAAACAUUCAUACGAGGAGAACUAAUCUCAUAAUAUCAUCACACAGAUAAAAAAUAAGUACUUAUGCCAAAAUUUAAUUUGAAAAACGUCGACGCUGCGCAAAACACAUUCCUUUACAUGGCCUUAAUUAUUACAUUACUUUUGCAUAAUUAAAACCUACUACAUCACUACAAGAUGUACAUCAGAAAAAAAUAAUAUUCUACAGGAAUGUUGCACAUGUCGAACCCGUUUUUCUAAAAAUUAAAUUUUGUUGAAAAAAUUACCGAAAUAACAUAAGUACUUAUAUGCUAAUAAAAAAUCAUGCCAUAUAAGCACAAAAAAAAAAAAACCACAUAGGAUAAAUGACACAUGCAUAUUCCAAAAAAAUGGUAUAGGAAAAAAAAAAUAUAUAUCCUAAAAAAAUAUGCGGGAAAUAUCCGCAUAGGAUUGAGUAAACUAUGAUUUAUAAAUUGCGGUUCGGCUCUGGUAGUAGUCCCAAUCGCUAGGGUUUUGAUUUUGCUGGUCUAAGCCCUUCCUCCGCGUCGUCUUCUUCCCCAGCGAGCCUCUACUGCCCACUAGGGUUCCGGCGAUCUCCGUCGCUAACGAGCUCCGACAAUGGCGCGGAACGAGGAGAAGGCGCAGUCGAUGCUGAACCGCUUCAUCGCCAUGAAGCAGGAGGAGAAGCGCAAGCCCAAGGAGCGGCGUCCCUACCUCGCCUCGGAGUGCCGCGACCUCGCGGAGGCCGAUCGUUGGCGAUCCGAGAUCCUCCGCGAGAUCGGCGCGAAGGUCGCGGAAAUCCAGAACGAGGGCCUCGGCGAGCACCGCCUCCGCGACCUCAACGACGAGAUCAACAAGCUCCUCCGUGAGCGCGCCCACUGGGAGCGCCGCAUCGUCGAGCUCGGCGGCCCCAACUACGCCCGCGGCGCCCCCAGGAUGACCGACCUCGAGGGCAACAUCGUCGACGUCCCGAACCCUAGCGGCCGCGGCCCCGGAUACCGCUACUUUGGCGCUGCGAAGAAGCUCCCCGGCGUCCGCGAGCUCUUCGAGAAGCCCCCGGAGGCGAAAAGGCGCCGCACGCGCUACGACAUCUACAAGCGCAUCGACGCGAGCUACUACGGCUACCGCGAUGACGAGGACGGGGUCCUCGAGAGGCUUGAAGCCCCUGCGGAGGCGGAGAUGCGGGAGAAGGCCGUGGCAGAGUGGCGCCGCCUUGAGAGCAUUAGAAGGGAGGCCAUGAAGGCCGUGAAGAGCGGAGAGGUCGCCACUGCGGGGGCUCCAGAGGCAGCAGCAGCGGCAGCAGCAGCAACGGAGGUGCUUUUCGAAGGGGAAGAGGAUGUGGUGGAUGAGGAGAGGAGGUUGGAGAGGGAGAGGGAGGAGAGGGAGCAGAGCAAGGAGAGCGAGUUUGUGGCGCACGUGCCGCUGCCGGACGAGAAGGAGAUCGAGAGGAUGAUUGUGGAGAAGAAGAAGGAGGAGCUGCUGAGCAGGUACACGAGCGACGUGCUCCAGGAGGAGCAGAAAGAGGCCAUGGCCAUGCUCAAUGUCCGGCGGUAGAGUUCGAGUACGAUUUUAUCUCUGAGUUCUUCUUUUUCAUGAAUCUCAUUACCAUAAUUUUUCUUGCUUAUCUCUGUUUUUCCUUUCCUCUGGGAGUCUAUACAUAUAGCAUCACCCUUUUCUUUUAAGUUGAAAGUUGAAACAUAUAUAUAUUUUUCUUUUUAGUUUGAGAAUAUUUAUGCUUGUGAUUUCUUUGCAUUUUUAUGCUUAUUUUAUUUUAUAUGGCUAUUUUGGAAUUUUCUUAUGUAAAACAUCAAUUUAAACUAGUCUUGCUUAGAGCGUUUUAUUUUUAUUAGGAGUACAACCAGUAGUGGAGCGAAUCUGCCCCCAACAUUUUAUAGUCCGCCAGCUACAUAUCGAAAUGAAUAAUAUUAUUUAAGCCAUUGGUACAACUAAAUGUACAUUCUUGAGUAGCGGAAAAUUCCUAAUAACUUUAGAUUCGAUCCAUCUUUAAUAAAAUAUAUAUUUCAUCUCUGUUGGCACUGUAAAACAGUCUAUUUAACUCAUUUUUUCUGUACAUUUUUGCUCAAAAGGGUAGUUUUUAUUGUUUCAAAGUGGCAUAAGGAGAAUUGUUUUAUUCUAAAUGAAGAAAAAUCUCAAACCAAGUAAGCUUUAUAUUCUAAGGUAGCAGCAAACCAAGUGGACACGACCAACCAAUGACUUGUGGUAGGUUUCCUUACUGAAAAGGAUUCCUGUGAGUUCUGACAUUAUCAACUUUCAAUAUACUAUAAAAACUUGAUACUAUGCACUUCUAUGAAGCUUUCUUUGUAAGGGUUUUACUAUAUUCAAGUAAUUAUAUUUGGUAAUCUAGGGAGUUGAAUUAUUGCUUUAAUUAGAUUAAUAUGAUUGCAGAAAAUGGUGUAAAAAAUAGAGUUUAGUUUGAAAAACUGAGCCAAUAUAUCUAAAUGUUGAUUAAAGUCCUAAUUACAGAAGUUUUUGUCUAAUUGCAGUUGAAAGUCCUAAUUAUAGAAGUUGGAUCAGUAGUUAUGCUAUAGUUGGGGGAGAAAACCCCUUUAUGGUGCUCGAUUUACUAAUAGGAUUUUUUCUUUUUCUUGUUUAGUUUAGAAGUUGACCUAAGAAACACAAAUACAAACAAAACACAAAAGUUUUGAAGUCCUCCAGAGUUUUGUUCCUAAACUUCCAGAUAGAUAUAUGCCAUUAAAAGUAAUUGAACAAAUAUCUCAUUGAUAAAUAUUUUCUUACAAUAGUAUACUAUUGAAAAAAGGGAAAGAAAAUUCGUAUACGUGGCAAGUGAAAUUGGGUGAUAGUUUUAUAGAUUGAAGAACAAUAGUGCUGUAGCUUUGUAUGGGUCUCAGCUAAUAGCAAGCUUAACACCAACGACAACAAAAUACAGAAAUGUAUUGAAAUAAUUUUGCAGAUUAGCACUUAGGGGCGCGCCCGAAUAUCCUAAUUAUACAAAACAUAAUUACCUUGCUAAAGGCCUUAUUAUAAGCCUUAUUGACAAUGGAAGAGAUAAUACAUUAAAUGCAGCUUGUUAAAGGCCUAUUAUCUUGCAUCUCCUUUUGUGGUGGAGAGCAUUUGAGAUUGGUAAAAGAAAGGAAUUAAUUUGAUAGUAGAUCUAUUUUUUAACAGUUGGAAGAAAUCAGUAGAAAACAUACUCAUGUUGUUGAAACCUUAGUACUUUUUGUCUCCAUAAGCUCUUAGAGGCAUUAUGACACUGAAGGAGGCUAGUAAUUCACAUGAAAAUAUUAGAUCGAACAAUUAGGGUGCAGUAAGCAAACAUCAAAAAUUGAGCUCAAAUUGUGACACCUCAGGCUAGCGAAUAAUCCCAUAUUGGAUAGGUGAGAGCUUGUUGUGGGGUAUAAGACUUGGUUUUCUAGAGCUAAUAAUCAGGCUUAAGCAGGGCUAGGGAGUCGCAUGUGACCUUCUGGGAAGUGACAACGGUCUCGAAGAGGUUUGCCAGCUGAAAGUGUGAGACGAGGUCUCACAUCACCUGGCAAUCCUAGGUUAUGUGUGUGAUUGAGCCCAACGAGAACGUUAGGGCUUAAAAAGUGGGAGUCUUUGACACCCCAAGCUAGCAAAUAAUCCCACUUCGAACAGCUAGGGGCUUUUGAUGUGGGGUAUAUAAGGCGGGAUAAUUUAGAGCUUAUAAUCGGGCUUAAACAUUUUGGGCUGGUGGAUUUGGGCCCAACAGGUUAUUAGGGCUAGGGUGCUACAGUAAAGCUAGUAGUGAGCUUUGGGAUAGGUGCCCCCGGGACAUGACACAAAUAUUGAGCAAAAAGAUCUCAAGUUGGAAUGCAUAUUGAGAUGGCAUGGAAGAAAUGCAAAUCCUUUUCCAAGGCUUUUUUGCACUACUGAUUAAAGUACUUCAAUUGUUACUUGUUUGAUAUUUCUUAUGCAUAUGUGAAUUUUGCUAAAAUUUUAUUGUCCGAUGCACUUAAAAAAAAAAAAAACAAAAAAUAAUAAGGCUUAGACCAGUCUAUCUAUAAAAUAAUGUGAUAUAAAAGCACAAAAACAACUAAAAGCAAGUAAUAUGUUGUCUAAAGCAUUAAAACUAAAUGCGAUUUCAAAUAAAAGUUAUCCUGCAAAUGGUUACAGAGUAGGCCAUCCGAACUUUGUCAAUUGUUACAUUAAAAUCUCAUCAAAGAAGAGGAAAGAACGAGCAUUUUUAAAGUAAUCAUCAAGGCUAUAGAGCCAAAUCAUAAACUUAACAUUAAGGUCUUCUCUGAUAUCGUGUUUAUUUUUUAUUUUUUAAAUAGAAUUUUAUAUAUAAAAAAGUGUAGGAGUGGACAGUGGAUUGCUUGCAAUCCUCUCAUUGAAACUAUUUCCUUAACAACAAACAACAAAAACGUGAAAAUAACUUUUCUUUGCUUCCAAUGUUUUUUUUUAAACAAGUUGUCUUUACCACUUGACUGGAUGCAUUGACUACAAGAAUUAGUAUUUUUUACGACCAAGUUUUAACGAUAGGAGUCAAAUUUGGUCGUUAAAAAUGGCCAGAUAAGGUUGAGGGGAAUUAACUAGACCUUUAGCGACCAAUAUUAUUUUGGUCGUCUUAUGCGAGGCUUAUCCCGUCGUUAAUGGUGCUGAAUUUUUGUGCAACCCUUACACGCAACCUCUUUCCCAAUUAACAGAGUAAGUUCUUCUCCCUCUUUCUCUCCUUCUCUCUUUCUCUCUCGCACAAAACUCUGUGCCUCUUCACCUUCCUCUUAAUUUCUUCCCUUCUUCCUACCCCACAAGCAAACCCUAACCCACCAGAAGCCACACCCGGGCGGCCCUGUUCGUCAGCGCAUGCGAGCACUCCAUCAGCCUGAAGCGGAUCUUGCACGCAGCAGCCCCUCUCACUAGUUCGUCGACGCGAGCCCUCCGACAGGCUGAAGCACCCGUACGCAGCAGCCCCUCUCACUAGUCCAUUGAUUGAAUUGGAUCAUCUUGAUCGUGGGAUUAAGUUCUAAUUUCUAGGAUUCUUGUAUUGGGAUUAAUGGACAUGCUGAAAUUGAUCUUGAAAUUGAUCUUUUAUCAUGUAAUGCAUCAACAUUUCUUGGUGGUCAUUGUUGGUAAACUACUAAUUUUGCUAAAAUACUUGGAUAUGACUAUUGGGGAGACCCUCUAAUCUUAGUUGAAGAGAAUUUGGAGACAAAAGAGAGUGAUCGGAAGAAAAUCUUGUUUAUAUUUUGGCCUCAGGUGAUAUUCUUGCAUUUCUGGGUUGUAGUCUUAAGGCUUUGUAAAAAUAUACAGUGGGGAGUACUGAGUACACAUUUCCUAGUUCUUCUGCUGCUCUAAUCUUAUAUCAGAUUUGCCUUUUUUAUUGCUUAUUAUUGUGUAAGAUGUUCUUGAUUACAGCUGACAAUUUAGUAAUUCUUUAUGGUUUCACUUUAGAGUGUCUGGCGUGAUUUCACUCAAUGCUUAAAAUCAGUAGCUAAUGAAUGAGAACAUUGCAAUUGGAAAUUAGUUGAAAUUUCUCAAAAUAAUCUGUUUCCUUUUGUGAAAGUGCUUAGGAGAAAAAACUAAAAAGCUGGGUAGAUAAUGAAUAGAUCAUGCAGCAAAAGAACAUGUUCUUUGAUAUUAAUUUUUCAUAAUGAUAUCAAGGUGACCAGGAAAGUUUGUUCUUUUCUCAUUGGGUCGGGCAAGCGGCUGUUUUAUGUCUUAGCAGUAGUUUACUGUUUGUUUUAGUUAUUUUCAGGGCUAGGGUAGGACUUAAGUAGUAUAAUAUCUCUUAAAAGAAACUAAAGUUGAGUCAGCUAAUGUAAUAUCUGAUUGAUAAAAACUUUGAUAGUUUUGCAAGUUAUGCUGCUUAUGCAUAUCUAUACAUAUAUUAAAAGUCCAGUUUUACUGUGGCCUACGUGUCCUCUUCUUGGCGCCCCGCUCCUCUCGCGCCCCUUCGAAGCGUCCCCGCGUUUGGCGGGGGCUUUGGUGGCCCCCACAGCAGGGCGGGCGUCAGCAGCGGUCACGUGUGCUGGAACCCGCAGCGGGCGGGCGGCAGCGGCUGGCGUCGGGCGCGCGGCAGGCGCCUACGUGUAGCCUUCCCAGCGCCCCCCUCCUUUCUGCCGUUACUCCCCGAGCGGGGCCUCCCGGCUCUCUCUCUCUCUCUCUGCGCGUGGGGGGUGCGGGUCGCUCGCAGAUGGCGGGGCCCUUCGCCCCUCCCCCCGUCUCUCUCUCUCUCUCUCUCUCUGCGCGCGGGGGGUGCGGGUCGCCCGCAGCCCUCCUCUCUCCGAUCCGGGCCCCCACCUCCUCCUCUCUCCGAUCCGGGCCCCCCCUGUCGGGUGUUUGUCGGGCCCUACCCUGACCUCCUCCUACGUCCAAUGUGGAGGGUCGCGCUUCUCCCCGCAGCUCCCGCAAACACCGGGCCUUUGUCGCCCUGCUAUGGUAUGCCUCCUUCCACCCCUCUCGAUCCCUGCCGCUGUCGAAACUUCCUCGCCCAAUUCCAUGGCUUGCUCUUUGUCGCCUUUCUUUCUCUCUCUCUCUCUCUCUCUACUGAGAGGAGCAAGGGGAGCUCCAAAAAUUGUCCGUUUUGUUGCGCCCCUCAUAUGUUUGAUGCAAUGCCUACUAGAGUCUUUUCUUUGAUUCUCUCCCCACUAUCAAAUUUUUUUGAUUUUGCUAUGCUUGCUCUUGCAAUCUAUUGCUUAAUUGAAAUUUUAUGCGUUGUAUGAUUCUUAUAUAUUCUUUCGUAUUGCUUACUUUAUCCAAAAAAAAGAGUCAAGAACUUUUAUUUGAAAAAGAAUUUUGAUAAUAGGCGGUGGUGAUGAGGUAAAACAUCACAAUGUAUUCGGAAGUUCGAUUCUUGAUUAUAGGUUUCAUACAUUGAUAAUGAAGUUUCAUAUGGUCUCUAUCUUCUCUUUUAAGUAUUUUUCGAAUUCACAUUAGAAGGUUUGGACGGCGAAGGUUUCAUACAUUGAUGGUGAAGUUUCAUAAGGUCUCUAUCUUCUCUUUUAAGUAUUUUUCGAAUUCAUAUUAGAAGGUUUGGAUGGUGAGGCAGUAUGGAUGGCCACAUGGCAACCACUGCAGCUUUCAAUCCUUUACAAAAGUUUGCUUUGCACUUGAAGAGAAGAGUAGAAACUAUUUUAGUAUGUAAAUUAAUAUUGAAUAUGAGCCUUCUUUUCCACGUUGCCUUCUAAAUAUUUUUUUAAUGUUAUUUUAUAUUCUCUAGAUUUAUUCUAGCUCACCCGACUUUUUCAAAAUAUUUUGGAAUCACUAAUUAUCCAUUUCUUUUUGUCGCUACUCUUUAUGCUUAAUUUGCAAGUAUUCUCCAGAGUGGCCUACAUCUUUUACUUUCUUAUUCAUAUUCUGCGGUUGUGCAUCAUGAGUGCCAUAGUUUUUUUGUUUUUCGUCGGUUUACUGUGUUUGAUUCAUGUUAGGAAUUGUACAAGGUAAAUAAUGCGGGUGUAUAUAAAUACGGUUUUGCACUCAUUUCAUGUUUAGUGGUUACACUCAUGAUUCAAAAGUAUAGUGAGGAGGAAAUUUUGCUCGGGUUUGCAAUAACUAUGACCAAAAUUAGUUGGCAAUGCUUUCUUUGCAUUUCUGUAAUAAUACCUUGAUGUUUCAUUCUAUUUGUUUAUUCUAAGUUUAACUUAACUAAAGGAAAUCUCUCAGUUUUGUGCUUGAUUUGCAAGUAUCCUACAAAAAAAUGCCGCAGUUUGUUUUUAAUAUCAGAAUUUAUACUUGCCAUAUACCCUAUCGCGCAGUUUGUUCUUAAUAUCUGGUCAGUCCUUGGUAGGAUCGGCUCAGCUGAGUUCCCUGCAUUUUUUCCCCCCGAAAGCUUUCUAACAUGUUUGUCAUUACUUCUAAUUUAGUUUCCUUUAUUCCCUUUUUUUCUUCUAUAUAUAUUGCUGCAUUUUGUUUUUUCCUUUGGCUAUUUUCCUAAGAAAGAUAAUUCAAAUAGAUGUUGCACCUUUAGUCAUCAAAGCAUGCAUUGACAACAGACAUGUGAAAGAAGGGAUGUUUGGACUAAUGACCAACCAGCAAUAGAAUGAUAACAAAAUAAGAUUUUUUUUUCCCUAAGAAUUAAACUACCAAUUUCUAUUGGCUUUUAUUACUUAGCAUUCUAUAGAGAAAAGAUCCUCUCUUUGGAGCAUAUUAUGCUUAGAAACUACUUAAUACCUAUCAGAAACUGACAAUCAUGGCUCUCAUUACUCUAUAUAUUUUUUGACCCUACUUUUGUCUUUCUAUAAGAGUGAGGGUCCUAAGCACAGAAUGAUUCAGGACAAAAUGCUGAAACCUCGAAGGAGAAAUCAGGUAUGUGAUUUCCUUGAGAAUUUCUAUUGUCUUCCUAAGGUAUUUUAAUAUGGAAUUUGCAUUUUUUUGAUUUUUCUCUUCUUAUGUCUUUGUUUUUCACACUGAUUUCUUAUAUCUUUGUAGUUUUUUCCCCUCUCUUUUUCCUUUUUCUAGGUGUGGGCUCAAAUAGUUUCAUGGGUGAUGAUGAUAGAGAAUUAAAACAUGAAGCAGGUUUGAUAGCCUUAUGGCAACUCAUGCGCUUAUUGUUGACUGAAAAAUUGGUCAUUGCUAGGGUUGGUCAUUGAUAGGGUAUGUUUGAUUGCCUUGGGACCACUCUUGCGCCUAUUAUUGUCUAAAAAAAGUUCAUCGAGUUUGUGGCAAAAAAAAAGAGAAAGUGCAUUUGAUUUGUUGAAACCAUUUAAGCCCACUGAUUAUCCUUUUUUUUUUGACACUACUUUAAUAAUUUUCUGGCCUAUGAAUGCAGAUAAGGAUUCUAAAUCCUGAAUUUAAGUUACAGAAUUCAAUAUCUAGCUGAAUGGUUUCUGCGGUAUGCAUGUGGGCUUUUAUGCAUUUAGCAUUACUAAUCAAGUAGUUUGAUUCUGAAUUUUUUACUAGAAUUAUAAAUAGUCUACCUUGAUUCUGACUUAACUAAGUGAAUGCUACAUUCGAAGUUGAGAAUUUGGAAUUUAGGAGUGCAUUGAACUAUUUGCUAUCCAUAACAGUUUCAGAUUCAGAGAUCUUUUAAUCGCAACAAGUGUUUUGGUCCAUAUGAUGUUUCUCUGCCCUCAGACCAGUGUAUUUAAUUUCCCUAUGUUCUUCGUGGAAUGCCGAAGUUCCUAGCUAGAUUAUCGAUUACCUAGAUCGUUCUGAGUUCUAGAAUCUGUUACCUUAAAUAGUGAAUAUGAAUUCUAAACAAAGUAUAUUUGUUUUCCUUAUAUUCUGCGUGAAAUUCGAAACUGCAUUGCUCAAUUCUGGAUUCCCAUGCUGUGAUGACCUACUCCUCAAAUACCAAAUGGUUGCGAUAAUUGACAAAGGUCCCUACGUUCUUGGUUAGUGAUGGUGGUAAUUUGGAUGGCAUAUUCUAUAGGCAACCAGCCACUUUUAUUUGUGCUCUGAAUACUUUCGGUAUGCAUGUGGGUUUUUAUGCAGUUGACAUUACUAACCAAGCAGGCUUUGGUUCCAAAGUGAUAAUAUUUGAUAACUAGGAGAGUCUGAGCAAACCAUAUAUCUUUUACGUAUAUUCUUCAUGGAAUCCUGAAUUGUUUACUUGAAUUCUGAAUUGCCUACCUGAACUCUAACUUAUCAACGUGAAUGCUAGAUUCGGAAUUGAGAAAUUAGAAUUUAGAGUUGCGUCAAACUAUUUUCUGUGUAUAAACGUUCCGAAUUCAGAAAUCUGAUUUGAAUCACAAUAAGUCUUUUGAUCCAUAUGAAAGGUUCGAAUUCAAAAUGCUGAAUUCUGGCAGCAAUGUUCCAGAAUUCUAAAUUCUGGAUUCUCAAAGGUUAGAAUUACACCAAAAAAAAAUUGGAAAUCAGAGUUUAGGUUCUUGAAUUUUGAAUUCUGAACUGUGCCUUGCAGAAUUCAGAAUACAAACCUUAAAAGGUUAAAGGUUAAAAUAGUAAAAUACCCAAUUCGCAAUCAGUGUUGGCCAAAAUUUUUUAUUAUUGGUAGUUGCAAGAGCUGCAGGUUAUGCAAAUUUCGUUCCUGCUUCGUCCAUAUGAAAGGUUCGAAUUCAAAAUGUCGAAUUGUGGCAGCAUUACUCUAGAAAAAUUCCAAAUCCGAAUUUAGGUUUUUGUAUUUCGAAUCCUAAACUGUGUGUCUUACAGAAUUCAGCAUUCAAACCUUAAAAGGUUAGAGGUUAAAAGGUUAAAAUACACAAUUCGCAAUCCGUGUUUACCAAAUUUUUUUUUAUUAUUGGUAGUUGCAAGAGCUGCAGAUUUUGCAUGUACUCUAAUGCAAAUUUCGUUUCUGUUUCGGGCUCAAAAUUCAACUACACAAUUCAGAUUCCAGGUAGGGUCGCAUAUUUAAUCUUCAUAUAUCCUUAAUGGACAAUUUCAUUUCCGAGCAUCAAAUUGAGCUUUUUAUAUGUUUUCUGUGAAUUCUUCAGCUGUUUACUAAAAAAAAAUUUCCCUUAUUGAAUUUGUUCUCUUUUUUUUUUUUCCUCUUUAGAUUUUUUUGUGGGAUCUUGAUAAAUUUCAUCGGUAUCAAUUACCUUAUGUUUCGAAUUCCAGGUAGCCGAAUUCUACAGGAAUCGAGCCUAUCUUCUACUGCUUUCCUGGUAUCAGAAUUCUACAGGACUCGAGGCUUACCUCAUGUUUCGAAUUCUAGAUAGCUGAAUUCUACAGAACUUGAGGCUAUUUUCUGCUGCUUUCCAGGAAGCUGACUUCUACAAGCCUGGAGGCUGUCUUCUACUACUAAUUCGAGUGUUGGUUUUUAGCGCAAUUUUUGAUUAUUCGCGGCUCCAAAAGGUGCAGGUUUUAAUUCCAGGUUUUAUUUUCUUGCAUAUGGCUGAUUUACAUGUGUGAGACUUAGAAUACAGGUAAAAAAAAGGUCCAGUUAAAUGCUGGUUUGUUCAUGCUGAUUUUUAACUGGACCUUUUUUUACCUGAACAGUCAAAAUCAGUAUUUUUUAAAUCAACAUAUUUUAGGCCCUCUCUAAAAAAAGGUCCAGUUAAAAUCAUCAUUUAACAAAAUCAGCCUUUGUUAAAAUGCUGAUUUUUUUCUUUACAAUUAGCNUAGCCCUCGCCCGCCUCUUUAGCCGGAUUCGGGCAAGCCGACAGACCGCCGAACGGAUAGGGUUUUCCCUAUACCGCGGACAGAGUCUCUCCUGUACGUCCAAGGCAUCACAAUCCAAACAAUGCGUGAGGUUUCAACAAGGAACAGCAUACAACAUAGAUUGCAUAAGGAAGGUAUCAAAAACAUAAAUACUAUUAUGCUAUUACAAGCAUUCAACUCAAACACAUUACAUUUUCAACUUCUCUUAGUAACUUCCAAAUACAAUCCAAAUUAACAUAAUUAUUACAACAGUGAUUCUUUUCUUUUCUUUGACAUUCCUAAGCAGCUGACUCAGGGUACCACUAUCUCUGGUCUCGGUGGUAGGGCAUUAACUACGGAGCUACGCCCUUUCCUCGCGCCACCGUGCUGCUUACGUGUGAACCUGUACCCCCAAAAACAACACGGGGGUGAGAGCUAUUGUCCAUAGUUCCCAGUGGGUACGGCCACCCAAAGGAAAAGCUCGACCCAUCAAGUUCAAAGGAGGCACUGCAAACAUGUUAGUCCGACAAAUAUCCACAGAUAUAUAUAAUUAUGCAACUAACAACUAUCAUGUUUAUGCCUCUCAAUAUGCAACAUGCAAAUUAUGCAACUAUCCAAAUAGAUUAAUUAAUUCUACUCUUUAUGCUUAGCUAUUCUGUCAUGCCCCGGGGUCUCUUUAGGUUAAAAACACAGCGGGAUUUUUUUUUUUUUUUUUUUGAAAACCUAACCCCAGGGAAUGCCAGAUCUGCCACAAAUACAGGAAAUCCACUGUUCACGCGGACAGAAUCUCCCCUGUAUUUGCACGGCGUCGCACAAGUACAAGAAGUAACCCAGGUACAACCACAACCAAAUGAAUAUAGAAAUGACUAUGCAAUCAUUCAUUCACCAUUCACAUCACAGUUAUACAUUCAAUAUUUAAACAUAAAUCCACAGAAAAUCCUUUUGAAAACAUAAAUCCACCAUAUAAACUAGCUAAGCUAUAUCAACAGGAUAGUAGGGGUAGAAGCUAAACCGAAUAACCUGGGUCGAAAGCUCUAUUGACCGCUACGUACGUAUCUCACGUCCCGUCUCAACCCUCACCGCCCGCGAUACCUGAAAAAUAGUGGGGGAGGUGAGAAUAUGUAAACAUGUCUCCCUUCCCAGUAGGUACCGCAUGUCGAUGAAGGCGAUGAGUACUCACCGGAUCAGGAAGAGCUAAACAACAGUACGGGUCAGUAGAAAAUACAAUAGCAAUAAUAAUGAAUGAAAGAGACAUGUGUAUGAAAGAAAGUACAACUACCGCUACUGUAAUGAACAACUGAGUGUAUAUGAAAGAAAGUACAACUACCGCUACUGUAAUGAACAACUGAGUGUAUACAUGUAACAAGACUAUAGUAGCAAGACAAUGUAACAAAAGAACUACAAGUAUGUAUGCAUCAACCACUACUAUAGCUAUAUGCAACAACCAGACAAGUAGUCCAACAGUACCCAAUCUACACCGCCGUGUCGGUCUAAGGACCUUAGGCAAAAGCCACUACCUGCUCGCACUUGGCAUGUAACCCUAACACAAAGAGAACACCGCUGGGCUCACGGGUCGGAUGUACGACCACUUUUCCGGAAAAGAACACCCUCCGCGGUGGAUCAGACCACCGGUGUACGUGAAAUGCACUCGAGCUGUGGCGAUCAAUGCAGAUAUGAUCAAUAGCCAAACGUCGGCAACCAGCCGACAAUCACCGCCCCUCGGGGCAAACCGACCAAUAGGUCAUCAAACUAUAUAGAAGCACAAGAACCGACUACUCAGGUCAACUAAGAGGGAACAACUCAACAUCCUACCAAAGGUAUACAAGCACUGACUACUAAAGUCAACUAACACAUAUGCACGACGAACUGACGAAUAGGUCACCAGAGUAUAUCAAUAGAAUCCCGAAUUACCGUCGGCCACUAGCCGACAAUCCAACCCCUCAGGGUACACCGACCUCAUAGGUCAUCAAACGACAGGACUCACGAAGCUGACUGACUAGGUCACAAAUAUGCCAAAUAGUGGAACUGUGUAAACUAUAAUCAUCCGUCGGUGCUAACCGACAAUCCCACCCCUUAGGGUAUACCGACCUCAAGGGUCAUCGAACGAUGUACGAGAACCGACCAAUCAGGUCACCGAAACGAAGUACGAGAACCGACCAACCAGGUCAACAGAUACGGAAUGCAACAACCAACCAACUAGGUCAACAGAUACGCAUGUAGAUAGAACUACUCUACUCCUACUCAGGAUACUAAGCAUGCAAACAACGAGUAGAGUAUAACGAAUAAACAAGGGUGCAAGGCUCAAUAUACUAUGCGAUAGUAACAACAGAAGAGUAAGGGUAAGAAACCAUCACCAAGCAUGCACCACUGUACCGACGUCGGAUCGAAGUACCCACCUGUAAGGAUGUCGCGUCUGUCUCCUGACUGCAAAAAAAUGUCGACAGGACCUAUAAAGGGUCCACCGGGUUAGUAUCUAACCCACAACUAAUAACCACAGUAUCCACAACCCCACAAAUAAUUUCACGAAGAUCGGUUUCCCAAUACCGAUUACCGUAACUCGCCGGAAGUCCCGAAAACCACACCGGGACGCCGUCGGGACCCACUAAGUGUCCCGAAACUCACCGACUCGUGCCACGAGUCACCUGCUGCACCAGAACACUCUGAUUUGAAUGUUUUGGCAGCAACACAAGAUAACAAUACUACACAAUUAUCAUCGGAUAAUUGUACGAAUCUGGGUUCCCGGAAGUGUCUAUUUCGACACCGGAACCCACCGUCGCUCACCCAUCAUCACCGAACCUACAAAAUGAUGAUGGUAACUAGCCAACAAGGCCCAGCGACCACACACAAGACAACGAAACCACGUCGGAAGAAAUCUGAACCGAAACCGCGUUCUUUCGGCGAAUUUCGCCGAAAAACGCACUGAAAUCGACUCUUCGAUUUCCACAAAAGCUAACGGAUCAUGGACAAUCAGUCCAGAGGUCAAACACACUCAUACACACUGUCCACAGUGGCCCUAGGGUGCACAAUUGCACAAAAGUCCCUCUAAUUACAUAAAACCUAUCAUUUUAUGUAAUUUGAGCGAUCAAGUGGCUCGUUCACGCAAACCGAGGACUUUCAAAGUCCGCAGAGACACGUACUGACAGGUCUCGACGUACCGGAGGCCGUGCUCACGAUCCGGAGCACAACGGCUCGCUGUGGGAAGUGCGGGAGCAACCUGAAGGUUCAGCGAACAGCACGCAGCCACGGAAAAACGCACCAAACAGGGCUAACCAGACACUGCUGAUCCAUGGUAAGGUGAGCACUGUGAUCAGCACUGACCAGCGAUCACCGUGCUCACCUCCAGAGGCAUCGGAAUAGCCUCGGAUCACCGAAAAUGCACGCACAAACACAGCACAACAGCCAAAAAGGCUCCACAGGGUCGACACUGCAAAAACAGCGGCACGGGGCCUUCCCGACAGAAACCAAGGUGAGCACGAUGACCAGCAACUUGCCAAGAUCAUCGUGCUCCCUUCCGUAGAGGUCGGGGAGGCUCGGGAAGGUCGGAACAGUAAACAACCCACAAACAGCCCUAUUUCAGGCUUGGCCGGAGCAAGCUUGCUCCGGCCGGCUUCCGGCGGCACGGCGGCGCGCGCGGUGGCUAGGAUUGGGUGCGGGGAGGGAAGGAACAAGGUGCUCACCUCAGGUGGCGACGAGGAGCGGCGGCGGCGACGGCGGAACCAACCCAGCCCGCACCAGGUUCGGCUCGGGUCCAGGGUGGCAUGAAGCUCUCGGCGACGGCCGGGGCACCUCGGGCCGACGGCGAGGGGUCGCCCGAGGUCGGAGGAUGAGGAGGGAGGCAGCCGGCGCGGGGGUGGAGCUACCAGGUCUGCUCGGCCGAGCAGACCUAGGGCGGCUGCAGGAUGGCCGCAGCGGUGGCAGCGGCCCGCAGGGGCAGCGGCAGUCGGCGAGGAGGGAUGCCGGGGCUCCGGGGAAGACGGCGGGAGCCGUCUCAGGCGGCGGCGGCGCACGGGCUGCUGCUGGAACUUGGCUCGGCCGAGCCUUGUCCCAGGCGGCGGCAAUCGGCCUGGGCGGCAGCGGCGGCGCUAGGCGACGACGGCGGUCGGCGGGGAUGCUCGCCGGAGCACGGGGCGACACCGGCGGAGGGUCUGGAGGUGGCGGCAGUCUCGGGCUUCCUCACAACCCGAGAAAAGAAAGAGAGAGAGAGAGAGAGAGAGAGAGAGAGAGAAAAGAAGGUGGCUCCGGCGGCGGCUGGCCGGCCGGGGCUCAGUCGGCGGCGGCCAGGGGCGUGCGCAGCAGGUGCAGGGAAGAGGGAUGGAGGUAGCAAGGAGCGGCUAGGGCAGCAGGGUUAGGGUUUCCACGGUGAAACCCUAGAACAAGCUUAAAUACCAAGUGCAAUUUGCAAAAAGGUCCACCAAAUCUGAGUAUUUACUACUAAGUCCCUCACAGCGCGUGUAAAACGCGCGAACACCCCUCCACGUGCGAUCUCACGCGAAACGGUACAUAAAAUAUCGCGACUUUUGCGAAAUUACCGUUUUGCCAUUACCGACCAUUCCUCGAUCAACGCGCAAUCUCCGCAGAUCCGUCCGUCAGUUUGUGAACGGAUCGCACCAGUGCGAUCAGCACGACGGAGACAACAAAGCUACCAUUUUGGUUCAUCUCGAUCGGUCGCGGAUUCGCGACGAGAACCGCUCCAACUCUCCAAUAGAGGAAACUACGCACAAAUACAUAUAAAACAUGUAUUUUUGGAUUUUCUCGAAAUCUGUGCGUCAAACUCAAAAUCCGUCAGCGCCAAUAGUUCCAGAAUAGCUGAACCGGUCGAAACGAGCUAUUGGACUGCUAUGAACGGAGUCCGAUACGAGCCUGAAGCCAACUUCACAACAUGGCUUCACCGGAAAAACCAAGUUACUAUUCACUUAAGUGAAAAAUAAAGAUCGCGUAACUCCUCCGUUCUAACUCGUUUUCUCCUGUAACUUGACGAGUGCUUAUGUAAUUAAAUUACACACAUAAACAUCAUCAAUAGAGAGUUUAGUUGCACUGUCAAAAUCUCAGUCCUUACAUAUUCAUUAUUGCUAAUCAUUCUUUUCGUUAUUAGUUAUCCAUUAGCAUUUGCUAUUCUUUAACAUUAGAUGUUCUUUAUUCUUUAAUCUUUAUUCUUUAUUCUUUACUAAGGUAGCGUUUGGUUCGGGAACAACGGGGGGAAUAAGCCCUUGUUCCCCUCUUUGUUCCCAAAUGGUAUGUUUGGUUCCCGAGAACAGUAGUUCCCGGGUUUCUGGAACAAGCUGGUAUAAGGCUGGAACUGUUGUUCCACCCGUUUUCUGGAACUAGCUUGUUCCUUGAUGAGAACAAGGUUAAUUAAAAUCUAAAUUUAAUUUUAAUGGUAGUAAAUUAUUAAUUAAUCUAAUUAAUAUAUUUAAAUUAUUAUUUAUUGCUUUAAUAAUUAAAUAAUUAAUUAAUUAAUUAUUAAUAAUUAGAUAAUUAUUAUAUUAUUAUCAAUUUAUUAUUUAUAAUUAUUUAUUAAUAAUUAAUAAUUAUUAUUAUUAUUUAUUAAUAAUUAUUAUUCUUAAUGAUAAUCAAUAUUAUUAUUAAUUUAUUAUCUAUAAUUAAUUAUUAAUAAUUAAUAAUUAUUAUUAUUAUUUAUUAAUUAAUUUGAUUGAUUCUUAAUGAUAAUCAUAUUAUUAUUGAAUGUAUUAUCUAUAAUUAAUUAUAGGUAUAUUAAUAAUUAUUAUUCUUAAUAAUUAGAUAAUCGAUAUUAUUAUUAAUUUAUUAUUUAUAAUUAAUUAUUAAUAAUUAUUAUUAUUUAUUAAUAAAUAUUAAUAUUAAUUAUUAUUAAUAAUUAGAUAAUCAAUAUUAUUAUUAAUUUAUUAUUUAUAAUUAAUUAAUAAGAAUAAUUAAUAAUUAUUAUUAUUUAUAAUUAAUUAUUAAUAAUUAAUUUAAUAUUUAUUUUUAAAUAAUAAUUUGACAUUAAUUAAUUACAUAAUAAUUUUAAUUUUAAAUUAUAACUCUUAUUCCUCUUGUUCCAAUCUAACCAUCCAAACACUAUUUACCUUAUUCCUAGGAACAACCCAAUUUUCAUCCAAACGUAAAAUUGGUGUAGUUCCUGCUUAUAUCUGAACUUGUAUCUAUCCCUGGAAUUGGCAGUUCUUACUUAUACCCAAACCAAACGCAGCCUAAGGGUACUGUAACAUACCGAACUUCUAUAGUUAUAAAGUUAUAGUGUAUGUUAGCUUGGAAAGCCGUUAGAAUGGUUACGGUGAAGUUCAGGAGCAUUCAGGUGCUUCAGUGCGCGUAGGGCGCGAAAAUGGAGCCCGAAAGGCUAUGUUGGACCAUGGACUAAAUCCAACAAAGGCAUGGAUGAAAAAAUGGUUUAAAUACGCUCGAAAAUAUGUUUUGAGAGUCUCGGUUCCAUUUGAAAUGAAUCGGGGGCUUAAUGAGCGAAAACGAGCGAAAACGGACCAAAAAGCUGAAAAUGCUGAAAAUUUGGAAGUCUGGAAGGUGCAGAAUUUUUGGACCUACGGGGUCCGGUCCCUCAAGCCAAGGACCGGUCCCCGAGACCCGAAAAUGCCCAGAAUGAUUUGAGGCAAUGUGUUAAACAUAGAGGGGUGUGAGGGGUUAUGUGCAAAUGUGUGUACAUGAGUGUAUAGGUGUGAGGGGUGAGGUUUAGCCCUCAUUUCUCUCCCUCCAACCCAACAUGAAACCCUNAUAGAGGGGUGUGAGGGGUUAUGUGCAAAUGUGUGUACAUGAGUGUAUAGGUGUGAGGGGUGAGGUUUAGCCCUCAUUUCUCUCCCUCCAACCCAACAUGAAACCCUUCUUCUCUCUCUAAAUUUCUCUCUCUCUCUCUGUUUGAGGUGCUCCAAUGGUGGAGUUUUGGUGGAGAAGAGAUAGCUUGGUGGAGAUGAAGCCCUCUCAUGGCAACCUUGCUUGGAGGAAAGCUUCAAGUUUAAGAUAAGUACCUUAGGUUUUGAGGGUUUUAUGGUUUUAAUGUUAGAGUUUAGUUAAUCUUUUCUAAUUAUUGUAUUUAGAAGAUGCUAUGGUGGAUUUAGACAUGUAUUUCUAUGUUCUAAGUGGUUAGUUCAUAAAGAUGAAAACCCUAGGGGUUAAAUUUGGAAAUUUUGUAAAGUUGAGAUCUAACUUGAGUUUGAUCUCUUGUUAACCUAAUUGGUAGGUCAACGAACGCGUUGGUGCGCUCCGUUUGGCGAUACGACGAGCAUACGCGAAGAUAUUGAAGAAAGAAGCCGAAUUAGUAUAGAUUGCCGCGGCUCGCGGCGUAGGUGUCUAAAAAUCGUGAAAAUUGAAUCGGGACUUCUUGGCAUUCCUACAAGGUGGGGGGUGCUAUCCGAAAUCUCUGAAUUUUCUUCUAUGUCUGUGUUGCCUUUAUUUAAGCAUAUUGGUAUUGUAACAUUCAUGCAUAUAGGGUAGUUUGACAUGUGAUUGUUGAUUGAGGUUCCUUCAUAUGCUUCUAGGUAGAGAACAUAUAAGUUGACAUUGAACCAUGUGUACCAUGCAUGAAAGAACCCUAUAUGUGUGUGAAUGUAUGAAAGAGACUAUGACAAUAGUAAACAAAGGUGAUAUUGACAUUAGUGGCAUGAUUGGCACCGAGGACAUGUUAUGCUAGAUGAGGUAAAACCUUAAAAGCAUUGUUGAAUGUUAGAUUAUAAUGUUGAUAAACAUUAUAUGCAUUGUGACAUGUUCACUAUCCCAUUAAUGGACAUUAUGGCAAGUGUGGCCCUAGAUAAUGUGAUCUUGUGACAUUAUGAAUUGACGUGCUAAGUAGGGUAAGCCCUUAUGAGCAAUAUGAGAACAAUGGCAAUAGUGGCUAAGUGUACGAUAUGCUAGACGAGGUAAAGACUGUAGCACACUGGACCCUUGCAAAUUGCGAGGUUCGAGUGUUCGAGCUGUGUUCCGAGCCCUUCCAGACUUUCUGGUGGGUUGUUGACAGUGUUCUGACCUAUGGCUCGUAUCCCGAGAAUUGUGGUUUAAAGCUGUGUACCAAAAUUCGAAAAAUCGGAUUUUUGGCCAGCUCUCAGGUAGCUUUCUGGGGUCUUGUACCGGUACAAGGUUGGUGGUUGUACCGGUACAAGGUUUAUGGUUGUACCGGUACAGCCACCGGGCUUGUACCAGUACAGAGCCGAUGAACCCCCCCCAGCCCGAGCCUCGGGUUGAAGUCUUUCGUAGGGCUUGUACCGGUAUAGGGGCCCGUGUACCGGUACAAGGGGGCAUUUUUCGUGCAGUCUGGACUGCAGGAGUGUUUUUGCUUUUGUAGCCUCCUUAUAUCAACACCCACGCCCCUUAGGGCCUUCCCUGAGCUGAGAACACAGGGAGACAAGGUAAGAGGAGCCCCACCUUGCCCCUCUUUGGUUUUGUUAUGAUUUUGUUGGGUUUUAAAAAGAUUAAACUUCUCUUUUUGCUUGUUGGAGGCACUUCCACCAUUGUUGAGGCUUGGAGCUUGGGUUUGGAGCUUGGUGGAGGGAAGAUCCUAGAAGUUUGAGGACUUUGUGCUUAGAUUGAAGCUUCUAAGAGGUAAGUGGCAAGAUCCUUUUCUCUAGUUUUGGAUUUUGGAGUUUUCUUUGAGAUGAAACCCUAGAUUGGAAACUUAGGGUUUGUCACGCCCCGGGGCCGAGCGGAAGCCCGCCCGGCACGUGCCCAGACCCACCAUACGUUUAAAACAUAUAAGACGUCUAAAAACAACAAUAAUAAAAGCAAUAAUAAAAGACAUCUAGGAGUAUCAGAGCAUAAUAAAUGUCUAAAUGCUACAACAAGGGAUAAGGAUAAAACUGUAAAUCCACUAAAUAAAACAUAAAGUGAUACAAAAAAAUCCCAGAUACAAGUGCUAUAGGUAGAUACAUAGGUGGUCUCUAUACAUGGAUACAAAAACCUCUCACUCUCUAAACUACAAAAGAAAGAGUAAACCACCUAGGCAAAGUACCGCUCCUCGCUAGCUAGCUAAGCGAUCCCCUUGCCUGCGAUCCCGUGCCUCGCCGGUGCCGAAGGCUCUGAAAGUAAAAUCCAUAAAAUGGAAGGAGUGAGAACUAUUAAAAUAGUUCCCAGUGGCAAUUACUGACUUUUGAAUGCACCACAAAGGCCCAAAGCUACAAAAGAUGUCAGUAGAUAUAAAUGUAAAAAAGCGAAAGGUAAGUAAAAAUGUAACUUACUACAGCAUGAUAUCUCUACUUAGCAUAAAUGGCAUAAGUAAUGAAGCAACUAUGCAUGAAGUAAAGUCUCCAACUAUCAUAAAUUUCACAAUGCGAAAUAGUAAAGUUCCGUUGUUUACUAUUCUAGUCAAUUCCAAGUAGUACACUAAGUCAUCAUCUGUCCACACGAUUCAUAUGAAUACUCAAAAGUCAACUUUGAAGAGACCCACCCGAAGGCUGUCUAUGGCCCUGAGACCCACCCGUAGGCUGUCUGCCGGUGCCGAGCCUAAUGCCCCGUGGUAGUCAUCAUCCCACCUAGGAAUGAGCCUGUCCCACGGCAAUCCACUUCGGCGCCCAGCAUCUGCACGCGCGAAUAUGAAUCGCGAUGGCUAUCUCGGAGUGCCGGCUUGUAGGAGCGACCCUACAAGCAUGUGCGAUUGAGCACAAUGGCAAGUAGGCAAACGAUCAUGUCGCAAGUACCAAAGUCCUCAUGUUAAUAAUAUGAAUGUGUCAAGUAUCUCAACGGCCUAUCCCUAUGUCAUCAAUGUCUCUAACAUGAAUGUAGGCGAUAAUAGUGGCUAUCAAUAUGUCUCUAUGUUGCAGUUUCAUAAUUUACUAGUUUCAAGUGCCCCUUGAUGACACUCUUAUUCUCUAUGUAGAGCAUGGCAACUAUAUUCCAAGUACAUAUUUCAAAGUCAUAAUCCUCAUAAGUGAUGUAUUUUUCACUUGCAAAUAACACUUUUUCCAUAUGCAUGUAUUCUACUCAUAAGCUCUACUAUAUAGUGAAUUUUCAAAAAUACACAAGACAUGCAUUUUAAGUGCUCUAAAAUUCAUAUAAAUUCCAUUUAGCAUAGAAAUGAAUUUAAAAAUAUUUUACCAACAAGUAGAAAGAGAUAGGGGCCAUUUCGCCCCAUUUCCACGAAGCCAAACCCACCAAUUUUCGAAACUCUUCGUUUUGCCGAACGAAAGUGUCCACUAGCCUCCUAGUACCCUAAGGAUGUAGGAACAAGUGUUACCCAAACAAAACGAAUAACGGAUUGCUCAAUCAUUAACCAUUUUAUGGCUAAGGUUGAAAAAACUCACCGAUUGCGAAGGAAGCUCUCUCAAACCCAAAUGGAGCUAGAGUCCUUCCAAUCAACCUAAACAAAGGUUCUAAAUCCAUCAAUUUGGUUCCAAAGCCUCAAAAUCAAAAAUUUCCAAAUCUAGCCCUAGAAUUCAAAAUCUAGGGUUUCCAAAGAGGAAAACUACCAAAACAUGCUCUAAAGGAGAGAUCAUGAGUACUCACCUCACAAGACGUCCCAAACCAAGCUCCAAGCCAAGUGGAGUUGAAGAUCUCCUCUCAAAUAAGCUCCUCUCCCAGCUCCAAGCCUUCAACAAUGGUGGAAACCCAACAAAAAGCAAGGUGGAGAAGAGAGAAGAGAUCAAAACCAACCAAAAUCCAUAAAAAAAGAGAAGAAAUCAAAUGGGAGAAGUUCUCACCUUAUCUCCUUAGUUCUAGGGCUCAAAAGAGCAGCCAUGGGGGCUGGGGUGACUUAUAUAGGCGUUGCAACAAUUAUAAAAACACCCCCCAACAAAACAGCCAAAAUUUGUACUGCGUACCGGUACACGGGUUUGUGUACCGGUACAUAACCCACGAAAUGGCCAAACCCGAGCCUCGGGUUUGCCUCAAAAUCGUCUGUGUACCGGUACGCGGUCCCGUACCAGUACAGCCAUCAACCCCGUACCGGUACAGCCACUAAGCCCGUACCGGUACACAGCUUGCUGAAGGCUACCCGAGAGCUAACCAAAAAUUCAACUUUUUGGAUUUUGGUACACCGCUUUGAACCACAAUUCUCGGGACUCGAACCAUAGGUCGGAACACUGCCAACGACCCACCAGAAAGUCUGGAAAAGCUCGGAACACAAUUAAUCACUCGAACCCCACAAUUUGCGAGGUCCAAUGCGUUACAUUCACCCCUCCUAAAAAGGAGUUUCGUCUGCGAAACUCAAAAGCACAAGCAUACCUCAAGGCUCCUUCAGAAAAAGAUGGGGAUAGCGCUCCUGCAAAGCGCUCUCCAGCUCCCACGUGGCCUCCCGCUCCCCGUGGUUGCUCCAAAGGACCUUCACAUACGGAAUAUCCCAAUUCCGCAGCUUCUUCACCUCGCGAGCCAAAAUCUUCACUGGUUGCUCCUCGAAGCUCAAAUCCUCGCGGAGCUCCACUGGUACAGCUUCCAAAACAUGAGCUGGAUCAUGAAUGUACCUCCGAAGGACCGAUACAUGAAAGACGUUGUGCACGCCCGAUAGGUUCGGCGGUAGAGCAAGUUGAUGCGCUACCAGACCUACACGCUCCAAGAUCUCAUACGGUCCAAUAAACCUGGGGCUCAGCUUUCCCCGAAUCCCGAAUCUCUUGAUUCCUCUAGUCGGCGAGACCUUCAAGAACACAUGGUCUCCAACUUGGAACUCCAAGUCUCGCCGUCGUCGAUCGGCGUAGCUCCUCUGUCUACUCUGCGCCGUCAAAAGUCGCUCCCGAGCAAUUCGAACCUUGUCCUCAGCUUCCUGGAGCACAUCAGGGCCUAAAGCCAAACUCUCGCCGACUUCACUCCAAUGAAGUGGCGAUCUACACUUCCGUCCAUAAAGUGCUUCGAAGGGCGCCAUCUUGAUGCUUGCUUGAUAACUGUUGUUAUAAGCAAACUCCGCCAUAGGUAGAUGCUGCGACCAUCCUCCCUGGAAGUCUAUCACACAAGCCCGGAGCAUAUCCUCUAAAGUCUGAAUAGUGCGCUCCGACUGUCCAUCACUCUGCGGGUGGAAUGCUGUACUGAAAUCCAAUCGGGUGCCUAAGGCGUCCUGUAGACUCCUCCAAAAGUGAGACACGAAGCGCGUGUCGCGAUCAGAUACAAUCGAUGUAGGCACUCCAUGAAGUCGCACAAUCUCAUCAAGGUACACUUGUGCGAGCUUCUCUCCGGUCCAAGUCGUAUGAAUAGGUAUGAAGUGCGCCGACUUCGUCAACCUAUCCACGAUCACCCAAAUAGCGUCAUGCCCCGCCUGUGAGCGUGGCAAUCCUGUCACAAAGUCCAUGGUGAUCUUCUCCCACUUCCACACGGGAAUAGGCAAACUCUGAAGUUUUCCCGCGGGAACUCGGUGCUCAGCCUUUACUUGUUGGCAAGUUAGACAACGAGCUACAAACUCGCCAACGUCCUUUUUCAUCCCGGGCCACCAAUAGAGCAACUUUAGAUCCUUGUACAUCUUGGUGCCUCCCGGAUGUAUAGCAUACGGCGCUCGGUGCGCUUCUUGAAGAAUAUCUUCUUUAAUCCCCGAAUCCGCGGGUAUACAAAUCCGCCCACGGAAACGCAUCAAUCCCUGAUCGUCCAAAAGGAAGUCGCCGGUGCAACCAUCAACCAUUUUACCUCGAAUCUUUUGCAACUCCACAUCGGAAGCUUGCUUUUCUUUAAUUCUAUCCAAAAGAGUAGGUUGCACUACCAAAGUCAUCAAUCUCAAGGGUGUGUCAGGAGUCACCACCUCCAACUCCAACCGCUUCAUCUGCUCGAUCAACUGCGGUUGAGUCACAACAUGCAUCGCUAAGUUUUCCAUCGAUUUCCUACUUAGCGCAUCCGCCACCACGUUAGCCUUGCCCGGGUGGUAAAGAAUCGUCAGAUCAUAAUCCUUGAGCAGCUCCAACCAUCUGCGCUGUCUCAGGUUCAACUCCUUCUGAGUAAACAGGUACUUUAAGCUCUUGUGAUCCGUGUAUACUUCACACCGUUCGCCAUAAAGAUAGUGGCGCCAUAGCUUCAAUGCGAACACUACGGCCGCCAACUCCAAAUCAUGCGUCGGGUAGUUCUUCUCAUAUUCCUUUAGUUGGCGAGAAGCAUACGCGAUCACCUUGCCAUCCUGCAUCAAUACACAGCCCAAUCCAUUAAGUGAAGCAUCACUAUAAACCACAUACCCUGCUCCAGCUACUGGUAGGGUCAAGAUCGGGGCGGUCGUCAAUCUCUGCUUCAACUCUUGGAAGCUUCGCUCGCACGCGUCAUUCCAAAUGAACUUGACUCCUUUGUGCGUGAGCCUCGUGAGGGGAGUAGACAGUUUAGCAAACCCCUCUACAAAUCUCCGGUAGUAACCGGCCAAUCCAAGGAAGCUCCGUAUCUCCGUGACGCUCGUCGGUCUCGGCCAAUCCUUGAUUGCUUCAAUCUUCUUGGGAUCCACGGCUAUACCCGAUCCCGAAAUCAAGUGUCCAAGGAAAGCUACCUCUCGAAGCCAAAAUUCACAUUUCUUCAACUUGGCAUAAAGCUCCUUUUCCCGAAGUACUUGGAGUACAAUCCUCAAAUGCUCCUCGUGAUCUGCAUCACUUCAAGAGUAGACCAAAAUGUCGUUGAUGAACACCACGAUGAACCUGUCUAGAUAAGGCUUGAAAACACGGUUCAUUAGAUCCAUAAAAGCUGCCGGGGCAUUAGUAAGCCCGAACGGCAUAACUGUGAACUCGUAAUGUCCAUACCGUGUUCUAAAAGCCGUCUUCGAUACAUCAUCGGGUUUGAUCUUUAAUUGGUGGUAUCCCGACUGUAAGUCUAUCUUGGAAUACACACACGAUCCCUGAAGCUGAUCAAACAAGUUGUCGAUCCUCGGCAACGGAUACUUGUUCUUGAUCGUGACCUUAUUGAGUUCACGAUAAUCCACACAAAGGCGAAGUGAUCCGUCCUUCUUCUUGACGAACAAAACUGGUGCUCCCCAAGGUGAAACGCUUGGGCGAAUAAAGCCCUUGUCCAACAAAUCCUGCAGCUGUGCCCUCAGCUCCCUCAGCUCCGCCGGUGCCAUCCUAUAGGGUGCCUGGAGAGUGGGGUAGUCCUAGGGACGAGAUCUACCACAAACUCAAUCUCCCUAUGAGGAGGCAUACCCGGUAGCUCAGCUGGAAACACAUCCUCGAACUCUCGCACGACUGGGAUAUCCUCGAUCCUAGGGGUAUCACCCUCGCCCCUUAACACCACACUAGCCAAAUAGGCUACGCAACCUCUGCUACGAGUUGAUCGUCAUCGCAAACAACGAACUCCGGCAUCCACAAAAUACCACCUCGGUCUGUCCCGGUUCUCUAAAAGUAACCGUGCGAUUCUUACAAUCAAUCGUGGCAUAAUACUUGGUCAACCAAUCCAUGCCCAAGACCACGUCAAAAUCCCCCAGCUUGCGCAAAGCUAGUAAAUCUACAGGCAUAAUCCAAUUUCCUACCCGAACAGGGCAACUGGGGCUAUACUCUCUAAUAUCCAAAACGUGGUCGGGUACAACAACAUGUCCCGUAUGCAACAAAGAAACCAAAGGGAUGCCAUGCAACUCGGCAAACAGCCGAUCUAUGAAUGAAUGCGAUGCACCGGUAUCAAAUAAAGCACGAACUCUAAUGCCAUCAAGUAAAAUGAUACCUGCAACCACAUCCUCGGCUGCUGCCGCCUCCUCGGUCUGAGCGGCGUACAUGCGCCCACUCGGGGCCUGUCGAGAUCCCUCGCUCUGGCGCUGGACGGGUGGCCGCCCAGGCUGGUACUGUGUCGACGGAGUCCCGUGGCUGACGGCUGGUAGAGCCGGUGCCGAUGCAGUCGACGGUGCCGGUGAAGAACCUCUCGGGCACUCGGUACGCACGUGGCCCUCCUGGCCACACUGGAAACACCUGCCCGCCCGCUGUGGACACUGCGGUGGGUAAUGGGGACCACCGCAGAUCACACACGGGGAAGGCCGGCGCCGAUCGGAUCCUCCUCGAUGCGCUGCUGAGCCGCGUCCACGCUGCUGGCUCCUCGGAUGCUUCGGCGGCCUCCUAGAGUGCGUCUGGCUCGCACCCUCAGCCGCAGGCCUCUUGGCCUUACCCUUGUCCCUAGCCUCUCGCUGCUCCUGGACCUCUGCCGCGCCGCUCUCCACGAUGAGCGCGCGAUCCACCACCUCCCGGUAGGUUUGGAGGUUAGAGGAUUGCACAAACCGGAAGAUCGACGGUCGCAACCCUCGCUCGAAGAUGCGGGCCUUGUCCUCGUCAUCCCGCACGACGAAGGGCACGCAAUGCAGAAGCCGAGAAAACUCCCUCUCGUACUCGGCUACAGUCCUGUCACCCUGGCGCAAGCUGCGCAAAUCCUGCUUCAUCUUCCUCUUGACGCUGGUCGGGAAGUAGUGCGCCAAAAGAAGCUCCUUGAACCUCGUCCAAGUGAUAGCUGCCAAAUCUGUGCGGGGGUUCUCCUGGAGAUCCAACCACCAGCGGUAGGCCUCGCCGUCCAAAUGGUGAGUGGCGAGCCAAACUCUGUCCCUCUCCUCCACGAAGGUGUCGCGGAAGAGCUUCUCCAUAUGCAUCAACCAUUUCUCCAUGAUCCAGUGGUCGACCUUCUCGCCAUCGAAGACUCGGGGACUGCACCUCCCGAACUCAUUGAGGCGCUCCAUCAGUCUGUCUCGCUCCGCCCCGUCAACCAAAGUAGGAAAUGCUGCUCCAACCAGGGGCCUCUGCACAGGUGGUGCCACCAAAACCUUCUCCUGGGGUGCGGCCGCAGGCGCCGCACGCGAAAAACUGGGCGCGGGGGACGGCACUCUCGGUGCAACAUCCACAACUCGUGCUAGCGGUGUAGGGGCCUGAGUCUCCCUGGAAGCUGCCGCCUGCUGCAAUAGUAGAUCCUCCAGACGCUUCAUCCGCGCCUCCUGUCGGCGCGCCGCCUCAGUUUGCUGUCGGGCCGCCUCUGCCUGCUGAGUGUGUGACGCCCCGACUUCCCAGGGGGUCACCCAUCCUAGGACUACUCCCGUCCUAGCACGCUUAACUCUCUUAACCUCUUGGGUCUAGCCACCGCCCAAAAUACUUAAGCCGGGUUAAGAGUUUAGCCCUGUUAUAUCUUAUAUAUAGGACUAUCUGGGGUCUCACAAUCUCCCCUCCUUUUAAGCCCUGACGUCCUCGUUGGGCCCAACAACCGGCCCAAAAUGCUUAAGCCCAGUUAUUAUUACUAGUGUCUAAGUCUCUUAUAAACCCAAUCACAUCCCCAUUCCUAUCCGAUGUGGGAUUAUUGGGGUGUGACAAACUCCCCCCGUUAAGGCCCUGACGUCCUCGUCAGUCCAAUCACACACACAGCCCAAGAUCACCAGGCGAUGUGAGACUCGUCUCGCUAGCCCGUCAUCCAGACCCUGGCUCAGCCGAGACUCGCCACACAUGUCCAGCUGGUGAACCGGCUCUGAUACCAAAUGUAACGACUCAGCCCACUAGCAACAAUAACUCGUUGGGCGCAACAACCGGCCCAAAUUGCUUAAGCCCAGUUAUUAUUACUAGUGUCUAAGUCUCUUAUAAACCCAAUCACAUCCCCAUUCCUAUCCGAUGUGGGAUUAUUGGGGUGUGACAGAGUGACCAAGUCGGUGAGGGCCGCCAACUGGCCCCUCAACUCACGGACCUCGCUGGAUCCGGAGGUAGCGAAGGUCUCGACCUCCUCGAAGUUUGCCGCAUUGUCCGCCCCGGCAGAUUGGGAGCGAGUAAUCGGCAUCGUCACUACAACAUCAUAAAAGCGCAAGUUGGAAAUACUCACGCUAUCACAUCCCCGCUCAAAAGACAAACCCCAAAUCAUGCGAAAGUAAAGAAGUGUUCUACACUACUAACUCCCGAUGUUACGUUGUCGGCUGCCAACGUAACGCUCCGCGAAGUUAGAAGUCAAACACUUCGAUUUAACUUCACUUUUUAGAGUUAUCCAAGAUACCCAAUUCAGAUACUUUCGCUUACAAGUCAAAUAGACCUUAUCUCUCGCGAGCCUAUUUCCUAUAGUCCAACCAGCCUAAGGUCUGCUAGGUCCCCUAAGACUCAACCCUAGGCUCUGAUACCAAAUUAAUCUGUCACGCCCCGGGGCCCAGCGGAAGCCCGCCCGGCACGUGCCCAGACCCGCCAUACGUCUAAAACAUAUAAGGCGUCUAAAAACAACAAUAAUAAAAGCAAUAAUAAAAGACAUCUAGGGUGCUGUUUCUGUACCUUUAAGAAGUAUCAGUGGAAAUUUGAGUUCAGCUUAAUUAUAAAUUUUGAACAGUCGUGCGACUAAUAGGCCUUCCUUCAACAUAUGGGCCCAUUAGAUAUGCGUAAGGAUAAACUUAGCUAAUGCCACGAUCCGAACCAUAAAAGUUAAAGGACCGUAAAGUGUAGCUUCUCCCACAUCAGAGCCAAAGGAAGAAAUGGUCCCCAGAUCACAAAGUUGCUACUAGGGGAGGCUUAGAUAUCAUAGCAGUGAUGGUCUCUAUCACGGCAUGCAUUGGAGCUACAACACAAAAACCUGUCUCACUUUCAACUACAAGAAGCUGACAGGUGCUGAAGAGUAAGACACCAGGUAGAAGGACCACCGUCCUCCGCUAGUAGUAAGCGAUUCCCUUGCCGGGCGGAAUUGUGGUCGCUUUAAAUGGGCCAGCAUCCUCCCUGCUGUUAGGCGAGGCAUGCUAAAAGAAGAAACGCAUAAAAUGAGGCAGUGAGAACUUAUUAAAAUAGUCCCGUGGACAAAUUACUGACUUUCAGUGAAUGACACGAAGGCCCAAAGCUACAAAACGAUGAGGUCAGCUGACUAUAUGUUAGAAAAGCGAGAAGGGUAAGUGAAAAAUGUAACUUACUACAACAUGUAUCUCUACUUCAGCAUAAAUGGCUAAGUAUGAAGCAAUGAUGCGCAUGAAGUAAAAGUCCUCCAGAACUAUCAUAAUGUUCACAAUGCGAUAAAUAGUAAAGUAGUCCGUUGUUUACUAUCUAGUCAACUGUCCAAGUAGUACACUAAGUGAAUCAUCUGGAUCCAGCAGUCCGUCAAUAGGUGUAGAUAUCAAAGGUUAACUCUGAGAGACGAGUCAUGUUCGCCGAAAUGGCCGUUUGACGGCAUGGGUUCGAGCGAAUCAGUCGUUUGGACAAGGUGUCUAAUGGCCCUGAAAGUGCGUACCCGUAGGCGUACGCGCGGUGCGAGGCUAAUGGCCCGUGGGUAUGUAUCAUCCCACCCAUAGGAAUGAGCUUCCCACUCAAUCCACUUCCGGCCGCAAUCCCGCACGGCGAAUUGAAUCGUGAUAGCUAUCUCCGAGAGUGCGGAUUGUAGGGCAGCGACCCUCACAAGCUAUGUGCGAAUGAGUACAAUGGCAAGUAGGCAACGAUCUGGCAAGUCACCAAGUCCUCAUGUCUGAAUUAAAUAUGGAAGAUAUCGAUGUGCAUAGGUAUCUCAAACGGGGCCCGUGGUCACUAUCCCAUAUCUCAUCAUGUCCUUAAACAUGAGAAUGUAGCGGAUAAGUUAUGGGCCAUUCGAAUAGUGAUCUCCCUAUGGUUGCAGUUUCAUAGUUUACUAGUUUCCAAGUGCCCCUUGCAUGACACUCGUUGUUUCUCUGAUGUCAGAGCAUGGCAAAAACUAGUUCCAAGUCAUAUUGUCAAGUAUAUUCAUAAGUGAUGUAUUUGUCUCCACGUGUACAAUAUAACACUUUUCCCCAUAUCGGAUGCAUGUUCUCGUAUCUCAUCUGAUGGGUUACGGUACCGCUCUACGUAUUUUUUUAAGUAGAAAAUGUAUACAAAAUACACAGCAUUUGGCGCAUUUUAAGUGCUCUAUUAAGUUCCAGUAUAAAUUUCUAAUUUUUUACGUGCAUAGAAAUCGAAUUGUAAAAAUACUCUCUCUUACAACAAGCUUUGGGAGUAGAUAGAGCAUAGGGGCCAUUUCGCUCCAUUUCACCUGAAGCCAAACCCACAAUAUUUUUCGUAACUCUUCAGUUUGGCCGACAACAAGUGAUCGCACUAGCGCUCUAGCAUACGCCUUUUAAGAAGUGUAGGAACAAGUGUUACCCAACACAAAGACGAAUAAGGCCGCAAACGUAUUGAUCUCAAUCAUUAACCAUUUCGGGCUAGGAGUUCGAAGAAAUCACCGAUUCGCCGGAAGGUAAGCUCGUCUCAAACUCCAAAUGGGAGCUAGAGUCCUUCCAAUCAAACCUAAACAAAGGUUCUAAACCCAUCAAUUUGGUUCCAAAGCCCUCAAAUCGAAAAUCCCCAAAUCUAGCCCUAGAAUUCAAAAUCUAGGGUUUCCAAAGAGGAAAACUACCAAAACAUGCUCUAAAGGAGAGAUCAUGAGUACUCACCUCACAAGACGUCCCAAACCAAGCUCCAAGCCAAGUGGAGUUGAAGAUCUCCUCUCAAACAAGCUCCUCUCCCAGCUCCAAGCCUUCAACAAUGGUGGAAACCCAACAAAAAGUAAGGUGGAGAAGAGAGGAGAGAUCAAAACCAACCAAAAUCCAUAAAAAAAGAGAAGAAAUCAAAGGGGAGAAGUUCUCACCUUAUCUCCUCAGUUCUAGGGCUCAAAAGAGCAGCCAUGGGGGUUGGGGUGACUUAUAUAGGCGUUGCAACAAUUGCAAAAACACCCCCAACAAAACAGCCAAAAUCUGUACUGCGUACCGGUACACGGGUUUGUGUACCGGUACACAACCCACGAAAUGGCCAAACUCGAGCCUCGGGUUUGCCUCAAAAUCGUCUGUGUACCGGUACGUGGUCCCGUACCGGUACAGCCAUCAACCCCGUACCGGUACAACCACCAAGCCCGUACCGGUACACAGCCUGCUGAAGGCUAUCCGAGAGCUGACCAAAAAUCCAACUUUUUGGAUUUUGGUACACUGCUUUAAACCACAAUUCUCGGGACUCGAACCAUAGGUCUGAACAUUGUCAACAACCUACCAGAAAGUCUGGAAGAGCUCGGAACACAAUUAAUCACUAGAACCCCACAAUUUGCGAGGUCCAGUGCGUCACAGGGUUGUUUUUCGGCAUUUUGAACCUAGGGCUUUUGUAGCUAGAUUCUUUGGUUUAGAACCUUCCUUGGGCUUGGAUUGGAAGGGUUCUAGCUCUCUUUUGAAGCUUAGGAGAGGAUUCUUACUCUUGAGGUGAGUUUUGACCCUUUUGCUUUAUAGUUAGUGAUUGAGCUAUUUGCUCUUUGUUUCGUUUGGGUGACCCAAUUUUUAUGUUUCUAGGGUACUAGGAAGCUAGUGGAUACCUCCGUUCGGCGAAACGAAGGUUUCGAUUUUGGUGGGUUUGACCUAGCCUAUAAUAUGAGAAAUUAUCAUAUAUGGCGAUACAUGUUUCGUAAAUUGGAAAAGCAUGCAUGUUAAUACUAAAUGUAUUUAUUAUGAUUUUUAGAAUGCUUAAAAUGCCUAUGUUACAUGCGAUGAAAUUUUGGACCUCUAUGUAAUAGAGAGUUGCAUAUGAAGCAUGCAUGUUUUUUUUUAGCAUUCUUAUGUUGGACCAUAUUUCUUAUAGUGUAAAUGAGUUUUGAUUCAUGCAUUUAAACUUAAGUCUAUUUGAGACAUGAAAGAUAACUAAUAUGCCAUAAAGAGGCACCGAACUUGAAUGUUAUGUGAUUUAGAGAGCUAAUGUCAUCAAGCGGCAUUGAGCUCGGGACAUGGGUGAACCUAGUGGAUAGGGCCAUUGAGGAAUGUGGAACAUGCUUAAAUAUUGAAUGUCCAAGUGUCAUAAAGGGGCACUAGACCUAGAGAACAUUGGAACUUCACUUGUGACUUAGGACUAGAUCUUCGAGAUGCUAGUGACUAUAUCAUGUUAGAGACAUGAUGAUUGGAUACUUGAGACGUUNNNNNNNNNNNNNNNNNNNNNNNNNNNNNNNNNNNNNNNNNNNNNNNNNNNNNNNNNNNNNNNNNNNNNNNNNNNNNNNNNNNNNNNNNNNNNNNNNNNNNNNNNNNNNNNNNNNNNNNNNNNNNNNNNNNNNNNNNNNNNNNNNNNNNNNNNNNNNNNNNNNNNNNNNNNNNNNNNNNNNNNNNNNNNNNNNNNNNNNNNNNNNNNNNNNNNNNNNNNNNNNNNNNNNNNNNNNNNNNNNNNNNNNNNNNNNNNNNNNNNNNNNNNNNNNNNNNNNNNNNNNNNNNNNNNNNNNNNNNNNNNNNNNNNNNNNNNNNNNNNNNNNNNNNNNNNNNNNNNNNNNNNNNNNNNNNNNNNNNNNNNNNNNNNNNNNNNNNNNNNNNNNNNNNNNNNNNNNNNNNNNNNNNNNNNNNNNNNNNNNNNNNNNNNNNNNNNNNNNNNNNNNNNNNNNNNNNNNNNNNNNNNNNNNNNNNNNNNNNNNNNNNNNNNNNNNNNNNNNNNNNNNNNNNNNNNNNNNNNNNNNNNNNNNNNNNNNNNNNNNNNNNNNNNNNNNNNNNNNNNNNNNNNNNNNNNNNNNNNNNNNNNNNNNNNNNNNNNNNNNNNNNNNNNNNNNNNNNNNNNNNNNNNNNNNNNNNNNNNNNNNNNNNNNNNNNNNNNNNNNNNNNNNNNNNNNNNNNNNNNNNNNNNNNNNNNNNNNNNNNNNNNNNNNNNNNNNNNNNNNNNNNNNNNNNNNNNNNNNNNNNNNNNNNNNNNNNNNNNNNNNNNNNNNNNNNNNNNNNNNNNNNNNNNNNNNNNNNNNNNNNNNNNNNNNNNNNNNNNNNNNNNNNNNNNNNNNNNNNNNNNNNNNNNNNNNNNNNNNNNNNNNNNNNNNNNNNNNNNNNNNNNNNNNNNNNNNNNNNNNNNNNNNNNNNNNNNNNNNNNNNNNNNNNNNNNNNNNNNNNNNNNNNNNNNNNNNNNNNNNNNNNNNNNNNNNNNNNNNNNNNNNNNNNNNNNNNNNNNNNNNNNNNNNNNNNNNNNNNNNNNNNNNNNNNNNNNNNNNNNNNNNNNNNNNNNNNNNNNNNNNNNNNNNNNNNNNNNNNNNNNNNNNNNNNNNNNNNNNNNNNNNNNNNNNNNNNNNNNNNNNNNNNNNNNNNNNNNNNNNNNNNNNNNNNNNNNNNNNNNNNNNNNNNNNNNNNNNNNNNNNNNNNNNNNNNNNNNNNNNNNNNNNNNNNNNNNNNNNNNNNNNNNNNNNNNNNNNNNNNNNNNNNNNNNNNNNNNNNNNNNNNNNNNNNNNNNNNNNNNNNNNNNNNNNNNNNNNNNNNNNNNNNNNNNNNNNNNNNNNNNNNNNNNNNNNNNNNNNNNNNNNNNNNNNNNNNNNNNNNNNNNNNNNNNNNNNNNNNNNNNNNNNNNNNNNNNNNNNNNNNNNNNNNNNNNNNNUCCUUCUUCAGUUGUUCCUUUGGUCUCCUAUUCAUGUGUGUUGUAGCAUUUUUCGGCUUUUGUUUGCAAAAUCUCUUCACAUGUCCUACAACACCACAAAGAUGACAGGUUUUGUUAGCAAAUAAAUUCUUGGGAGGAACAAAUUUACCAAAGAUCUUCGGAACCGGUUUUGUCGAAUGUUCGUCUACUUUCUUCAUUGCUUGAUCGACAUAUGUCCGUUCGUAUUCAGGUCCAAGUUUGUUGGUUUGACCAAGUCCUAACAUCUUAUCAAGUUUGCUUGACCCGGACGAAAACUUGUUCAAAUCGGAUUUGAGUUGAAUGAUAGUCUUGGUAAAUUCCAUGUUGGAUUCUCUUGCUUCCGUGUAUUGCUUGUUAAGAAAAUUAAUGUUUUCAACCAAAGUUUCCUUUUCCUUCUCAAGCAGUGCACACUUGUCUAGUAAAGUAUUAUAUGACUCGGUCAAAGUGUCCUUCUCUUGCUCCAAACUUUUUGUCAAUGACUCUAAUCUUGUAUUGUCUUGGUCUAGAUCAUACAGUCUUCGUCUCAACUUUUUGUUGUGUUUCGCCACUUUCUUUGAUUCAAUAACAAGUUGAUGAUAUGCGGCGGCCAUAUCCUCUUCUUCCGAUUCUUCAUCCGUUGAGCUUUCCGUAGAAGAUUUUCCAUGCAAAGAAGACAUAGAAAUUGAAUCAAUAGAUGCUAAACACAUAAAAGUAGAAUCUUGUGCAAUAAGUGCAGUGGCAUUAACAUCAUCAUCACUUGUGGAUGAUUCGUGUGAGGAGGUCUCAUCCCAAGUAAUGGCUUGCAUCGCUUUCUUUUUCAAAGACUUUUUGUUAGGACAAUCUGAUGCAAUAUGACCAAAUCCCCUACACUAAUAGCAUUGUAUUUGACCUUCGCUACUUUUCUUUUCUUUUGUAAAAUCUUUUUGAAAAUUUUUCGAUUUUUUAAACUUUGAAGAAGAGGAGGAAGAGGAACUCCCUUUUGAUUUGUUUGGCUUAGAGGGAGUUGGCUUAGAAGAGAACUUCUUUCUAAAGUUCCGACGAAACUUCUUAGUCAAAAGAGCCAUUUGCUUCUCAAACUCUUCCAAGGUUACGUCUGAGUCCGAGUCCGAUGAAGAAGAUUCCAUAUUGCCUCCUUUCAUUGAUUUUAGUGCCAUACCUGAAGCUUUAGAAGACAACUUGGAAGAAGAUGAGUUAACAGGAAAAGUCAUUUCAUACGUUUGAAGAGCACCAACUAAUUCAUCUACUUUGAGUUCAUCCGGAUGUUUUACCGUUUCUAUGGCCGCAACCUUGGGACGAAAACGUUCGGGAAGGGUUCUCAAAAUUUUUCGAACAAUUUUUGGUUCAGAAAUUUUUUCACCCAAAUUUGCACAAGUAUUGACAAUAUCUUGAAGGCGAGUGUAAUACUCGGUAAAGGUUUCAUUUUCUUCCAUACGAAUAAAAUCAAAACGACUAGUCAACAUUUGUAAUUUCUGAACCUUUACCAAGCUUGUACCCUCAUGAGUGAUUUGUAAGGUAUCCCAAAUUUCUUUGGCGGUUUCACACGCCAAAACUCGAGAAAAUUCAGUUUGAUUAAAAGCAUUGAACAAAGCAUUGAUACCCUUCCCAUUGAACGAAGAUAGUUCGUUUUUCACUUUUGUCCACUUAUUUCUAGGUUUCGGACCGCUAAUAUUCUCGACCACUUCAGUAGGAUGUUUCCACCCGAAUUCAAUGGCUUGCCAAACCCUCUCGUCGAUAGCAAUAAGAAACGCCCUCAUACAGACUUUCCAAUAAGCGUAGUUAGUGCCAUCGAAGAGAGGGGGUCGAUUAAUGUUACCGUCCUCGGCCAUAGAUUACAACCUAUACCCGCUCUGAUACCACUUGUGAGAUAUGGAUCCCGAGGAUCUAAAAGGUGAAAAACACCUAGAGGGGGGUGAAUAGGUGUAAACGGUAAAAAAAAUAAACUCGAUGCGAAUAUAAAGUAAAUGCGGAAAAUAAAAUCAGCACACCGAGAAAUAACGUGGGAAAACUCCAAAUCGGAGAGAAAAAAUCCACGGGACCGAUCACACAAAGAAAUCCACUAAGAAAACAUGAGUACAAGUGAUUUAGCAAAAAUACAAUACUCAAAAUACCGAAUCCUAGUUGUGGAUUAUCUUUGCCAGUCCACGAUCGCUUGGAGUCCUCCAACUGAUCACACUGCAAGUCCUUGCAGCCACACACGCCUCGAUUCCACGAAACGCCCACCGAAUCCACGGUCUCCACGCGAGAUCCACGCGCUAACGCUCCAUCCGAAGCUCGUAGAAAUUCAACAAUUUGUGGUGAUUUAAGAUCUUUGAAAGCACAUAUAAUAUGAGGAGAAACCCAAAUUAAAACAUCACCAAUUUGAUCCUUAACGAAAAUUUGAAUCAAAAUCAAAGAAUCAAAUUGGCGAUCUAAUGCUUGAUGUUUAAAAACAUAGAACAAAACUCCGAAUCAAGCCGUUAGGGUUUCUAAAAAGUUAUCUCACUCAACUCCUCUCAAAUAGAGAUCCUCAUAUUAUAUUUAUAGGUUUAGAAGACUUCUAGAUAGAUUAGGAUUCCAAAAACUCAAUUUUAAAAACUGACGACGGUCUCAGGGUCCGGUCCUUUCGAGCAGACCGGUCCUUGGGAGACCGGUCCUCUAAGGUAAGGUCCGGUCUUUCGCUGCGUAGAUGUAAAAAUAUGCGUACGGGGACCGGUCCUCAAUUCAGAGACCGGUCCUUCCCUGCGCAACAAGGAAAACCAUGUACGGGAACCGGUCCUCAAGAUCAGAGACCGGUCUCCCAAACCUUCUACGCAGAGAAGUUUGAUGGGUCCGGUCCUUCUGAUCAAGGACCGGUCCCCGACCCCUGAGUUUUUUAGAAAACUUAAGUUUAGUCAACUCAAAUAUAAACCAAGUCUUCAAAACAUCUUUUAACAAUAAAAACUUCACCACAAAUUAUUUAUAAUCAUACCUGAGAUCCCAAGGGUCUUUGAACACGAAACCUCAACUCUUUCUUCAAUCUUCAUCUUCUAAUUCUUCGAGACUCCGUUCAAUACUUCACGAAAUUCGCCAACUUAUAAAAUCCUUAACAAUCUCCCCCUUUGGCUAUUUCGUGACAAAAUACAAAAAAAUAUUUACAAUGCUUAUCCAAAAACAAAAAUAAGAAGGUUAUUGCAAUCACCAAACAACAACCUUCUGCAUAAUCGAUCCAAUAAAAACAAAAUUAUAUUUUUCACUAAUACAAACUCUAUGACUUAGGACACGACAUAGAGUCUCGAAGUCUUGAAAUACCCUGCAAAACAAUCUCCACACACUUCAUCAAAAAUUUGCAAUGAAUUCAGUUAUAAGUCAAGAGUUCAAGCAUAGUUGAGUUCAAGUAUAGUUACAUCCUAAUCAAAGUUCAAGCAUAGUUCAUCAAGCACAUAAAGUAAAGUCACAUAAAAUAAAGUAAAGUCACAUAAAAGUAAAGUUGCAUCAUAAGCAUCAUCAUCAUCAUUCUCCCCCUUUUUGUCAAGAAACCACCAAAAUGACCAAAAUGAGAGAACGCCAAAACGAGCUCAGUCGGAAUCAGCACCAGGCGCAGGAAGAUCCGCGCUACAACACCCUAGUUUGUCAAAGAUAGCUCUCAUCAGACGACGAAGCUUGCUCACUUGCCUAGUGAGGCGCUCCUGCUCAGCAACCAUGCGAGCCUGAUCCUCAGAAAUCCGUCGAAGUUCGCCGAAAUCCGUUCUUGCUCUAGAGAUAACCUUUGUUGUUCCUGAUAAACAGAAGAGACAGACAUUUCUUCCUCAGACACCUCUGCCGAAGGACGAGAAGGACCAGGAGGUGGAGUGGAACGCUGUUGAGACGAACGUCGUGGAGGAGAGCGCUGCGACUGAAGCUGCACCGCAGAUUUAAUGAACGUAGUUUCACUAAUCACGCCCAGACUAUGUUCAUAUGACGAACAUCUCGUGUCCACAUCAAACAUCCUCAGAAUCCGCAUUAUGAUUAACAGAUAAGGCAACCUCUCUGACUGACUAGAAGUCUUGAUGUCUUUAGCCAUACGGCGCCAAACCAAAAAUGGAACAUUAAGAUUGAUCUUCCUAUCACGAACCACAUUCGGCUGACCCACCAAAUACAUAUAAAGCAUGCGAUCCCAACGCACCACCUUCGUGUUAGCCAACGGCAUUAUAUUGUAGCAGACCACAAAAUUCAAGAAACGAAACUCUAUCUUUAAUUCCUUCGACAUCACACAAAUGCCAUUUGGUUCAACGUUGGGCAAACAUACACCAUUCAUAACCAGACGCCAAUCUCGAACCGCAUCAAAACCAGCAUGCAAAUAUUCAAUUCCAUCAGUCCGAGCCUGCAUACCAAGAACAGAAGCAAUAGUUUCAGGCGUAAUUGUCAAUUCGAUGCCACGCACAGAGGUCUUAAAAAUGAACGGUCCACCAUCGGAAUCCUCCAGAUAUCCCGCUCUCAUAUAGAACUCCCGAAUUAAUUCCAAACAAUAUCUAGUUUGUUCGGGAAAAUCGCUAAUUUCAUAGAGACCUCCGUUCUCAAACAAGGCUUGAAGACCAGGAACUCGUUCAAUUAAGUUCUGAACUCCAACGUGCCGCUCACCAAUACAAUUCUUCGAAGAGUACAUUGAACGUCUCUUCGGAUCAACGUUGCCUCCCUGAGUACUGCGGCGAGGUACAUCAGCUGUAGGUUCACGAAUUUCAAUACCUCCAGUCUUCUUCUUACUACGAGAAUAUGUCAAUUUUUCCGUUCCUUUCCCUUUGGCUUUGCUCUGUCCUUUCUCCUUUUCUGCAACUACCUUUUCCUUCCCUUUCUUCUUCGUCGACAACACUUCUGGAGAGAAUGCUUCCGAAUCUAUCGACUCAGUUUCUGAUUCUUCAUCAGGAGCAUAUUCACUGCCGACAUCCUCAACUGGUGGCUCGACAGGUUGUUGAGUCGAAGUACGCUGGCGCUUACCACCUCGACCACCACCAGCCAUGAGGAACACAAGAGCAAGCAAAAAGGAAUACAUUUUGUUUUCGAAAAAGAUCCCUGUUUCAACAAGUUAAAAAUAAAACACAGAUAUCAUUCACUUCCCUUUUUUAAAAAAAAAAAACAGAAAACACAGAUGAAACCUAGGGCCAAAAAAAAAAUGCAUCAAGAGAGUGAAGUAAUGCAUGAACAGAUCAAGGAUUAUGAGGAUAUAGUAAAGAUCAGUGUGUAGAAACAAGGAACUGAACAAAAUCACAGAUCAAAUCCCACUAACACAUUCUCGGAACAAAUGUGCAAAAAUAAACUCUAAAAAGAAAACGUACCAAUCAAAGCAAGGAAAAACGGGAAGAAAUAGAGCAAACAUCCUCUGGAACCCUAGGCCGGUCGAGGGAGGAGUUUUAGACAAAAAGGUAAAGUAGGAGAGAGACCGAACCAACAUUCGUAUAUGGGGUCGGGCGGAGGGACCGGUCCUUCAAGACAGGGGACCGGUCCCCGUACCGAAAAAAAAAUUCUUCCCCCCCCUUAUUUAUGUUAAAAAAAAAAUCCAAUGACAUGUAAUAUAAAUUUUAUAAAUAUGGUAAACAAAGUCAAUUUCAAAAAUAUUCAAAGUGUCAAGAUUCGUUGAACAAAUAGACGAAUUAAAUUCUAAAUGGGUAUAAUGCUAAAAUCCACACAUCAAUCAAGAUCUAAAAACUAAUCGUCUCGUAUUGUCUUCAUAAUUGCUAAAUAGAGGAAUAGAAGAUCCCAUAAUCACGAAACUAAGAUAAGAUUAUCAAAUUGAGUUAUGGACAAGAUUCGACGAGGGAGUGGCUCUUUGAGCAUUUUUUCACUAUCAACCUUAUAUCACAUAGGAGAUGUAUUGUAAAUAACUCAUGUUUUAUCAUCUCCAAAGCACCGCUUUUAAACCUCCUUUUUUUUUUUUUUAAUAUAUAUAUCACAGGACAUUGUUGGCUUCUUCAUCAACAGAGAUGCUUUAAACAGACAUGUGGUAGUUGCACACACUGACCGGACGACCGGAGUGGUAGCUCUUUCCUCCAUGUGGUGGUAGUUUUCACACUCCCAUGAGGGAUGUAACUCUUUCCACAUCUUUUGUCAUUCUAAUUUAAUUCCAGGAAAGACUCCCCCUAAAUAAGUGCAACUCUCAAGUUGACGAUAUUAUCUCAAGUUCAAAAAUAGGGAACUCGGUAUACAUAUCAUAGCUCAUAAUUCAACAAGACAAAGACAAUGUUUAAAGUUCAAAGAAAGAGAUGUUGACUUUAGCAAAUUAUACUAAAAUCGAAUUUGAAUGAAUCUAUCUUUUGAACAAAAUAUGACACAGAGAAUAAAAAUGACGUUGAUCAAGCUUAACAUAUUAUAACAUAAUGAAAAUAGUAUCACGGAUAUCUCAAAAAUGAUCAUGUAAGAACGACAUGUAUGCACAAGUUUAUGCAAGAUCUAUGGCCCGUAGACUACCUCUAGAUGGAAUACCAAUAGCCUUUCGCAAAUGUAGAAAGCGUUUUUGAUCUAAAGGUUUUGUCAAAAUAUCAGCAAGCUGAUUUUCAGUAGAAAUAUAUUCAAGAUGAAGAAGAUUUGAUUCGACUAGUUCCCUUAAAAAAUGAUAUCUGAGUUCAAUGUGUUUCGUUCGAGAAUGUAAGACAGGAUUUUUAGAAAUAUUAAUUGCACUUGUGUUAUCACAAAGAAUAGUAAGAGUGGUGGAUGGGAUCCGAUAGUCGCUCAGUAAGCUCUUCAUCCAUAACAACUGAGUAGAGCAACUACCAGCAGAAAUAUACUCAGCCUCGGCAGUGGAUAAUGCAAUACAGUUCUGUUUCUUGCUGUGCCAUGCGACAAGACAGUGUCCAAGGGAGAAACACGCGCCACUAGUACUUUUCCGAUCAUCUGCAGAGCCAGCCCAGUCUGCAUCUGAGUAUCCAAUCAGAUCAAGAGAUGUUCCCAUCAGAUACCAGAGACCAUAAGCAAUUGUACCUUUAACGUAUCGAAUAAUCCUUUUGACCGCUUUUAGAUGAAUUUCCUUAGGAUUAGCUUGAUAGCGAGCACAAAUUCCAACACUGAAGGCAAUAUCUGGUCUACUCGCAGUCAAGUACAACAGACUCCCAAUCAUGCUUCUGUACAGUUUCUCAUCCACGCUCGGUCCUUCUGAAUUCAAUCCAAGUCCUUUAUUACUUGUACCCAUUGGAGUGUCAAAAUCUUUUGCAUUGUCCAAUCCAAAUUUCUUAACCAAAUCUUUCGCAUAUUUGGAUUGACACAAGUGUAUUCCAUCUUUAGUUUGUUUGACUUGAAGUCCAAGAAAAUAGUUAAGCUCCCCCAUCAUUGACAUCUCAAAUUCGCUUGUCAUCAACUUUGCAAAAUCAUUGGCAUCCUUAUCCUUAGUUGCUCCAAAGACGAUGUCGUCAACAUAAAUUUGUGCCACGAUGAAAUUAUCUUUCGAGUGUUUAACAAAAAGAGUUCUAUCCGCUCCCCCUCGGUUGUAGCCCUUUUCCAAAAGAAAUUUUGUCAAACGCUCGUACCAUGCCCGCGGAGCCUGUUUAAGACCAUAAAGUGCCUUUUUCAGACGAAAAACAUGAUUAGGAAAUUUUGAAUCUAUGAAACCUUUUGGUUGUUCAACAUAGACUUCCUCUUUUAGAAAACCAUUUAGAAAAGCACUUUUAACAUCCAUUUGAAAAAGAGUAAUUUUAAAAUGACAGGCGAUCGCAAACAGAAUACGAAUUGAUUCAAGACGAGCAACCGGGGCGAAGGUUUCCUCAAAAUCUAUUCCCUCAACUUGUGAGUAGCCUUGAGCAACUAGUCUUGCUUUAUUUCGAACAAUGGUACCAUCCUCAUUUUUCUUAUUCUUAAAAAUCCACUUGGUACCAAUUAUGUGUUGUUGCUCAGGACGUGGCACCAAUUCCCAGACAUCAUUACGCGUGAAUUGACCAAGUUCGUCUUGCAUAGCAUUAAUCCAGUAUUCAUCGAGAAGAGCUUCAUCAACAUUCUUUGGCUCAACUAGAGAAACGUAGCAAGCAAAUUCACACUGAAGCUGUCUCCGAGUUUUCACACCAGUAAGAGGGUCUCCGAUAACAUUUGACAAUGGAUGAUCUUUCACAGGUGUAAGUUCAGAUGAGGUGAUAGGGGUUUCAGAUGAAUCAUGUGAUGCAACAGUGUCAAUAGUUUCAGCAGAAAUAUCAGGCACAGAAAUUUCAUCAAUCACAGGCAAGUUAAAUGGAGAAUCAUUAUCAUCAUCACUCAUCACAGAAGUAGAAGAACCAUUCACUGAAGAGCUUACAGAAGAAGCUUCAUCUACUUUUAUAUUAAUGGAUUCUAUCACCGUCUUAGUACGUAAAUUGUACGCACGAUAUGCACGACUAGAAGUAGAAUAUCCAAGAAAAAUUCCUUCGUCACUUCGGGAGUCAAAUUUUCCAAGAUUUUCACGAUCCCGAAGGAUAAAACAUUUACUCCCGAAGACACGAAAGUAUUUAAUAUUCGGUUUUCUACCAAUUCACAAUUCAUACAGAGUGUUUAAAGUACCCGGGCGUAAAUAGAUACGGUUAAUCACAUAGACAGCCGUGUUAACUGCUUCAGCCCAGAAGUGUAGUGCAACUUUCUUGCUAUGAAGCAUAACACGGCCAUCUCUUGAACAACCCGAUUUUUAUGUUCAACCACUCCGUUCUGUUGUGGUGUAUAGGGAGCAGAGAAUUCAUGUUUGAUGCCUUUUGAAACACAGAAAUCAACAAAUUUUGAAUUUAUGAAUUCUCCCCCUUGAUCACUUCGAAUGCGUACAAUUUUAUCAUUCAUUUCAUUCAUAAGACGAAAAAAGAUUUCAGAAAAAGAAUCAAAGGUAUCAGCUUUUUUACGUAAGAAAGCACUCCAGACAAAACGAGUAAAAUCAUCAACAAUAAGCAGAAUGUAUCGUUUUCCACCCAAACUUUGAAUCCUAGAAGGUCCCAUUAAGUCCAUGUGUAGUAGCUCUAAUGGUUUAGAUGUCCCUAAAUGGUUCAAAUUUUUAUGUGUGGCUCUACUUUGUUUUCCCAGUUGGCAACCCCGACACACAGUGUUCUCCUUGAAGUCUAUCUUAGGUACACCUCGAACAACCUCCUUCUUAGUUAUCUUAGAUAGUUCCUUAAAGUUCAUGUGACCUAGACGUUCAUGCCAUAAAGUUUCAGUUUCUAAUAUUGCUAGGUUACAAUGUUCAGUUGAAGAGCUAGGAACUACAUAGCAGUUAUUCUCAGAUCUUACACAUUUUAAGAAGGUGUCAUCAUUACGAGUCACAGUGCAUUCUUUGUCAGAAAAUUUAACGGAGUACCCGUCAUCACACAACUGACUUAUGCUCACGAGAUUUGAUUUGAGCCCCUCAACAUAAAAGACAUCAUUCAAAGUAGGACCAUCUGAGAUAGUGACAGUUCCUUUUCCAACAAUUUUUUAUGACCGACCAUCUCCAAAAACAACAAGUCCACCGGAGAUUUUGUUUAAAGAAGAAAACCAAUUUUUAUCACCGGUCAUAUGACGUGAACAUCCACUAUCCAGAUACCAAGAAGUAUUGUCGUAAGCAUGAAGCGAAGUGUGAAUGACAAGGCACGGAAAGAGUUCACCUUUGCGCACCCAAACCUUAUGCGUUUUGGGUUGCGUUGUCCGACUUGAUUGAGUCACGCUUUGCUUGUCGACGAUUUGUGUAGUUCUUUUCUUUGAAUCAUUCUUCUUAGGCAUCCACGUUUGUCUUGCCUUUGUCUUUGGAUCCUCCUUCUUCAGUUGUUCCUUUGGUCUCCUAUUCAUGUGUGUUGCAGCAUUUUUCGGCUUUUGUUUGCAAAAUCUCUUCACAUGUCCUACAACACCACAAAGAUGACAGGUUUUGUUAGCAAAUAAAUUCUUGGGAGGAACAAAUUUACCAAAGAUCUUCGGAACCGGUUUUGUCGAAUGUUCGUCUACUUUCUUCAUUGCUUGAUCGACAUAUGUCCGUUCGUAUUCAGGUCCAAGUUUGUUGGUUUGACCAAGUCCUAACAUCUUAUCAAGUUUGCUUGACCCGGACGAGAACUUGUUCAAAUCGGAUUUGAGUUGAAUGAUAGUCUUGGUAAAUUCCAUGUUGGAUUCUCUUGCUUCCGUGUAUUGCUUGUUAAGAAAAUUAAUGUUUUNGCUAACCCGGGGGUUUCGCCACAUUAACUUGCUUCACAUUAAGUCCAUCAUCGCAGGAACUCACCAGCUAGGACCGUCCUUCGGGUUUACUCCAACCCGUGAUGCAUAACUCCGGAGCGCAUCGCCCGAGGGGGAGCGACCGCCCUCGAGCACGGAACUCAUAGCAAGUAUGAUCAUAUCCUUAACUCAAAGGAUUAUAAGUUCAAUCUUGACUUUACACUAGCUCAAGUGUUCUUUACAUCACUUUAUGUUGCAAACUCAUGCAAUCACAUUCUUCACAUUUUCAUUACUCUUGCUAGCUCUAGCAUUCUUGUUCGUUACAAUCUUUGCUCUUAUUGCCCCACUUUACUUUAACUUUACACGUUGUCAUUUUCAUCAUUCUUUUCAUCACUUUAGUUCUUUACAUCACACUAACUCUAGUGUCAUUUCACAUUAGCUUUGCCGAAUGCCACUCGAUCUAUGUCAUUGUGUCACUCUAUUCUUUUGCUCACUUUGGGUGCUCACAUUUCUCUCAUGCAUACACAUAGGAUUUUCGACAUCACAUAGGUCUCAUUCGUCAUAUUAUGCAAGUUGUACUCACAAUCAUGCAUCAUUACAUUUUCAUCAUACUUUACCCUAAAAUGCAUGCAACAAAUAUGUAACAUAUGCUCAAAUGAAUGACACAUUAGGCAUAGAGAGAAGUUCAAUGAGUUUGAGAAGCACCACCCACCUCGUAGGCUUUCAAGGGUGCUCCGAUAAUUUUCUUGGGAUUUUUAGUCGCCCGGUUCACUACCUGCGGCAAAACGAAGCCCUAUUAGGCCAUUUUGCUCAUAUCUUUACUUUGGCUUUUCGUAACGUUAAUCCGAGCGCACCAACGCGUCGGAAAUACCCCCAAUUAGAUUUUUGAAGGGUCAAUUUCACUUAGAAAUCCCCAUGAGCAAAAGCCCCAAUUUGGGUGCCCUAGCUCCAUUGCAUGUGUAAACCUAGGGUUUGAUCUCAUUGGGAAGCAAAAGUAGCUUCAUUACACUCUAAAUAGUCUAUUAGAACCAUCCCUAGCUCACUCCAAACCCUAGUUUGGAUUUCACCAUGAGAGGUGAUGAAGCUCACCUGAAGCUUCACCAUUUUCAUGGUCUUGAUCUCAAAAGAAGCAAAAAGAAAGCUUCAAAUACUCCAAAGGUUCUAUAAAAACCAUCUUCAUUCUAAUCCAAACCCUAGUUUGGAAUUAAACAUGAGAAGGGGCAAGGCUUACCUUCAAGCUUGAGUAUUCUAUAGUGUCACCUAAAUAGCUUGGCGUAAUCAUGGUCAUAGCUGUUUCCUGUGUGAAAUUGUUAUCCGCUNAUCUUUAGACAAAUCAAAACCCUACUUAGGGUUUCACCAUGAGAGGUGAUGAAGCUCACCUCAAGCAUCACCAUUUCUAUGGUCUUGAUCUCAAGAGAAGUAAAAGAAAAGCUUCAAAUACUCAAAUGGUUCCAUAAAACCCAUUUUAAGCUUAAUCCAAACCCUAGAUUAGGUUCUACCAUGAUUAGGGUUCAAAGCUUACCUUGUAAGCCCUUCUUUUCCAAGCUAGAGAUGAGGGAGAGGGAGUCUCUUCACUUCCUCUUCUUCUUCUCCUUUUUCUUCUCCUUCUUUUCCUUCCUUUCCUUGUUUUCUUCUUCUCCUUUGUCUUCUAGAGAGAGAGAGGGAGAGAAGAGAGUGUUUGGGAGGGUGAGAAUGAGAGGAAAAGCCCCUCAACCCUAGUUUGGAAUUAAACAUGAAAAGGGGCAAGGCUUACCUUCAAGCUUGCUCCUUUCUUGCUCUACAGAGGAAGAAGAUGAAGCCUCUUUGCUCCUUGCUCCUUGAUCUCCUACUUCACUUUCUUCUCCUUCUUCUCCUUCCUUUCUUCCUUUCUUCUUCUUCUCCUUUAUCUUCCAGAGAGAGAGAGGGAGAGAAGAGAGUGUGAGAGGGUGAGGAAAUGAGAGAAAUAUCUCAUUUGCCCUCAUACAUAGCUAUUGGGUUGCAAAAUUGCAGCUAAACCCCUCAGCUUUUAUCUCUGUGCACUGCCUGGACUGGGCAGUUUUCGCAGGCAGAGACCGGUCUCCCCGAGCAGGGACCGGUUCCCGAAGGUCCACCCUGCGCAGCCAGAGCUGCUGCGCGCAAUGCGACCAGUCUCUCCCUGGUGGGACCGGUCUCUGGGGGACCGGUCUCUCAAGCAGAGACCGGUUCCCGAGAGCUGAUCUUCCAGGACUUAGCCGAUUUUUCGGCUGUCUUAUUCUUCACGCGUUCGGGGACCGGUCUCUCCCACCAGGGACCGGUCCCCGAGAGCUGAAAGUCUGCAGUUUGCAGAAUUUGAUUCUUUAGCUCUCGAAAACCUCCCGUAGCUCACCUUUAAUCAUUUUAACACCUUCGGAUUUUCCGAAGUGUACCAUCCUCGCACUUUGGUCAAUUUGACUAAAGUUCGAUAUUUAUUUUCUGAAUUUUCGGUAUAUUACAAUAGAGCUGAGGUCAGUAAUUGCCCACUGGGAACUAUAAUUUAUAGUUCUCACGCCCUCUUUUUCUCAAUGUUUUUCAGAGCCUUCCGCGCAUGGGGAGGCCAGGGAUCGCGGAAAGGGUAUCGCCUCGGGCUAGUGCUCUUCGCCGAGGGAUCGUUCGAUAGGUGGCCCACCUCUCUUUGUUUCUUUUUGUGAGAGGUUGAGAAUUGUACCAGUGUACUAGAGACCACCCGUUUGUACUUUGAGACAGAUAUUGUACUGCUUUAUGGUUCACUUUUAUUGUUUAGUUGUUUCUUUUACUAUUGUUAGAGAAGAUAGAAUCAUACUGCUCUGAUAUCAUUAGUUGUGGUUCUUUCCUUUUGCUAUAUUUCUUUCUUUUACUUCCGCUUCUAUUCUAGGCGCCUUAUAUGUGUAGGCAUAUGGCGGGUCUGGGCGCGCUACCGGGAAGGCCUCCGCCGGUCCCGGGGCGUGACAAAGACCCUUCUAUGCAUUGUGACCAGUGUGGCUUAGUAAAGUGACAUACAUGAUUAGGUAAAGAUCUAUCAUUGGUAUUGUGGCAUCAUGGUUUGGUGGCUCGGAUAUAGUGGUAUAUAUAUGCAUGAUUAGGUAAAGACCUAUCAUUGGCAUUGAGGUAUUGUGAUAUGAGAUAGGUUUGGCUAUACUUCCUCAAAUUGAAGAUAGAAUCGUACUCACAUGUAUUGGUUCCGGCUUGUGAGAGGUCGCUUCUCCACAAGCGGUGUACUCCAGAGUGUAGACACCACGGGUAGGAGUGCCUGGCAAAGAUCCUUCGGGCGAUAGUGCCAUGUGCCUUCCCUGGUAGACGGAUGAAUCCCUCGGGGGCAUUUUCAAAUGCUAAUCCCAAUAGAUGGGACAUUUGAGAUGUCAGGUUGGGGUAAGCCUUGUGGACCCCGGGAUAAUAGGGUAAAAGCCAAGUGAAAGGAGAACAAGAACAUGCAUGCAUUAUCAUACUUAUGAUCAUAUAUCUGUUGACUCAGUUUCUUGCAGGCAUUGUAAUAGUAUUGCAUUAGUUGGUUUGCUAUCUAUUAUUUCUUAAAUUACAUAUGCCUGAAUAGACCUAGUGGGCGAGUCGGCGAGGUCGGCGGCCGAACCCACUGGGAACUUUGUUGUAGUUCUCAUCCGACUAACCAUGCAGGUUCUAGCGCGAGCGGGACGAUCGUGGCUCGUGGUAUGGUUAUCGUGCUCUAGGUAGCGUACUACCAUUGUGUAUAGAGGCACCCUUUGUAUAUUUCAUCUAUUAUGUUGAUGAAUGGAAAUGUAAUAAAAUCAUGUGAGAAAUGAAAAUGUAUUAAGUUCAUUUGAGUGAUGAAAUUGUAAAUUGAGAUGAAUGAAUGUAAAGAAAUUGUAUGAGCUUUGUAUUUGAUUGAAAGUGAUUAAGAUACAAUGUAUGAAUGUAAUAGUUAGAUUGCUUUCACUUGUGGUUGAUGUUGCUUACCCUAGAGUAAGCCAUGUAUACUUACAUUCUUAUGUUUGAAUUGCUAUCGUUAUACAUGUAUUGGUGGAGCCUUGGGCAGGCAGGGGAGGUGCUGUCCGUUCGGCGUCUGUUGGCGUGCCCGAACCGACCAAAUUGGCGGUCCCGGGGCGUGACAGGUACUCCCACCUUAGCCAUAUUAUACACAUUUGCCAUUCUCUCCUGAGGUUACUUUACCUUAGCCAACUAUGCCACUCGACUCGGUCUUGAGUCAAGCAUGUGCGGAUAAUCCGCGCUCUGUCCGGCUCGAGGUGAAGGAACUCUCACAUACACCUCAACCUUCAAUUUACAAACCACAUCGCCCAACGGGUCGCCCAGAGCUACGUACACCCGUGGUUAGGGAUCUUCCCGGUGGGAGGGGAAUAUGCCACAUGCAUCCGCGGCCCAAGACCCUCGAUAGGGAGGGGAAUAUGCCACACGCACCCUAGCGCUCCAAGAUCCUUCUGGUGGGAGGGGAAUAUGCCACACACACCCGCGGCCCAGAAUCUUGCUCAAUCAGAAUCCUCGAAGUUCUUCCGGUGGGAGGGGAAUAUGCCACACGCACCCGCGGCCAAGAACUGUCGGGCUCAUACGCUGCACUAGCAGCCGCUGCACUCGCAGCCGCUGCACUCGCAGCCGGGAUUUCGGAAUCCACUUUCAUAACUCUAGGGUUGGUCUCACCCUAUAUUAUCAACCUAUCUAGCUCCAAGCCUUUACUCAACCUAAGUUCAAUUCAUUAGGUUCAAUACCACUAUACUCAUAGCCUAGGUUCAUUAACGCUAGGUUCCAUGUUCUUACUACCUAGGUUCAUUUGACUCUAGGUUCAAUGUCACUGUAUUCAUAACCUAGGUUUACUUGACUCUAGGUUCAAUACCACUCAUGUUCUUUUUUUCCUAGUUGUCCACACUUAGGAAUCAUACUUGACAUGCCACUCAUGAAUCACCUAUAUUCAUUGACACUAGGUUUCAUCGCCACUCAUGAUACUUGUUAUCUUAAUUAUCCACACUUAGGAUUCUUUACAUGUCACCCUUGUCGAGUUCUUUAUUAUUCUUAAGAGCUCAUCGACUCAAGUUUAACAUUCAUGUCAUUCUAGCAUAUUCUCAUAAUAUGUCAUCAUGCAUAUAUUCUUUAGUAUCUCAUACACAUGCCUAUGUUCUUAUUGAAAUGGUAGUCAACAUGUCUCAUGCAUUCUUUGGUAUACAUCUUAUGCAUUCAUCAUAAUCUAUCAUAUGCAUUCAUUAUCACCUAUCUUAGGCAUUCAUUAGCAUAUAACUCAUGCAUUCAUUUACUUUGCAAUUGGCUACCAUUACAUGUAUCAAUGACUAAAUACACUACACUUUGGCAUGGAAGCGACCUAAUCGCUUCGGUGAGCACAACCCACCUCAAAUCACUUUUCGAUUGCUUGUAGUCACUUGCAAUCGGCCUUCCGCGGCACCCGUUGCCCGGUUCGGCCCGAACUCGCACUCGACCAUGAAACGGCCACCAAUCCAUGAUCCGAGAAUUAAAGGUCUAUAACUUGAUGCCACGAUGCUCCGGAUCCGUUCUCGUGAUUUUUGGAUGUCGCCUCGGCCCUCCAGUCGGAAACGAAGACAAAACGUUCGUUUCUUUAAUAUCUUCGCGUAGGCUCGACGAAUCGCCGAAACGUCUUUGCUAACGUGUCGGAAAUACCUUUAAUUAGGUUUACAUAGGAUCAAUUUACAUUUAAACCCUUCUAUGACAAAAGCCCCAAUUUUGGUGCCUUAACAAUGUCAUUUUGCCCAACACUUGGUUUGAUCUCUUUGCUAAGCAAGAACAAGCUUAGAAUCAUCUAGAAACUUAUCUAGAACCAUUACUAGGCCAUUCAAACCAUUACUAGGGCAUUUAGAACAAAUCCUAGAAAUCCACCAUGAGGGCAUAUGAAGAAAACAUGAUUUUCAUGUGUUCUAUGGCCUCAACAAGGUUUCUACUCUUGUAAAAAGAUCAAAUUCAAAAGAUUUUGGGUGUAAAACCAAACCCUAAUAUCAAUCUUACAAGAAACCUCAUCUUAGCCACAAGCUCUCUAAUGUUCACCUUGUAGGAGAGUCCCCAAGCCUUUAAAACCCUAGAUCCUCCAAGAUUUCUCCUCCAAAUCCACCUCCUUUAGCUUUGGGAGAGAGAUUCUAGAGAGAGAGAGGAAGAAAAAUGUGUUGGAGGGGGUAUUUGGCUGUGGGAGAGAGAGAGAGAGGGUGUUUGGGGCGUUUUAUAAGAUGCUACAAUUGCAUUUAGACCCUCAUCUUUUUCAUAUUUGCAGCAGUUUUCAUUUUGCUGUCAGACCCAAUGUGUACCGGUGCACAUCAGGGGUGUUGUAACGCACUGGACCUUUGCAAAUUGCGAGGUUCGAGUGAUUGGUCGUGCUCUGAGCCUUUCCAGAUUUCUGGUAGGUCGUUGACCGUGUUCCGACCUAUGGCACAUGUCCCGAGGAGUGUGGUACGAAGCCUUGCACCAAAACCCAAAAAUUUGGAUUUUGGUCAGCUCUCGGAUUGGCUGUCUGGCGGGCUUGUACCGGUANGUACUAGAGACCACCGUUGUUGUACUUUUGAGAUAGAUAUUGUACUACUUAUGGCUUCUUUUAUUGUCUAGCUUUAUUUCUUUACUUGGUGUAGACGAUAGAUCUGUACUUGCUCUGAUAUCAUUAGUUGCUAGUUAUUUCAUUUCCUAUAUUUGUUCUAUCUCUUGCUUUUACUUCCGCUUUUGUUGUUUACGCCUUAUAUGUGCAGACAUAUGGCGGGUCUGGACACGCUACCGGGAGGGCCUCCGCCGGUCCCGGGGCGUGACAGGUGUCACCGGUUACACGAUCGCGCUACAACCAAACCCGAGAGUUGCUAUUUCGGGUUUUACACUGUGUACCGGUACACUUUUAGUCUGUCACCAGUACACAGCCUUUUUAGGACUUAGCCAAUUUUUUUCAACUUUUCUCCGUUUUCGCUCGUUAGGCCUCUGAUUCAUCUUAAAUCGCACCGAAACCCCCAAAACAUAUUUUCGAGCGUGUCUCAACCAUCUUUUCAUCCCCGCUUAUGCCGGAUUUAACCCAUGGUCCAACAUGGCCUUUCGGGUUCCGUUUUCGCGCCAAACACGCACCGAAACACCCGAAUUCUCCCGAGCCUCAAUCUCGCAUUGUUUCGACUCCAAUUCACGCCGAGCAAUGCUAAAACCUUUCCAACUCCCUUGAACUCAACUUUAACCCUUCCAACAUUGUUGGAAUGUUAAAUAGGCUUUGUCCAACUAUUCCUUUCGCACACUUUAGUCAAUUUGACUAAAGUUCGAUAUUCUCUACCGAGUUUCUGUAUGUUACAUUCUCCACCCCUUAACAAGAGUUUCGUCCUCGAAACUCAACUCACACCUCAAUUCAGCUCCUCAAGCAAUUGAGGGCACUAAUGCACUUUCCCACUCCGGAAUGGUCUCACGUUCAUAGGAACAAUUCAAAGGUUCACAAUGGAGGAUACGAAACCAAAAGCAUACACUUUGCAAGGUGCAUCUCACAAAGUGCAUUAUGGUCUCCGUCCUUCUUGGUGGCAGCGCAAGUCGAAACUCGAUGACUCUACGUGCUCCAACAGCACUCGCCAAUCGGCACACAAAGAUUUUAUCCUUGCAUUUGCUUUCCCUUUGGCGAAUACAUUCCAAUUCCAAUCCUCGAACUCCAAGUGGCUUGUUACUAGCUCAAGGCCUCACCAAGAGCACUUUAUCUUCUAAUGCCAUAUGCCACGGUCAAUCUCAUAUCACUCUCGCAACGAGCACACACGAAUGCUUCGUUCGUGAAUUUGAGCGAAACCUCUCGAUAAGGCUAUCCACCAAAUCGCUUUCCUCAGUUUCCAUAGCUGGACCAAAGGUCACCAAUAGUACGUAGGCCUACCGCCUAAAUCUAUCUCAACGUACGCGCAGCGCCUCUCGCUCGCCAGCGUAGACCCAAUCAUCAUUGGGGCGAAAUUCUUACUUGGGAAUUCGCACACACUCCAACCAGGAGCAAUUCAAGACCUCAAACCAUUAUAGAUCCUCGGGUUGGGUCACAACUGAACUCUUGGUAUACAAUCGAUCGCACGACACGCUCUAUCGAGCACACGUAUCAUUACCGGCUCCUAUGCACCUAGCGCGAGUCACAAGUCCUACGAGUGAUCCAUGACACGCUUCACACCUAGUAAUGCUCAAGUGCUACUGCCAACACUCACGCGGCGGAACUAAAUCCGCACUCCACGAGUAAUUAUACUCGAGCGUCACACGCCUCUAUAGUGCUCCAAUUUCCUUUACUUGCCGCAGGCCAACUCUGCUGUCCAUAGCACUGGGUACCGAUACGCAUCAGGGGUGUCACUGGUACUCCGUUGCACAGAGACCAAACUCGAGAGCAACCUAUUCUCGAGUUGCUGCCUGGUACCGGUACAAUCCAAUGCUUAACCGGUUAACAAUGCUCCAGACUUCGAUUUCGCAUUGUUUCGCUUCGAUCAAUGCUAAAACCCUUUAAUCUCUUUUAGAACUCAACUUUAACCCUUCCAACAUCGUUGGAAUGUCAUAUGGACUUUGCCCAUAGGUCACCACUAGCAACUCACUAGUGCCAUCUAGUCUCCACCUGCUCCAGCAGGUGCUCCGCUUUCACAACGCAAGCAUGCCCGGGUAUUUACACUUAUCCAUCCACUUGGUCCCUACUAUACUAAGGUGUAAGUAGUAGCAAAUGACCAUAUGCUCAAUGCAUGCAAUGCACCAACUUUACAUCAUGCAGAAACACAUGACUACAUCAAUUAAAUCAUACCUGCCAUGACGUCGUCAGUAGCAGCAGGUCCGACAUCCUGGGUCGCGUGUCCAUGGCCACUUGGCGCCCACUGCGAACCCCUUGGUUGCAUCACCACCAUCGCUCGCUCUCCCGACCGUGCCGCAGGUGGCAUACCCGCAGGCUGUCCCGAGGAGGAAAAGGCGGUCGCCAGCGUCAAAGCCUGGCUAUCACCUUGCGGACACUCAUCCCACAUAUAGCCUGGUUGCCCACAACGAACACACUUUCCAUCAUGCAGCGCACAUCGCCGCGCCCUGUGGGAACCACCACAAAUCACGCAGCUUGGAGAGGAUCGAGUAGAUGACGACUUCGGGUGUCGCCUGGAACUUGAUUGUCCACCUGGAUUGCUCGAUAAUGGCCUCACUCCACCCCGCUCGUGUUCAUAAGACUCGUGCUCCUCACGCACGAAAGCCUCACCGUGCUCUGCCCAUAACGCUCGGUCCAACAUCUCCGCGUAGGUCGUGAGUUUGAAGAUUUGCACCUUCUCGUAAAUAUCCGGUUGAAGUCCACGCAGAAACCAAUCGGCCAUUGUCAUCCCGUACCACAUCAGGGACACAAUUCACGAUACGGGAGAAUUCCCGUUCGUACUCCCUCACAGAGCGGUCUCAUUGCCACAGCUUCCUGAACCUGUUCUGAAGCUUUCUCUUUUCACUGUCGGAAAAGUAAGUAGAAAAUACCAAUCCCUGAAACUCAUCCCAUGCCAUAGGAGGGAGACUAGGCGAUCGAUCCCGUCGAAUGCCCUUCCACCACACCCUCGCCGAUUGCUUCAAGCAAUGCACGGCUAGGGGCACCUUGUCCCGCUCCAAUGUGUACAGCUCCUCGAAGAGCGUUUUCAUGGAGUCAAUCGACAUCUCUACGAUCCACGGAUCGACAUUCUCUCCAUCGAAGAUAGGUGGAUCAAACUUCUUGAAGGUCAUGAGGGCCGCCAAAGCCCGCUCAUUCUCCGCCUCCACCAAUGCACUUUUGGGAGUCGGAUCGCCCGACCCCGACGGAAACAUCUCCGCCGCAAUUCCCUGCCGUCCUCGACGAGCCGCAACUGGUGCGGUCACCAGCUGAUCUACCAUUUCCUGGAGUCUCUUAAUUCGCUCCUCCUGGCGCAUAGCAGCCUCUUGCUGUCGCUGCACCACAUCGGCUUGUUGCCUCACCACUCCCACGAGUGUGGCCAAUUGAUUGCGAAGUUCCAAGUCUCCGCUCGCCUCAGAUUGCUCAGGGACAUCACUUAUCCCAUCCCGCGCCGAUCUAGCUGAAGAUCACCUAUGCGGUGCCAUCGUUCCCUGAAACACGACAACUCGAUUAAUCCUCAACCUUCUUAGGUCGAGCACAAAACAAUCAACUUCGACUCAAAUCGGACGAAAGUCAUACAAGAGCGUCUAUUCUCAUCACUCGGUUUCAUGUUGUACAUGCCCAACAUGAACACCCUCGGUUGAGAAUACACCACACCUUGAGUCUAACUGUAAUAUCCGUCUUAGAGGUUUACAACACAACCCAAUCCAUAACCUUUCGCCAUAAGUCUCAAGUCCUCGUCUCUCACGAGCCUUAAUCUCCUAUGGUUUACUAUCCUAGGGUCUCCUAGGUCCAACUAAACCGUUUUUUUUAUAUUCUUUUAUGUUCGUUCUAUUCUCCCUUUAUGCUCUGAUACCAUCUUAUCUGUCAUGCCCCGAGCCCGCCUCUUUGGCUGGUUCGGGCACGCCGACAGACCGCCGAACGGACAGGAUUUUUCCUGUACUGCGGACAAAGUCCCCCAUGUAUGUCCAAGGCGUCACAAUCCAAACAAUGCGCGAGGUUCCAAUCAGGAACAGCAUACAACACAGGUUGCAUAAGAAAAGUAUCGAAAACAUAAAUACUAUUAUGCUAUUACAAGCAUUCAACUCAAAUACAUUUUACAUUACACAUUACAUUUUCAACUUCUCUUAGUAACUUCCAAAUACAAUCCAAUUUAACAUAAUUAUUACAAUAAUGAUUCUUUUCUUUUCUUUGACAUCCCUAAGCAGUCGACUCAGGGUACCGCUAUCUUUGGUCUCGGUGGUAGGGCGCUAACUACGGAGCUACGCCAUUUUCUCGCGCUGCCGCGCCGCUCACGUGUGAACCUGUACCCCUAAUGUGUACCGGUACACAUCAGGGGUGUCACCGGUUACACGAUCGCGUAACAGCCAAACCCGAGAGCUGCUGUUUCGGGUUUUACACUGUGUACCGGUAUACUUUUAGUCUGUCACCGGUACACAGCCUUUUUAGGACUUAGCCAAUUUUUUCAGCUUUUCUCUGUUUUCGCUCGUUAGGCCGCCAAUUCAUCUCAAAUCUCACCGAGACCCCCAAAACAUGUUUUCGAGCGUGUCUCAACCAUCUUUUCAUCCCCGCUUAUGCCGGAUUUAACCCAUGGUCCAACAUGGCCUUUCGGGUUAUGUUUUCGUGCCCAACGCGCACCGAAACACCCGAAUGCUCCCGAACCUCAAUCUCGCAUUGUUUCAACUCCAAUUCGCGCCGAGCAAUGCUAAAAUCUUUCCAACUACCUUGGAACUCAACUUUUGUCCUUCCAACAUUGUUGGAAUGUUAAAUAGGCUUUGUCCAACUAUUCCUUUCGCACACUUUAGUCAAUUUGACUAAAGUUCGAUAUUUUCUACCGAGUUUUGGUAUGUUACAAGCCCGCCCGUUCCACCCGCGCCGUCGCCGGCGCCCGCCCUCCCCCUCGGCUCACACCCUCGCGCUCGCUUGCGCUCGCGCCCUUGCAGUGCCCACGCCCGCCCGCGCCUGCGCACGCUCGAUUGCCCCACUGCUCCUCCGCCCUUGGCGCGCCGUCGCAAAGCGCCGCGAGCCGUGCCUUGCCCCCUGCGCCCGCCCCGCCCAGCGCCGGCUGCCUGCGCGCCGCCCUUGAGCAAGCCCGCCCACCCCUCGGCCAGCCCGGCCCGCGCCCUGCGCCAAGCCCCGCCCUGCGCCCUCGCCCGUGCCUGCGCCUCCCGCUACCACGUGUGCAGUUAUUGAGAAAUAAUAUAUCUUUAUAGAUGGGCCAACUUUUUUGAUUUUGUAGAUUCGAGCGGAUUUUCAGCCACCUAACCAAAAUGCCCCUCGUCUACAUUCGUCGUCCGCGUAUUCCCUGAGAUUCAUAUACCCUAACGUACGGUCCUGGCGGGUAUUAAAUGCGCCCCAUGCGCUUUACGCAACCUCGCUCUCAUCGGAACCCGGACCAAAUCUGCUCCGCUAUGCGCCAGCACUAGUGUUUGCUCUUCAUCUUAAAAAAAUUAAAUUUGCUGAAGCUAAAUGACAAAAACUACGCGGCCCACAACAGAAAUAAUAGUGCAACACCAUGUAGCAACAUGACGAGAAAUAGUGCAACAACCCUUCUAAUAGUGCAUCCUUCGGCUGUCACGAGUGCAAUCUCAGUCGCUCAGAUGUGUGACGUUAGCGUUCAAUUUUCUCCCUCAAAGGGCAUCAUUCUUGUAACACACUGGACCUUUGCAAAUUGUGAGGUUCGAGUGUUUGGAUGUAUUUCGAGCUUUUCCACACUUGGUGGAGGGUUGUAGAACGUUUUCCGACCUAAAAAGUUCGAAAAUCGGAAUUCUGGAUAAGUCCUGAGAGUUUUUACUCUCGGGGACUGGUCCGUGGAAGGAGAGACCGGUCCCCCAGUGAGCAGUGUUGAGGCAGCCUGAGGCAACCGGUCCCUGGCAGGCGAGACCGGUCCCCGAGCGCGUCUUCGCAGUGAGAGACCGGUCCUGCACGGGGAGAGACCGGUUCCCGAACGUUGGUUUUUCGGGUUCGCAGCGAGAGACCGGUCCCUGCUGGGGAGAGACCGGUCCCUCUGGGCGAAAACUGCCCAGUUCGGGCUGAUGUAAUAUUGGGUUUUUGAGGGGCCUGGUUGGAUUUUGUUACUCUAGAUGGGCUUAUUAGCCAUUUCACUCCCUUCCCUCCUCAUUUCUCACCACCCUACACCUUCUAGAGAGAGAAGAAGAAGAAGGAGAAGAAGAAGAAGGAGGAGAAGAAGAAGAGGAGCUAGUUUGAGGGAGCUUGGAGCUCAACCCCUUUCUCUCUUUCCCACCUUGGCAAGGCUUGGAGCUUGCUUGUAGAGCUUAGUGGUGGACCAACUUCAACCCUAGAAGAUUUUGAGCUUGGAUUGGAGCAUCCUAGAGGUAUGUGGCAAGGUUCCUCCCUCUAGAUCUUAGUUUUGGAGCUUUUUGCUUGUUUUAACCCUAGAAUGAGAUUUAGGGUUUAAUUUUGGGCAUUUUUGAUCUAGGGCUUUUGGGGCUAAAUUGAUUGGUUUAGAACCUUCCUAGGGCUUGGAUUGGAAGGGUUCUAGCUCUCUUUUGGAGCUUUGGGAGAGAUUUCUACUCUUGAGGUAAAUUUUGGCCCUUUUUGCUCCUAGGUUAAUGUUUGAUCUUACGGUUGGUCGUGAUGCUCCCGUAUCUCUUCACUGACCACUUUUAGGGUAUCUUGAGGCUCGUGGACAACUUCGUUCGGCGAAUCGAGACCCUACGCGACGGUUCGGUGGGUUUGACCUAGCCACACAAUGAGAAAUUCUCAUGUGUGUUUAAUUAAGUGUUGUUAAAUGAAAAAGCAUGCAUAUUCUUGUUAUACGAAUUUAUUGUGAAUUUUAGAAUGCUUAAAAGGCCUACGUUAUAUAUAAUGAAAUUUUGGACCUCUAUGUAGUAGAGAGUAGCUUAUUAGGCCAUGGUUGCAUUUAGCAUUCUAUAUGAGACGCGGUAUCCUACUUCUAUAGUAUAAAUGAGUUCGGAUUCAUGCAUGUAAACCUACAAUUACUUGUGACAUGAAAAUUGACAAGAUUGUCAUUUAGAAGCUAUGUGAAUUAGAGAGCUAAUGUCAUCAAGCGGCAUUGAGCUCGGGACGCGUGUGAACCUAAUGGAUAGGGCCAUCAAGGGAUUUGAAAUACAUAUUGAACAUCAGAUUGCCUAAGUGUCAUCAAAGGGCACUAGGCGUAGCAAAGGUUGAACCUUCACAUUGUGACAUAAACUAGAUCUUUGGGAUACUAGUGACUAUACCAUGUUAGAGACAUGAGGAUUGGAUACUUUAGACUUGGACUUUGCUUGCUUGCCAUUUGUGCUCAUUCGCACAUGCUUGUGAGGGUCGCUCCCUACAAGCCGGCACUCCGGAGUUAGCCUAUGCGACCUAUGUUCGCUCGUGCGGUAUUGAGAAGCCUACGGGGUCGAGUGGGACAGACACAUUCCAAGAGUAGGAAUGUCGGGCUACCACAGGCACUUAGGCGGCACAAGCUGGACUACCUUUGGUAGGUCCUUGAUUGGAAAUGGAAAUCGAUACGGGGUCGAGAUUGGUUAAUCACUACUAGAUAGGUUUAGUAGUUGGAUUACAUUUAUAUGUUUUUUUAGCAUAGUGUUGAGACAUGUAGUAUAUUUGAUAGUCUCUUGUUGCAUUAGAGCAUACUUGGUUGCCAUGAUAGAGCUUAUGCAUCAUGCAUUGAUAAGGGUUAUUGACAUUAGACUAGUGCCAUUGGACGUAAUUGUAAGGAUAGAAUAGAUGUACAUUUUGGUUUACAUCACGCUUUCUUUCAGCAGUUUAUUUACAUGCUCCUUAUUGCUUAUUAUUAUUAUCGUUGCUUACCUUUGUUUUUGGGGCCUAGUGGAGCAGGAGCUGAGGUCAGUAAUUGCCCACUGGGAACUAUAGCUUAUAGUUCUCACGCCCUCUUUUUCUCGAUGUUUUCAGAGCCUUCCACUCAGGGCGAGGCUAGGGACCGCGGGAAGGGAGUUGCUUCGAGCUAGCUUCCUUUGAGGACGAUUCGCUAGGUGGUCUACCUCUCGUUGUGUUUUAUUUUGGAGAGGUUGAGAGUUCUACCAGUGUAUUAGAGACCACCGUUUUUGUACUUUUGAGACAGAUAUUGUACUACUUGUGAUUUCUUUAUUGUCUAGCUUUACUUGCUCUGAUAUCAUUAGUUGCUAGUUAUUUCACCUCGUCAUUUGUUCUAUUCUUGCUUUUACUUCCGCUUUUAUUGUAGACGCCUUAUAUGUGUAGACAUAUGGCGGGUCUGGGCACGCUACCGGGAGGGCCUCCGCCGGUCCCGGGGCGUGACAGAUUAAUUUGGUAUCAGAGCCUAGGGUUGAGUCUUAGUGGACCUAGCGAACCUUAGGCCGGUUGAACUAUAGGAAUUAGGCUCGUGAGAUACGGGGUCUAAUUGACUUGUGAGCGAAAGUAUCGUGAUUGGGUGUCUUGAUAACUCUAAAAAGGUUAGAGUUGGAUCGGAGUGUAUGGCUCCUAACUUCGCGGAGGGUUACGUUGGCGGCCGACAACGUAACAUCGGGAGUUAGUAGUGAAGGACACUUCCUUACUUUCGCAUGAUUUGGGUUUUAUCUAUUUGAGCGGGGAUUCGAUAGUGCGGGUUACUAACUUGCACUUUUAUGUUUUGUAGCGACGAUGCCGAUUACUCGCUCCCAGUCUGCCGGGGCGGAUGAUGCGGCACAUCCCGAGGAGGUUGAGACCUCCGCUACUUCCGGAUCUAGCGAGGUCCGUGACCUGAAGGCCCAGCUUGCGGCCCUUACUGAUCUGUUGGCGCAGCAGACGGUAGCGGCGCAGCGACAGGCCGAGGUGGCUCAGCGGCAGGAGGCACGGAUGAAGCAUUUGGAGGGCCUCCUACUUCAGCAGGCGGCAGCCUCGAGGGAGACCAAGGGUCCUACACCGCCAGCACCCGUGGUGGACGUCGCACCGAGGGCGCAGUCCCCCGCGCCCAGUUCUUCCCGUGCGGCACCGGCGCCCGCACCUCGGGAGGAGGUGGCUGCGGUACCCCCAGUACAGAGACCGGCGACGGGGGUGGCAUUCCCCGUGAUGGUCGAGGGAGCUGAGCGGGAUCGGCUCAUGGAGCGCCUCAGUGAGUUCAGGAGGUGCAGCCCGAGGAUGUUUGAUGGCGAGAACGUCAACCACUGGAUUGUUGAGAAGUGGUUGAUACACAUGGAAAAGCUGUUUCGAGACACUUUUGUGGAGGAGCGGACAGAGUUUGGCUUGCCACUCACUUUUUGGACGGCGAGGCCUACCGUUGGUGGUUGGAUAUCCAGGACAACCCCAACAUCGACUUUUCAGCGAUUACUUGGACACGAUUCAAGGAGCUUCUACUGGCGCACCACUUUCCUACCAGCGUCAAGAGGAAGAUGGAGCAGGAUUUGCGCAGCUUGCGCCAAGAUGAGCGGUCAGUGGCUCAGUACGAGAGGGAGUUCUCCCGGAUACUACANUGAGCUGAGGUCAGUAAUUGCCCACUGGGAACUAUAAAUUAUAGUUCUCACGCCCUCUUUUUCUCGUUGUGUUUCAGAGCCUUCCACACAGGGUGAGGCCAAGGAUCGCGGAAAGAGUAUUACCUCGGGCUAGCGUGCUUACCGAGGGAUCGUUUGAUCGGUGGUCUACCUCUCUUUGUUUCUUUUGUGAGAGGUUGAGAGUUUUACCAGUGUAGUAGAGACCACCAUUUUUGUACUAGAAGCUGAUAUUGUACUACUUAUGUUUCACUUUUAUGGUUUAGCUAUGCUCUUUUCCUAUUGUUAUAGAAGAUAGAAUCAUACUGCUCUGAUAUCCCUAGUUGUUGCUCAUUCGUUUCUAUUACUUCUCGCUUUUACUUCCGCUUUUACUCUAGACGCCUUAUAUGUGUAGACAUAUGGCGGGUCUGGACACGCUACCGGGAGGGCCUCUGCCGGUCCCGGGGCGUGACAAUCCUUGUAAGGACUGAGACUUUUACAGUGUAGCUAAACUCUCAGUUGACGAUGUUUUUGUGUGUAAUUUAAUUACAAAAGCACUCAUCAAGUUUCGGGAGAAAACGAGUUAAAACGGAGAUUCUACGCGAUUUCCAAGUUUUACUUAAAGUGAAUAGUAACUCGAUUUUUCGGAAAACCCACGGUGUGAAGUUGGCUUCAGGCUCAUAUCGGACUCCGUUCAUAGCAGUCCAAUAGCUCGUUUCGACCGGUUCAGCUAUUCUGGAACUAAUGGCGCUGACGGAUUUUGAGUUUGAUCCACGGAUUUCGAGAAAAUCCAAAAAUACGUGUUUUAUAUGUAUUUGUGCACAGUUCUUCUGUUGGAGAGAUGGAUCGGAUUUUGUCACGAAUCCGCGAAGGAUCGAGGUGAAACGAAAUCGUAGCUUUGUUGUCUCUGUUGUGCUGAUCUCACUGGUGCGAUCCGUUCGCAAAUCUGACGUACGGAUCUGCGGAGAUUGCGCGUUGAUUGAGGAGAGGUCGGUGAUGGCAAAACGGUAUUUUCGUAAAAAGUGUGACAUUUUAUGUGCCGUUUUGUGUGAAACCGAAGGUGGAGGUGUAUUCGUGCGUUUUACACGCACUGUGAAGGACCCAGUAUUAAAUACUGAGGUUUUGUGCUCUAACUCGCAAUUGUACACUUCUCUAUAUAAAGUUCACCUAGGGUUUGCCCAUUGGAAACCCUAACCCUAGCCUUGCCGCACCCCCCAGCCACCUUCAUCUCUCUCCCCUGCCUUGCCGCGCGUGCGACGGCCGCAACCGACCGAGCCCCGGCUCGCCAGCAGUAGCUUCUACCGCAGCCGCAACCUUUGCCACCUUCCCUCUCGAUCCAUCUCUCUCCUUCCACCUCUCUUCAUCUCGGGUUGGGGACGAGGCCGAGGUUGCUCUCCUCUACGGCAUCACCCCCGUAGCCCCGGCGACCACCCCAGUCGCCUGCCGCCGUCGCUAAGCGCGGCCGCCGCGCUGCAGCCACUUGUUGCCUGCUAGGGCAUCUCGGGCCGAGCUGAGCUCCAUCUGCUAGCCGCGCGCCGCCGCCACCUGAGGCCGCUCCCGCCGCCUUCCCCGGAGCCUCGGCGACCACCCUGGCCGGUCUCUGCCGCCCCUGCGGGCCGCCGCCGCCGCCUCGGCCAGCCGCGGCCGCCCCAGACCCUCUCAGGCCGAGGUGGACUCGCGACUUCUCCCCCGCGCUGCCGCAGCUCGGGGCCGCACCCGAGGCAUCCCUUCGGCCUCCAGCUACUCCCCGUCGUUGUCCCUGAGCUUCUCGGCCGCCGCUGUGGCCGCCUCUGCUCUGGAACCCGAGCCCUAGCUCGUGCGGGCUCAGGCUGCUCCGCCGCUGCCACCGCCGCACCUCGCCGCCGGCUAAGGUGAUCCUUGUGCUCCUUCCAUCCCCCGCACCCACCUCUGGCCCGCGCACACCUCGCCAUGCCGUCGGAAGCCGGCCGGAGCAAGCUUGCUCCAGCCAAGCCCGAAUUAGGGCUUUUCUGGGAUGGCUUACUGUUUCGAGCGACCAGAGGCUUCCCGAUCUCUGAGGAAGGGAGCAUGAUGAUCUUUAAUCCUUGCUGAUCAUCGUGCUCACCUUAGAUUUUGUCGGAAAGACUUCGUUAUGCUGUUUCGGUAGUGUCGCCCCUUCAGGGCCUUCUUGGCUGCUGUUUUGGCCUUGCGCGCACUUUUUCGGCGAUCCAAGGCUGUCCCGAUGCCUCCGGAAGUGAGCACGAUGAUCGCUGGUCUGUUCUGAUCACAGUGCUCACCUUACUUUGGAUCAGCGGAUGUCGUGUCGGCAUGUUCGGCACGAUUUUUCCCGACUGCGCGCUAUUCGCAGAACCUUCGGGUCGCUCCCGCCCCUCCCACAGUGAGCCGUUGUGCUCUGGAUCAUGAGCACGGCCUCCGGUACAUCAGACCUGUCAGUGCGUGUCUCAGCAGACCUUGAAAGUCCUCGGUUUGCGUGAACGAGCCACUUGAUCGCCAAAAUUACAUAAAAUGUUAGGAUUUUAAGUAAUUAGAGGGGCUUUUGUGCAAUUGUGCACCUUAUGGCUACUGUGGGCAGUGCAUGUGUGUGUGUGGUGACCUCUGGACUGAUUGUCCAUGAUCCGAUAGUCUUCGCCGAAAUGGAGGAGUUGAUUUCGGUGCGUUUUUCGGCGAAAUUCGCCGAAAGAACGCGAUUUCAGUUCGGAUUUCUUCUGACGUUGUUUGUUUAUCCUGUGAAUUGUCACUGAGCCUUGUUGGCUGGUCACCAUCAUCAUUUUGUGGGUUCAGUGAUGAUGGGUGAGCGACGGUGGGUUCCGGUGUCGAAAUAGACGCUUCCGGGAACCCGUAUUCGUACAAUUACUCGGCGAUAAUUGGGUAGUGGUGUUAUCUUGUGUUUGCUGCCAAGACAUCCAAACAUGAGUGUUUUGUGGCAGCGGGUAACUCGCGACACGAGUCGGUGAGUUUCGGGACACUUAGUAGGUCCCGACGGCGUCCUGGUGUGGUUUUCGGGACUUCUGGUGAGUUACGGUGAUCGGUUUUGGGAAAUCGAUUCAGGGAUCUGUGUGGGGGUUUGUGAGAUAGUAUACUUCAGGUUAGUGGGUUGGAUAGUGACCUAGUGGAUCUUCGUAGGUUCGGUGAAGUUGUGUGCAUCCAAGUUUUUCGACGCGAUUGUGACAGGUGGGUGCUUCGAGCUGGUAGUCGGUGAGAUCGUUUCACCCUUCCUCUGUUCUUUCAUAUCAGUAUCGUAGUCUCUACAUGUCAGCUGAUUGUUUAUCGUUUGUUUAUUGCAUCUCAUUGAUUGCAUUUGGAUUGUUGUGGAUAGACAUGUAGAGCAGGUUACAUAUAUAUUGUAUCUUUGUGGACCUUGGGUCUAGGCAACACAUCGACUCCUUUGUCGUGUGUUUCGAUCUGGUUGAUCGUGGUUCGGCGUUGUACGCCCUUGCACCUAGCUUCGGCCAAGGCACCGAUCUUUUUUUGCCAGUUUUCGUUUUGAGCAUAUCAGCAUGAUUUAGUCACAGCACUGUGUAUUCUAGACACCAGGUUGGUUUGGCCGCCAACCAAGAGGUGUACGUAUCCGGAUAGGUCGUCGGUGAUGCAUGAAUAAGUUGGCAGUGUCUGCUCUGUGACAGGCAAUACUCGAGGUUUGCGGACCAAUAUAGCAGCAUCAGAUUGGGUUUGGUUUGGACUAUUUACCCUUGAGGCAUACUGUAACACACUGGACCUUUGCAAAUUGCGAGGUUCGAGUGAUUGGAUGUGUUUCGAGCUUUUCCACACUUGGUGAAGGGUUGUAGAAUGCUUUUNGGACCUUUGCAAAUUGCGAGGUUCGAGUGAUUGGAUGUGUUUCGAGCUUUUCCACACUUGGUGAAGGGUUGUAGAAUGCUUUUCCGACCUAAAAAGUUUGAAAACCUGAAUUCUGGAUGAGUCCUGAGAGUUUUUACUCUCGGGGACCGGUCCCUGAUAUGAGAGACCGGUCCCCCCAGUGAACAGUGUGCGUAGGCGGCAAGGCAACCGGUCCCGCGCAGGGAGAGACAGGUUCCCGAACGUUGGUUUUUCGGGUUCGCAGCGAGAGACCGGUCCCUGCUGGGGAGAGACUGGUCCCUCUGGGCGAAAACUGCCCAGACCGGGCUGAUGUAAUACUAUUUUCUUGAGGGGCCUCUUGGGAUUUUGUUGCAUUAGAGGGUCUAUAUGACCCAUCCACUCUCUCCUCUCCCCAUUUCUCUUCUCUCAACCCUCUCUACACCCUUGAUAGAGAAGAAGAAGAAGAAGGAGAAGGAGAGGAAGGAGGAGAAGAAGAGGAGGAUCUAGCUUGGGCUUGGAGCAUUCUUUUGCCUUUCUUCCUCUUCCCACCUUGUUGGUGCUUGAAGGCUUGGACUUGGAGCUUGCAUAGGAGGAGAUCUUCACCCUUAGAGCUAGGAUUGGAGCUUCUAAGGAGGUUUGUUGCUCAUUUCCCUCCUCUAGAUCUUGUUUUGAAAGUUUUUGUAAAUGGAACCCUAGAAUAGAGAUUUAGGGCUUAUUUUGGGGCUUUUUGAUUUAGGGCUUUUGAGGCUAGAUUAAUUGGUUUAGAACCUUCCUUGGGCUUGGAUUGGAAGGGUUCUAGCUCUCUUGUGGAGCUUUGGAAGAGAUUUCUUCUCUUGAGGUGAGUUUUGGCCCUUUUUGCUUCUAGGUUAAUGUUUGAUCUUAUGGUUGGUCGUAAUGCCCUCGUAUCUCUUCGCUGAUCACUUUUAGGGUACUUUGAGACUCGUGGACAACUCCGUUCGGCGAAUCGAAGGAGCAUGUGACGGUUCGGUGGGUUUGGCCUAGCCACACAAUGAGAAAAUCUCAUUGGUGUUGAUUUGAGUACUGUUAAAUGUUUAUUCAUGCAUUUCCAUGCUAGAUACAUUUAUUAUGAUUUUUAGAAGGCUUAUUUGCCUACGUUACAUGUGGUGAAAAUUUCGGACCUCUAUGUAGUAGAGAGCUAGCAUGUGGAACUUGAACAGGUUUAGCAUCACAUUGAGACUUGGAAUCAUAGUUCCUAUGGUGAAAACGAGCAUCUCAUGCAUGCAUUUAAAGUUAUUUCUAUUUAAGAUUUAAAAGUUCCUAGUGAGCCAUAAAGGGGCUCGGGGAUUUGCACUACUUGUGUACAAUUGGGCUAAUGUCAUAAAGGGGCAUUGAGCUCGGGUUAUGUGUGAAUUUAGUGGAUAGUGCCAUUGAGAGAGUUGGAGUGUGCUUGUUCAUCGAAAUGUCUAAGUGUCAUAAAGGGGCACUAGACUUAGUGAAUAUUAGAAUUUCACAUUGUGACCUAGAACUAGAUCUUCGAGAUGCUAGUGAAUAUUGCCAUGUUAGAGACAUGAUGAUUGGGUAUUUGAGACGUUGACUUUGCUUGCUUGCCAUUUGUGCUCAUUCGCACAUGCUUAUGAGGGUCGCUCCCUUCAAGCCGGCACUCCGGAGUUAGCCUAUGCGACUUAUGUAAGCCCGUGCGGUAUUGAGAAGCCUACGGGGUCGAGUGGGACAGACACAUUCCAAGAGUAGGGAUGUCGGGCUACCACAGGCACUUAGGCGGCACAAGCUGGACUACCUUUGGUAGGUCCUUAAUUGGAAAUGAAAAUCGACACGGUGUUGAGUUUAUUAUGAUCACUACUAGACAGAGAGUGGUAGUAGGAUUACAUGGACUUACUUCUAGCAUAGUUGUGGACAUUUGGGUAUUCAUACAUACAUGUAGUAUGCUAGGAGAUGUUGUUUAUUGCAUCCUUAUAUGCAUUGUAGUCAUGACAAAGUACCACUUUCAUAUCUGUAUAAAGUAAAUCAUGAUAUUACUUGUGAACAUGUAGAUAUAUAUUAUCCAUGACAAGAUAAAGUCGCAUUAUAAAUGCCAUGUUUAAUUGCAAGCCGUAGCUUAGCAUCUUAAUUAUGCUUUCUUAUAUGCAAUUUACUCGUUACUAUUAUUGUUAGACUUACCCUUUCUUUUGGGGUCUAGUGGUGCAUUGAGCUGAGGUCAGUAAUUGCCCAUUGGGAACUAUAAAUUAUAGUUCUCACGCCCUCUGUUUUAUGUUUUCUUUCAGAGCCUUCCACGCCGGGAGAGGCUAGGGAUCGAGGAAAGGGCGUGGCUUCGAGCUAGCUCUUCAGCGAGUGACGAGUCGCUAGGUGGUCUACCUCUCGAUGUUUUUAUUUUGUGAGAGGUUGAGAGUUGUACCCGUAUAUGUAUAGAGACCACCUUUCUUUUGGAUCUUGGUAUUUCUUUUGAGGUGUUAGUAUUGUAUCACCUUAUGCUUUACUUUGUUUAGUUAUAUUUCUUUUACUCUGAUUUAGAUGAUAGAACCUUACUCGCUCUGAUAUCGUUAGUUGUUAUUAUUCUAUUCGUUCUAUUUCUUGCCUUUACUUCCGCUUUGUUGUAGACGCCUUAUAUGUGUAGACAUAUGGCGGGUCUGGGCACGCCGCCGGGAGGGCCUCCGCCGGUCCCGGGACGUGACACAUACAAUCAGUUGAGUUUUUGGUUACAGUAGUAGUUUCGUUCUUACUCAGUUAUUAUUCUGUUUCUAUUACUACUGUAGUUGCUCUUAUAUCAUAUAUAUAUCUUGUUUAUCUAUCUCCAUUGGUUUCUGGUGAUUACAGUUUGCCUUCGUGGCUCUGUCGUGCCCAUUGGAAAACCAUGGUUGCGAUUUCUCACCCUCCAUUUCCCCCAGGUGACAUGGACGAGGUGUUGGAUUUUGGGCUCGACAGGAGGACGAUCUAGCUAGUCUGGUAUAGCAACUGUGACCCUGGUUACUUUCAUUUUGGCACUUAGUAGUUUUAAUAAUAAAUGGUUCAGUUAGAUGAUCAUAUUGAUGUUUGAAUAUUCGUGAAUUGGUUUUAGUGGAUGAUUUACUAUGAUGCAUGAGAUUGGAGUUUUCAGAUCUGUGGUUUUUGGUUCUCGUAAUUAUGGAUUUACGCAUCGUGGUUUUCUACCCCUCGAGGUAGCUGGUUUUUAAAAUAGAGUUUCCGUGUGGGAAACAAUUUAAAAAAGGUUUUCGAAUGAUUUUCAUGGAUGAUUUGAAUUAGAGUUUAAAAACAAAGCUUUCGGAUGGGGAGCACUUUUAAAUAGGAUGAUUGUUGUACUGUGCAUUACAUCAUCCAGCGCCUAAGGAGUGCUUAGAGGCAUGCAUCAUCUCUAAGGAUCGUUAGCUGUAUGAAAAUGCAUAUCAUGAAAUGGUUGUUGAUUGGUAAUUGUAGAUUGUAGUUGAGAUCCUGAUGUGCCUAUUGGUACGCCGUGCAAAUACAAAGGAGACUCUGUCCGAGUGGACAGAUGAACUUUUUAUUUGUGGCGGGUCUGUAUGUCACGUGGGCCGGGUUGAAAAAAAAGGGCACGUUUUCCGCAAUUCUGAUUUCAAAAUGGUAUGGAUUCUAAAAAGGCUUUUAAAAUCGGCCCCGGGGCAUGACAAUCCCACUCCCUUGGAGGGCAGUCAGGCAUUCUUCUUUCCAAACCAUAAGAAGCGUAGGGGAGUUUAUUCUAGCAUGCAUUUGCAGAGGAGAAGUGGAAGAAGUGCGGCCGAGAUACAUGGCGUUAGGGUCUGGAAGUGGAAGAGGGAGGGGGGAUGAGGGAGGAGGGAGCUAUGCGAAGGUAGUAGUGCAAAAAAAAGGAUCUAAGUGGUGUAACAUAUUCCUAAAUAGUGCAAUGAUUUAAAGAAAAUGGUGCAACGAGUCUAUAACCAGAGAAAAAUUUUUCUUAAAUUAGGUCAUCGUACUUCUCAUCCUCAGUCGUUGUGGCAGCGGCGGGGGGCGGCAUUCGAGAUGUGCAACAUAAUGCUUAAACGAUUAAAGAAUAUCGUGCAACAUCUCUUAUAAAAGCUUACUUCUUGUUUUAGCAGUACAAUAAUAGUGCAAUGUAAAACAUGAAUAACAGUCCAACACGGAGAAAAAUAGUGCAACUAAGCUUGUAAGAGUAUAGUGCAGUCGUAAUAAUAGUGCAACAUUCACUGUAAUAGUGCAAUGCAGUUCCAACUAGUGUAAUAUAAGAGUAGAACACUGACUGGAUUGUUCUUUCUAAACUUAAUAGUGCAACCCAAUAUAAAAUGGUGCAAUAUGCAGCUCUAAUUAGUGCAAGUCGUCACUAACUAUUGUAAAUAAGUGCGAAAUCAUAAGAAGCAUAGGGGAGUUUAUUCCAGCACGCGUUUGCAAAGGAGAAGUGGAAGAAGCAUGGCCGAGGUACAUGGCGUUAGAGUCUGGAAGUGGAGGAGGUAGGAAGGAGGAGUGAGGAAAGAGGAGGGAGUUAUGUGAAGGUAGUAGUGCAAAAAAAAGGAUCUAAGUGGUGUAAAAUAUUCCUAAGUAGUGCAAUAGUUUAAAAGAAAUGGUGCAACGAGUCUGUAACCAGAGGAAAAAAAUUAUUAAAUUAGGUGUAAUAUCAACAUUAAUGGUGUAAUAUUUGCCUAUCAUGCAAUGUGUCAUUAAGUAGUGUAAAAUUUUCUCCCUGAUUGGUGAUAACAUGAAAUUAAUAGUAAAAACAGGUUUAUAAAUAGUGUAACGAUGAUCAAAACAGUGCAAAAUUCUUUGCUAAAGCGUGUAACAAUUCACUAAGAAGUGCAAUUUUUUCUCUGUAUUUGGUGCUAGCAUGAACAUAAUAGUGAAAAUAAGUUCGAAAUUGAUAUUAUACUAUGACAAAAAUAGUGCUACUUUCUUUGCUAAAUAGUGUAACAAGUUCGUAAGCAGUCCAAAGGGCACGAAAAUAGUGCUUAUGUUUCAUCGUGCCGUCUAAAUGGCGUGGUGUACAGUCUUGCCACCUCCGUGGCCGACAUACUGAGCAAUUCUGCUCUUCUACCAGCACCAACAUCAUCGCCAACGCCUAUUAGAAGUAAAAAGAUUAAAAAACGGUACGAAAGCGUGUAAGUACCAACCCCCUCACCGUCUAAAUCCUCUAGGCGCUCCUCACAUAGUGCCAAAAAAGGUAGCACUAUUUUCGUCAUAGUAUUUAGCAAAGAAGGUAGCACUAUUUUCGUCAUAAUUAAUUAGUUCAUUAAGUGAAACAAUAUUACCAUGCAACCUAUUCAAUGACAAAUUAGAAAAAAGAUUCUAAAAAUAUUGUCGAUAUGAUCUUCUAUCACAUGAGUAUAGAGAAAUAAAUAAGUAAAGUGUAAAAAAUAAAAAAUAAACAAAACAAUAUGAAAUUAAUUUAUAAUUUAUAUUAUUAUAAAAUAACAAAUUACAUAAUUAAAAAACGUUAUCGUUUGUCAAGAUUAUAGUAUUCUUCCAAAUCUCUCUGGAUGCACAAUAUUUCCUACUAAAAUUUCUUUCUCUUCCAAGUUGAAGGUCCAAUUGAUGUCAUAUCUAUGACAUUAUUAGCUCCUUAUAUAGAAAAAAAAAUACUCAAUAAAUUAACGAAAUAAUUUAUAACUAGUGAAGGAGCCCGCGCUUUGCAACAGGUAGAAACCGUAGUAGUAAUUAAUAAUAAGAAAAUAUAAAACAUUCUUUUGUGUAUCCCACUUGGAAUAUCCUCUAAAGGUCGCGGCGGAAAGGGAAAGUGGGCGCGCAUUAGUGAGGAAAAGGGAGGGAGCGAGGAAAGGAGGCGAUAGUGUAUAGCAAUAAAUGAGAAAUAGAGAAUUGAUGAAUAGAUUGGAGAUAAAAAAUUAAAAGUCUGGUGGAGGAAAUGAAAAGGGCCAUAAUGAAUAAUUGGAGAUAGAGAGGUUAGGAUUGUAGAUGGUAGUGGGACCAUUUAAAUAUAUUAAUUAGAAGUUUGAUAGUCGAAUCAUUUGCAUUAAUUGAAAAUAUAGUGAGACUAUUUAAAUACACUAAUUAAAAGUUUGGUUAGUGAGACCGUUAAAAUAUAUAUUGAAAGUUUAGUGAAAGAAAGAAGAAGGGUCACAUGCUAGUGAGGGUGAAGGAGAACUUGCCACGUAGUAACAAACAUUGGAGAUUCAUGUAGGUUAAUAGAUAUAUUUAAUACUUCAUUAAUCUAUUGGUAGUGGAAUCCAAAUGAUUGAAAAAACUGAUAAAUUAAUUAUUUAGAAUUCAUCUUUUUAUUAUUUAGAGUGGAAGAUGAAAGGAUCUGUUUUAAAAAAGAAAACUGAUAAACUAAUUAAUUUCUCUAUUAAAUUAAAAAAAUUUAAAACUACUCACUUUUAGGAGGAUAGGCGGCUCUUCAUCUUCUACGUUACUUAAAGGCCAACUAUUAUUAUGAUUAGGGAUGCAAACAGGGCGAAUCUCGAGGCGGAAGCCCUGCCCCGCCUUCCGCCCCGACUACCAAAAUCCCGCCCCGCCUCCUGCCCCGAAUCGGUGACAGGUUAAAAAAUAUAUCCUAUAAUCUGCCCCGCCUUAUAACCCGCCUCCCGUCAGCGCCCCGAAUCCGCUUCGCCAACUAAUAUUUUUUAUAAAAUUAUAAUAUUAUUAAUAUUUCGUAAAAUAUAAAUUAAUACUUUUUAAUAAUAUUAUAUAUAUAAUUAACAAUAUUAAUUAUAAAAAUUAAAAAUAUCAAUCGCAAUUCGAAGAAAAAUUCAAAAGUUUCAAAUAUAUGAGAAAUGAUAGUACUAAGUUAUUUGUAUUUUGGACUUUUUUUGUAAAUACAUUAUUUUUUAAGGAUAUUUUUAAAAAAUAUAAAUGAUUUUCGGGGCGAAUUCGGAGCGGAUUCGGGGCGGAUCGCGGCGGGGCGGAUUCGAGGCAGAUCAAAAUUUCUCCUAUUUCCUGCCCCGAAUUUGUCUUUGAUCAUAAAAUUACCCUAUUUCCCGCUCCAAAUUCGUUUAUUUUCUCUCAUUUACUGCCCCAUUUGGGGCGGAUCGGGGCGGGAGCUCCACCAACCCGAAUUCGUUUGCAUCCCUAAUUAUGAUGUGCAUGUGAAGAAAAAGAAGUACUCAACAGAACAAAUAUAAAGUUCAAUUCUAAUUGAUUUUUAAAAAUUUUAAAAUUUAAAUCCAAACCAAAGUAAUCUACACCAUUAAAAGAUCCAUCUAUAGAAAUUAUAAUUUUUUGGGUAAACUUCAAAAAUCACCCAUGUGGUUUCGCAUUUUCUCACUUUAGUACCCUGUGGUUUAAAGUGUAUCAAGUUAGUGCCCUGUAAUUUUAUUUUUAUUUUUUCGUCAGCUUCUUCGUUAAUAUUUCGUUAAAUUAUAUACAAAAAACUUCAGAUACCCCACGUAGGUUUAUCGAAUAUUCACUUUAGUACCUUUUAUGUAACACACUGGAUCUUUGCAAAUUGCAAGGUUCGAGUGUUUGAUUUGUGUUUCAAAUUUUUUCAUACUUUCUGGAGAGUCGUUAACAGUGUUCCGACCUAUGGUUCACAUCCCGAGAAUCGAUGUUUGAAACUUAGCACCAAAUCUCUAAAGUGAAAAUUGUUGGCUGCUCUUGGGUUGGACUCUGUAGAGCAGAGUACCAAUACAGCAUCGGGCCUGUACCUGAACCAGACCUGGUACCAGUACAGCAUCGGACUUGUACCGAUACCCAGUGUGUUUUUCUGCAAACUCGAGGCUCGGGUUUGCGAGUACAGUGGCUUGGUACCGGUACUCUUUCCCGUGUACCGGUACGCAGUGCAAAUUGUGAACUGCUUAUUUUUUAGGGGUGUUUUUGAUAUUGUAGCAUCUCUAUAUAGCAUCCCAUGCCCUUUAGUUGUUUCCUUGAGCUUGGAAACACAGUAGAGAAGGUAGGGAAGCCCUCUACUUCCUCCCUUUUGUUUUCUUUGAUUUGUGUUGGGAUUUUUGAGGUUUAAUCACCUCCUUUUGUCUCUUGUUGGUUUUUGGUGCCAUUUCCACCAUUGGAGAAGCUUUGAUUUCGUGAUUGGAGCUUGAUAGAGGAAGGAUCUUCAACCCUAGUUGAUUUCAAGCCUUGUUUGAAGCUUCUAAAGUGGUUAAUUGCUUACCUCUCCUCUCUAGAUCAUGAUUCUCAUGAUUUUUGUAUAGAAACCCUAGAAUGUGAAAUUUAGGGUUUAUUUUGGAGAUUUUUGAUUUGUAGCUUCUAGAACCUAAUUGAUUGGUUUAGAACCUUUGUUUAGAUUGGAUUUUAAGGGAUUUUACUCUCAUUUGGAGAUUGAGAGAGAUUUUCAUCAUACAAGGUGAAUUUAUGCCAUUUUCUUGGGUUGAUUAAUGUUUGAUCUUAGGGUUGUUCGUUUGUUGCGUUUAACUCUCUUAAUAUUACCUUUAGGGAGCUAGGAGAGUAGUGGACACCUUCGUCGGCGCAAACGAAGGGUUAUGAGGAGUCUUGGUGGGUUUGACCUCAUCGAAAUGAGAAAAACUCCACCUAUGUCAAUUUUUAAUUGUCGUAAAAUAGAAAUGCAUACAUAUUCAUACUAGAUAGAGUCUACGAGAAUUUUAAAAUGCUUAAUAUACAUGUGCUAUAUUUUAUGAAAAUUACCUCUAUAUAGUAGAGAGAGAUAUAUGCAUUGUUAGCAUGCAUGAGAAUAACAUUCUAUUAUAUGGUUUGGGAAUCAUGUUCUUGUAAAGAAAAUGUAGCACACUGGACCUUUGCAAAUUGCGAGGUUCGAGUGUUUGGAUGUAUUUUGAGCUUUUCCACACUUGGUGGAGGGUUGUUGAAUGUUUUCCGACCUAAAAAGUUCGAAAACUGAAACUCUGGGCAAGUCCUGAGAGUUUUUACUCUCGGGGACCGGUCCCUGGAAGGAGAGACCGGUCCCCGAGUGAGCAGUGUUGCGGCAGCCCUGAGGCAACCGGUCCCUUGCGGGCGAGAUCGGUCCCCGAGCGCGCCUUCGUAGUGAGAGACCGGUCCCGCGCAGGGAGAGACCGGUUCCCGAACGCUGGUUUUUCGGUUUCGCAGCGAGAGACCGGUCCCGCGCAGGGAGAGACCGGUUCCCGAACGCUGGUUUUUCGGUUUCGCAGCGAGAGACCGGUCCCUACUGGGGAGAGACCGGUCCCUCUGGGCGAAAACUGCCCAGACCGGACUGUUGCAAUAAUGGAUUUUUGAGGGGCCUCACUGGAUUUUGUUACACUAGAUGGGUUUAUUAGCCAUUUCCCUCUCUUCCCUCCUCAUUUCUCACCCUCACCCUACACCUUCUAGAGAGAGAAGGAGGAGAAGGAGGAGAAGAAGAAGAGGGGUUUGCUUGAGGGAGCUUGGAGCUUAACCCGUUUCUCUCCUUUCCACCCUUGCUUGGCUUGGAGCUUGCUUGUAGAGCUUGAUGGUGGACCAAUCUUCAACCCUAGAAGAUUUGGAGCUUGUUUGGAGGCAUCUUGGGAGGUUAGUACUUGGAUUCUACCCUUUGAUCCUUGAUUUGGUAGGUUUUACCAUAUGGAACCCUAGAUUGGAUAUUAGGGUUGAUUUUUGGGGCUUUUUGAUCUAGGGCUUUUGGGGCUAGAUUGUUUGGAUUAGAACCUUCCUUGGGCUUGGAUUGGAAAAGAUUUAGCUCUCUUUUGAAGCUUGAGAGAGAAUUCCUACACAUUAGGUGAGUUUUAGCCCUUUUGCUAAGUUUGUUAAAGUUUGAUCUUAUGGUUGGUCGUAAUGCCCUCGUAUCUCUUCGCUGAUCACUUUUAGGGUACUUUGAGACUCGUGGACAACUCCGUUCGGCGAAUCGAAGAAGCACGCGACGGUUCGGUGGGUUUGGCCUAGCCACACAAUGAGAAAAUCUCAUUGGUGUUGAUUUGAGUACUGUUAAAUGUUUAUUCAUGCAUUUUCAUGCUAGAUACAUUUAUUAUGAUUUUUAGAAGGCUUAAUUUGCCUACGUUACAUGUGGUGAAAAUUUCGGACCUCUAUGUGGUAGAGAGCUAGCAUGUGGAACUUGAACAGGCUUAGCAUCCUAUUGAGACUUGGAAUCAUAAUUCCUAUGGUGAAAACGAGCAUCUCAUGCAUGUAUUUAAAGUUAUUUCUAUUUAAGAUUUAAAAGUUCCUAGUGAGCCAUAAAAGGGCUCGGGGAUUUGCACUACUUGUGUACAAUUGAGCUAACGUCAUAAAGGGGCAUCGAGCUCGGGUUAUGUGUGAAUUUAGUGGAUAGUGCCAUUGAGAGAGUUGGAGUGUGCUUGUUCAUCGAAAUGUCUGAGUGUCAUAAAAGGGCACUAGACUUAGUGAAUAUUAGAAUUUCACAUUGUGACCUAGAACUAGACCUUCGGGAUGCUAGUGAAUAUUGCCAUGUUACAGACAUGAUGAUUGGGUUUUUGAGACGUUGACUAUGCUUGCUUGCCAUUUGUGCUCAUUCGCACAUGCUUGUGAGGGUCGCUCCCUACAAGCCGGCACUCCGGAGUUAGCCUAUGCGACUUAUGUUCGCUCGUGCGGUAUUGAGAAGCCUACGGGGUCGAGUGGGACAGACACAUUCCAAGAGUAGGGAUGUCGGGCUACCACAGGCACUUAGGCGGCACAAGCUGGACUACCUUUGGUAGGUCCUUAAUUGGAAAUGGAAAUCGACACGGUGUUGAGAAUGGUUAAUCACUACUAGAUAGGUUUAGUAGUUGAAUGACAUUUAUAUGCUUUUAGCAUAGGGUUGAGACAUGUAGUAUACUUGAUAGUCUCCUUUUUGCAUUAAAGCAUACUUGGUUGCCAUGACAGAACUUAUGCAUAAUGUAUUCAUAAAGGUUAAUGAGUUACUAUUUUGAUAUCGUAGAUGUACAUCACCAUGACAUCAUGCUUAUUGGAGACAUAGUAGUAUAGCUUUUCAUUCAUGCUUUCUUCCAGCAGUUUGUUUGUGUGUUUGCUAUUUAUUGCAUAUUACUAUAUGUCGUUACUUACCCUUUUCUUUUGGGGCCUAGUGGUGCAUCGAGCUGAGGUCAGUAAUUGCCCACUGGGAACUAUAAAUUAUAGUUCUCAUGCCCUCUUUUUCUCGAUAUUUUUCAGAGCCUUCCGCGUAGGGUGAGGCCAGGGAUUGCGGAAAGGGAGUUGCUUCGAGCUAGCUUCCUUCGAGGACGAGUUACUAGGUGGUCUACCUCUGGGCGUCUUAUUUUAUUUUGCGAGAGGUUGAGAGUUUUACCAGUGUACUAGAGACCGCCACUUUUGUACCUUUGAGACGGUUAUUGUACUACUUAUGGUUUCUUUUAUUGUCUAGCUUUAUUUAUUCACUUUGGUGUAGGUGAUAGAAUUUCUACUCGCUCUGAUAUCACUAGUUGUUACUAUUCUAUUUGUUUUAUUUCUUGCUUUUACUUCCGCUUUACUAUAGACGCCUUAUAUGUGUUGACAUAUGGCGGGUCUGGGCACGCUACCGGGAGGGCCUCCGCCGGUCCCGGGGCGUGACAGAAAAUGACUUAUGUUAUAUGCUCCUGAACUUAGAACUCAUAUUUGACAUAGUGGAUAAAAAUGUCAUAAAGUGGCAUGGAACAUAGUAAAUGUGAAACCUUUACUUGAUGACAUAGUGAUAGGCCAUUGGGUCACUCGUUUUUAUGCCAUGUUUUAGACAUGAUGACAUUGGACUGGAGACGAAAAUUUACGCUUGCUUGCCAUUGUGCUCAUUCGCAUAUGCUUGUGAGGGUCGCUCCCCACAAGCCGGCUCUCCAGAGAUAGCCAUCGCGACAUAAGCUCGCCCGUGCGGGAUUGAGCGCCAAAAUAGGAUGCCGUGGGGGAGGCUCAUUCCUAGGGUAGGGAUGUUGACUAUCACGGGGCCAUAAGGCACAGCACAAGCCGGACUACCCACGGGUAGGUCCUACAUGACUGGAAUACUAUUGAACUAAAACGCAAAGUGGACAUUAGACAAAUUAGUAAACAAUGACAUUUCACUAGUUAUAUCGUGGACAUCAUGUUUCUUAUACUUAUGCGUAUUCAUGUUAGAAUAACAUUUAUACUUAUGUAACUUCAUACUAAGCAGAGGCAUAGUGGUAUAGCAAGUUUAAUCAUGUUUAUCAUACAUAUUAUACAUUCUAGUUAAAAGUUGAACUUACUACUUUUGCUUUUUUUUUGCCUAGUGGUGCAUUUUCGCUGAGGUCAGCAAUUGCCCACUGGGAACUAUUGUUUAAUAGUUCUCACGCCCUCUAUUUUGUUGUUUUUCUUACAGAGCCUUCCACUCCGAGAGAGGCUCGGGAUCGCAGCAAGGGAGUUGCCUCUAGUUAGUUGUGAGGAGCUUUGCUUUUAGGUGGUUCACCUCUCUAUUUUUGUAUCUAUGUAGAGAAUGAGAGUUUUGUAUCCAUGUAUAGAGACCACCACUAUGAUACCUUUAGCACUUGUAUUUUGGGAUUUCAUGUUGUACUACUUUAUGCUUAUGUUAGUGGAUUAGUCCCUUUAUUUACCGCAUUAUUCUAGAAUCUAAUUGUUGUAUAUUCUGAUACUCCUAGAUGCUCAUUUAUUAUUAUUUUAUUUAUCGUUUUGUUGUAGACGCCUUAUAUGUUGUAGGCAUAUGGCGGGUCUGGACACGCACCGGGCGGGCUUCCGCUGGGUCUCGGGGCGUGACUUUUUAGUUUUAACUUUGUCACUUAUUUAACGAAAAAAAUUAGUGAAAUCAAUAAUAAAAGAAUAAAAAUAAAAUCAUAGGACACUAAAUCAAUACACUUUAAACCACAGGUACUAUAGUGAGAAAGUGUGAAACCACAUGGGUAGUAUUUGAAGUUUUUCUAAUUUUUUAUACUUAAUAUAAUAAACUUUAGAAGCUAACAUUGCUGAUUAUUACAUAUGCAUAAGAAUUAGAUUUUUUUUUUAAUUAUAAUAUUUAGAGAUUGUCCACAAAUUUAUAUAAAGACACUUUAUAUGUUGAGAUCAUAUCUGUUAAAUUAAAUUUUAAGUAUAUUAAAUUUUAAAUGCAUCCUCAGUUUGCGAUCUCGUGGUUCAAACAGCUUCACUUUUUACUUUGCCAUCUAGUGAUUCAAAAAGUUACACUUUGUCCUCUUGUGGUUUAGUGUAUUUUUCAAUUUGCCACCCUAUAGUUUAUUAAAAAUUUUUGUUUUGCCAUCCUAAUUCAUAUAAAAUUUUUUAAUAAAAUGAAAAUUGAAUCAUAGGAGAGAUUAGGUGAAACUUUUUGAACCACAUAGGUGAAAAUGAGCAAAACCAUAGGGGGCAAUUUGAGGUUUAUCCAAAAAAGUUAUAAUUCGGGGCACAAUUUUAUUUACUCCUUUAGCAUUUAAAGUGAAAGAUAAAAGGAUCCAUUAUAACGAAGAAAACGGUUAUACUUACAAAUUCCUCUAUUAAUUGAAAAACUCCUUUAAAUUAUUCACUUGGAGGAGAAUAGAUGGCUCUUCAUCUUCUUUAUUACUUGAAGGCCAAUAAACUUGAUGUAUACAUCAUAAGCUUCCUAAUUGAAUUUUAAAAACCUAAAAUUUAAAUCUAAACCAUAUAAUCUACACAAUUAAAUGAUCAAUUUAUAAAAAUUAUAAAUUUAUACACCUAAAUAAUGAGCGUUAGAAGUUAAUAUUGCUUAUUGCAAAGGAUUGAUUGUCAUGCCCGGGCCCCAGCGGAAGCCUACCCGGCACGUGCACAGACCCGCCGUAUACACAAGGAACCCUUCGGUGCACACAAGGCGUCUACAUCAAAACAUUCAAUGGAGAUAACAAGGAAUAAGGUUUUAACAUGGUAACCAGAGCAUAAGUACUAGACUGAGCAAAUAGACUACAACUAGAGGAUAAUAACAACAAGUUAAUACGAUAAAGAGAGCAACUAUCCAAAAUGUACAUCAAGUAUAAUCCAAAAGAAUACAUCUGUCACGCUCCGCGACCGCCAAUUUGGUCGGUUCGGGGACGUCGAUCAGACGCCGAACAGACAGAGCCUCUCCUACCCGCCCAAGGCUAACAACAACGAGAUCAAGUAUGUCAACAGUUGCCUAGGAAACAAUAACCUCAUACAUGAUCUAAGCAAGUACUAAUACAAGCAAUCGACAAAAGAGAGAAAGAUCUAGCUAUUACAAUUCCAUUCAACAUAUACAUCGAGUUUACAUUUUUUGUCACGCCCCGGGGUCCCUUUUAGUUUAUAACAUAGCGGAAAAGCGUCUGAAUUUUUUUUUUUUGAAAAGCUUGACCCCAGAGUAUGCCAGAUCCGCCACAAAUACAGAAAAUCUACUGUUCACACGGACAGUCUCCCCUGUAUUUGCACGGCGUCGCACCAGUACAAGAACUAACCCAGGUACAACCACAACCAAAUGGAUAUAUAAAUAACCAACAAUUAUAUAUUCAUACACCAUUCACAUCACAGGUUCACAUUUAUAUAUUCAAUAUUUAAACAUAAAUCCAUAUCUAUCAGUUAAAAUGUUUCCAACUCAGAAACAGGUUUUGAAAUACUAAGAUACAAAAUCUACAGAAAACCUUUUGAAAACUGUUCCCUACACGGGAACUUUUAUCUUUUAAAAACGCUACCACGAGGGGUAGAAAACCUUUCCAUUUUACAAAAUCCGCAAAUCCGUUUAUUACAUUCAUGAAAACUCAUAUUUUCAAAUGUAAUAAAAUAUACUGAACCAUAUAAACUAUCUAAGCUAUAACGACAUAAUAGUAAGGGUAGAACUAAACCGAAUAACCUGGGUCGGAAGUUCUAUCGACCGCUACGUAUCUCACGUCUCGUCUCAACCCUCACCGCCCGUGGUACCUGAAAAAUAGUGGGGGAGGUGAGAACAUGUAAACAUGUCUCCCCUCCCAGUGGGUACCGCAAGCCGAAGAAGGCGAGGAGUACUCACCGGAUCAGGAAGAGCUAUACAACAACACGGGUCAGUGAAAAUACAAUAGGAACAAUAAUAAACGAAAGAGAUGUAUAAGGUAAUGAGCAGAUAUACUGAAUACAAUAGCAAUAAACUGAAAGAAAGUAGGAACUAAACUGAAUAGCGGCUACCGCUACUAUAACUGGAACAGAAAGCAUACAUGAAUAUCUACUAUAGUAGCAAGACAACUAUAAAGCAAGAAUUGUAAGUAUGCAAGCAACAACUGCUACUAUAGACAUAUGCGUCAACCGAACGUAUAGACCAAAUAUACCCAAUCUGUACUGGCCGUAUUGGUACCCAACACCUCAGGCCCAUGCCACAUCUGCUCUAAACAGAAACAAGCCAUAUUGGUACCCAACACCUCAGGCUGAAAGCAUAUAACCACACUAGGGCUCACGGGUUGACACAAGCAACCACUUUUCCGGAAAAGAACACCCUCUUGCGGUGGAUCAGACCGCUGGUGUUCGUGAAAUGCGAACGAGCUGGGCGAUCAAUGCAGAAUGCUCAAUAGCCAAACGUCAGCAACUAGCCGACAAUCACUGCCCUUCGGGGCUCAUCGACCGUAUAGGUCAUCAACUGUAAGGAAGCACAAGAACUGACCACUCAGAUCAACUAGGAUAUAUGCACAACGAAUCGACGAAUAGGUCAUCAGGGUGUAUCAAUAGAAUCCAGAACUACCGCCGGCCACUAGCCAACAAUCCAACCCCUCUAGGGUACAUCGACCACAACGGUCAUCGAACGACAGAAACAACAAGAGUCAUGAACUGACUGACUAGGUCACAAACAUGUCAAAUAGUGGAUAUGAGUAAACUAUAAUCAUCCGUCGGCAACUAACCGACAAUCUCACCCCUCAGGGUAUACCGACCUCAAUGGUCAUCGGACAACAAAGGUCAAGGAUCUCACCGAAUAGGUCACAAAUACGGAAUACUAGAAUCGACCGACUAGAUCACUGAUCUCACAGAUAAUCACGGAAUCGCUCUACUAUAAACAUAAAACAGGGUAUGCAGAAUAGCUAAGUAGAGCAACAAGAAAACAUGGUAUCACGUACAGAUAGACUAUGCUCCUACACAUGAACUAAGCAUGGAAACGUCUGAGUAGAGUAUAAUCAAACAACGUGGUGUAAUGUGAACAAUAGAGGUGAAAAGCUCAACAUAUAAUAUAUGCAUGGAUAAUAACAAAAGAGCAAGGGUAAGAAACCAUCACCGAGCAUGCACCACUGUACCAACGUCGGAUCGAAGUACCCACCUGUACGUGUCUGACGAAGAUCUCUCGACUGUGAAGACGAAACAAUCGAACCUACGAAAGAUCCAACGGGUUAGAACCUAACCCACUAACAUGUCUCGCUAACACACAAUCCCCACUCACCAGAACCACGAGAAUCGGUUUCCCAAAACCGAUUAACAAACAAGCCGGAAUUCCACUGUCGCUGACCUGUCAUUUUCGAACCCUCGAAACAACGCGUGUGACCAGCCAACAAGGCUCAGCGACGCUACAAUCAACCACGAGGCACCGUCGGAUGAAUUCCGAACCGAAACAGCGUUCUAUCGGCGGAUUUCGCCGAAAAACGCAUCAGAAAUCACUUUUCGAUUUCCGCAAGGGCUAGGGGCCUUGGAUGAUUAGUCCAGAGGUUAUCCUCAGCCCAAACAUGCUGCCAACAGCAGCUACAUCGAAGCAUAAAUCCUAAAGGCCCAUACUAUAGCCUGAAAUCUCAUUAUUUUAUGCGAUUUAUAGACUUUUCUGGAUCGUGCACGCAAACCAGAGAUUGAUUAAGCCAAUCAUCGCGCUCACUGAUAGGUUUCAGCAUGACGGAGGCCGUGCUUACCUUUCGGAGCACUGCCGGCAGCUGCGCUGCACACACGAGCGAUGCAAAUUCUAUGAAACAGUGCGCACAGCGCGAGGAUUGCUGUUAACUCGCUAACUAAGGCAUCGUUGCUGCUGUCGGAGGUGAGCACGAUGUUCAACACGAGUUGUAGAUCAUCGUGCUCACUUCCCGAAGCUUAGGAGGCUUGUCGGAUCACCGGAAAGGUGACCGGAACGUCGGAAUUCACUACUGGAACAUAAAUAGCCCUUACCAGACCCGAGGAGAGCUAAGGUUGGUCGCCGGCGGCUGGGAGGAGGGUGGUUCGGCCGAAGGAGGGAGCAGUCAGUCCGAGAGGUCCGGGGAAGGUUGUAACACACUGGACCUUUGCAAAUUGCGAGGUUCGAGCGUUUGAUUUGUGUGUCGAGCUUUUCCAGACUUUCUGGUAGGUCGUUGACAGUGUUCCGACCUAUGGUUCGAGUCCCGAGAAUUGUGGUUUAAAGCUGUGUACCAAAAUCCAAAAAGUUGGAUUUUUGGUCAGCUNAUUUAGUGGAUUUACAGCUUUUCCUCAUCCUUUGUUGUAGCAUUUAGACAUUUAUUAUGCUCUGAUACUCCUAGAUGUCUUUUAUUAUUGCUUUUAUUAUCGUUGUUUUUAGACGCCUUAUAUGUUGAAGACAUAUGGCGGGUCUGGGCACGCGCCGGGCGGGCUUCCGCUGGGUCCCGGGGCGUGACAAAGGUGCUGGCCGGCGGCGGGCGGCAACCGGUGGCGCGGCGGCUGAGAUCCACUCCACCCACUACCUCUCGGGUUCGUGCUUCCCGGUGACGCGACGGCGGCCGGAGGAGGUCGGGGCGGCUACGGUGCGGCGCCGGAGGCCGAGGGGAAGGUGGUGUACUCCCCAGUGGGCGGCGGCGGCACUUGGAUGCCGAGCGGGCCCGACCUUGGCCCGCACGGGUCUGGGUGGCUGCAGGAGAUCUCAGCGGCGGUCGGCGGCGCGCGGGAACGGCGGGGGACGCGCGCGACGGGUUUUCGGAGGUCGCUGGGGCCGACUCGAGGGCGGUGUGGCCGAUGGGGAGUGACGGCGGCGCGCGGAUACAGAGAUCACCCAGGCUCGGCCUGGGUGACUGCAGGUGGCCGCAGCAUGCUUGGGCGGCGCCGGCGGCGUGCGCAGGCGGUGGGAACGGCCGGUGACGGCGCCGGAAGGUAGAUCUCGGCCAAGGGAAGGCUUCCAAAGGUGUUUUGAAGUUUCUCUGGGUUGCAUGGCCAAGGAGGGUGGAGAAUAGGUAAAGAAGUGAUGGAGGAGGGGUUUUCCGGCGGCCGGAGCACCUGCCGGCGGCUGGGGCACGCGCACGAGGUGGGCAGGGGAGAGCUGAGGCGGCUGGGGUUCGGUUGAGGAAGAGGGAGGCCAAAAGCUAGGGUUUCCUCAUGAAACCCUAGUGCAACCACUAUAUACAUAUGUGCAUUUUGCAAGAUAGUCCUCCCAGGGGUAAUAUUCUCAGUCAAGUCCCUCACAGCACACGUAUUUUACACAUACGCAUCUCUAUGUCCGAUCUCACGCGAUUCGGCACAUAAAAUAUAAGGGUUUCGCGCGAAAUACCAAAAAUGCCGCUUUGACCUCUUAGCGAAAACUUUGUGAUUCCCGAAGAUCCGUCUGUCAGAUUUUCGAACGGAUUGCGCCAGCGCGAUCAGCACCACGGAGACAAUAAACCUACGAUUUUGGUUCACAUCGAUCGGUCACGGAUUCGCGACGAAACCCGUCUGCUCUCCAAUUUCCAAAAACCACACACAUAUACCAAUGUGUAAUCCCACUAAAUCCUAGAUUCAAAUUCAAAUUUGAAUUCCCUACCACCAGUAGGUACCAAGAACAUCUCUCACCCAUCUCCAGAUCACUUGUACAAAGCACGAGGAGUUUUAAAAUGCACGAAAAGCAAAGAAUGAAAACCCUAUGCACGAAAAGCAAAGAACGAAAACCCUCUUUUUGAUAAAACUCCUUUUUCUCAAAACCCGUGCAUCAGAUCUGAAAUCCGUUAAUGCCAUUGGUUCCAGAAUAGCUGAACCAAUCAAAACGGGCUAUUGGAUCGCUAUGAACGGAGUCCGAUACGCGUCGAAAGCCAACUCUACUCCGUGGCUUCUCCGGAAAACCGGAGUUACUAUUCACUUAAGUGAAAACUAAUAAUCGUGUAACUUCUCCGUUCUAACUCGUUUUCUCCUGAAACUUGACGAGUGCUUAUGUAAUUAAAUUACACACAUAAACAUCGUCAACAGAAAGUUUAGUUGCACUGUCAAAAUCUCAGUCCUUACAUUUUUCAUCUCGAAAAUGUAUACAUGUUUAUCACAACUCUCUAAAAUACAUAUACAUCAUGUCCUCUCAUCUAUACAGGGUGUACUAAUGCAUAAGGAAAGCUGCUAGCUAACUAGGGUGCUAUGCCCUUACCCCGGUCCUCGCCCGGUCUGCUCGAACUCGGCCCUGCAACCAAAGUGGGGUGAGAACUACGAAUAGUUACCAGUGGGUUCGGCCGCCGACUCCGCCGAUCUUCCCACUAGGUCUAAGCAGGCAUUAGUAGAUAGAUAAAUAGAUAUGAAAAUGAGCUGCUACAUAACAACAUGCUACUAUGCCUCAAUAAACAGAAUGAAUACAUGAACAUAGUAAUGUACUCUACUAACAUAAUACUAUGUCUCAAUUGCAUGAUAUAAAUGAAAUAACUACAUAGUAAUGAAACCUACUAUCAAGUACUAUGUCUAAUGUCCAAUCUCAUCUUGGCUAACCAAAAGGUUAUGCCCAAACUCACAUCUCAAAUCUCGCCGGUGAGUAGACUCUGCGCUACAAACACCCGAGACCGCCUGCUGGGUAAUCGUGUUACCCAAACGCGACAUCUUCUCCGGAGCUCACUACUUGAGGUGGAGCGACCACGCCAAAGUUACACAGACUAUGUGAGUACGAUUCAAUCCUCUCACUCGAGGAUAGUUAGUGCCUCUGUUUCACUAGUUCACAUACUACUACUUAGGAAAUCAUCUUAUUUCCUCAGUUCAUGUCAUCAAGUUGUAAGUAUUCCAACUACACUAGUCCAAAUGCCACUCUUUGGUUCACAUGCUACUACUCAGAAAAUCAUCAUCUAUUCCUAAGUUCAUGUCAUAGUGUUUCUACUACACUAGUCCGAAUGCCACUCUUUCAGUUCAUUUACAUGUCCAAGUUCAUCUUUUGUUCUUUGGCACUAUAGGAUUCUAUGUCAAGACUAAAUCCUCAUGUGUCCACUAAAUCAAGUGCUCAACUCACUACAUGAUUUCUACUAUGAAAACAUGCAAGGAAUUGAAGUACAACUACUUAACACAACCUAUAAUCUCCACUAAGUCCUCUUCUUAGAUCAACCCCUUGGGAGAGCUUCUAGAGAGAGAAAGGGAGAAAAAAAAAGAGAAGAUAAGUGUUUACUGGCUGUGAACAUAAGAGAGGGAGAUAGGGUUUAUUUAUAAGCUGCUAGAAUUGCAGAAAAGCCCCUCAAUAAUUGCUAUUUGCAACAUACUGCAUUCUGCAUUUUUCUGCACUUGGUACCGGUACGCGGGUUUUUUGUCACCGGUUUAACAGCUGUGCAGAGGCCAAGCCCGAGAGCUGCCUUCUCGGGUAGCUGGUCUGGUACCGGUACGCAUCAGAGGUGUCACCGGUUUAAUAGCCACAAUUACUCAAACCCGAGAGCUGCUACUCUCGGUCUGCUACGGGGUACCGGUACCACCAUGAUGUUUAACCGGUUACACAAUGCCCAGACUGCAGUUUAGCACUUGUUUGACUUCUAUUUCGCGCCGAGCAAUGCUAAAACUCAAUUAUCUCUUCUAGAACUCAACUUUGACCCUCCAACAUUAUUGAAAUGUCAAAUGGAACAUGUCCAAGCAUCUCUCUCGCCACGCUUUGGCCCUUUUGACCAAAAAUGGUUUAAUACGUCGGAGAAUCAAUAUCUGACAUCAUCCCCUCCUUAACAAGAGUUUCGUCUUAGAAACUAACUCAAUUCAAAUAAAAUUCAUACCUCAACUCAACUCCUCGAAGAGAUGAGGAUAGUGCUCCUUCAUUACGUCCUCAAGUUCCCACUUGACUUCGCGAUCGUCAUGAUUGCUCCACAGAACUUUGACGUAAGGAAUAUCGCGGUUUCUCAACUUCCGCACUUCUCGAGCAAGAAUAGCUACCGGAAACUCCUCAUAGCUCAUAUCCUCUUGUAAUUCCGGUGGCUCAAACAAUAGAGCAUGCUCGGGAUCAUGAAUAUACUUGCGAAGGUUGGAGACGUGAAACACGUUAUGAACAUCCGCAAGCUUCGGCGGCAAUGCGAGUCGGUAUGCAACCGCUCCAAUUCGCUCUAACACCUCGAAAGGUCCAAUGUACCGGGGACUUAACUUUUCCCGCACUCCAAAUCGUCUCACACCUCUCAUAGGUGAAACCUUUAAGAAGACGCGGUCUCUAACCGCGAACUCCAAAUCUCGCCGGCGCUUAUUGCAUAGCUCUUUUGCCUCGAUUGCGCUGUCAACAACCGUCGGCGAGUGAGGUGAACUUUUUUUCUGCUUUCCGCAAGACAUCGGGACCCAAUACCGCCCAUUUGCCCAUGUCACUCCAAUGUAUAGGAGAUCGGCACUUCCUCCCGUAGAGAGCCUCAAACGGUGCCAUCUCUAUACUAGCUUGGUAACUGUUGUUUUAGGUGAACUCGGCCAUUGGCAAGUGACUACACCAACUACCCUUGUAGUUAAUGACACACGCUCGCAAUAUAUCCUCCAAAACCUAGAUGGUCCUCUCUGAUUGCCCGUCGGUUUGAGGAUGAAAAGCGGUGCUAAACUUGAGUCGUGUGCAAAGUGCUUCCUUCAAGCUUUUCCAAAAGUGUGAAGUAAACCGAGGGUCUCGAUCCGACACGAUCGACUUCGAAACCCUGUGCAACCUCACCACUUCAUCAAGAUAUACCUGAGCAAGCUUGUCCCCUGACCAAGUAGUGUGGAUCGGUAGAAAAUGUGCCGACUUCAACAAACGGUCCACCACUACCCAAAUCGCAUCGUGGCCACCCGACGAACGGGGCAAUCCGACCACGAAGUCCAUAGCAACAUCCUCCCAUUUCCAAACGGGAAUAGGUAGACUCUGAAGCUUUUCCAUUGGAAACCGGCGCUUUGCCUUGACUUGUUGGCAAACAAGACAUUGCGCCACAUAGCGUCCAAUGUCAGCUUUCAUUCCCGGCCACCAAUAGAGCAACCUCAAGUCCUGAUACAUCUUGGUGUCGCCCGGGUGGACACUAUAGGGAGACUGAUGCGCUUCCUGCAAAACCAACCUUCGGACUUCUUCAUUUUCCGGCACGCACUACCGGUUCCGGUAUCGAAGCGCACCAUCGGUAUGAAUGUUGAAAUCUCCACUACGCCCACCAUCGAUGUCGCGUCGCGCCUUUUGGAGAUUCGGGUACGCAGAUUGCAAACCCUUGAUCUUCUCCAACAAGGUCAGUUGGACAACGAGAGCCGUAAGCAUAGACGGAACUUCCGGAGCCACAACCUCAAGAUCCAUUCGCCCCAUUUCUUUCCACAAGGGCACUUGAUUCGUGAUCAACAACGCGAGGUUCUCCGUCGAUUUCCUGCUAAGUGCAUCCGCUACCACAUUGGCUUUUCCGGGUUGGUAAAGGAUAGUAACAUCAUAAUCCUUUAAUAGUUCCAACACCGCCGCUGCCUCAUAUUAAGCUCUUUCUGCAUGAACAAGUACUUUAGACUUUUGUGGUCUGUAUAUAUCUCGCAAUGUGCACCGUAUAAGUAGUGCCUCCACAGCUUCAAAGAAAAGAUAACUGCGGGCAACUCUAAAUCAUGGAUAGGGUAGUUCUUUUCGUAGCUUUUCAACUAACGGGACGCAGAAGCGAUCACCUUCCCACCCUGCAUUAGAACACACCCCAAACCCAGAUAUAAUGCAUCACUCUAAACCACAAAGUCCUCACCUUGCACCGGUAGGGCGAGCACCGGAGUCGAAGUCAAUUUAUCCUUCAACUCUUUAAAACUCUAGUCGCACUCGUCGCUCCAAAUGAACUUGGUGCCCUUUUGCUUCAGACGGGUAAGUGGAAUAACUAUCUUCGAGAAUCCCUCCACGAACCGUCAAUAAUAGCCCGCUAAACCCAUGAAGCUACGAACCUCCGUCACAUUAGUCGUGCGAGGCCAAUCCUUGAUCGCCUCAACUUUUCUCGGGUCAACAGAAACUCCACCCUCAGAAAUAACAUGUCCUAGAAAUGCGACUUCACUGAGCCAAAAAUCGCACUUUUUUAACCUCGCAUAAAGCUUCUCCUCCCGAAGGACUUGUAGCACAAGCCUCAAAUGCUCCGCGUGCUCCUCGUCACUACGACAGUAGAACAAGAUGUCGUCUAUGAAGACCACGACAAAUCGAUCUAAAUAAGUCCUGAAUACACAGUUCAUCAAAUCCAUGAAUGCUGCCGGGGCAUUUGUGAGCCCAAACGGCAUGACCGUGAACUCGUAAUGUCCAUACUGCGUACGAAACGCGGUCUUUUGCACAUCCUCCGGCUUUAUCUUCAACUGAUGGUAGCCAGAUUGGAGAUCUAUCUUCGAGUAUACUCACGACCCCUGCAGCUGAUCAAACAAUUCGUCGAUACGGGGUAACAGGUACUUGUUCUUGAUAGUGACCUUGUUCAACUCGCGGUAAUCCACGCAGAGUCGAAACGAGCCAUGCUUCUUCCGCACAAAUAAAAUCGGGGCUCCCCACGGCGAUACACUCGGCCUGAUAAAUUCAUUGUCGAAGAGAUCUUGCAACUGAGCCCUCAACUCCUUCAAUUCUACCGGUGCCAUACGGUAUGGAGCCUUUGAUAUCGGCACGGUCCCGGGAGCCAAGUCUAUAAUGAACUCGAUUUCCUGAUCCGGCGGUAUCCCCGGUAACUCCACGGGAAACACAUCCGGAAACUCCCGGACCACCGACAUACACUCAAGUGCUGGAGUCUCCCGAUCAACCUCCACAACGGUCGCCAAAUAAGCCUCGCAACCGCUGCUAACCAGCUUCCUCGCCCUAGAUGCCGACACCGUCAUGCGAGCUCUGGCAAGCUCGAUAAGUAAACUCCUUCUGUUCUGGCUCACGAAAGAUAAUAACCCUGCUCUUGCAGUCGAUAAAUGCAUAGUACUUCGAGAGCCAGUCCAUACCCAGUAUCAGAUCGAAAUCUUUCAACCUCUUGAGCACCAACAAACGUGUCAGCAUAAUCUAGUUGCCCACUUGAACCGGACACGCCAAACACUCCUUUCGGAUAAUAAACGCGCGCUCGAGGGCGUCAACCCGCCAAGUACUUUUGCUCAGUUGAACCUCUAUGCCAUGCAUAUCAGCAAAUGGUCUACUGAUGAAUGAAUGCGUAGCACCUGUAUCAAACAUAGCUCUGGAGCGAACUCCAUUAACUAAAACCAUACCUGCCACGUCGUUGCGCUCCUCGGCCUCAGCAGGUUCCUUGGCUUGAGCGGCGAAUACCUGUCCGCUCGGAGUCGAUCUAGUCGCCUCAGAUUGACUAGCGCUAUAGCGCGUCUAGCAGAUACAGCAGUAGGUGGAGCUCCUCUAUAAUAGCCCGGAGUCGCCGGAGCUGAUGCAAUCGAUGGGGCAGGCGAGGUCCUCCUUGGACAGUAACGACUCAUGUGUCCCGGCUGGCCAGAAGUGUAGCAUCUCCCCUCCUUCUACUUGCAAUGGUUCGGGUCAUGAUCACCGCCACAAAUGACGCACCGCCGAGACCCACGACCUUUGGACUGUGUUCGCGGGUACUUCGGGGGCUUCCUUGUCCUUGACUGACCACCCGAACUAUCAGGGGCUCGCUUCUUACCCCCGUCCUUCUCGGACACCUCUCGCUCCUCAUGAAUGUGGGCAUUACCAUGCUCCGCCCACAACGCCCAAUCCAACACCUCUGAAAAGAUAGUAAGCUUGAGGAUGUGAACCGCCCUAUAGAUAUCCGGGCGGAGUCCUCACUCGAACUAGUCGGCUCGGUCCCUAUCGUCCCACACCACGUCGGGGAUGCAGUCGAUGAUGUGUGAGAACUCCCGCUCAUACUCUCCUACUGAGCGGUUACCGUGCCUCAGCUUCCUGAACUAAUCCUGGAGCUUCCUUUUCUCGCUAUCGGGAAAGUAGUUAGUGAACAACAACCCCCGAACUCCUCCCACGUCAACGGUGGAAGGUCGGAAGACUGAUCCCGCUUGAUCCGCUUCUGCCACACCUUCGCCGUCCGCUCUAAACAAUGAGUGGCGAGGUGUACCUUAUCCCUCUCCAACGUACAAAAAUCAUCGAACAGGGUCUCUAUCGAGUCAACCCACAACUCGACCAUCCACGGCUCGACCUUCUCUCGGUCGAACACUCGUGGAUCAAAUUUUCGGAACAUCACAAGAGCUGCAAGCGCGCGCUCCUUCUCCGCCGCUAUCACCGUACCUUCAGGAUUAGAAGUUCCUGAACCAGUAGCUACUACCGCCAUUGCGGCCCGUGCUGCAACCGGCAUAGCCGCUGUGGCCAUACCCUCUGUCGCACCAGGCACAACGACAGAGGGCGCGGGUCGUUCGACAUCCGCCUGAGCUGACACCUGUUGCGCCACCAAUUUCUGUAGCCUAGCGAUCUGAUCCUCUUGGUGCUGCAUUGCACCAGCCAUCGUAGAGAUCUGUGCUCGAAGUUCCCGCACUUCAUCAGAUCCCGACUGUUCGGGAACCUCGGGAGGUGGUGCCGGAAUGGAUCGCGUCUUAGGGCAUCCUCUCGGUGCCAUAGCUCCUGAAACGCAACAAAUUGGUUAAUCACAUUAACCCGUUAACUUCUCGCAAUUACGAGGCAAACGACUCAACAUCAAAAUCGGGCGGAAGCACACAAGUGUACUCAUUCUAGACUCUUAGCAUCAUGUUAUCGGCCGCCAAUACAACCACCUCGAGCCAAGAACUAAUACCACUUGAAUCCGUCUCUAUCAACAACUAGAGACAUACAACAACAACUUCGACCCAAUCGAAUCAACUUCCACCACCCGGCAUAGGUUCACGUCACACUCACGCACCUAUAGCCUUAAGGUUACCGUCCUAGGGUCUCCUAGGUCCAUCCUAGACUUCUCUCUUUGCUUGCUUGCUCUGUUACUUGCUUUGAUACCACUUUAUUUGUCAUGCCUUGCAACCGCCAAUUUGGUCGAUUCGUGUACGUCGAUCAGACGCCGAACGGACAGAGCCUCCCCUGCCCGCCCAAGACUAACAACAACGAGAUCAAGUAUGUCAACAGUUGCCCAGGAAACAAUAACCUCAUACAUGAUCUAAGCAAGUACUAAUACAAGCAAUCGUUAAAAGAGAGAAAGAUCUAGCUAUUACAAUUCCAUUCAACAUAUACAUCGAGUUUAUAUUUUUUCCAUUCAACAUAUACAUCGAGUUUAUAUUUUUCAUCUCCAAAAUGUAUACAUGUUCAUCCACAACUCCCCAAAAUACAUAUACAUCAUGUCCUCUCAUCUAUCCAGGGUGUACUAAUGCAUAAAGAAAGCUGCUAACUAACUAGGGCGCUAUGCCCUUACCCCGGUCCUCGCCCGGUCCGCUCGAACUUGGCCCUGCAACCAAAGCGGGGUGAGAACUACGAAUAGUUCCCAGUGGGUUCGGCCGCCGACUCCGCCGAUCUUCCCACUAGGUCUAAUCAGGCAUAAGUAGAUAGAUAGAUAGAUAUGAAAAUGAGCUGCUAUAUAGUAAUAAAACCUACAACAUGCUACUAUGCCUCAAUAAACAGAAUGAAUGCAUGAACAUAGUAAUUAAUGUACUCUACUAACAUAAUACUAUGUCUCAAUCUGUAUGAUAUAAAGGAAAUGACUACAUAGUAAUGAAACCUAUUAUCAAGUACUAUGUCUAAUGUCCAAUCUCAUCGGCUAACCAAAAGGUUAUGCCCAAACUCACAUCUCAAAUCUCGCCGGUGAGUAGACACUGCGCUACAAACACCCGAGACCGCCUGCUGGGUACUCGUGUUACCCAAACGCGACAUCUACUCCGGAGCUCACUACUUGGGGUGGAGCGACCACGCCAAGGUUACACAGACUAUGUGAGUACGAUCCAAUCUGUUGCACUAGUUCACAUGCUACUACUUAGGAAAUCAUCUUAUUUCCUAAGUUCAUGUCAUCAAGUUGUAAGUGUUCCAACUACACUAGUCCAAAUGCCACUCUUUGGUUCACAUGCUACUACUUAGGAAAUCAUCAUCUAUUCCUAAGUUCAUGCCAUAGUGUUUCUACUACACUAGUCCAAAUGCCACUCUUUGAGUUCAUUUACAUGUCCAAGUUCAUCUUUUGUUCUUUGGCACUAUAGGAUUCCAUGUCAAGACUAAAUCCUCAUGUGUCCACUAAAUCAAGUACUCAACUCACUAUAUGAUUUCUACUAUGGAAACAUGCAAGGAAUUAAAGUACAACUACUUAACACAACCUAUAAUGCAUGAUAACAAUAUAUAUGAACAUAUGCUAUAAUAAAACAACUCAGACAUAGAAGGAAGUUCAACUGCUUCGGGAUGGACACCCCAUUUUCUGGUGAUGCCACGAAGCUAGACUCCGACUUUCGCAAUUUUCCACCGCCUAUCUCUCUCGACUGCGUCAAACGAAGCCAAAAUAGGCUUUUCUUUAAUAUCUUUGCGCCGACUCGUCGGAUUGUCGAAUCGAGUUCACCAACGCGUUCGAUUACUUAGCAGAGAGGUAUAAAUGAGAUCAAUCCCAACUUUGGAUCUCAACUUAACAAAACCCUUUUUCCGAACCCUAGAUGUUCAACUUUGCAAGAAUACGCCACAAUGACCGUCGAUUCAAGCAAAUAACAUCUAUUUAGCAUCAAAGGGUCCUACUAAAACCAAUUCUAGAGUCUAAGAAGCUAACCCUAGAAAUCUACCAUUAAAGCUCCCAGAGCUUACCUCUUCACAACUCCUCCAAGUCAAGGAAGAAGAAGAAGAAAACAAAGAUCCACUUCCAAGCUUUAAUCUCCACCAAGUCCUCUUCUUAGAUUAACCCCUUGGGAGAGCUUCUGGAGAGAGAAAGGGAGAAAAAAAAUGAGAAGAUAAGUGUUCACUGGUUGUGAACAUAAGAGAGGGAGAUGGGGUCCAUUUAUAGGCUGCCACAAUUGCAGAAAAGCCCCUCAACAAUUGCUAUUUGCAACAUACUGCAUUCUGCAGUUUUCUGCACUUGGUACCGAUACGCGGGUCUUUUGUCACGGGAUUAAUAGCUGCGCAGAGGCCAAACUCGAGAGCUGCCUUCUCGGGUAGUUGGUCUGGUACUGGUACGCAUUAGGGGUGUCACCGAUUUAACAGCCAAAAUUAUUCAAAUCCGAGAGCUACUACUUUCAGUCUGCUACGAGGUACCGGUACCACCCUGAUGUUUAACCGGUUACACAAUGCCCAGACUGCAGUUUAUGUCAGACCCCAGAUAGUCCUAUAUAUGAGAUAUAAUAGGGCUAAACUCUUAACCCGGAGUUAAGCGUGCUAGGACGGGAGUAGUCCUAGGAUGGGUGACCCCCUGGGAAGUCGGGGCGUCACAGUUUAGCACUUGUUCGACUUCUAUUUUGCGCCGAGCAAUGCUAAAACUCAAUUAUCUCUUCUAGAACUCAACUUUGACCCCUCCAAAAAUGUCAAAUGGAACAUUCCAAGCAUCUUUCUUGCCACGCUUUGAUCCUUUUAACCAAAAGUGGUUUAAUACGUCGGGUGUAAGGAAGUGAAUUCUCGAAAUCCGAGAGUUCGACUUCGUCCAGGAUCGAUUAACUAUCGAAUGAGCACCCUUCGGGAAGGCUAAAGAUAUCCAAAACACAAAAAGUGCAUUGGAGUUGAGUCCGAGAGAGCAUAUAGUGCAAAACCUGUACUGGGCUGAAGUUGCUCUCGGGGACCGGUUCCUGGCAGGGAGAGACCGGUCCCUGAGGCUGGUGGUUGCUGGGGAUCUUUGAUGCAACCGGUCCCAGGCUGAGGGGACCGGUCCCCGUGUGCGACGCUAGCGAGAAAAGCCAAAAUUUGGCUAAGUCCCGAAAAUCCAGCUCUCGGGAACCGGUCUCUCAGAUAGGAACCGGUCUCCCGAGGACCGGUCUCUCAGGGAGAGACCGGUUCCCGAACACGUGAUAUCUGGGGAGACUCUUGGGGACCGGUCCCAGGUCGGGGAGGCCGGUCCCUCUUGGCAAAAACUGCCCAGUAAAGGCAGUGCACAGGAUGGAAAGUGGAGGGGCUUUUAUGCAAAAUGGCAUUAAUUAGAGAGUAUAGAGAGAGAGAGAGCUCUCUCCCUCUCUCAUUUUCACCCUCCUUCACACUCUCUCUUUCACUCAUCUCUCUUUCUCUCUUUAAAAGGAAACGAAGGAGAAGGAAAAAGAGGAGAAGAAGAGGAAGAAGAAGAAGAAGAGAAGAAAGGAGAAGAAGAAGGCGAUCAAAGAGGAGCUUUGGACAUCUCCCUCUCCCUCUCCCUCUCCUCUUCUCUUUGGAGUUAGCACAAGAGGUAAGCCCUAACCCUAGCUUUUGGAAACUUAGGGUUUUGGGUUUUGAGUUUUGGAGAGGAGGUCAAAUGGACCUCUUGCACCAUUGUUGGUGGAUUAGAGCUAGAGCUAGGGUUCCAAAUUGCAAAUGGCAAGAUGUGAACCCUAGGGCUCCAAAAUGGAGUUUUUGGUAAAGUAUGAGAUUGAUCUCACUUGAGGCCUUGUAAACCUAAUUGUUAGGUGUUUAAACACAGGGGCGAAGUCGGAAUUUCGAUUCGUCGAGCGGGAGAAAAGCUAUCGGCAAAAUAAGACCGAUUGAGCAUUGUUUUGGACCAAGGAAGUCGAGACCUUGUUGUAACGUUCGGCGAGAGGCAUUUCUAGAACCUCUACAAUGAGAAAAGAUGGGGGGUGCCAUCCCGAAGCCAUCGAACUCCUUUCUAUGUCUUAGAAUUUCAUAUGAUGACAUCUCUUGCAUGUUGCAUUGUAGGAUUGCAUAGUAGUGUCAUUCCUUAUGCUUUCUAAUUGAUAACCUAGUGUACAUGGAACGCUUGGUGACUUAGAUAGGUGAGGAUUGGGUCGGAACAUGGAUCCUAUAGUGCUAGAGAAAAGAGAUGAAUACGAUGGGUGUUUGGUGACAUAGAAAGUAACAUCUAAUGUUUAAAGAACAAACGGGUGGCAUCUAUGUUUAAAGAACAAACGAGUGGCAUUAAUGUAGUGUACUUGACACUAGAGGUUCUUUGUGAACUCAGGGAUAGAUGGACUCCCUAGUAAAUGACUCAUGAACAUCGAACUUAGUAAAGCUAAGUAGCUAUGCAUGAUGGUCGGAAUAGACGAGUUCCGCGAGAUGUUGACCCUAGUUCUUAGGGUGUCCUCACUUGGAGAGGAUAGAUCUAGCUCACAGUCUGUUAUUCGGGAUGGUAUAGCCAUCCAUAUCCUCAAAUGGAGAGGAUUGUCGUCGAGUACUCCGGAGUGUCGGAUGAUUAGGACCACAUGGAGGUCCGCAGACGGUCCUGGGUUUGGGGGCACAUGGAGCUCCCCACCCAAUGGGAUGGAAAAAGGUGAGUUACGGGCGAACCCAAGGGUUUCGCCACAGAUUGGGUAAAUGAACAGUUAACAAUGUCAUUGAACAUUAUUAUUCGAACAUGGAUCGAACUUGUUAGCAUGGUAGUAAACCUUUACUAUAUGAUGCAUGCAUUCAUUAUACAUGAUUAUGGGCAUAGUAGCAUAGUUUUCCUUUAUGCCUUUACAGCUUUCAGAUAUUUAUCUAUAUAUCUGUCUACUUGUUGUUACUUGUGCCCACUUGGACCUAGUGGGGAGACCGGCGGAGUCCGCGGUCGAGCCCACUAGGAACUACAGAAGAUAGUUCUCACCCCACUCUAUUUCCAGUGGUAGGUACAGGUCUACCGAGCGAGGACCGUGGCAAGGGCAUCGCGCCCGAUUAGUGAGACCGUGGUAGUAUAGUAGUUUUCCUUUUUGCAUUAGCACACCUAUGUAUUGAGAGAGAUUCAUGUAGGUGAGGUUGGGGAUCUAUGUAUUUUGAUGAACAAAUGUAUUCAUUUUGGGAAAAAGAUGUACAUGUAAAAAAAGAUGCAAAACUAUUAUAAUAGUUAGUAAAGUACUCUCUUUAUUUCACUUAUUUUUACUUGUGGAUUGCUUGCUCUUAGUUGUUGGCACUGUUUGUGCCCCGUCGAAUGUGUAUGUUUAGAAUCUGAAUUCCUGGGUAAAUUCUUGUACACAUUCUUAUUGUUGAGCCUUGGGCGGAUAGGGGAGGUGCUGUCCGUUCGGCGGUCUGCCGGGCGCGCCCGUAUCAUGCCAAAUUAGUAGUAGUUUCGGGGCGGGGGCGUGACAUCGGGGAAUCAAUAUCUUACAACAUCAUAGGUCCAUAUGGUGGUCUCUAUACAAAAAGGGUCGCAACACCUAUCCCAACUAAAACAAAAAGAAAGGUGUCCAUCUGUGAAUAUAUCUCCUAAUGAUUUAGCUAGUCGCAACUCCCUUGCCACGAUCCCGAGCCUCACCUGUUGCGGAAGGCUCUGAAACAAAAGCAACAAAUACAUGGGGGUGAGAAUUAUUAAACAAUAGUUCCCAGUGGGUAAGCCGCCGAGAAACACGAAUUACACCACUAGGCCAACUAAGGCAAAAGUAGGGAUACUAAUAUUAUAGCAUGAUUACUUGCAAGAAUUAAAGGAAUUCAUAUGCCUCCAAAUAACAAUGUUAUUUAACAUGUAUGAAACUAUUCUAUCACAUGAAUGAGCAUAAAAGUGACUAAUGUAUAUGUCCAAAUGUCAUAGACUAUCUAGUAGUGAAGUCUACAUUAAGUUUGAUUAUAGUUAUCCAAAUCAACAAGGAGUUACACAAGGUAAAGUCCUAGCUUGCGCCAUGCCUAAUGGCUCCGUGGUAGUCAUCAUUCCCACGCUAGGAAUGAGCCUCGGUCACGGCAAUCCACUUCGGCUCCCAAUCCCGCACGUGCGAGCAUGAUGUCGCAUAAGCCAACUCCGGAGUGCCGGCUUGUAGGGAGCGACCCUCACAAGAUUUUGCGAAUGAGCACAAUGGUAAGCAAGCAUGAUCAACAAUAUAGGGAUCUUGUUUAUCAUGUGUAAAAUAUGGAAUAUCAACUAGCGAUCGAAAGAUCGAAUACUAUGUCACCAUGUCAAGUUCUAGUUAUUCAACUACGUUAAGUACAACAUGCUUAGUUUCAUGUUUUGUCACUACCGUGCAUUAUGUCAUAUUUACCUUGUCUAUAACAAGUAUAUUAGUUAUCAAGCAAGCUAACCCUUUUUUGUUCCAUUCACUAUGUAUAAUUCAUAGGAUAAACCAUCAUUCAUCUCUAACAUGCUUUCUAGUAUUGCAUAAGAGGAAAUCACCAUAAUAUAUUAUUUGAUGCACAUGUCCACAUUGUAAGUCUUUACUACAUAGAGUAUAAAAUUUUCUAUACAUAACAUGUAUGAAGCAUGUGUUCAGAAAUUUUCUUAUGUCAUAUCUAGCAUGAAUAUGCAUCUAAUUAGGUCUAAAAAUAAUGUUGGAGACAUAGAAGAGUUCACCCAUUUCGGUGAGGUCAAACCCACCGGAUACUCUUCGAACCCUUUCGUUCCUUCGAACGAAGUUGUCCACCAAGCUUCUAGCACCCUAAGAGAAUUUCUAAGAGGGUUACAAACUUCUAACAAACCUCCUACAAAAAUAACCAAAAAUCAAGUCUAAAAUAGCUGAAAAAAAUCUUUACCCAAGAAGAACUUGUCCAAAGUCUAAAUCGAAGCUAUAUAGCUUCAAAUCCAACCGAGAAGAGAGUUAUACACUUAUCAAUUUGACCCCAAAGGUUUAAAAUCAACAAUCCCCAAAAUAAACCCUGGUUUUUUCAAAACUAGGUCUUUAUCCACAAAUCUUACAAAAUCUACAAGUAAAUGUUGCAAGAAGAGUACUAAUCUUAAAGAAAGCUCUAACCCAAGCUAGAGUUGGGGUUAGAUCCUCAAACAAGCUCUCUUCUUCACUUCCAAGCCUCCUUCAAGAAUCAAGUAGCUAGCCACCAUGCAAAGGAAGAAGAAAAAAGAUCAAAAUCCAAAUCUAAAAGAGUUUGGGGAAGAAAUCCUAGAGAGAGAAAGGGAGAAAAACCUACCUCCACCUUUCUCAAGCCUAAGCACAAAGGGAGGCAUGUGGGGGAAAGGGGGAGUCAUAUACAUGAUGUAACAAUUCCCUUAAGACCCCACAAAAAUUCAAAAAUUACAAACUGCGCGAACUGUAGUUUUCUUCAUUGAGUAUCGGUACUCGAACGGGAGUACCGCUACCCGACCCUCAGGCAGGCAGAACCCGAGCGCAAGACAUUCGGGUUUAAUACGGUGUACUGGUAUUCGCGCGAUGCAGUACCAGUACCCAGCCCCAGUACCGGUACUCAACACCCCAAAUCUCAAACCCGAGAACAACUUAUUUCAGCACUCUACAGGGCACCGGUACCAACCUCUAGUACCGGUACUCAACACUGAAAUUUGCACCUUGCAGAUUUUGAUGUCAAGAGCCCAUUUUCGUGCCUAAUAAGCUCCAGAAAUAGGCAGAAACCAUACAGACAACCCUCAAAACAUCCAUAAUAGUUUAAAAUUCUAUUCUUAUACUAGAACCUUACAAUUUGCUAAAGUUCAGUGUACUAUAUUGAUGCAUAAGAAUUAUAUUUUUAAAAUUAUAAUUUUAUAGAGAUUGUAUACAAAUUUGUAUAAAGACCUCCUAUAUGUUUGAGAUUAUUUCUGUUAAACUAAAUUUUAAGAAUAUCAAAUUUUAUAUGCACUCCCAGUUUGUGAUCUUGUGGUUUAAAAAGUUUCACUUUUUCUCUCUAUAGUUUAGCUUAUUUUUACUUUACCAUUCUAUGGUUCAAAAAGUUGCACUUUGUCCUUUGUGGUUUUGCAUAUAUUUUACUUUGUUAUCAUGUGGUUCAUUAAAAAUUUUUACUUUGUCACUCUAAUUCAUAUAGAAUUUUUUGGUAAAAUAAAAAUUAAGUCACAAAGAAUUAAAGUGAAACUUUUUGAACCACGGAGUGACAAAGUAAAAAAUACUAAACCAUAGGGGCCCAUUUGAAGUUUACCCAAAAAUUUAUAAUUGAGGGCAGAAUUUUAAAUUUAAAUUUAAUUUUUAAGUUUAAAUUUCAUAAAACUGCUAUAUAUCUAGAAGUUAAAUUAAUUAGAGGAUUUUAUAAUCAGUAUUCAAAUUGAAUGUCUUUUAGAAUUUUUUUAUACUACAAAAAUUUACACUUGAUUGUAUAACUAAUACUUUAGUUCAAGUUUUAAGUUCAAAUUUGAAUCAAAUUAGAAAUUUAAAACCCCAACAUAUUUGAAACUUUAAUAUUGACUAAUUCUUUUAAUAACUAAUCAUAUAUACAAAAUUUAAUCUCAAAUUCAAUAACUUCUACAAUAAAUAAAACAAAGGGUAUAAUUGUAAUUAUACAUACCGACAAAGAGGUGGGGUGAGAUGAAACCACCAAAUAUAUUUGCUUAUAAUAAUAAUAAUAAUAAUAAUAAUAAUAAUAAUAAUAAUAAUAAUAAUAUGAAUAGAUAGAUAAGGCUUUAUCUGUCAGGCCUCGCGAUCGCCAAUUUGGUCGGUUCGGAUACGUCGAUCAAACGCCGAACGGACAGAACCUCCCCUGCCCGCCGAAGGCUAACAACAACGAGAUCAUGUAUGUAAACGGUUGCCCAGGAAACAAUAACCUCAUACAUGAUCUAAGCAAGUACUAUUACAAGCAAUCAACAAAAGAGAGAAAGAUCUAACUAUUACAAUUCCAUGCAACAUUUACAUCGAGUUUAUAUUUUUCAUCUCCAAAAUGUAUGCAUGUUCAUCCACAACUCCCCAAAAUACAUAUACAUCAUGUCCUCUCAUCUAUACAGGGUGUACUAAUGCAUAAGGAAAGCUGCUAGCUAACUAGGGUGCUAUGCCCUUACCGCGGUCCUCGCUCGGUCUGCUCGGACUCGGCCCUGCAACCAAAGUGGGGUGAGAACUACGAAUAGUUCUCAGUGGGUUCGACCGCCGACUCCGCCGAUCUUCCCACUAUGUCUAAGCAGGCAUAAGUAGAUAGAUAGAUAGAUAUGAAAAUGAGCUACUAUAUAGUAAUAAAACCUACAACAUACUACUAUGCCUCAAUAAACAGAAUGAAUGCAUAAACAUAGUAAUGUACUCUACUAAUAUGAUACUAUGUCUCAAUCUGCAAGAUAUAAAGGAAAUGUCUACAUAGUAAUGAAAUCUACUAUCAAGUACUAUGUCUGAUGUCCAAUCUCAUCUCGGCUAACCAAAAGGUUACGCCUAAACUCACAUCUCAAAUCUCGCUGGUGAGUAGACUCUACACUACAAACACCCGAGACCGUCUGUUGGGUAAUCAUGUUACCCAAACGCGACAUCUACUCCGGAGCUCACUACUUGGGGUGGAGCGCCCACGCCAAGGUUACACAGACUAUGUGAGUACGAUACAAUCCUCUCACUCGAGGAUAGUUAGUGCUUAUGUUGCACUAGUUCACAUGCUACUACUUAGUAAGUCAUCUUUUAUUCCCAAGUUCAUGUCAUCAAAUUGUAAGUGUUUACACUACACUAGUCAAAAUGCUACUCUUUGGUUUACAUGCUACUACUCAGGAAAUCAUCAUCUAUUCCUAGGUUCAUGUCAUAGUGUUUCUACUACACUAGUCCAAAUGCUACUCUUUGAAUUCAUUUACAUGUCCAAGUUCAUCUUUUGUUCUUUAGCACUAUAGGAUUCCAUGUCAAGACCCAAUCCUCAUGUAUCCACUAAAUCAAGUGCUCAACUCACUAUGUGAUUUCUACGAUGGAAACAUGCAAGGAAUUGAAGUACAACUACUUAACACAACCUAUAAUGCAUGAUAAUAAUAUGUAUGAAUAUAUGCUAUAAUAACACAACUCGGACAUAGAAGGAAGUUCAACUGCUUCAGGAUGGACACCCUCCACCUUCUGGUGAUGCCACAAAGCUAGACUCCAACUUUCAUAAUUUUUCGCCGCCUCUCUCUCUCAACUGCAACAAACGAAGCAAAAAACAGGCUUUACUUCAAUAUCUGCACGCCGACUCGUCAGAUCGCCGAACCGAGUUCACCAAUGCGUUCGAUUACCUAGUAGGUAGACAUAAAGGAGAUCAAUCCCAACUUUAGAUCUCAACUUAACAAAACCCACUUUGGAACCCUAGAUGUUCUAUAUUGCAAGAAUAUACCACAAAAACCAUUGAUUCAAGCAAAUAACAUCUACUUAGUACCAAAGGGUUCUACUAAAACCAAUUCUAGAGUUUAAAACUCAAGUCCUAGAAUUCUACCAUUAAAGCUCCAAGAGCUUACCUCUCCACAACUCCUCCAAGCCAAGGAAGAAGAUGAAGAAGACGAAGAUCCAUUUCCUUGCUUCAAUCUCCACUAAUCUCUCUUUUUUGAUCAACCCUUGAAAGAGCUUCUAGAGGGAGAGAGAGAAAAAUAAGAUAAAGAAGAGUGUUCACAGGCUGUGAACAAGAGAGGGAGAUAGGGUCUAUUUAUAGGCUGCCACAAUUGCAACAAAACUCCCCAACAAUUGCUGUCACGCCCCGGGACUGGCGGAGGCCCUCCCGGUAGCGUGCCCAGACCCGCCAUAUGUCAACACAUAUAUGGCGUCUACAACAAAAGUGGAAGUAAAGCAAGAGAUAGAACAAAUAAAAGAAGUGAAAUAACUAGCAACUAAUGAUAUCAGAGCGAGUAUAGUUCUAACAUCUACAUCAAAGUAAAUAAGUAAAGCUAGACAAUAAAAGAAAUCAUAAGUAGUACAACAACUGUCUCUAGUACAAAAAUGGUGGUCUCUAGUACACUGGUAAAACCCUCAACCUCUCGCCAAAAAGAAACACAUCGAGAGGUAGACCACCUAAACUCGUCUCUCGCUGAAGGGCUAACUCGAAGCGACGCCCUUACCACGGUCCCUAGCCUCUCCCAGCGUGGAAGGCUCUGAAAGAAAAUAUAAAACAGAGGGCGUGAGAACUAUAAUUUAUAGUUCCCAGUGGGCAAUUACCGACCUCAGCUCAUUGCACCACUAGGCCCCAAAAGAAAAGGGUAAGUCUACUAAUAAUAGUAACGAGUAAAUUGCAUAUAAGAAAGCAUAAUUAAGAUGCUAAGCUACGACUUGCAAUUAAGCAUGGCAUUCAUAAUGCGACUUUAUCUUGUCAUGGAUAAUAUAUAUAUCUAUAUGUUCAUAAGUAAUAUCAUGAUUUACUUUAUACAAAUAUGAAAGUGAUACUUUGUCAUGACUACAGUGCAUAUAAGGAUGUAAUAAACAACAUCUCCUAGCAUACUACAUGUAUGUAUGAAUACCCAAAUGUCCACAACUAUACUAGAAGUAAGUCCAAGUAAUCCUACUACUACUCUCUGUCUAGUAGUGAUCAUAAUAAACUUAACACGGUGUCGAUUUCCAUUUCCAAUUAAAGACCUACCAACGGUAGUCCAGCUUGUGCCGCCUAAGUGCCUGUGGUAGCCCGACAUCCUUACUCUUGGAAUGUGUCUGUCCCACUCGACCCCGUAGGCUUCUCAAUACCGCACGAGCGAACAUAAGUCGCGUAAGCUAACUCCGGAGUGCCGGCUUGUGGGGAGCGACCCACACAAGCAUGUGCGAAUGAGCACAAAUGGCAAACAAGCAAGGUCACUGUCUCAAAUACUUUAUCCACAUGUCUCUAUCAUGGCAAGGUCACUAGCAUCCCAAGGAUCUAGCCCAAUGUCUCUAAGUGAUGUCCUAACACUCACUUGCUUAGUGCCUCUUUAUGACACUUAAGCAUCACGCUGAUCAAGCCCAAUUCUUGUUCUAUGUUUCAUUUAAACAUUAAUACCAAUGAUUACUAUAGCCCGGGCCCAAUGCCUCUUUAUGACAUUGGCCCAAUUCUCAAAUAGUCCAAAUUCUCAAGCCCUCUCUAGGCUUCUAAAAUCCCUAAUGUCACAAUUGGCAUAUAGGUUAAAGGCAAGAAAACAAGAUCCAUUUUCAUGAUAGGGGCCCUAAUUCCAAAUCUCAUCUAGAAUGCUAUGUUUCACAUGCAUGCUCUCUACCGCAUAGGUGUAAUAUACCGAAAAUUCGGAAAAUAAAUAUCGAACUUUAGUCAAAUUGACCAAAGUGCGAGGAUGGUGCACUUCGGAAAGUCUGAAGGUGUUAAAAUGAUUAAAAGUGAGUUGUGGAAGGUUUUCGAGAGCUAGAGAAUCAAAUUCUGCAAAACUGCAGAUUUUCAGCUCUCGGGGACCGGUCCCUAAAGGGAGAGACCGGUCCCCGAACGCGUGCAGAAUGAGACAGCCGAAAAAUCGGCUAAGUCCUGGAAGGAUAGCUCUCGGGAACCGGUCUCUGCCUGAGAGACCGGUCCCCCAGAGACCGGUCCCAUAAGGAGAGACCGGUUGCUCUGCGCGCAGCAGCUCUGGCUGCGCUGGGACAACGUUCGGGAACUGGUCCCUGCUCGAGGAGACCGGUCUCUGCCUGCGCGAACUGCCCAGUUCAGGCAGUGCAUUAAGUGAAAGUUGAGGGGUUUUAUUGCAUUUUUGCAACCCAAUAGACUAUGUAUUAGGGUAAAUGAGGGAUUUCUCUCAUUUCUACCCUCUCAUUGCCCCUCAUCUCUCUUUCUCUCUCUAGAAGACAAAAGAGAAGAAGAAGAAAGGAAGAAAAGAAGGAAAAGAAGAGGAAGAAAGUGGAGAAGAAGAAGAAGAAGUGAAGAAACUCCUUCUCCUUCAUCUCUAGCUUGAAGAAAAGGAAAGCUUGAGGUAAGCUUUGAACCCUAAUGUAGUAAAACCCUAGAAAUGGGUUUGAAUGAACCUAGAAAUGGUUUUUAAUGGAAUGUCUAGUAGUUUUGAAGCUUUCUUUUGCUUCUUUAGAGAUCAAAACCUAGUUUUGCUAUAGAGGUGAGCUUGGGCCACCUCUCAUGGUGAAACCCAAACUAGGGUUUUGGAAAGCCUAAGAAUGGCUCUAAUGGACUAUUUAGAGUAUAAUGAAGCUACUUUUGCUUCCCAAUGAGAUCAAACCCUAGGUUUGAUAUGUGUAUUGGAGCUAGGGCACCAAAUUGGGGCUUUUGCUCAUGAGGAUUGCUAAGUGCAAUUGACCCUCCAAAAACCUAAUUGGGAGUAUUUCCGACGCGUUGGUGCGCUCGGAUUAACGUUGCGAAAGGCCAAAGUAAAGUUAUGGGCAAAAUGGCCUAAUAAGGGUUCGUUUUGCCGCAGGUGAAGAACGAAGCAUCUAAAAAUCCCAAGAAAAUCAUCGGAGCACCUUUGAAAGCCUACGAGGUGGGUGGUGCUUUUCAAACUCAUUGAAAUUCUCUCUAUGCCUAAUGUGUCAUUCUUUGAGCAUAUGUUCUAUAUAUUGUUGCAUGCAUUGUAGGGUAAAGUAAUGAUGAAACAUGACGAUUGCAUGAUUGUGAGCACAACUUGCAUAAUGAGAUGGUUGAGAACCUAAUAAUGUCAAAACCCUAGAUGUAUGCAUGAGAGAAAAUGUGAGUACCCAAAGUGAGCAAAAGAACAGAGUGGCACAAUGACAUAGAUCGAGUGGCAUUUGGAAAUGUAAAGUAAAGAGACACUAGAGGUAGUGUGAGGUAAAGAACCAAUGUAAUGUAAAGAAUGCUGAAAGUGAUAAUGCUUAAAGUUAACGCAAUGUGGGAAGCAAAGAACGUGAAAUGCUAGAGGUAGCCAAGAGUAAAGAAUGUAAAGAAUAUAAUUGCUAGAGUUAGCAAGAGUAAAGGAUAAUGUAAAGAAUGUGAUUUCAUGAGAUACUAGUAUAGGAAUUGAGUUUCCUAAUAUUCAAGUUAGAACUGAAAUGUGAUCGAGAUCACAAGAAAUGUAGUGAAAUACAACGUUUNNNNNNNNNNNNNNNNNNNNNNNNNNNNNNNNNNNNNNNNNNNNNNNNNNNNNNNNNNNNNNNNNNNNNNNNNNNNNNNNNNNNNNNNNNNNNNNNNNNNNNNNNNNNNNNNNNNNNNNNNNNNNNNNNNNNNNNNNNNNNNNNNNNNNNNNNNNNNNNNNNNNNNNNNNNNNNNNNNNNNNNNNNNNNNNNNNNNNNNNNNNNNNNNNNNNNNNNNNNNNNNNNNNNNNNNNNNNNNNNNNNNNNNNNNNNNNNNNNNNNNNNNNNNNNNNNNNNNNNNNNNNNNNNNNNNNNNNNNNNNNNNNNNNNNNNNNNNNNNNNNNNNNNNNNNNNNNNNNNNNNNNNNNNNNNNNNNNNNNNNNNNNNNNNNNNNNNNNNNNNNNNNNNNNNNNNNNNNNNNNNNNNNNNNNNNNNNNNNNNNNNNNNNNNNNNNNNNNNNNNNNNNNNNNNNNNNNNNNNNNNNNNNNNNNNNNNNNNNNNNNNNNNNNNNNNNNNNNNNNNNNNNNNNNNNNNNNNNNNNNNNNNNNNNNNNNNNNNNNNNNNNNNNNNNNNNNNNNNNNNNNNNNNNNNNNNNNNNNNNNNNNNNNNNNNNNNNNNNNNNNNNNNNNNNNNNNNNNNNNNNNNNNNNNNNNNNNNNNNNNNNNNNNNNNNNNNNNNNNNNNNNNNNNNNNNNNNNNNNNNNNNNNNNNNNNNNNNNNNNNNNNNNNNNNNNNNNNNNNNNNNNNNNNNNNNNNNNNNNNNNNNNNNNNNNNNNNNNNNNNNNNNNNNNNNNNNNNNNNNNNNNNNNNNNNNNNNNNNNNNNNNNNNNNNNNNNNNNNNNNNNNNNNNNNNNNNNNNNNNNNNNNNNNNNNNNNNNNNNNNNNNNNNNNNNNNNNNNNNNNNNNNNNNNNNNNNNNNNNNNNNNNNNNNNNNNNNNNNNNNNNNNNNNNNNNNNNNNNNNNNNNNNNNNNNNNNNNNNNNNNNNNNNNNNNNNNNNNNNNNNNNNNNNNNNNNNNNNNNNNNNNNNNNNNNNNNNNNNNNNNNNNNNNNNNNNNNNNNNNNNNNNNNNNNNNNNNNNNNNNNNNNNNNNNNNNNNNNNNNNNNNNNNNNNNNNNNNNNNNNNNNNNNNNNNNNNNNNNNNNNNNNNNNNNNNNNNNNNNNNNNNNNNNNNNNNNNNNNNNNNNNNNNNNNNNNNNNNNNNNNNNNNNNNNNNNNNNNNNNNNNNNNNNNNNNNNNNNNNNNNNNNNNNNNNNNNNNNNNNNNNNNNNNNNNNNNNNNNNNNNNNNNNNNNNNNNNNNNNNNNNNNNNNNNNNNNNNNNNNNNNNNNNNNNNNNNNNNNNNNNNNNNNNNNNNNNNNNNNNNNNNNNNNNNNNNNNNNNNNNNNNNNNNNNNNNNNNNNNNNNNNNNNNNNNNNNNNNNNNNNNNNNNNNNNNNNNNNNNNNNNNNNNNNNNNNNNNNNNNNNNNNNNNNNNNNNNNNNNNNNNNNNNNNNNNNNNNNNNNNNNNNNNNNNNNNNNNNNNNNNNNNNNNNNNNNNNNNNNNNNNNNNNNNNNNNNNNNNNNNNNNNNNNNNNNNNNNNNNNNNNNNNNNNNNNNNNNNNNNNNNNNNNNNNNNNNNNNNNNNNNNNNNNNNNNNNNNNNNNNNNNNNNNNNNNNNNNNNNNNNNNNNNNNNNNNNNNNNNNNNNNNNNNNNNNNNNNNNNNNNNNNNNNNNNNNNNNNNNNNNNNNNNNNNNNNNNNNNNNNNNNNNNNNNNNNNNNNNNNNNNNNNNNNNNNNNNNNNNNNNNNNNNNNNNNNNNNNNNNNNNNNNNNNNNNNNNNNNNNNNNNNNNNNNNNNNNNNNNNNNNNNNNNNNNNNNNNNNNNNNNNNNNNNNNNNNNNNNNNNNNNNNNNNNNNNNNNNNNNNNNNNNNNNNNNNNNNNNNNNNNNNNNNNNNNNNNNNNNNNNNNNNNNNNNNNNUUCAAGUAUACGUUGUUGGCGAUGACAUCGAUAUACGCAGUUGGCCUGCUCUUCAGGUUUUCAUGGGUUAGAUUUGGCGGCACAGCCAGAUUCCUGGAGUCCGUUUUCGGUGAUAGACGAGUGUGGACCGUACAUUGGGAUCGUGUUUCUCUUGUGGCGACCCGAGUGCCCAGCCUACAUGCUGGUGAAAAGGCCUUUUCUUGUGGGAGGACGCCCCCUAGUUGGGCGACCACAUGCACUUUACGUGAGCUCGACACCGCUAGUUACGCCUAUACUAGUUAUCGGUUCUAGUUCUUUCUUUACAGUUGUCUUGCUACUAUAGUUUUGAUAUUCUUGUAUGCUUGCAGUUGUACAUUACAGUAGCGAUAGUUGUGUUUUUCAUAUAUAUAUAUAUAUAUAUAUCUCAUUCGUUCAUUAUCGUUGCUACUGUAUUUUACUUACCCAUACUGUUGGUUAUUUCUUCCUGAUCCGGUGAAUACUCCUCGCCUUCUUCGGCUUGCGGUACCCACUGGGAGGGGAGACAUGUUUACAUGUUCUCACCUCCCCCACCAUUUUUCAGGUAUCGUGGGCGAUGAGUAGUGGGACGAGACGUGAGGUACGCGUGUAGCGGUCGAUAGAGCUUUCGACCCGGGUUAAUUCGGUUUACUUUUUUUACCCUUCUUAUUUUGGCUGAUGAAUAGUUUAGUGGUUUAUGUGGUUCAGUGUUUAUUUACAUUUGAAAAUGUGGAUUUCUAGAUUUUGUAAAAUAAAAGAUUUUCUACCCCUCGUGGUAGCGUUUUUAAAAGAAUAAAGGAUUCUGUAUAGGAAACAGCUUUCAAAAGAAUUUUCGUGAAUUUCUAUUUAAUCACUGAAUGUAAAACUGUGAUGUGAAUGGUGAAUGUAUGAAUGUAUAGUUAUCUUUAUAUUCAUUUGGUUGUGGUUGUUUCCUGGCUAUACUCUUGUACUUGUGCGACGCCGUGCAAAUACAGGGGAGACUCUGUCCGUGUGAACAGUGGAUUCCCUGUAUUUGUGGCGGAUCUGGCAUACCCUGGGGUCAGGUUUGCAAAAAAAAAAAAUUUCUGCUGUGUUUUUAACCUAAAGGGACCCCGGGGCGUGACAUAUUAGCAUCAUGUAUUAGUUGGUUACUACUUUACCUAUCCUUUCUAUUAUGCCUGAGUUAGUCCUAGUGGGAAAGUCGGUGAUGUUGAGGCCGAACCCACUGGGAACUUUGUUGUAGUUCUCACCCCACUAUUUCCACAGAGCCGGGACCGAGCGAGCCGGCGAGCGACCGCGGUAAAGGUAUCGCGCCUUAGUCAGAGGCCACCAAGUUGGGUUACAUUUUGUUAGCAGUUAUCCCUUUUAUCAUCUUUUGUAUUUGAUGAUUAGUGAUGUAAAGAAAGAGUGUAAAGCUUAUUUUGAGGUAAAUGAGAUGUAAGAAGAAAUGGUGAAAAGAUGUAAUGAAUGUAAGGAAUUCGAAAGUGAACAAAAUGGAUGCAAUGUAUAUGAUCUAAAGUGAAUCAUAUUACUUGUGAGUGUUUAGUCUCCUUUUUCUUUCACUAAUGGCUAUUGCUUACCCUCGUGUAAGCCGUUUGUGUAUGUUUCCGCUAGUGCAAUUCUUGUUUGAAUUUUGUACAUGUGAUGAGCCUUGGGCGGAUAGGGAAAACUCUGUCCGUUCGGCGUCUGUUUGACGUGCUCGGGUCGGGCCAAAUCGGCAUCGGUCCCGGGGCGUGACAAUAGGGGUCAAAAAUUUACUUCACAUAACGUAGGCAUGUUAAGCAUUCUAAAAUUCAUAGUAAUUACAUUUAGUAUGGAAAUGCAUGAAUUUCUACUUUAUGAAACACAUUUCACCAAAUAUGAGGAUUUCUCAUAUCAUAGGCUAGGUCAAACCCACCGAACCGUCGCGUGCUCCUUCGAUUCGCCGAACGGAGUUGUCCACGAGUCUCAAAGUAUCCUAAAAGUGAUUAGCGAAGAGAUACGAGGGCAUUACGACCAACCAUAAGAUCAAACAUUAACCUAGAAGCAAAAAGGGCCAAAACUCACCUCAAAAGAAGAAAUCUCUUCCAAAGCUCCAAAAGAGAGCUAGAACCCUUCCAAUCCAAGCCUAAGGAAGGUUCUAGACCAAUCAAUCUAGCCUCAAAAGCCCUAGGUCAAAAAGCCCCAAAAUCAACCCUAAAUCUCAUUUCUAGGGUUUCAUCUACAAAAACUAUCAAACAAGAUCUAAAGGAGGGAAAUGAGCAACAAACCUCCUUAGAAGCUCCAAUCCUAGCUCCAAGGGUGAAGAUCUCCUCCUAUGCAAGCUCCAAAUCCAGGCCUUCAAGCAUCAACAAAGUGGGGAGAGGAAAAGAGGCAAAGAAAUGCUCCAAGUCCACCAAAACCCUCUCCUUCUCCUUCUUCUCCUCCUUCUUCUUCUCUUUCUCCUUCUCUCUCUAGCAAGGGUGUGGGGAGAGUGUGAGGAGGGAAAUGAGAAGAAGAGAGAGGGGAUGGGUCAUAUAGACCCUCUAUUGUAACAAAAUCCAGCUAGGUCCUUCAAAAAUCCAAAAUUGCAUCAGCCCGAACUGGGCAGUUUUCGCCAAGAGGGACCAGUCUCUCCCCAGCAGGGACCGGUCUCUCACUGCGUAGACGCGCUCGGGGACCGGUCUCGCCCGCCAGGGACCGGUUGCCUCAGGGCUGCCGCACCACUGCUCACUCGGGGACCGGUCUUUCCUUUUAGGGACCGGUCCCCGAGAGUAAAAACUCUCAGGAUUGUCCAGAAUUUCAGUUUUCGAACUUUUUAGGUCGAAAAGCAUUCUACAACCCUCCACCAAGUAUGGAAAAGCUCGAAAUACAUCCAAACACUCGAACCUUGCAAUUUGCAAAGGUCCAGUGCGUCACAAUUGCUAUUUGCAACAUACUGCAAUCUGCAGUUUUCUGCACUUGGUACCGGUACGUGGGUAAUCUGUCACCAGUACGCCGCUACGCAGAGGCCAAACCCGAGAGCUAUUAUUCUCGGCUGGCUGGUCUGAUACCGGUACGCAUCAGGGGUGUCACCGGUUUAACAGCCUAAAAUACUCAAACCCGAGAGUUGCUACUCUCGGUCUGCUACGGGGUAAAACCCUCCAACAAUUGCUAUUUGCAACAUACUGCAAUCUGUAGUUUUCUGCACUUGGUACCGGUACGCGGGUAAUCUGUUACCAGUACGCUGCUACGCAGAGGCCAAACCCGAGAGCUGUUAUUCUCGGCUGGCUGGUCUGGUACUAGUAAGCAUCAGGGGUGUCACCGGUUUAACAGUCUAAAAUAUUCAAACCCGAGAGUUGCUACUCUCGGUCUGCUACGGGGUACCGGUACCACUCCGAUGUUUAACCGAUUACACAAUGCCCAGACUACAGUUUAGUACUUGUUCGACCUCUAUUUCGCGUUGAGCAAUGCUAAAACUCAACUAUUUCUCCUAGAAUUCAACUUUGACCCAUUCCAAUAUUAUUGGAAUGUCAAAUGGAACAUGUCCAAGCAUCUCUCUCACCAUACUUUGGUCCUUUUGACCAAAAGUGGUUUAAUAGGACGGGGAAUCAAUAUCUUACAGUGUCUGUCUAACGCCUUGCGCCUAGUGGUUGGGCAAGGUUGCUUUGCCCACUCUCUAGAUGCACAUUUUCAAUUAAAACUACCACGAGCUCUUCUUCUUUCUUUUAUCUAUUUAACAAUUGUGUAGAAAAAAGUAUGACAGGAAUCAAGAGAGACAGAGCUAGAGGUUUAACCAUUCUACUUACGAAAAUAGUUAGAGAAAUUUGCCCUAAAUGAGUUUUAAACAGCUCAGUAAAUACCAAAACCAGUCAAGAAAAAGUUUCAACAAACUUGCUAUUUUGAUUCGUAUUUUAAUCCGUUCAAAAUGGUAAAGAAAAGCAGUUAACUACAGUUUCUAGAAUUUUACAUAAAAGUGAUACGAAAAAGUAUUUUGUAGAUCUCAAAAUUUUCAACUUUAGAAGUACUAGAAGUUUAAAUAUCUAUAAAAACUUAUGAAUCCUCAGUUUACUACUAAGGUGGUGUGUUCCUAUGAAGUUUGGGGAAGGUAGGCGUGCAAACCUUCUCCGUUGCCUUUGGUCACUUUUCUAUUACUGCGUUCAUACUGAGCUGGUCAUGCCGCCUACCUUUAAAUUAAUGCGUUCGCAUGGUGACCUCAUAUAUUACAAUAAUAUUGAUAUAUGGAGACAAAAUAUUUAGCAACGAAGUGUAAUUUUGUUGGUAUUUAAUUAGCGACUAAAUUUAAUGUUCGUCGCAAAAUUAAAAAAUGGAGAGUUUUUAAAACGUCAUUAGUGACAAUGUAACUUUAUUACUAAAACGUAGUCGCUAUAAGUUUAAUAGGAUCAAUUUUUUUCGCCCUAAAUUAAUUGUAGCGACAAACGAUAAUUAAUAACGACUAAAUUAGACGUCACUUUAUGGUUCAAUAAUUAGUGAUAAAAAAUGUGGUCACUGAAACUCUAUUUUUAGCAACAUAUUAAUGUUCCGUCACUAAAAUAUUAAAAAUCUGUUAUAAUUUUUGUUGCUAGAAGUUUAUAAAAUAAAAUUUAAGUUAUUUUAUUUGGUUAAAUUAAAAAUUUUAUUUCAUAUAACUGUUGUAUUUUUUAUUAGUAUUUAAUUCUUAUAAUUUUAUUAAUUAAAAUUUAUGCAAUAUUGAUGAUUUGGUAUAAUUUUGAUCUUAUAUCGUUGUUUCAAAAUUCAACCUAAUUUAAUUCUUUCGUUAGUAGAUUCUUAAAUUUUUAUUUAAAUUAUUAAUUUAAUUUUAAAUUUGUCUAAAUUACAGAAAAUUCGCCUGUCAAUAUCCGCUUUUUUACUUUUUUCCUAUCAUUUAAAAAGUACACUUUACCCCCUUGAAAAAUAAAAAAUAUUCACAUGAGGUUACGGUGUUAACUGUGAUGAUAAAAUUAAUGGAGGAUCAAGUGAUGAUACAAUUAAGGAAUUAAUUAUGGGUGAAUCAAAUUCCCAAAAUCAGGAAUCUACCAACUAUGACAAGUAUUCAAAUCAUAAGCAAUUGUGGAAACUCAAGAAUGACAAUCUCUAACCGACUGUCCCUAGAGCAAGUGGCAAAGGGCUUGGUGGUUGGUACCCGAGACCCAAGUUCGAAUCCUAGUUGAUUCACAUUUCUAGCUAAGUUUAUUUCUAAAUGAAAUAAACGAAGCUACCUAUCUCUCAAAAAAAAAAAGAAAAAAAAAAGAAUGAGAAUCUCUCAAGUAUGGCAACCACUCCAAAUAAAAAAUAUUUGGAUUCAAAUAUUGUACAUUUCUAGAAUGUAAUUAUUGUAAUCCCAGGAAUAAUGGGAUUAUAUUUUGUAUUCAAUAAUUAUAUAUACUGAGAGUUGGUUUUGUGUGUUCUCUAUUGAGGACAACAAUCAUUUUUCCACCAAUUAUAAUUUUCUUUAUGGUAUCAGAGCCAUAAGACAUUAGUCAUCAUACUUGAUCUAAUGGCCACUUCUAGUGCUUCUUCUUCUACCACAAGCCCCACAUUUGUUAUUGCUAACAUUAGCAAUUUAGUCUCCAUUAAACUUGAUCGCGGCAACUAUCUAUUAUGGCGACAAUAAUUUCUUCCCGUUCUUUUUGCUCAUGACUUGAUGGGUUAUAUUGAUGGAUCCAAAGAAUGUCCAUCAAAAUUCACCAAAAAUGCCGAUGGCACUAUUACCGACACUAUCAAUUCGUCCUUUUUGGAGUGGAUGAAACAAGAUCGUCAUCUGCUCUCUUGGAUUCAAGCUACCCUCACCGAAGGGGUACUUGCUUAAGUUGUCGGCUUACAAACCUCUCGCGAUGUUUGGGUUGCAUUGGAACGUCGGUAUGCAUCUCUCUCGCGUGCCCAUAUUUCACAACUUACUACUCAACUUCAAACUAUCAAAAAGAGAGGUAUGACUAUCACUGAUUAUAUGAAUAAAAUAAAAGCCAUAUCUGAUAAUUUGGCGGUUGUCGCUAAAUCGAUCCAUGAUGAUGAUUUGAUUCAUCAUAUUGUUCAUGGUUUUUCCCCGGAAUAUGACCCUAUUCGGGUCUCUAUUUGUACUAAUCCCUCUAUUUCUACUGUUGAGGAAGUGCAUGCUAUUUUAGCCGGUGAAGAACUACUUUUGGAGGAACGACGUCAACUUCAAUCUUCCAUCACUCAUGAAUUAAUCUACCGCCUUCAUUGCAUAAACAAUUCUUUUCAAAACAAUCUUGGCUCUAAUUAUGGCUGAGGGCGCAAUACUAACAAUGGCAGGGGAUGUGGAAGAGGACGUGGUGGUCAUGGCCGAGGUGGAGGCCAACCUCCACGUAACAACAACACAAAUGCAAAUGCUGGGCAACGUCCAACUUGCCAGACCUGCAAUCGAAUUGGCCACAUUGCACUCGACUGUCACUAUCGAAUGGACUUUGCAUAUCACGGGUGUACUGCUCCUCAGGGCCUUCAAGCAAUGGUGGCAACAACUUCUCACUCUGCUGAUCAAACUUGGUAUGCUGAUACUGGAGCCACCAACAACCUAACUUCUGAUCUCUCCAAUCUUACUAUUCGCACCGACUAUCAAGGAAGUGAGAAAAUAUCUGUAGGCAAUGGACAAGGUUUGCGCAUUCUUCAUACUGGUUCAUCUACACUUCAUACCCCAUCUCAACCUUUUCAACUAAACAAUUUGUUACAUGUUCCUGAAAUAUCAACCAAUUUAGUUUCCGUUAACUAGUUUUCUAAAGAUAAUACUUGUUGCUUUCUCUUUGACUCUCAUGGUUUUUGUGUGAAGGACAAAUAGUCGGGGAAGAAGCUUUUCCACGGGCCGUGAAAAUGGACUAUAUCCCAUCAAAUCCUUCAAAAAUAAUCAGAAUAAAUCAAGUCCUUUUGCUCUAUUGGCGAAAGACUUUUUCUUCAAUCGGGCAUCAUAGGCUUGGCCAUCCAUCUGCUACUACUUUGCAUUAUUUGUCUGCGCUUUCGAAUAUCUUUUUCAAAGGUUCUAUAAAAGAAAUAAAUUUUUGUGAUUCAUGUCAACUUGCGAAAAGUCAUCGUCUUCCUUUUAUUCUUUCUACUUAUGUUUCUUCUUCUCCUUUAGAACUUUCACAUAUGGAUGUUUGGGGACCUACCCCUAUUCUAACAAUGAGCGGUUUUAAAUAUUAGGCUAAAUUACAUAAAACCCCCUAUCAAAAUCCGAUUUUUCACUUUCCCCUUCUCAUUUAAAAACCUACACUUUGCCCCCUUGUAAAAUGAAAAAUGUUCACUUCGCCACCUGCCGUUAGUAAUCCGUUAGGGUUCCGUUUAUAAAAUAUUAUUAUAUAUUUUUUAUGUCAAAAAUGCUAUCAGCCUUCUCUUUUGUGAAUAUGGUGAGGGGCAAAAUAGUGAGGGGCAAAACGGUCAUCUUAUCAUCACAGUUGACACCAUAUCCCCCUAUAAAUAUUUUUCAUUUUACAAGGGGGCAAAGUGUAGGUUUUUAAAUGACAGGGGGGGAAAGUGAAAAAUCGGGUUUUGAAAGGGGGUUUUUUUUGUAAUUUAGCCUAAAUAUUUUUUAGUUAUUGUUGAUGACUUUACUAGAUACUCUUGGCUUUUUCCCUUAUACUCCAAAUCUGAUGUUUGUGAAAUUUUAUUGAUUUUAAAUUCAAAAUUGAGAAUUUACUUGAUCGAAAAAUCAAAAGCAUUUGCUCCGAUGGAGGUGGAGAAUUUCUAAAUAAUCGUUUCAAAAAUUUUUUACAUGAAAAUGGUAUCUCUCAUCAGCUUUCUUGUCAACAUACACCUGAGCAAAAUGGUACUGCUGAAAGAAAACAUCGCCACAUUAUCGAAACUAGACUUUCUCUUCUUUUUCAUGCCCACAUGCCUUCUAAAUAUUGGGUGGAAGCUUUUCGAAUUGCCGUCUUUCUCAUUAAUAGAAUGCCAUCAAAACGUUUAAAUAAUAUUUCUCCUUGGGAAAAGAUAUUUGCUCGCAAACCUGACUACUCUUUUCUCAAAGUUUUUGGUUGUGCAUGUUAUCCAUGGUUACGCCUUUAUUCUCAUCAUAAGCUAGAAUCUCGAUCAUUAAAAUGUGCUUUUAUUGGUUAUAGUUUAGAUCACAAAGGUUAUCGAUGUCUUGAUCCUUUUACAGGUCAUGUAUAUAUUUCUCGACAUGCAGUUUUUAAUGAAUCUCAGUUCCCUUUUAAUAAUUUAUCUCGGGAAUGUCCUUCUACUCGGUCAUUGGAUAACGUAGAUUUCGAACCAACUGGAGUUCUUCAUGCUUGGCUACCCUUUUCAUCACUUCCUUUCUCACCACCAUCUAUACCCGCCCCAUUACCUAACCACGAAAUUCCGAGUACCUCUACAGGAAUACCAAACCAAUCACCGUUACAACAUCAAAUUUCCUCUACCGCCCAAACUGCACAUGACACUUCCAUAGAACAGUAGCCUACCAAUACCACUUCUACAAAUUCUAAUUCUCAUUCUAUGCAAACUAGAUCUAAGUCAGGUAUUAUCAUGAGAAAGCAACUGUUCACUUUGAAAGCCACUCGCUACCCUUUACCCAAAGUGCUACUUGCCAUUACUACAGAAAUUGAGCCAACUUGUUAUAGUCAAGCUUCUAAAAGUACUAAGUGGAGAGAUGCCAUGACUGCCGAAUUUAAUGCAUUGCAAAAGUGCGGUACAUGGUCUCUUGUCCCUUUUACUCCUGAUAUGAAUGUUGUUGGUUGUCGUUGGGUUUAUCGAAUAAAACAACGAGCUGAUAGUAGUCUUGAAAGAUACAAGACCCGUUUGGUAGCCAAAGGUUAUCAUCAACAACUUGGGGUUGAUUACAGUGAAACCUUUAUUCCUGUUGCCAAGCCUUCCACUAUUCGAGUUGUGCUAACUACUGUCGUUCAUUUUGGGUGGUCCAUAUGUCAGCUAGGUGUUCAUAAUGCCUUUUUGCAUGGUAUUUUACGAGAAGAAGUAUAUAUGCAACAACCCCCCGGUUUUAUUGAUCCUCUUGCUCCAACUCAUGUUUGUAAGCUCCAUAAAUCGAUUUAAGGACUAAAACAAGCACCUUGUGCUUGGUUCGAGUGUUUCACAACAUAUCUACUUGCUUUGGGAUUUCAUGGUGCCGAUGUCAACACUUCUCUUUUCAUCCAUACUUCUCAUAAUGAAAUUCUUAUUCUUUUUAUAUGUGGAUGAUAUCAUUAUUACCGGCAGUAAUUCAACUUCUAUUCACAAUCUUAUUCGUGAACUUGGCACCCAAUUUGCAAUGAAAGAUCUUGGUCCUCUCUAUUACUUUCUUGGUAUCGAGGUACACCGUGAUUCAAAUGGCAUCUUUUUAUCUCAAUCCAAAUACUCCAUUGAUCUUCUUACAAGAGCAUAUAUCGAUAGUGCGAAAGCAUGCACUUCACCAGUUUCUUCUCAUAAGAGGCUCUCCCUCAUUGUAGGCGAUUCUCUUGAUGAUGCAACCUUCUAUCGGAGUAUUGUCGGGGGACUUCAAUAUUUAUCCAUGACGCGACCAGAUUUAGCCUUCUCUGUUAAUCAGGCUUGUCAAUUUAUGCAUGCACCAACUUCUGAACAUUUAAUUGCUGUCAAAAGAAUCCUUCGAUUUCUCAAAGGAACAGUGGACCAUGGACUUUAUAUUGGAAUAGGCGAUCUUAAUUUGCGCGCCUAUUGCGAUGCCGAUUGGGCAGGAGAUCCCGAUGAUCGCCGCUCUACUAGUGGAUUUGGUGUUUUUCUUGGUCCGUGUUUAGAAUCUUUGUCACACCCCGAGACCCGCGUAUUUUGUCGAAUUCGAGCCCACUAACAGACCGCCGAACGGACAGAAUUUUUCCUGUACGUCCUAGGCGUUGCAAUCAAUACAAUUUGCGAGGUUCCAACCAGAAACAUAUUUCAAGCAAGGAUUGCAUAAGGAAGUAUCAAAAACAUAAAACAACUAAGCUAUAACAAGCAUUCACAUCACAUGCUUUUUACAUAUUACAUUUUCGUUUUCUUUUCUUCCAAAUACAAUCAAUAUUAUUACAACAUUGUAUUCUUCUUUUCUACAACCCCUAGUGUCACGCCCUGGACUUCAGCAGAAGCUCACCAGUCGCGUGCACAGAUCCGCCGUGUACAUCACAACCACAAGUAUACACCAGACGUCUACAAUUCACAUAGUAAAAGCAUUCGAUUCUAACCAGGUAAUCAGAGCAUAACUUACUAAUAUAGUUUAAUAAACUCAUACAACACAAAACCUUAUUACAACUGAAAUGUAAAGUACAUUCUACAUAAGUCUCAUAUACAACAUGGUGCUAAACCAAAAUAAACUAAUCGAGGUUCAUCUAUGUAACAUCGAGAAAGCUCUAAUUAGCCGCUAACCCCUCGCCACGAACCCUAGCCUUUCCCGCUGUGGAAGGCUCUGUAAAAACAACAACAAAGAGGGUGUGAGAACUAUUAAACAAUAGUUCCCAGUGGGUAAGCCGCCGAGAGUGGCGAAGUACACCACUAGGUCAACUGAGGCAUAAGUAUGUAGCAGUAAGUAAGCACAGUAAAUGCAGUAAUAAAAGAAACAGUUCAAUCAUAUUAUGCCUCCACAAGAUAUGUCUUAACAAGUUUAUUUUUCCGUUCAUAUGAAUGAAUGUUUUAGUCAUGCUAUAUGCAGAAUAUCGUUAUGUUUACUAACUAAUGACAUCAUGUAGCUAUAGCUAUCUUCUAUACUGACAAGAGUAUAUACAUUCAAAUACUGUUGCAAUACUACUAAUUAGCAGAGAUGUCAAUUCUUUGGUAUGUUUACUACUAGAUAGACUUAACUAAUGACAUAAAGUAUCCUUACUACUAUGUCCAUCUAAGGUUAAGGCAAUUUAUAAUAACCCAAUUCACAGUAGAUUUACACAUGGUAAAGUCAAAGCUGCGCUGUGCCUAAUGGCCCCGUGGAAGUCAACACUACCCACAGCAAUCCACUUCGGCGCUUAAAUUCGUACAUAAGCGAGCAAUCUGUCGCUAAGCUACUCCGGAGUGCUGGCUUGGGGGGCGCGACCCCCACAAGCGUGUGCGAAAGAGCAUAAUGGCAUGCAAGCUGUAAUCCAUAGCACGAGUAUCACAAUCUCAUCAUGUCUCAGACAUGGAAGCUCAACUCGACCCAAAGUCGACACUGUAGUACUCAAUUGUAGGCCACUAUCAACUACUUGUUGACAUACUUUUACCACUAGCUAGUAUAACUUAAACUAGUAUAUACUUUACAUCAUAAUGGUUAUACCCACACAUACUCAUAUAAAGUCCUCUCACUACUCCCUAUACAUAAGGAAAGUGGUUUUCUAAAGUUAUGUCCAACGACUCGUGGCACAUAGUUUAUAGUUCAAUAUAAUCCUUUUCUACUUGAGAUGACCAGGAAAUAUAUAGUUGUUCUACUUGAUCAUGCAAGUAAAUUCUCAUAUCCAUUUCUAAUUCUUUACUAGAUUGCAUUCAAUAAAAUAACAAUUAAGGUAUAUCAUAAUGCCAACUUCUAGUUACUUAACUAGAACAAACAAUAUAGCAUGAAGUUAAGCAAGUUCUAUCCUGUAAAAGUGAAACCAACAGUUUAACAUAAGUGGGUACAAUAUUCCAAAAAAUACUCUUCAUAUGAUCUUGUAUAAGUCAUUCUAUAAUACCGAUAUAUACUCAAGUAAGUUCAUUCCGCAUGGUAUGCUAGAGGUUCAAGCAUCAUAUUUACAAUAGGAACUAGCAUGAUUUAGCUUGGAGGUUAAACCAAUUUACCCGGUUCACUUAGUUAUACAUUCAACUAAGUACUAUUUUCCUGGCUUUAAUUCGAUGCACCAGUAAGUGAUAUCUCUCUUUACUUAUAUACGCUAGUACAUUAACAUCAGAUAAUACAUGCUAGACUAGCGAGUAAUCUCUAAAUGCGAAGCAAUUCCAUAAUUCCUCCCUACUAUAUAGAGAUUCUCGUUUAGUUGACAUGCUAUGCAGAUUUGCACGUGUCCAACACAUUCAAAUACACAUAUAUUCAUUUGAAUAUGCAACCAUUUCAUUUUAUAAUGUCAAGAAGACAUAGAGGGAAUUCACCUAUUUCGGGAAGGUCCGACCCACCUAAUUGCUGUCGACUCUUGUUGAUCCCACAAGUGAAGACCAUCCGAAGCUUCUAAGUAUCUUAGCAAUCAUAUUACUCAAGUUAGAACCCUGCUUUCACCUUUACCAAAUAUCUUACAAAUACAUCUCAAUUAGGUAGAAUUAUACCUAAUAUGAAGUCCAGUCUCAACUUCCCUCGAAAUCAGGUUGAAAUAUACUUGUUCACGCUUCUCAAAAAUUGGUAACUUCAACUUAGAGUAGCCGACUUCCUGCAGUGAACCUGCUGCGAGUUAACUUUAAAAACUGCCUCAACACUACAAUCAACACAUCCAAACUAUAAGGAGUUGGAUCGCUCAUCUUACACAGCUUCAUCUGAAGCUAAAGCAUAUUAAAACCAGUCCACCAGGGUCACCAAAACAUAACUAUAAGGUCCAAAUACCUUGCUGUGAUCAAGUACCAAAAUCAACAUUGAUACCUCUACAUAACACAUAAUAUAAGCUAAAAUCUCACUUAUUUAGAUUCCCGACUUAUAAUUCCACUUCCUACUGGUUGAAGUACUCUCAAACGAGCUCACAGGGUCAAGAUAUUCAGCUCAAAAUGAUUCUCAAGGCUGCUACAAUCAUAUACCAAAAACAAUUUCAAUACUUCACCAAUACUUAAUUUAGCAUCAACAUAGGGCAAUCAAUUAAUUACUCACCUCUUCCAAGUUUCAAUCUAACUUCCCCUGGUUUCGAAUUGUAGGACCUCAGCUAAUACCAGCUUCAAAAGUUACUCGAAACUCAGUUACCAAAUUCACAUGUUCUGCUGUGAACAACGCCAAUACGACGUCAAGACUAUCACUAAUUUCAGCAUCUAAGUAGGAAAGAAUGGCUGAUUAAUUACCUUCCAACUCAAUUCAGCUUAUUCUCGGUUUAAGGCUGAAGAAUCACAGCAAAUAGCUUCUCUAAAGCUGUUAAACCCCCCCGCCCCAAACCUGCUUGCAGCAAGGAGAACUAAAACAACUCAACAUAACUACUUAGCCUCAAACUAUGGAAAGGUUAGAUCAAAAACCUUUCUAUAUAUCCUCCUCAGCAAAUCUGAGUUUUAAGGUUGACGAAUUGCUGCUAAAACACUCUUUCCAUUGGCAGGAGCUGCCCCAAUCCUUCUUACACCAGCAAGCAUCAAGAUGGAGAUGAAAUCAAGUCAAACCCUUGAUUUCUACUUAGAGAGAGGAACCCUAGAGAGAGAAAGAAAGGAGAGGGUUUAAACCCUGUUCUCAGAGCUCCAGCACACUCUAAGCUGCUGCAAGGAUCGAGCUGGGGAAUAAAAGGCUAAUCUCAAAGGUGAAAUGACCAAAGCAGCCUCAAUCCACACAGCUGCUGUGAUGUGUACUGGUACACGUGCGAUGCUGUACCGGUACACUAUGCAAAAUCCUGCAUUUCGAAAUUCCAAUGCACUUUCGAUCUUCUGGCUGUUCGAUCACUCUUUUAACUCGUCAAAAAUCUUAUUACCACUCUUUAAAAGAUGUAGGUUAGCUCCCAUUGCCAAUUCCAUUCUUCAAACUUCAUAAUUGGCCAAAUUCGGAGUUCUACAUUUGAAAAGUGCAUUUACAAUGCACUUUUCCACUUCCAGCUAUCUGUUUGUUCCAGUAACUUGCUGAUACUUCGCGACAGUCCUUCAAAAGUUGCAGAAUAGUUUCAAUUUCUAUUCGAACACCCGAACUUCGCAAUUUGCCAAAGUUCAGUGUAUUACACCUAGCUAGGCCGACUCGGGGUAAUGCUAUCUCUGGUCUCUGUGGUAGGGUGUUAUCUACGAAGCUACGCCCUUUCCUCGCGCCGCUGCGCUGCUCGCGUGCGAAUCUAAAACCCCAAAACCACGUGGGGUGAGAACUAUUGUCCAUAGUUCCCAGUGGGUACGGCCAUCCCAGGGAAGAGCUCGACCCACCAGGUCCGAAGGAGGUACUGCAACAUGUUAGUCCAACAAACAUCCACAGAUAUAUAUAUAUAUAUAUAUAUAUAUAUAUAUAUAUAUAUAUAUAUAUAUAUAUAUAUAUAUAUAUAUAUAUAUAUAUAUAUGCAAGUACUAAAAUACAUGUUAUGCCUCUCAACAUGCAACAAUGCAAAUCAUGCAACAAUGCAAAUCAUGCAAUAAGCUAAGUAGAUCAACCGAUUCUACUUUCAAUCUUGCUAUUCAUAGCUUAUACAAUUGACAUCUAAGGUUUUCUCUAUCUUAGAUUCAUGUCAUUUACAAUUCUACUCAUAAGGUUCCAUUUACCUUUAUCAAGCUAUCCACUCGACUCGGUCUUGAGUUAAUCAUCCGCGGAAUAUCGUGUAAAGUCAGGCUCGAGGUGAAGGACGUCUCACAUUCACCUCGGCCUUAAAUCCACUUAACUGGGACUCCGAAUCCACUCUACUGGGAUUCAACUACAGCUCACAUGCUUGUCACCCAAUCUGCUUGGCUAACCCGAAGGUUACGCCUCGACUCACUUUGAAAAUCUCAUAGGUGAGGAGAAUCUGCACUCGCGCACCGAGACCGUCUGCGGGACAACUACGUCUCCCCCUAUCGUGAAGUACUCUGGAGACCACUGCUUGGGUGGAGCGACCACGCCAAGUAAAAACAAACUAUGUGAGUAUGAUCCAAUCCUCUCAUCGAGGAUACCCUAUCUACUAGGAUUAACAACGACAUGGGAAACCCACUAAUCCCAACAACAAUGUCACAAGUGUCUCUACUACACUAGUUUCACGUGGCACAUAUCCACGACUUAGGAAAUCAUCUAUCCCUAUAUUCAUGUCAUAGUGUCUCUACUACACUAAUCCAAAUGCCACUCAAUCUACUUGACAUUGUACUUGUCCACAUCAAGUAUUAUAGUUUUCAUGUUCUUGUUUUCUAAUAUCGAACUCUCUAAUCGACCAAGUUCAACAUGCAUAGUUUAUCUACUAUGAUCCACAAUAGGGCAACAUGCAUAGUUCAUCCAACAUAAUCUACAAUAUGUCAACAUGCAUGUUUUAUCUGACAUAUUCCAAUGGUAGGCAACAUCCUUCAACAUAAUAUAAUUCAUGCACUCAUCUAGCAAUUAUAUUAUGCAUUCAUCUAGCAUCUAUAUGUAAUACACUGAACUUUUGCAAAUUGCGGAGUUCGAGUAUGUGGAAUGGUGUGUGGAUCACUCCUACAUGUUCUAAAAGGUUAGAACAAGUUUUUGGACAAGUUAGAGGAUGAUUGGAAUGCUAAAAGUGAGAAAACGCAUUGAACUGGCGAAAUCAGCCUUUUCUGCUUGCUGUACCGGUACAGCCGCUAUGGUGUACCGGUACACAGUGGCAAUUCGUGGAAGCAAGGCUAUUUUGGUAAUUUCACCUUCUAAUCCCUAUCUAUAACCCCCAGCACNAAACCUUUUAGACCAGGGAUAAGCUACUUUAAAGCUUAAUUGGAAGAUUUAGCCAUUUAAGAAGCGAAAAUCGGAACUUAAUGCACUAAGUUGUGCGAAUUGAUGCAAAUUGGAAUUUUUCUUCGCAGCAGGUCUUCGAGCUUCGUUGAGCUGAAAUUGUGCUCUUAGAAGCUAGUUUGGAAGGUGUUCUAACCAAGGGUAAGCAGGAAUUUCUGUUAGAAAUCCAGUUUCGCAAGAAUUGAACCAUAUAAGCGUGUAUACAUACAUUUUGACGUCGUUUUGGUAUUGUUCGCAGCGAGAUCGCGAUCGAGCCUUGGAUCGUCUUCGAUUGCCUUGUGAGGACUCUUGGAGGUUACACUUGAGGUAUUUCACUAGCCCAAACAAGGAUUUACGGGAUUACUUUGUGUGAAGUGUAAUUUAGGCCGAAAUCGGAUAUUCCGGUCGUAAUUUUGACGCGGUAUUGAUGUUUGUGUUCAGCAGGUUUGAGACCUAGUGGAGCUGAUCUUUGGAACUUUUUGUGACUAUUGGAGCUUAGUACUAGGUGGGUCGGACCUAACCAGAGCAAGUGAAGCUCCUCUAUGUUCUAUAUGUAUUAUAGAAAUAUGUUAGUUGUGUGCUUAUGUGAUAGCUAAAGGGCUUGAGAAUUCGUCAUCAUAACAUUUACUAUAUUGACAUAGAAUCUCUAUGAAGUAGAGAAUUCUCAUGCCUAAAUGUAUUCAUAUUCCUAUUUGGUUUAGUUGAAUAACAAUGAGACACGUUAUUAUGCUCAUGAAACGUAGAGAACAGUGGCAUUCUCUUUUUACUCGCUUGAUUACAAGUAGAGAACAAUGACAUUCUCUUGACUCUGAAGUAGAGAACUAUGACAUGCUUGUGCCUAUGUUGAUAGUGCCAUGAUAGUGAAAGAUUCUAAUGCCAUAUGUAAAUUAGCAUUACUCCUGCAUGCCUACUAAACUAGUGGAUUCUAGUUGUUGUUAAUAUUUGUUAUACUGAAAUGUCGAUCAAAGGAUCGAGAGCGAGAACGCUGCAAAUGAAAACAUGAGAAUUGAGACAUGUGGACAGUGAAAUAUGCUUGCUUGCCAUCGUGCUCAUUCGCACACGCUUGUGAGGGUCGCUCCCUACAAGCCGGCACUCCGGAGUUGGCCUACGCGACAGUUGCUCGCCCGUGCGGGAUUGGGUGCCGAAGUGGAUUGCCGUGGGGAGUGUAUACUACCACGGGGCCAUUAGGCGCGGCGCAAGCUGGACUACCUUGGGUAGGUCCCUGUGAAUGAAAGGAUAGUACUCAAUGAAAAAGGACAGUAAUGAAUGCUUAUGAAUUAAAGUGUACAGUAGUCACUUUCAUGUUCGUGCUUAUAUUCAUGUCUAUGUUCAUGAUUACAGAAAUUGCCAUAUCCCUAUUAUGUAAAUGAUUCAUUACUGUAGAAUGCCAUCACAUGUUGAUUACAUGCUUAUUACUUGUUAGCAUCAUGCUUAUAAACCAUGCAAUUAUUGUUUUUUGCUUUCAAUUAGUACAUCAUGAGCCUAGUGGUGUAAUUCGCCGAGGCUGGCGGCUUACUCACUGGGAACUAUUGUUAAUAGUUCUCACGCCCUUUUUGGUGGUUGUUUUUACAGAGCUAUCUACAGGAGAGGCUAGGGAUCGUGGCAAGGGAGUCGCGCCUAGCUAGGCACUACUAGGAGCGUGCUAGUCGAUCACCUUGUUACUCGGGCUACGGCCGAGGGUGAUGUCCAUUAUAUAGAGUGACCACCAUUGUACCUAUUUUUGUAUACCCUGUGUUGUAUAUGAGUUGAUGAUCCAGAUGUUAUAGUUCUUACUUCUUCUCCUUUUGUUGAGAUCUUGGAUUGUAUACUCUCUUUGUUUUUACUGAUACUAUAUAUCGACUUGUACAUUGCUCUGAUAUCAGGAUAGGAUUUUCUUUGCUUUACUUCCUAUCGAUUUGCUUUCUUCGUAGACGCCUUAUAUACUGCAGGUGUAUGGCGGGUCUGUGCACGUGCCGGAUAUGCUUCCGCUGGUACCCGGGCGUGACACUAUAUCAUGCAUCAUAUUAUCAUUUGCAACCUACCAAAUAUACAUAUAUGCAUCAAUGAUAAAACCGUAUUCCACUUCGACAUAGAAGCGAGUUAAUAACUUCGGUGAGCACAACCCACCUCGCAACGCUCUCCGAUUGCUUUCGACACUUGCAAUUGGCCUCCCGCAGCACACAAUAUUCGGUUCGGCUCGAAUCCGCAAUCGAUCACCGAACGCCCGCUAAUCCGCGACCUAGGGUCACCGAUGGCUCAUCUCUAACCUUCAAUUAGAGAACAAUAGGGUUUAAUUAGAUUAAAACCCUAUAAUUUUCAAACCCUCAUUUUAAGCCCUAGCAUGAAAUUAACCUCCAAAUAUUCUAAAAUUAAAUAGAGCGACAUGCUAGAAACACUCUAGAGACUACUAGAACACUAAGCAUUAAGGAUUAAAUCGAAUCCUAAACACUUACCGAAAUUGUGAACACCGAGUCAAAAGCACGCCGCUCAACCGGGCGCACGAAGACUUGAUCCGUCGCUUCCAACGCAUUCAUAAGCUCGCUCUCUGCCAAUGCCGCGAAUUUGAGAGAGAGAUUUAGAGAGAUGAGAGAGAUAUUUAGAGAGAGAAAGUGUCACACCCCGAGCCCUGCCUAUUUGGUCAGGUUCGGGCACGCCGACAGAUCGCCGAACGGACAGGGUUUCCCCUGUACUGUGAACAGAGUCUCCCCUGUACGUUCAAGGCAUCACAAUCAAUACAAUACGAAGGUUCCAAACAGAAACAGUAUUCAACAUACAACGAUUGUAUAAGGAAGGUAUCAAACAACAUAAACACAUCCUAUGUUAUUGUUAGAAAAUUGCGUACGGUAAAAACGCAGCGGAAAAAAAAAUCAAACAAAUUUGAUUUUUGAAAACUCUCGAGAUCCAAUCUCAAAAACCACGUAAUUAGGAUCCCUCAUGUUUUAAGAUUAAAGAAGAAAAACAAGAUCGAAUCUUUACCUUUUUCGCGGAUAGAUCUUCCUUGUUAAAUUUGAUGAUCGUGGAAUUCGGUUCUCUUGAAGCCGCACACGCGUCCGGCCUCUAUAGGUAUCCACACGAGGUUCUUGAUUUGAUCGAUGUCCUCACCGGGGUGCUAGCUCCCUUGCAAUAGGACGUCUUUCUUGCUAGAAGAUGGAAGAGAGAAGAGAUGAUAGAUGACGGCUAGGGUUUUCUAAAAACCCCCGUAUAUUAUAUAUAGGAAUAUAAUCCUAUUCCUAAUAAUAUAAUGACAAUUAAGGAUAAGUAUAAAUCUAGAUUUAAAUUUAUCUUUUCCUUAAUUGGUUAGAUCGAUCAAAUCCUAAUUUGAUUCGACUUGAAUUUUAUAUUAAUUUGAUCUUAUCAAAUUAAUAAUGCAACAUUUGCACAUAAGUCCUCUUAUAAUUUACUAACCAUUAGUAAGUCCUCUCUUGUAACAUUUACACCUUAAUACCACUAAUUUGUAACAAUUACAAAUUAGUCCAAUUAUCAUUAUAUUGACAAUUAGGUCCUCCGACGAUUCAAUAAUCACGAUCUAGCUAUUCGAUCAAUUACAACCUCUUAUGUGUGUGACCCCAUAGGUUCUAUUCUAUCUGGUAGUGAGAUAUAUUUUGAUCACUAUCAACAAUAUCACUGAAACUCCUUUCAAUGGUUUAGAACAAUUCCAACUCAGCCCAAUGAGAAUUAUCGAUCAUCUAGAUAAUUCUCAUGAGUCUCACAAUCCACCAGUGACGCCUAGCAGCAUGUAGUGGCAUUUCAUAGAAUGAAUAAUGAACCUCUUGGUGGCAGUCCCGUGUGAUACAAUCCUUCUAUCAAUCGAGUCCCGAUAGACGGCAGGCUAUGGAAUAACCGUCAAACCCCAAUGUCUGUCAUAUUUAAAUUUAACGACUUCCGAGUUUUAAUAUCAGAAACACCUUUUUCCCGCUAUUUAUUCUGCCACAAUGAGCCAGGUCUUCUAAACUCCGGUCUCAUAAAUCACAUAUAGAUCAACACCCCUAUACUAUACCAAGGGAGAUAGAUUCCAUCUAAGUGCGCACCCUAUUUUUACAAUGAACCUACUAGCUCAACCAUGGCACCGAAGGACCGAAUGGCCUAGGACCAAGUGUAUGUACAGUCAAACUACGACCUCAUUGUGAAUAGCCGAGGCACCCGCAGGUCAAACGCAGUCACAGCUUAUGCAACACAUGGAAAGUCACUGAGAUGAGUAACUCCAGUGACUUUCCCGUUGGUCCUGCUGUACCUUGUUCUCUAACAACCACUGUAUAUUCGCUUUAGUGUCCCCAACACUGUCGACUCGAGACUCUCCUACCAGAAAUGGGAAGGACCUAUGCACCAAUCCUACCGGAUCAAUCACGCAGUCCCGUGAUGAUCCAUUAUCGGAGCAUUUAGAAAUUAACCACAACAUGGCACAUGUCUCAAAUCUCAAACUUGAAAUAAUUUAAUCAUCUUAUUAAUUAUUGACGAUCAUGGACACAUACACAACAUGAAUGAAGAAUAAAAACGCAUAAGACUAAUUCUAAUAUUUUAAAAGUCAAAUACAAAUUUAUGUCUAGAAAAGAAUAUAUGUGUCGGCCUGGUUGCCUUCUAGGGGCAUACAUCUAACAAUACUCCCCAUUGCCACUAAAGCCCAAUUAAAGCCUUAUUACCUAAGCCCCAUCUUCCUCAAGUUGGACUUCAGUCUCUGUUGGCUAAGUGUUUAAGUCCAAUGGCUCUGCCACGUUAUCCGUGGAGUCUAUCUCCUGCAUCUCGAUAUAUCUUCUAUCGCAAGGUAGUCCGCGUAUAACUAUGAAACCACGCUCUUAUAUGCUUGGAUCUUGAUGAACUUGGGCUCCUUAGCUAGGGCUAUCCGCCAUUUUUGUCGCCAUAGAAGUGUAGGCCAUCUGAUGACAUACACAUCUAAUUCGCUACAAACUUCAUGAAUCAGAAGGCCUACAUCAAAUGCGGCAUAUACUUCGCUUCAUGGUUAGGGGUUAGUUUUUUGGAACUCUCCAUACACUUAAAUACACUAUCGGCAUAAGAAACAACAUCCUUGACGUACUCCUUCUUAUCGUCAACAUCACGACAUAAAGUCUGAAUCAGUGAAUCUUGUACUUUCAACAUCUUUUUUCUCCAAAGAUGAAAGGAAGCAAUCCUUAGUGCUUCCCAAGUUACUUGAAGUAUAGUUCUUCCAGCAACUUCCAUGCUCAGCGCCUGGAUUAGAUUGAUAUCUGCUGUGACACUCACACACCAAUCCCGAUAUCCAUAUCGUGUACGACAGCAUAGGUCUAUAAAGACUCCUAUAGCGAGGCAUAAGGGAUUUAUCAUACAUGAAUCUCUUCAAUGUAUUGGGCAACAAUUUUCUAAAGAGAUAAAUUCAUGUCUAAGAGGUAAAAGAGUCCUCUUUUUGGAGUUUUCCAUGCCGAACGCUCUUCAGCACCUCCUCUAUGUACAUUUUCUGUAAAGGCUACAUUCCUUUUAGAUCUAUCUCUAUAGAACUUAUCCCCAAACAUAGGAUGCUAUCCCCUAAAAAAUCUUUAUGAGAAAAAGAAUUUUUUUAGACACACCACAUUUACACUUAUCAGCAUUGCGAAUGUCAUACCCAAUAGCGAGAAGUCAUCCACGUAUCAUAUACGAGGAUGUGACAGCUCUCAUCCACUUGACCUUCUAUAAACACAUGCGUUCCUCCUCAUUCUUUACGAAAUCAAACGAUUUAAUCACGUUAUCCGAAUCGAGUAAUUCCAAGUCCGAGAUGCUUGCUUAAGUCCAUAAAUGGACCGUUGACACUUGCAUCUACUUUGUGACUUUGUCACGGAAGUUGAAAAACCAGCUAGGCUGCUCCAUAUAAGAUAUCUUCCUCAGAUAUUCCAUUUAGGAAGGCACGUUUUCACAUCUCAUCUUGCCAGAUUCUCAUUAUCAUAGUAUGCUGCACAGGGCAAGCAGUGUUUCGAAUGGAUUUACCGAUGGCCACAGGAAAAAGAUCUCCUGAUAGUCAAGCUUGUGCGUUGAUUAACUUUCGCAACCCACCUUGCCUUUAUAGGUCUCUCCUUUCCAUCCGAAGCCUACUUCUUUUGUAGAUCCAUUCUACAGUCCGAUAGGUACUAUACUUCUCGGUAGGUCUACAAAUCAAACAUGGUGGAAUGAUAGAAUCAAUUCUUCAUGAUUCUUCUCAUAGCAUCCAGCUAUUUCUCGAAUACGAUGUCAGACAUCCGCUCGUUGUAGGUUUGGGAUCAUCUCCAUGUUUCCUAUUUCCCAUCAGAGAAUAUUUCCUCUACUUCUCUGUAGCACGAUACCUAAGUAUCUUUAGGUGGAUGGGAGAAUUCUACUCACCUACGAGUGGAGGAGGUUACUAAUGUAUCUGCUCAGCUUGAAUAGUGUCUGUAGGUUGCAUGACUCGUUGCUCUUCUAAGAGACUCUCGUUUCUCGAGCUCAAUUUUUCUCUCACUAGCUUCUGAAUAAACUGUUUUCAAGAAAAAGCAUUGUUUGCUCACACUACAUUGUGAUUCUCUGGAUAAUAAAAAUGGUAACCAUCUAAGUUUCUUAGGAUAUCCAAAUAAAACGAGCCUCCAGACUACCCUAACUGUCCAGCCUGUAUCGCUUAACAUAGGCGAUAUCCGCCCAACACCUCCCUUGAUAUACCACAGGCUUGGUUUCUUACCAUGCCACACUUCACGGCCGUGGUAGAACGAUUUAGAGGGACUCUAUUUAACAAUAAGCGCGGUAAUGCAAAGCAUUCCCAAAGAUAAAUAAAGAAAGAAUCUAGUGAAGCUCAUCCAUAGAUCGACCAUAUCCAAUACAGGUUCGGUUUACUCCGUUUCUGACACCCCGUGAGUUAGGUGUUCCGGAGGAGUCCACUGUGAGACUAUGCCGUUUACCUCAUUUGAGAUUUUAUGAACUCUCCACUAAGGUACUCCUCCUCGAUUUGAUCGAAGAACCUGAUGGAUUUUCAGUUUGUUUUCUACUAUAUUGAAUUCUUUGAACCUUUUCAAAAUCUCAGAUUUGUGUUUCAUCAAGAUACACAUAAGCCAUACCUGUGAAUAAUCAAUCGUAAAUUGUUAUAAGUAGAAUAACUUCCCCUGACAUGCACAUCAAAGGCCCACCCACACAUCAGUGGUAUCAAUGAGUAUCUCAGUGGCCCAUUUCCCUUUCCUACAAAGGUAAUUAGUCCAAUUUUCUUGAAGAUAAGAUUCAUAAACGAUAAGACUCUGAAGUCAAUGGACCGAGAAGUCAAUUUUAUCCAAUUUAUUGAUCUUUCUUCUUCAAAUGAUCAAGCCUGAGGUCCACAUAUACUUUAGGUUCAUCUCAUCUCUAGGUUCUCUAGACCCAACCAGCAGUCACUCUUGUCAGUCUCAGAAUAUUUGUAGAUCUCCAUAUGUAAAAUGUAUAAAAGACUGUCAAUCAUAAAACCACAUGCCAAUUAAUUUUAUUUCUAAAUAAUAUGUCAGUAGUUUUUCGUCAAAAUACAACCAUCCUGUGCAGCAAAUAAAUUUUCUGCUAAGCAGGACGGUACAUAAUCAAGUCUUUACAGUAAUUAAAACAUAUCCUCGCACGGUUAGUUCCAAAGGAUAGGGUGCAGCGCUACAGUACAACUUUCCGCGUCGUGCCCACCCGUAGGGUCACUUCACGCUCCCUAAGCCCUCACUUCUCUUUCUGGAAGUAAGAGGAAAUCUUAGUGUCUAUCUACGGCAAGUCUCGACAUACACUCCGAAGGUGUUCUUCCUCUCUACAAUUUACGCUCUCACAGUCGAAAGGCAGUUCCUUUCGUAAUGACCGUCAUAUUGCAGAUGGAAACAUUUUCUUUAUUCGCGGCUCCUUUCUUCAUGACUUCCUCUUGCGCAUGUUUUCCGUCUUUUUAGUUUCCUUCGCGGUUCUUCUUCCAAUUAGCACUUCUUUAGACAGAGGAAGCUCGCUCCACACACGUGAACGUUCCUUUGAACUUUCAAAAGUUCCCGCCUAUCUAAUUACCAACAUGUUCAAUAACUCUGCGUUUGGUGCAGUCAAGUUUUUUUCAUACUGUAGUUUACAGAUAAACUGUCCAUAUAUACAGGAAGGAUUGCAGGAUCAGAUCAACUUGCAAUUCCUUAUUCCAUUUACGCCAAGCUUCUCUAAGCUCCUCGAAGGACUAUGAUUAUUGUCAGAACAAUGAUCAUCGACGACUGCCCUUCGUUAGUUAUUGGAUCGUUGGCAACCGUGAGGUUUGACCUUGUCGAAACAAUGCAGAGCUAUUGAAUGAAAACUAUUUAAAUUCCUUUGCCCAGUCUUAAAUAUAAUUCAGUUAAGAUUUGCUGGUCGAGCAUACAUAAUGAUAAGGAAAGCAGACAUUUAUUUGGGCAUGAAGUAAAGAUUAAUUAAAUAUUUGUAUUUGUUCUUGAAAAAUUGUUAGAGAUUUAAACAAAUUUAGCCUCCACUCAUUUUCUCGAGUCUCUUACACUCCUGGUAAGAAAGGAAACAAGCACGACAAGAGGUCAAGUGGUUACUGCGGUUCCCACCAAUUUAGACGUAACCACUCAUCCUAACAGUUAUUGUGAUAUGCAAACCGAUGAGUGGACACUCUGUCAAUGCUUCUCAAGCAAAUUGCAGUGAUCGGUCUCUAAGUCCUGUUAGGCCUCAACCUGACACGUUAUUGGCUCCCAUUCCUUAGUUUAAGUCAGACCCACCGUCAAACGCGUACAAAGCCCGUCAUUGGUCCCUCACCUGACAUUAUUGGCCCAACCCCAUUUUACUCGCAGGCAUCUCAUGCGUAAUCAGUGGUUGCGCAAUCCCGAAUGCCCAAGCUGACCACUGAACAGCCUAGCCAAUCAACACCAAGAAAAGCGCCCGCACUUCUCAACGGCGGAAGACCAGCUCGAAUUAAUAUUUAUGAGAGAUUUAUUUAGGUCUCAAAAAAUUAUAUUAUUACAUCUAAUGCUAAAUAAAAUAAAAAAUCAAUCCCGCAACAACAUAAUUAACUAGAUAUGAUCAUGAUCUUAGAAGUGUAUUCGACUCGACCACUGAGUCGAAUCGGGUCUUUAGGGUCAUAAAUAAGACACACACAUCAUUGUUGAUCGUCUUCAACUUCUUGAUGAUCUGAGCUUCAACCUGAUUGAUUCUUAUCAACACUUGAUCUCGACCGCUCCAUCAAGUAUUCAUCUCUAUCCGGGACUGCGAACUUUUAGGCUUGCCAACCGAUCAACCAAGACGGUAACCAUACAUUAUAAACCAAAUAAUAAAAAUGAAAUAAAAAUAAUUACAUUUGAAUACUUUUAUCCUCUAACCUAAUUGAGAACGCAGGCUCGCAAAUAAAAUCCAAACCCACCCCCCCCCCCCCCCCCCCCCCCCGGCUCGUCACGCAGGCACAAAUAUAGGCCACUUCAAUUACAAAAUUCUCAAUUUAACAAUUUAAAAAUACAGAUUCGGGCAUACACAUCAAACAUCACAUGUCUAAACAAAAAUAAAUAGGUUGGUAUCCAUAUCAAUCCCGUAUCUCAUACAUCACCAUGCUAAUAAUAAAUUUGGAUAUUCUAAUUUAAACCGUUAAACCGAUGAUUGCCGAAAGAAUAAAUUAUAAAAAUAAUCAAUCUAUUGAAUUACUUAUAAUUUUGAUCAACAAUUUAAUCUACAAUAAAACAUUUAAUGCCAUCAAGAAAUCAAUUUGAUCUAAUCAAGAUUAGAUUUUUUUCAUUAUCUUAUAUUUUCAAUCUAAAUCAACCUUUUAAAAAAAAAAUUUAAAAUUUUAAAAAACAUUUUCGUCGUAAAGAUGCUACAGUAGAAUCGGCUACAGUAACUUUUUUUUUUUUUUUGAAAAUAGAGAACCAUCGUUAAUAUUGUUAAUCACUUUGAUCUUUCGAAUUUUCCAAACAACGUCUAAUAAAUCGUUUUCUCGGCAGAAAUACGGUUUAAAUACCCAAAAAAUCAUAAUUUUUCAUAUACUUAAAACAGAGGAUUGGCCUCUGAUACCCACACUGUUAGAAAAUUGUCGUACGGUAAAAACGCAGCGGAAAAAAAAAAAGAAUAAUCAAAUCAAAUUUGAUUUUUGAAACUCUCGAGAUCCAAUCUCAAAAAGCACCGCAAUUAGGAUCCCUGUCAUGUUUUAAGAUUACAGAAGAAAAAACAUAUAAAAUGAUCGAAUUCUUACCUUUUCGCGAGUAGAUCUUCCUUUAAAUUGAUGAUCGUGAAAUUCGUUCCUUGAACCGCACACGUGCGUCCGGCGUCUAUAGGUAUCACACACAGUUUCUGAUUUGAUCGAUGUCCUCACCGGGGUGCUAGCUCCCUUGGGCAAUAGGCACGUCUUUCUUGCUAGAAUAUGGAAGAGAAAAGAAAUCGAUAGAUGACGGACUAAGGGUUUCUCCGAAAACUCCCGUAUAUUAUAUAUAGGAAUAUAAUCCUAUUCCUAGAUAUUAUAAUGACAAUUAAGGAUAGUAUAAAUCCUAGAUUUAAAUUUACUCUUCCCUUAGAUUGGUUAGAUCGAUCAAUCCUAAUUAUUCGAUUGAAAUCUUUAAUAUAAUUUGAUGCUUAAAUUAAUAAUGCAAACAUUUGCACCAUAAGUCCUCUUGGAUAAUACUAACCAUUAGUAGUCCUCUCUGUAACAUUUAACACCUUAAUACCACUAAAUUUGUAAUCAAUACAAAUUAUCCAAUUACAUUAUAUUGGACAAUUAGGUCGCUCCGCGAUUCAAUAUCGCGAGUCUUAGCUAUUCGAGUCAAUUACAACCUCUAUGUGUGUGACCAAGGUCUAUUCUACUCUGGUAGUCGAGAUAUAUUUGAUCACUAUCACCAUAUCACGAACUGCCUUUAAUGGUUAAGAACAAUUCCAACUCAGCCCAAUAGACAUUAUCGAUCAUACAGAUAAUCUCAGACGUCUCACAUCCACCAGUGACAGCCUACCCACAUGUCAGUGGCAUUCCAGUAGGGAAUGGAAUAAUGAACCUCUUGUGCAUUAUCGGUGUGAUACAAUCCUUCUAAUCAAUGCAGUCCCGACUAGACGGAGGCUAUGGAAUAAUCGUCAACCCCCAUCGUCUGUCAUAUGUUAAAUAUUCGACAUCGAAGUUCUAAUAUCGAAACCCUUUCCGCUAAUUUAUUCUGGCCCUGGCCAAAAAGGUCUUCUAAACUCGGUCUCAUAAUCACUAGACUAACCGCCCUAUCUACAAGAGAUAGAUUCCAUCUAAGCUGGACAUCCUAUUUCCCGGCUGACAAUGGAACCUACUGUAAGCCAACAUGCACGCGCAAGGACCGCGAAUGGCUAGGACAAGUGUAUGUACAGUCAACUACAGUAACCAUUGUGAAUAGCCGAGGCACCUGCAGGUCAAAGGACCAGUCACACUACGCAAUACAAUUGAGUAAGCUGACCAGAUGUGAGUAGAAUACAUCAAGUGACGCUUUCCCGCGUUGGUCACGCGUCGCUACCUUGUUCUCUAACAACCACGCUGGAUAUUCGCUCUAGUGUCCCCACACAUGUCGACUCAUGAGCUCGUCUACACCAGAAAGGGAACGCGACCUAUCACGCAAUCUCACCGGAUCAAUCACCGUCCCCGUGAUGACAUUGAUCGGCCGAGCAUAUUAGAAAUUACCCCAAUCCGCACAUUCUCAAAUUUCUCAACACAUUGAGAUAUAUGUCAUCACUUAUUAAAUUCCUUGGACGAUUCAUGACCACAUACACAACAUGAAAAAAUAUAAACAGAAAGAUAUUCAUAAUAUUUAAAAGUCAAAUACAAAUUUAUGUCCUAGAAAGAAUAUAUGUGUCGGCCUGGUUGGCUUAUAGGGCAUACAUCUAACAGUUAUUACAUUCAUUCAUAUUCAUGCAUUUUACAUCUCAACUACUAUUCCUUUUUCAUCUAAAUGCAAUCUAAGUUAUUACAACAUUUAUAUCUUUAAUACAUUAUGUUACAUUGUGUUGUUUUUAUUUCUUUAACCCCUAAGCUAUGUCGACGGGGUACUGCUUGCUCUGGUCUCUGGGGUAGGGCGCCAUCUACGGAGCUACGCCCUUUCCUCGCGCCGCCGCGCCGCUCACGUGCGAACCUGUAAACACCCCAAAACAACGUGGGGUGAGAACCAAAUCCAUGGUUCCCAGUGGGUACGGCCACCCAAGGGAAAAGCUCGGCCAUCAGGUUCAAAGGAGGCAACUGUAGGUUAGUUUAAUAAACAGAUAGAUAGAUAUUUUGACUAUGCAAGUAAUAGAACCAUACCUUGUGUAGUAUCCUUAUAUAUAUAUAUAUAUAUAUAUAUAUAUAUAUAUAUGGAUGCUGCCACGUACCCCAUGCAUGCAUGCUUAUCCACUUCUCAGCUUGAGGGUGCUCUAAUUAAAAUUUGCUUUAUCUCUUUAAUGUGAAGUAGAGAGCCACACGAGGUGGAGCUCAGGGGAGUAGCCGCGGAGCUCGGAUUCAAUGUCGACGUCGCGCCGUAGAGCCGUUCGAGGAUACGGUUGCAGUCGUAGCAUCGUGAGGAGUUCGAGCGAGGGCGUGAUUUUCGCCGUCCUCGACGUCGCACCGGUGCUGGAUUCGCUGUCGAGGUGGGUACCUAACUUUCCUCCUUGGAUUACUUGAACGCACGGUUUUGAGCUCGCAUGCUGAUUUUCAGCGUCGACCGUCAGUGUUUCGGCUCGUACUCGGCGUAGGAACGUCGGAUUUCGACGGGACUUGGUUCAUUGGAUUCAGGACUUCGAGAGGAAUAAAAAUCCCAAAUCACUGGAAAAACGAGGGGUGUGCCAGCUCAAGUUCGAUCGCCUAACACAUCGCACCGAUAACUCAACUCAAAUUCUGUCCGAACACAGCAGGCAGAGGAGAACNNNNNNNNNNNNNNNNNNNNNNNNNNNNNNNNNNNNNNNNNNNNNNNNNNNNNNNNNNNNNNNNNNNNNNNNNNNNNNNNNNNNNNNNNNNNNNNNNNNNNNNNNNNNNNNNNNNNNNNNNNNNNNNNNNNNNNNNNNNNNNNNNNNNNNNNNNNNNNNNNNNNNNNNNNNNNNNNNNNNNNNNNNNNNNNNNNNNNNNNNNNNNNNNNNNNNNNNNNNNNNNNNNNNNNNNNNNNNNNNNNNNNNNNNNNNNNNNNNNNNNNNNNNNNNNNNNNNNNNNNNNNNNNNNNNNNNNNNNNNNNNNNNNNNNNNNNNNNNNNNNNNNNNNNNNNNNNNNNNNNNNNNNNNNNNNNNNNNNNNNNNNNNNNNNNNNNNNNNNNNNNNNNNNNNNNNNNNNNNNNNNNNNNNNNNNNNNNNNNNNNNNNNNNNNNNNNNNNNNNNNNNNNNNNNNNNNNNNNNNNNNNNNNNNNNNNNNNNNNNNNNNNNNNNNNNNNNNNNNNNNNNNNNNNNNNNNNNNNNNNNNNNNNNNNNNNNNNNNNNNNNNNNNNNNNNNNNNNNNNNNNNNNNNNNNNNNNNNNNNNNNNNNNNNNNNNNNNNNNNNNNNNNNNNNNNNNNNNNNNNNNNNNNNNNNNNNNNNNNNNNNNNNNNNNNNNNNNNNNNNNNNNNNNNNNNNNNNNNNNNNNNNNNNNNNNNNNNNNNNNNNNNNNNNNNNNNNNNNNNNNNNNNNNNNNNNNNNNNNNNNNNNNNNNNNNNNNNNNNNNNNNNNNNNNNNNNNNNNNNNNNNNNNNNNNNNNNNNNNNNNNNNNNNNNNNNNNNNNNNNNNNNNNNNNNNNNNNNNNNNNNNNNNNNNNNNNNNNNNNNNNNNNNNNNNNNNNNNNNNNNNNNNNNNNNNNNNNNNNNNNNNNNNNNNNNNNNNNNNNNNNNNNNNNNNNNNNNNNNNNNNNNNNNNNNNNNNNNNNNNNNNNNNNNNNNNNNNNNNNNNNNNNNNNNNNNNNNNNNNNNNNNNNNNNNNNNNNNNNNNNNNNNNNNNNNNNNNNNNNNNNNNNNNNNNNNNNNNNNNNUCUCUGGUUUUGCAGCCCACUCUGUUGGAUAGGAUCCGAGAGAAACAGAGUGGAGAUCCGUACCUGUUGGGGAUUCGAGAGCAGUUAGACAGGGGGCAGGCUGAGGGUUUUGCUGUGGACAGUUCGGGAGUACUACAGUACAGGGACCGGCUGUGUGUGCCUGUGGAUUCAGAGAUCCGAGAGGCUAUUUUGAGAGAGGCUCAUUGUUCACCUUAUAGGGUUCACCCUGGGGGAACCAAGAUGUAUAAGGAUUUAAAGGCACAGUUUUGGUGGAAUGGAAUGAAGAGAGACAUUGGCAGAAUUGUGGCUCAGUGUUUAACUUGCCAACAGGUGAAGGCCGAACAUCUGGUGCCUGCUGGCAAGCUUCAGAGUCUGCCAGUGCCCGAGUGGAAGUGGGAGCAGAUUACGAUGGAUUUCGUCAUGGGAUUACCUAGAGCACAGGGUGGCUUUGAUGCGAUUUGGGUAAUAGUGGACAGACUGACCAAAUCUGCUCACUUCUUACCGGUUCAGACCACCUGGUCCAGAGAGAGACUCGUGCAGCUAUAUCUGGAUGAGAUUGUUAGGCUGCAUGGCGUGCCAAUUUCGAUCGUAUCUGAUAGAGAUCCGAGAUUUGUAUCACAUUUCUAGAGGAGUCUUCAGACGGCCUUGGGCACUCAGUUGCAGUUCAGCACAGCAUUUCACCCACAGACUCUAGAGGACAUGCUGAGGGCAUGUGUCCUGGACUUUGGAAGAGGGUGGUAUCGGCAUUUUAGAUUGGUUGAGUUUGCGUACAACAACAGCUAUCAAGCGAGCAUUCAGAUGGCUUCGUUUGAGGCGUUGUAUGGACGCAGAUGUCGAUCCCCUUUGUGUUGGAGUGAUGUGGGUGAAAGGAAGACGCUAGGGCCUGAGAUUUUGCUAGAGGCUGAGGAAAAGGUGAGAGUUGUUCGACGACACCUUUUGACAGCCCAGAGCCGCCAGAGGAGCUACGCUGAUACCAGGAGACGAGACUUGGAGUUCCAGGUUGGAGAUCAUGUUUUUCUUAAAGUCUCGCUUUCCAGAGGGAUUCACCAAUUUGGAGUGCGUGGAAAGCUCAGUCCACGUUUCGUUGGCCCUUUUGAGGUAUUGGAGCGAGUUGGACCAGUUGCUUACCGGAUUGCUCUACCACCCCGACUAGCUGGGAUUCAUGAUGUGUUCCACGUCUCGGCGUUGAGGAGAUAUGUUUUCAAUCCUUCUCACGUGAUCGACUUCACUCCACUAGAGAUUGGCGAGGAUCUGAGAUACGAGGAGCGACCGGUGCAGAUUCUUGCUCGAGAGACGAAAGAGUUGCGCAACUGGAUCAUUCCGUAUGUGAAAGUGCAGUGGAACAAUCACGAGGAGCGGGAGGCGACUUGGGAGCCUGAGACAGUGAUGAGGGAGUCUUACCCAAACAUGUUUGAUUCUUAGAGUUGAGGUAUGUGCUAAGUUUUGAGGACGAAACUUUUUGUAGUGGGGGAGCAUGUAGUAUCCUUAUAUAUAUAUAUAUAUAUAUAUGGAUGCUGCCACGUACCCCAUGCAUGCAUGCUUAUCUACUUCUUAGCUUGAGGGUGCUCUAAUUAAAAUUUGCUUUAUCUCUUUAAUGUGAAGUAGAGAGCCACACGAGGUGGAGCUCAGGGGAGUAGCCGCGGAGCUCGGAUUCGAUGUCGACGUCGCGCCGUGGAGCCGUUCGAGGAUACGGUUGCAGUCGUAGCAUCGUGAGGAGUUCGAGCGAGGGCAUGGUUUUCGCCGUCCUCGACGUCGCACCGGCGCUGGAUUCGCUGUCGAGGUGGGUACCUAACUUUCCUCCUUGGAUUACUUGAACGCACGGUUUUGAGCUCGCGUGCUGAUUUUCAGCGUCGACCGUCAGUGUUUCGGCUCGUACUCGGCGUAGGAACGUCGGAUUUCGACGGGACUUGGUUCAUUGGAUUCAGGACUUCGAGAGGAAUCCACGAAGCCCUUAUUUGCUGGAUUUGUUGAAGGUUACCUGGGUCGAAAUUAUGUUCUCCUCUGCUGCUGUGUUUCGGACAGAAUUUGAGUUGGAGUUCUUCGUUGCGAUGUGUGCAGGGCGAUUUCGAACUUGAGCUGGACACCCUGGUUUUUUCAGUGGAUUUGGGGAUUUUUGGUGACCUCCUCGCUGCCGGGGUUUAGCGAUCGAGGUGGGUUACAUCGAUUUUUACUCCUAAGUUCUAAUCGUCAACAUGUAUAAAUCUCGAUUUUUAGUAUAGUCUAUUCUAGCUCGAAUUCAUGGAUUAUGUUAUAGAUUGCAAAUCUGAAUUUGGAGCAUGUGGUAAUAAAUUGAGUAGUAUAUGCAUGUUGGACUUGGAAUUUGAAUUAGGAGAAAACCUGCGAUUUGGACCUGUCACUUGUUUAAACUGCCUGAUUUAGCUCUAGGAGCCGUUAUAAAAUUGUACUGUCGCAGUAUCCUUGAGACGAGUACUCCAAGUAGUUUAGCAUACAUUUACACUCGUGCUGGUACGCCGAGUGAAUUUUUACAGGGUCGUUUGGACUGUUCCGAACUGUUGGGUGCCGUCGGGAUUGACGGUGGACCCGGAUCGUCUUUUUGGCGACAGAUUGUGCCGAGGGCACGUGAACUAUUGGUUGUUAGACCAGUUAGAGUCGAUUACUUGACUUUGGCUUUUCAGAGUCUGUUUGAGCUUGACAGAGAUACGCUGCAUACUCGGUUGGGUAGCGCCCACGAGUGCCACUCCGGAGACGGGCUUUGUGCUUUCGCGUUGGUGUUGCUCAUGCCGGUUGGACUUGCUCUCCACGGACCAGUUAGUGUGGAGGUAGCUGGAUAGUCGCAACUGGGCAGGGACGGGUGUAUUCACAGUCCCCGGGACGUGUAUGUUUACAGUCCCGAUUGGAUUGGGUCAGUUUUGACAUUCCUACAGUUGGUUAGCAUAGAGCAGGUUGGUGUAGUGACUAGUAGCUGUAGAGUUCAUUCCAGCAUUUUACUUUUACCAUUGCUCCCUUCUGUAGACUUAGUGGGCGGACCGAUAUUGUUUUGGGCGGCACCCACUGAGGACUACCUGUUUUUACAGUAGUUCUCACGCCCUGUUGUUACCCCCUGUUUUUGCAGAGCCAUCGUCGUCGGCUGCUGCUGUCGCAGAUCAGGAUCGAGGCAAGGGCGUCGCGAGUUAGAGCCCUACCAGACAUGCAGAGCUAGAGGUGCCCCUAGUGCAGGUAGAUGUUUUGUUUUGAGUUCAUGUACAUAGUAUACUUAACUCGCCAGUGCGAGUAGCUCUGUAUUUUUGGUUAUUGGACUAUGUAUAUGGAACUUCGUUUGUUUAACUUCUGUUUACUCUAGUAGCUCUAUACUACUGUUUGUAGUAUUGUACGGUUUAUAGGUACAGCUGUCGCUUCGUAUACAGGAGAAAUUCCUUUCUAUACGGCGAAUUUGUCGGCGUGCCCGGGGAACGUGUAAUCCGGGGCAUGACAGGCCGCGCAUGACCUUGCUAGUACUGUACAGCUAUGGGUCCAUAUUCAAACAUAACAAGAUUACUAUCAGUAGUAAUUCGUUGAUUCUAUUCUUCUCCGCUAUCUGGCUGUGCGCCCGCGGCUCUCGCGUUCAGAACCAAACUACUAAGGUUUGCUAAUCUACCCUACUUCAAGCCUAGCCACGCGGCGACUCGCCUGAGUCCAAUCAAUGCUGCGGAUCAGCCACUUCGCCAACUGUCCGGCCUCAAGGGGAAGACUCCGGUCUACUCUACAGCUCAUCCGCCUCAGUCACCCCCCCCUGCCUUCAUCCACAAACAUCUGCAACGGGUCGCCCCAGAGCUGCGUAAAUACACCGGUCAGGGAUCUUUUCCGGUGGAGGGAUUUCAUGCCACAUACCUCAACGGAGCCCCAGCUGAAAACCGGAUCAGGGAAGGUGAACAUACCACACUCAACCCUAGCGAAGCACGAUUCUGCCGGCGGGAAGGGGAACCUGCCGCACUCGACCCGCGGCCUCGAAUCAGCCUUAAGCUCAUCCUCGAAGUUCAUCCAGUGGGAGGGGAACAUUGCCAACUACCCCCACGGCUUUAGAACUAUCGAGUUUACAAUCCUAAGAUUUCGGAAUCGACUUUCCAAGUCUCUAGGGUAAUCUCAAACCCUAUGAUAUCGACCUAUCUAGGUCCAAUGCACUUUCUAUCCUAGGUCUACCCGACUCUAGGUUUAACACCCUUAUCACAUAACCAAUAUUCUUUAAACUAGGUUAAUACCUCUCUACCUAGAUUUUUAUUAACUCUAGGUUCAACAACACUAGGAUCAAUGUCAACCUAUGUUCAUGACACUAGGUUAAUGCCACUCGAUCUAGCCUAGGUUCACGACACUAGGUUCAACAUCAAUCUUAUUCAUCCUAGGUUCUCAAUCCUAGGUUCAUAUUCGACCUAUGUUAUUACACUAGGUUCGGUGCCACUCGAUCUAGUUGUCCCUAAUUGUCCACAGCGAGUUUCUAUAAUUACAUAACCUCAUGCACAUGCUCACAUUGCUAAUAUGCAUUUUGUCUAUCAACAUGCAAUCAAGUAUCUUACUUAGCAUCUCUACAUUAUGUCAUCAUCUAGUAUAUAGUUCCGAUGCAUUAAUAUGCAAUCACUACUAGCAUGCAUUACAUAAUGCUAACAUGUAUAUACAUUUAACAAUUUCUCAUUAUGUCAUGUUAGAUCUACAACAUGUUAUCAUUUACUUGCUCUAUUAUGAAUCGACAUGAAACUAGCACUUGCAUAUAAUUCCAAUGCAUCAACAUGCCAUUAGCAACUAGCAUAAUUAACUAUCAUCUAGUACAUGCAUCUUAACCAACAUGCUCACAUAAUGUUACAUGCACCUAGCAUAUAUUCCAUGAUGCCCUUAGCACACUUCUAACCAUGCAUAUGUAUAUCAACAUGCACAUUCUAUUUAUAUGCUUUAACUCAUAUACAAUACCAUUAUACUUGUACAUAUGCAUCAACAUGAAUUUCAUGUUUACUUUGACAUGAAGGCGACUUAGUCGCUUCGGUAAGCACAAUCCACCUCAAAAUGCUUUCCGAUUGCUUGUCGACACUUGCAAUCGGCCGCCCGCGGCACCCGGCAUCCAGUUUGGCCCGAUCUCUCGCGCGACCACCCAAACGGUCUCCAAUCCGUUUUCAUGAGUUUACGAUGUCGCCUCGGCCCUCCAGGCGGAAAUGAAGCCUAAACGUCCGUUUCUUUAAUAACUUCGCACCGGCUCGACGAAUCGCCGAACCGACUUCCCCGGCGCGUUCGUUUACCUAGCAAUUAGGUUUAUAUAGGUUCAAUUUAGAUCAAACCAUCAUAUUUCCAAAAAUUGUAUUUUGAACCCUAGGUUUACUACUAGGUAAAAACCCACAUUAGAGCCUUGGUUUCAAGCAUCAAACCUCUAAUUAGCAUGCUAGAAUACCUCUAAACCCAUUCUUAGAGCUUAAAAACCAAACUAGAGAGAAGUGCCAUUAAAGGGUUUUGAAGCUUACCUUCAAAGCUUGCUCUCCAAUGGCUAAAGAGGAAGAUGAAGAAGAUGACUUUCCUCCAAGCUUCCUUCUCCACCAAAACCCUCUCUUUUGGGAGAGAAUUUAGAGAGAGAUAAGGGAGGGUUCUCUUUCUCCUCUCCUUGUGUGUGUGCGUGUGUGGCGUGCGGGUGUGUGGGGGCUGCACGGCUGAGGGUGGAAGAAGAGCAAUGCUCUUUUACAAUAUAGCCCCUCAACAAUUACACUAUUCACUCCAGGCAGUUUAGCAGUUCGGAACAGUUGGAGCCCUUCUGAAUGCCCGUUUGAGCUCAAAUUUGACAGACAGGCUCGAUUUAACGUACUGAGUAAGAAUAUAUCUUAAGUUUUCAGUUUUGAUCCCGUUUGGUCACUGAAAAUUGUACCGAACUGUAAUCUUUAUCAGAUAACUAUCGGAUUUUAUUUCUCACUCUACGGGUGUCAGAAAAAUAUGAAACCUUAAAUCUAGCCUCAUAAAAAUAUUUCUGACUUAUCCUCCAAUUUUCAUAAUUUUUUGAGACUGUGCAUUUUCUGCUAAUUUAUCGGUUCCGUUUCCAACAGAAAAUUCUAAAUCUUCUNUGUUUCGGGCAGAGGCCUCACCGUGAGCACCCGCGAUGGGUUGGCUCAUACGUCGCAUAGAGACAGUUCGAGUUUGUCUGAGACUUUUCGGUUUCAGUUCAUUAGCUGAGAUUGACCAGAUUGUUGGUUAUCAAGUGCACGGGAGCCGUGUUAGACAGCGGUUUUUCUGCUAGGCCCAGGUGGCAGUUGGGACUGCCGUGGGUUGUCAGGCCUUGUUGGACUUGCUGGGACAUUUUUUAGGUGAGCCGUGUGGUCGUGCUCGCAUUUAUAUAAGAUUUGAUAGACUUUAUAGGUGGUGUGGCUAUGACGCUGCUAUGUUAGCUUGGUGCCGAGGAUCUCGAUUUAGUCCGUCAAAUUUGUUCACUGUCCAGGUUUAGCGUCCAAAAUAGGAUUUAGUUUAAGGUUCAGGUUGUACGUAUUUGAUGAGUUAAAUAAUGGUGUACGAGGUGGUGUAUUCACAGUCCCCGGGACGGGUAUGUUUACAGUCCCGAUUGGAUUGGGUCAGUUUUGACAUUUCCUACAGUUGGUUAGCAUAGAGCAGGAUGGUGUAGUGACUAGUAGCUGUAGAGUUCAUUCCAGCAUUUUACUUUUACCAUUGCUCCCUUCUGUAGACUUAGUGGGUGGACCGAUAUUGUUUUGGGCGGCACCCACUGAGGACUACCUGUUUUUACAGUAGUUCUCACACCCUGUUGUUACCCCCUGUUUUUGCAGAGUCAUCGUCGUCGGCUGCUGCUGUCGCAGAUCAGGAUCGAGGCAAGGGCGUCGCGAGUUAGAGCCCUACCAGACGUGCAGAGUUAGAGGUGCCCCUACUGCAGGUAGAUGUUUUGUUUUGAGUUCAUGUACAUAGUAUACUUAACUCGCCAGUGCGAGUAGCUCUGUAUUUUUGGUUAUUGGACUAUAUAUAUGGAACUCCGUUUGUUUAGCUUCUGUUUACUCUAGUAGCUCUAUACUACUGUUGUAGUAUUGUACGGUUUACAGGUAUAGCUGUCGCUUCGUAUACAGGAGAAAUUCCUUUCUAUACGGCGAAUUUGUCGGCGUGCCCGGGGAACAUGUAAUCCGGGGCGUGACACCUUGCCUCGUAACUGUAACAAUGCUAUGCAAUAUGCAACUCAUACAAGAAUGUACUAUCAUAAGUAAAUCUCUUGAUUCUACUUCUAUCUCGCUAUCUCGCUCAGAUCCAACUAGCCUCUAAGGUUUCUAUCUACCUUAUUCAAGCUAGCCACCCGACUCGGCCUCGAGUCAAUCAACUGCGGAUAGUCCGCACUCUGUCCGGCUCAAGGUGAAGGACCUCUCACUUACACCUCAUCCUUCAGUCCACGCCUUCAGUCCACAAACAUCUCGCCAACGGGUCGCCCAGAGCUGCGUACACCCGUGGUCAGGGAUCUUUCCGGUGGGAAGGGGAUUAUGCCACAUACUCAACCCGCAGCCGAAAACCCCCGAUAGGGAAGGUGAACAUACCACACUCAACCCUAGCGAUGCACGAUUCUGCCGGCGGGAAGGGGAACCUGCCGCACUCGACCCGCGGCCUCGAAUCAGCCUUAAGCUCAUCCUCGAAGUUCAUCCAGUGGGAGGGGAACAUUGCCAACUACCCCCACGGCUUUAGAACUAUCGAGUUUACAAUCCUAAGAUUCAAUUUGGAUCUCAGCCCAUCUGGAUCCUAUCUUUCACGUAACCUGGAUCUAUCCAGCUAUAGUAUCCCAAACUCUAAUGGGAUCUCUGAACCUUUCAGCUAAGGCUNNNNNNNNNNNNNNNNNNNNNNNNNNNNNNNNNNNNNNNNNNNNNNNNNNNNNNNNNNNNNNNNNNNNNNNNNNNNNNNNNNNNNNNNNNNNNNNNNNNNNNNNNNNNNNNNNNNNNNNNNNNNNNNNNNNNNNNNNNNNNNNNNNNNNNNNNNNNNNNNNNNNNNNNNNNNNNNNNNNNNNNNNNNNNNNNNNNNNNNNNNNNNNNNNNNNNNNNNNNNNNNNNNNNNNNNNNNNNNNNNNNNNNNNNNNNNNNNNNNNNNNNNNNNNNNNNNNNNNNNNNNNNNNNNNNNNNNNNNNNNNNNNNNNNNNNNNNNNNNNNNNNNNNNNNNNNNNNNNNNNNNNNNNNNNNNNNNNNNNNNNNNNNNNNNNNNNNNNNNNNNNNNNNNNNNNNNNNNNNNNNNNNNNNNNNNNNNNNNNNNNNNNNNNNNNNNNNNNNNNNNNNNNNNNNNNNNNNNNNNNNNNNNNNNNNNNNNNNNNNNNNNNNNNNNNNNNNNNNNNNNNNNNNNNNNNNNNNNNNNNNNNNNNNNNNNNNNNNNNNNNNNNNNNNNNNNNNNNNNNNNNNNNNNNNNNNNNNNNNNNNNNNNNNNNNNNNNNNNNNNNNNNNNNNNNNNNNNNNNNNNNNNNNNNNNNNNNNNNNNNNNNNNNNNNNNNNNNNNNNNNNNNNNNNNNNNNNNNNNNNNNNNNNNNNNNNNNNNNNNNNNNNNNNNNNNNNNNNNNNNNNNNNNNNNNNNNNNNNNNNNNNNNNNNNNNNNNNNNNNNNNNNNNNNNNNNNNNNNNNNNNNNNNNNNNNNNNNNNNNNNNNNNNNNCAUUAGAGCCUUGGUUUCAAGCAUCAAACCUCUAAUUAGCAUGCUAGAAUACCUCUAAACCCAUUCUUAGAGCUUAAAAACCAAACUAGAGAGAAGUGCCAUUAAAGGGUUUUGAAGCUUACCUUCAAAGCUUGCUCUCCAAUGGCUAAAGAGGAAGAUGAAGAAGAUGACUUUCCUCCAAGCUUCCUUCUCCACCAAAACCCUCUCUUUUGGGAGAGAAUUUAGAGAGAGAUAAGGGAGGGUUCUCUUUCUCCUCUCCUUGUGUGUGUGCGUGUGUGGCGUGCGGGUGUGUGGGGGCUGCACGGCUGAGGGUGGAAGAAGAGCAAUGCUCUUUUACAAUAUAGCCCCUCAACAAUUACACUAUUCACUCCAGGCAGUUUAGCAGUUCGGAACAGUUGGAGCCCUUCUGAAUGCCCGUUUGAGCUCAAAUUUGACAGACAGGCUCGAUUUAACGUACUGAGUAAGAAUAUAUCUUAAGUUUUCAGUUUUGAUCCCGUUUGGUCACUGAAAAUUGUACCGAACUGUAAUCUUUAUCAGAUAACUAUCGGAUUUUAUUUCUCACUCUACGGGUGUCAGAAAAAUAUGAAACCUUAAAUCUAGCCUCAUAAAAAUAUUUCUGACUUAUCCUCCAAUUUUCAUAAUUUUUUGAGACUGUGCAUUUUCUGCUAAUUUAUCGGUUCCGUUUCCAACAGAAAAUUCUAAAUCUUCUGUUUUCAUUCCGAUUUUAGCACAAGUCAUUUCUGACUUAUGUUUUACUUCUCUAAAUCCAAUAAAAAUAGCUUCUCACACUAUUUUUAUUUAUUUUUAUUUUUAUACCAAAAUCUGGUAUGUUACAGAAAGGGAAGGUUUCUCUCUCCCUCUCCAUGCGUGUGUGUUGGUGUGUGUGUGUUGCUCGGUUGAAGGAGAAGAAGAAGAAGACAACUCCUUUAUAUAGUCAACACCCCAAAACACUAUUACAACCAACGGUUUAGCUUUCAGAAUCUGAUACUUUUCGCCGGAGCCCUUCUGCAUAUCCAUUUGCACUCAAAUUUGAUAGUCAGGCUCGGUUUUCCUUAAUAAGAAAGAAAAUAUCUUAAGUUUUCAGUUUCGACCAUUUUUGGUCAUCGAAAGCUCUAUCGAACUAAAAUCUCUAUCAGAUAGCAGUUGGAUUUUAUUUUCCACUUUCUGGGUGUCAGAAUGAUAUGAAACUUUAAAUCUAGCCUCAUAAAAAUAACCUUGACAUAUUGCCAGAUUUUCGUAAUUUUCUGACACUCUGAAUUUUCUGCUAAAAAUAUCAGCCCCACUUCUUACAGAAAAUUCUAGAUCUCCUGUUUUCAUUCCGAUUUCAGUACAAGUCAUUCCAGACUUACAUUUUACUUCGUUAAGUCCAAUAAAAAUAGUAUCUCACACUAUUUUUAUUUACACUUACUUUUAUAUUAAAACUCGGUACAUUACAAUCUUGGUGUGCAAAGAAACAACCUAUCGUAUCUCGUUCUAGUACGUAAACUGAAUAUCGCUCUCUCGCCCACACUACUGCCGAGCUUUCUUGGGUAUGGUUGCUUUUUAAAGAUCUUCAUAUAUUUCUACAUUCUAAACCAGCUAUUUAUUGUGACAAUAUUAGUGCUAUUCGACUUGCCUAUAAUCCUAUCUUUCAUACUCGAACUAAACACAUAGAAGUUGAUUAUCAUUUUGUACGAGAAAAGGUUGUUCGACAAGAUCUCGACGUUCACUAUGUAGUGUCACAAGAUCAAAUUGCUGAUAUCUUUACAAAAGGGCUAUCUUCUCAUCGAUUCAAUUUUCUCAAGGACAAGGUAAUGGUGCGUGCACCUCCCAUAAGCUUGAGGGGGCGUAAUGGAGGAUCAAGUGACGAUACAAUUAAAGAAUUAAUUAUGGGUGAAUCAAAUUUCCAAAAUCAGGAAUCUACCAACUAUGACAAGUAUUCAAAUCAUAAGCAAUUGUGGAAACUCAAGAAUGACAAUCUCUCAAAUAUGACAAACACUCCAAAUAGAAAAUAUUCGGAUUCAAAUAUUGUACAUUUCUAGAAUGUAAUUAUUGUAAUACCAAGAAUAAUGGGAUUAUAUUUUGUAUUCAAUAAUUCUAUAUAUUGAGAGUUUGUUUUGUAUGUUCUCUAUUGAGGACAACAACCAUUUUUCCACCAAUUAUAAUUUUCUUUAAAAAUGAUCAAAUUGCCCCUCACAAUCUUCGUUUUCUCCCGAAUCUUGUUCAACCAUCGUCUUUGUAAUAUAUCGAACUUCUACAAUUAUGAAGUUUUGGUAGGAACUAACUUAAAAAACUAUUAAAAUAGUUUCAGCGAAGUUUGAAGAGUAUUCGAGUGUUUGCAAACCAGACGCGAAAACGGGCUCCAAAAGCUGAAAUCUGCAUGUGUUGCAGAUUUUGUAUUGUGUAUCGGUACUGGAAUCUGAGUACCAAUACGCAGUACAAAAUGAGAAAAAUGAGCUCUCGGAUUUUGAGGAACCAAAGUUGGGUACCGAUACUAGAUUUGUAUUGGGUAUCGGUGCUGGAAACCGAGUACCGGUACGCAGUAGAAAUUGAGAAUCCAACUUUCGAGUUUUGAGGUAAUGAAAACUGGGUACCGGUACUGGAUGCUCGAGUACCGGUACCGGUACCGGUACUGGAUGCUCGGUAUAGAAAAUAUUCGGAUUCAAAUAUUGUACAUUUCUAGAAUGUAAUUAUUGUAAUCCCAAGAAUAAUGGGAUUAUAUUUUGUAUUCAAUAAUUCUAUAUAUUGAGAGUUGGUUUUGUAUGUUCUCUAUUGAGGACAACAACCAUUUUUCCACCAAUUAUAAUUUCCUUUAAAAAUGAUCAAAUUGCUCCUCACAAUCUUCGUCUUCUCCCCAAUCUUGUUCAGCCAUCGUCUUUGUAAUAUACCGAACUUCUACAAUUAUGAAAUUUUGGUAGGAACUAACUUAAAAAACUAUUAAAAUAGUUUCAGCGAAGUUUGAAGAGUAUUCGAGUGUUUGCAAACCAGACGCGAAAACGGGCUCCAAAAGCUGAAAUCUGCAUGUGUUGCAGAUUUUGUAUUGAGUACCGGUACUGGAAUCUGAGUACCGAUACGCAGUACAAAAUGAGAAAAAUGAGCUCUCGGAUUUUGAGGAACCAAAGUUGGGUACCGAUACUAGAUUUGUAUUGGGUAUCGGUACUGGAAACCGAGUAUCGGUACGCAGUAGAAAAUUGAGAAUCCAACUUUCGAGUUUUGAGGUAUUGAAAACUGGGUACCGGUACUGGUUGCUCGAGUACCGGUACGCCAACCCGAGUACCGGUACUCAGCUCUACAGAAUGCUAUUUUUGAAGGGUAAUUUGGUAAUUUCGGUUGGGGGCCUAUAUAAGGGAACCCUUCUCCCCUUUCUCUGCAGAAAACACACACAUGCACAUUGUGAGGGAGAGAGGAGCUCAUCUCUCUUACUCUUUUCUUCUUUUUCUCCAUCUUGGAGAUCUUGGUGGAGAUUGAACUUGCGAAGCUCGGAGGAGCGGUGAAUCAAGCUCUCGGGCGCUUGGUGGCUCGGAGUGCUUUCGACUCGAGGUGAGUUUUGGGGUUUUAAGCUAGGGUUUUGGGUUUAAACCUUCUAAACAAAUUUCUAUCAAAUCCUAGACUAAUCUAGGCUACAAAUUGUAGAGAUUAGCAAAUAGAAUUUGGUUUUGCUGUGAAGUUUGGAAAACCCUAGGUUGAAAGAGGGGUUUGCUUGUGGAGGAUUAUAAAAAUAUUUUAACCCUUUAAAACUCUAAUUGAGGAUUAGGAAAUCAAGUGGGGCAACUUGAUUUCAAAAGAAAAAAUCAUUUAAUGGUUCGAAAAUGGUAAUGAAUGCAUCUCUUGUAUAGAGAAAGGAAAGCUUGGGAUCAAGCUUGGAGAUCCAAGAGGUUGGCCUAAUUGCAAGUGUCUACAAGCAAUUAGGAAGCUUUGUAAGGUUGGUCGUGCUUCACCGAAGUAAUUAGGUCACUUCCAUGCCAAAGAGUGAAGUAUGGUAUUGUUUAUUGAUGCAUGCAUGUAAUGGUAGAUUAAUUGGUAAACGUAGUGUACGAAUUAUAUGUUGCUAGAUUAAACUAUCUACCAUUGGACAAGAAUAUAAGCAUGUGGAACAUAUAGGAUAUAUAUAUAUGCCUAGGUAUGGACAUUGAACAUAGGUCGAUGAACUCUAGAAAAAUUAGAGAACUCAACAAAUGUGAAAUCAAGGACUAGAUGCCAUGAAAUUAUGAGUCCUAGGUGUGGACAAUCAAGAUAAGAAAGAACAUGAUUGAGUAUGGAAUUUAGUGUCAUUGAACAUAGGUUGGAAAAUAUAGUGGUAGGAAGACCACUUGUAUUGGAAAGUAAUUGAACCUAAAGUCAAGUGAACUUACGUGGGAAGGACAUAGGACCUAGUGUUACUGAACCUAGGUUAUGAGGCAUAGUGGUAGGAUGACCACUUGGACAUGAGAAUAUAAACCUAGAGAGGUUGACUUGGAAACGGAUGGAUGUGCACAUCUGGUGAUCUUGGUGAUCUUGGUAUCAAAGCUUUGGCAUGUACAACGAUUCCACCGUCGGGCUUGAUACCAAGGGGUGCGGCGAUUUCGCCACCCAGUGACUUAAUGUGAGGACUGAGAGUUUGCUGUAAUAUAUCGAAAUUUCGGUAGGUUAUAUCGAACUUCAAUCAAAUUGACCAAAGUAUUGUUCCGAAUGCUUCGGAGUGCUUGGUAUAGGGUGUAGAGACCUUAGAGAACAUGUUGGAAAAUUUUCAGCUCAAAAUAUGCACAAAAUGCUCUCGGGGUCCGUAUCCUGUGCAAGGUCCGAACCCCGUACCCGCAAAUUCGUGGGUUGGUCCAAAUCUGUGUUUUGGAGAGGGGCCUAAGUGUAAUUAUGUGAGGGGAAUGUUAUAUGAGGGUUCUACACCCUUCUCCUCUCAUUCCGGCCUUUCAGACUAAAAGAGAAAAGAACUCUCUCUCUCUCUAGAGCUUCUCACCUCUCUCUCUCUCCUUUCUCUCAUUAUCUUACUAGGGUUUGGUCCAAGAAAGGGCUUUGGUGGAGAAGAAGACUUCUUGGAGGGUGGAGUUAGCACUUGUGCAAGAGGUGGAGGAAAGAGCUUGAACUCAGGGUGAGUUCUUAUGGUAUUUAGCUAGGGUUUUGAGUUAAUUACUUCUAGUAGCUGUGUUUAAAGGCUACUAUGAUAGAAUUGUUCAUGAGUUUUCAUGAAUUAGUGAGUAAUUGGCAAUUGUUGGAAACCCUAGGGUCAAAUUAGGGUUUUGCUAAAUGACAGAUUUAACUAGGGUUUGAUCUCUUGUAGCCUUAAUUAGCGGAUAAUCUGACGCGUUGGGAGAUUCGGUUCGAAGAUCCGACGAGUCUAUGUCAAGAAAACAACGAAAAACCUCAUUUCGGCUUCAUUUGCCGAGGGUCGAGGGCGAUUGGCGUGCAUAAAUUCUGGAAUUGGGAUUCUAGCACCUUAGCGACCCUACGAGGUGGGUGGUGCUAUCCGAAGUCAUCGAAUCUCUUUUUAUGUCUAACUGUCACUUAUUGAGCAUGUAUGUGUAUAUAGGUUUUAUGCAUUGUAGGGUUAAAAUGAAAAUAUGUUGAUAUAUUGCUUGCAUGCUUUUAGUGUAAAAGAUGCAUAUGAGUUAUUAAUGAGCUACUGAAUAAGUGUGAACCCUAUAGAUGUAUGAAUUGUGACAUGAACCUAGUUGAGGCAAAGAACAUAGUGACAUUAUGACAUGUGAGUAAAAUAGCACCUUGUGGCACUAGCAAGUGUGCUGAAUGCUAGAAUAGAACUUAUAGUGAGUUGUGACAUUGUGAACAUGGCAUCCUUAUAGUUAAGGAUUGAAUUGAGCAUGGCAUCCUCAGAGUUGUGGAUUGGAUCAUACUCACCUAUAAGUCUUGGCUUAAGGGCGGUCACUCUCCCUCGAGUGAUGAGCUCCGGAGUAGUCAUCACUGGGUCGUAGCGAGUAUCUCCCCAGAGAACGGUCCCAUCGGGUUGUAGCGAGUAUCUCCCUAAUAGCAGGGAUUUGAGUUGGUGAGUUUUAUUUUUGGUGGCGAAACCUACGGGUUAGCCAAGAGGAUUGGGUAUUGGAAAUGGAAUCGGCAUGCAUCAUGAGCAUCUUUUAUUGAUAGUAUUUUGUUCAGACAUAAUAGCUGCAUUUGUUAGCAUGGUUAUCUAUCUAUCUGCUUUAUUCUUCUACUUAUGCCUGAUUAGACCUAGUGGGAAAGUCGGCGGGGUCGGCGGCCGAACCCACUGGAAACUUUGUUAUAGUUCUCACCCCACUAUUUUCUACAGAGCCGGGGCCGAGUGAGCCGAUCGAGGAUCUCGGUAAGGGUAUCGCGCCUUAGACAGUGACCACCUGAGUAUAGUUCAUGCCUGUUAUUAUCAUCUUUUGUAUGUAAUGAUGAGAGUUGUAUAAAUGAUGUAUAAAUGUAAAAGACUUAUAUUUUGGAGAUGUAUAUGAUCUUGUGAUGUAAAAAGAGAAAGAAAAAGAAUGAGUGUACCUUGUAGUAUGCUUGUAUAUGGUUAAAAGAAAUCAUGAUACCUGUAUGUAUAUGAUGUAGAGUAGAACUUUCACUUUGGUUGUUGCUUGCCUUCGUGCAAGCCAUGUAAAUUUAUGUCUUCUUCUUGCGCAAAAAUUUAUAUACAUGUUGAUAUCGUGUUGAGCCUUGAGCGGACAGGGGAGGUGUUGUCCGUUCGGCGUCUGUUGACAUGCCCGAACCGACCAAAUAGGCGUGCUCGGGGCGUGACAUUUGCUGUGCAGAUAAAAUCUUUGUUAACGAUGUUUUUGUGUGUAUUUAAUUACAUAAGCACUCAUCAUGUUUCAGAAGAAAACAAGUUAGGAUGGAGAAGUUACGCGACUCUUACUGAUCACUUAAGGUGAAUAGUAACUCAAGUUUUCUGGAGAGGCCAAUCAGUGGAGAUGACUUCUGGUGCAUAUUGGACUCCGUUCAUAGUGAUCCAAUAGCUCCUUUUCGACGGUUCGACUAUCUUGGACCUAAUGGCAUUGACGGAUUUGGGUUCUGAUACAUUGUUUUCGAGAAAAAAGGGAUUUUAUCGCAAAAAGGAAUUUUUGGUAAUUGGAGAGUGGAUGGGUUUCGCCGCAAAUCGACGACCAUAUCGGGCAAAACAAAAUUGUGAAUUUGAUGUCCCAGUCGUGCUGAACGUGCUGGCGUGAUCGAUCGAAAAUCCGAUAGAUGGAUCUCCAGGAAUCUCAAAAAAUUCACAAAAAGCCCCAUAUUUUAUAUACCGUUUUUCUUGAUUUCGAACGUCGAGGUGCGUAUGCGCAAAACACACAUGCUAUGAGGGACUAACUGAAAAUAUUCAGCUUUGGAGAACUUUUUUGCAAAAACUACACCUUAUAUAUAUAUAUAUAUAUAUAUAUAUAUAUAUAUAUAUAUAUAUAUAUAUAUAUAUAUAUAUAUAUAUAUAUAUAUAUAUAUAUAUAUAUAUAGGUAACGGGUUUCAUGCAUGAAACCCUAACCUUAGUCGAUUAGCUCCUCCAAUUGCGCCCCCAGCAGCCUCCACCACCUCCCAUGUCACGCCCCGAGCCCGCCUCUUUGGUCGGAUUCGGGCACGCCAACAGACCGCCGAACGGACAGGGUUUCCCCUGUACGUCCAAGGCGUCACAAUCCAUACAAAGCACGAGGUUCCAACCAAGAAUAGUAUUCAAACAAGGAUUGCAUAAGGAAGUAUCAAAAACAUAAAUACAACUAUACUAUUACAAGCAUGCAUCUCAAAUUUUUUACAUAUUACAUGCAUCUUACAUUUUAGUCUUCCAAAUACAAUCCAAAUUAUUACAAAUUAUUACAAUCUUAUUCUUUUCAUUUCCUUACAGCCCUAAGUAGCUGACUUAGGGUACCGCUAUCUCUGGUCUCGGUGGUAGGGUGCUAACUACGGUGCUACGCCCUCGCCUCGCGCCGCUCACGUGUGAACCUGUACCCCCAAAAACAACACGGGGGUGAGAACUAUUGUCCAUAAUUCCCAGUGGGUACUGCCACUCAAGGAAAAAGCUCGACCCACCAGGUCCAGGCACUGCAAACAUAUUAGUUCAAUAGAUAUCCACAGAUAAUAUUUAUGCAAAUAUUAAAUACAUGUUUAUGCCUCAAGACAUGCAAUAUGUAAUGUAAAUCAUGCAAUCAACUAAGUAGAUCAUCCGAUACUACUCUAUAUCUCGCUAUCCAUAGCUUUUCCAUAAUUUAUACAUCUUAUUAUUUUACAUCAUUCGUUAUUUGCUCCUAAGAUUUUUCUCUACCUUAGCGAAGCUAACCACCCGACUCGGCCUUGAGUCAAUCAUCUGCGAAAUACCGCAUACAACCAGGCUCGAGGUGAUGGACGUCUCACAUACACCUCAGCCUUAAAUCCACUCGAUAGGGAUACCAAAUCCAUAGCUCAUAAUGCAUGCUUUUUCACUUUCAUUUUGACUUUUACCCAAUUAACCCGGUUAACACUUGUUAACCCCAAAACUCACAACCCAAAAUCCCUUAAUAACGAAGGACUCGAACCACCCUAGGGAUCGUCUGCUAGACAAGUACGUUAGUCCAUGGGCAAAUACGUUAGCCCAUCGUGUGACAACUCCGGAGUGCACUCCUUGGGUGGAGCGACCACCGCGAAUGUCACGCCCCGGGACCGAUACCAAUUUGGCCCGACCCGAGCACGUCAAACAGACGCCGAACGGACAGAGUUUUCCCUAUCCGCCCAAGGCUCAUCACGUGUACAAAUUCAAACAAGAAAUGCACUAGCGGAAACAUACACAAACGGCUUACGCAAGGGUAAGCAAUAGCCAUUAGUGAAAGAAAGAAAAACUAACAUUUAUAAGUACUAUGAUUUAUUUUUGAUCAUAUACAUUGCAUUCAUCUUGUUCACUUUCGAAUUCCUUACAUUUCAUUUCAUCAUUUCUUUCUUACAUCACAUUUACCUCAAAAUACACAUUACAUUCUUUUCUCACAUCACUAGUCAUCAAAUACAAAAGAUGAACAUAGGGUACUCUACUAACAGAAUGAAACCCAACUUUGGUGGCCUCUGACUAAGGCGCGAUACCUUUACCUCGGUCGCUCGCCGGCUCGCUCGGUCCCGGCUCUGUGGAAAUAGUGGGGUGAGAACUACAACAAAGUUCCCAGUGGGUUCGGCCUCAACAUCACCGACUUUCCCACUAGGACUAACUCAGGCAUAAUAGAAAGGAUAAGCUGAAAUAUAGUAACCAAUCUACAACAUGAUGCUAAUAUGCCUGAACAAUAAGCAAGGAAUAUGCUCAACAUUAACAUAUGCAGAUUAUGCAAGUUCUUUCGUUCUUUAUCUUUACACUUUGUUCUUUGUUCUUUGCUCUUUGUUCUUUAUUCUUUAUUCUUUAAUCUCAAGGCUAACCCGGGGGUUUCGCCACAUUAACUUGCUUCACAUUAAGUCCAUCAUCGCAGGAACUCACCCGCUAGGACCGUCCUUCGGGUUUACUCCAACCCGUGAUGCAUAACUCCGGAGCGCAUCGCCCGAGGGGGAGCGACCGCCCUCGAGCACGGAACUCAUAGCAAGUAUGAUCAUAUCCUUAACUCAAAGGAUUUAUAAGUUCAAUCUUGACUUUACACUAGCUCUAGUGUUCCUUAUGUCACUUUAUGUUGCCACUCUAGCAAUCAUUGUUCUUUACUUUUCUUUUACUUUUGCCAUCUUUAGCAUUCUUGUUCUUUACAUUUCUCGUUCUUAUUGCCCCACAUUACUUUAGCUUUAUACAUGGUCAUUUUCAUCAUUCUUUACAUCACUUUGGUUCUUUGGCUCACACUAACUCUAGUGUCACUUUACUUUACGUUUCGAAUGCCACUCGAUCUAUGUCAUAGUGUCACUCUGUUCUUUUGCUCACUUUGGGUGCUCACUUUCUCUCAUGCAUACACAUAGGGUUUUCGACGUUUACAUAGUUCUCGUUCAUGAUAUUAUGCAAGUUGUGCUCACAAUCAUGCAUCAUUACAUUUUCUAUCAUCACUUUACCCUAAAUGCAUGCAACAAUAUAUAUACAUACGCUCAAUUGAAUGACACAUUAGGCAUAGAGAGAAGUUCAAUGAGUUUGAGAAGCACCACCCACCUUGUAGGUCUCUUUAGGUGCUCCGAUGAUUUUCUUGGGAUUUUUAGACCCUUCGUUCUUUACCUGCGGCAUAAUGAAGCCAAAUUAGGCUUAUUUGGCCAUAACUUUAUAUUGGCUUUUCGUAACAUUAAUCCGAGCGCACCAACGCGUCGGAAAUACCCCCAAUUAGGUUUCUAGAGGGUCAAUUGCACUUAGAAACCCUCAUGAGCAAAAGCCCCAAUUUGGUGCCCUAGCUCCAAUACAUAUGUCAAACCUAGGGUUUGAUCUCAAAGAGAAGCAAAAAUAGCUUCAUUAUACUCUAAAAAGUCCAUUAGAACCAUCUUUAGACAAAUCAAAACCCUACUUAGGGUUUCACCAUGAGAGGUGAUGAAGCUCACCUCAAGCCUAUUUUCCAUGGUUUGAUCUGCUAAAAACAAAAGAAAAGCUUCAAAUACUCAAAUGGUUCCAUAAAACUCAUUAAACUUAAUCCAACCCUAGAUUAGGUUCUACGCAUGAUGUAGGGUAGCUUACCUUGUAAGCUCUCCUUUUCCAAACUAGAGGGGAAGAAGAUGAAGUUGCUUCACCUCUUGAUCUUCUUCUUCACCUUCUUUUCCUUCUUCUCCUUCCUUUCUUUCUCUUCUUCUUCUCCUUCUUUGUCUUCUAGAGAGAUAAAGAGAGAUAAGAGGGGAUGAGAGGGUGAAAAUGAGAGAAAUCCCUCAUUUACCCCAAUACAUAGCUCAUUGGGUUGCAAAAUUGCAGCUAAACCCCUCUACUUUCACUUUAAUACACUGCCCGAACUGGGCAGUUUGCGCAGGCGGGGACCGGUCUCUCCUUCAGGGACCGGUUCCCGAAGGUCGUCUCAGCGCAGCCAGAGCUACUACGCGCAGUGCAACCGGUCUCUCCUUGGUGGACCGGUCUCUCGGGGACCGGUCUCUCAGGCAGGGACCGGUUCCCGAGAGCUAGUUUCUCAGGACUUAGCCGAUUUUUCGGCUGUCUCAAAUCAUACGCGUUCGGGGACCGGUCUCUCCCACUAGGGACCGGUCCCCGAGAGCUCAAAAUCUGCAGUUUUGCAGAAUUUGAUUCUAUAGCUCUCGAAAACCUCCCGUAACUCGCUUUUAAUCAUUUUAACACCUUCGGACUUUCCGAAGUGUACCGUCCUCGCACUUCGGUCAAUUUGACUAAAGUUCGACAUUUUCUUAUUUUCCGAAUUUACGGUAUAUUACAGCGAAGCUAAAAACAAACUAUAUGAGUAUGAUCCAAUCCUCUAACCCGAGAAUACCCUACCAACUAGUGGUAAUCAAACCGGGAUAACACCAAUCCCAAACCUCAUGUACUGAGUAAUCACAUUGUCGCUAGCUAAUGCCACAAUGUCUCUAAGUUCACAUUGUUAUGUCAAAUGCCAUAAGUGUUUCCAAUACACUAAUCAUAUGCCACUCGAUCUAUUUGACAUCCUAAUUGUCUAUAUCGAGUAUCAUAGUUCAUAUAUCCUUAUUUUUCAAUGUCGAGUUUCUAAUUCACCUAGAGUUUAUCGACCUAAGCUCAACAUGCAAAUGUCAAUUAACAUAAUCCUCUAUAUGUCAACAUGCAUAGUUCAUCUAUCAUAUGCAAUAUGUCAUCAUGUAUAUAUUUUCAUUUAACAUAAUCCACAAUAUGUUAAUUCACACUAUGUCAUCAUGCACAUAUACCAACUAGCAUCUCAUGAUAUGUCAACACACAUAUAUACAUCAUCUAGCAUAAUCCAAACUAUGCCAACAUUCCUUUCUAUAGUAUCACUUUCAUGCAUUCAUAUAACCUCUAUGACAUACAUUCAUAUAACAUUUCAUGCAUUCUUAUAGUAUUAUUUUCAUGCAUUCAUAUAACCUCUAUGACAUACAUUCAUAUAACAUUUCAUGCAUUCUUAUAGUAUCAUUUUCAAGCAUUCACUUAGCAUAUUUCUUAUACAUUUACCAUUCUUCAACUAGCUACCAUUAUAUGCAUUAAUAAUAAACAACGCUCCACUUCGACAUGGAAGUGAGCUAAUAUCUUCAGUGAGCACAACCCACCUCUUUUCGAUUGCUUGUAGUCACUUACAGUCGGCCUCCCGCCGCACCCGUGACCCGGUUCGGCCCGAACUUGCGCGCGACCACCCAAACGGCCACCAAUCCACGAUCUGGAAAUUGAAGGUCUAUAACUUGAUGCCACGAUGCUCCGGAUCCAUUUUCAUGAUUUUUGGACGCCGCCUUGGCCCUCCAGGCGGAAACGAAGCUGAAACGUCCGUUUCUUCAAUAUCUUCGCAUAGGCUCGACGAAUCGCCGAACCGACUUCGCCAACGUGUUCGUAUACCUAGCAAUUAGGUUUACGUAGGGUUAAUUUAGAUCAAACCCAAACAUUUUACAAAAACCCUAUUUUGAACCCUAACAUGCUACUAUUGCAAUAAAUCUCCAAAUUGAUUCAUGAUUCAAGCAAAUAGCAUGUUGUUAUCACCUAGGGAGUCCUCUAAACCCAUUCCUAGAGCAUAUAAAUAAAGCUCUAAAGAUUUACCAUGAGAGGGGUUCAAGAAGCUCACCUCAAAGCUUGCUCCAAACCAAGGAGAAAAUGAAGAAGAUGAAGAUGAUUCACUUCCAAGCUUCAAUCUCCACCAAAUCCUUCAAUUUUGGGAGAGAUCUAGAGAGAGAAAGGGAGGUCUCUCUCUCCCUCCAUGUAUGCGUGUGUGUGUGUGUGUGUGUGUGUGGUGUUGUGGCUGCACGGUUGAGGGAGAAGAAGCAAAUGCUUCUUAUACAAUUAACACCCUCACAAUACACUAUUCGCAUCAGUUUAGCAGAUACAAACUGACGUUUUUCGCCGGAGCCCUUCUGAAUGUCCGUUUGAGCUCAAAUUUGACAGUCGGGCUUGAUCUUACUUAACUUAACGAAAGAAAUUUUAAUUUUUCAGUUUCGAUCCCGUUUGGUCACCGAAAGCUCCACCGAACUGUAAUAUCUAGCAGAAAGCAGUCGGAUUUUAUUUUCCACUUUCCGGGUGUUUAUUUUUCACUUUUCGGGUGUCGGAUUGACAUGAAACUUUAAAUCUAGCCUCAUAAAAAUAAUUUCGACAUAUUUUUCAGUUUUUAUAAUUUUCCGACACUGUCUAUUUUCUGCUAAAAUAUUAGUACCGUUUCGCACAGAAAAUUCUAAAUCUUUUGCUUUCGCUCCGAUUUCAGCACAAGUCAUUUCUGACUUAUAUUUUACCUCUCUAAAUACAAUAAAAAUAGUGUCUCAUACUAUUUUUAUUUAUUUUUUACUUUUAUACCAAAUCUGGUAUGUUACAUCCCAGCCCUUCGCCGGGCGCAUCCCGGCCACCGGCGAACACCUCCGGCCGCCGAAAAAGACGGCAUUGCAUCUCAUCCACCUAACACCCCCUCAUUUCUGCCGUGGACCACCUAGGGUCAUCCAAAGCCUCGGGUCCCUCUCCACUGGCCGCAACCCAACCUUCGGCACCGUCCUUACCGGCCCCCGCCGUCCGUGCACACCGCGCCGUCACUGCCUAGGCGAUCCGCGCCCAGUCGAGGUCAACUUGGGCCGAGCCCAAGCUAGCUCGCGGUCCACGAGCCGCUGCCGCCAUAGACCGGCCACACCGCCCUCCUAGACCUCCAGCAACCUUCCGCAUGCCGCCCCCGUCAUCCCCGCGGGCUGCCAGCCGCUGCCCUAGCUCCCCGCGGCAGCCAGGACCUAGCUCGGGCCUAGGCCGAUCUAUUCUCGCUCCUGCACCUCGCCGCCGCCGCCCACGGUCGGCCGCGCCGCCUUUUCCCGGCCUCUGGCGACUGAUCGUCGUAGCCCCGGUGCUCCCCCGGCCGCCGCCUAGCUGCCGUUGACCUUUGAGCCGGAGCUGAGCCGCACAGGCUCGUGCCUCUCCACCGCGCCAUCGGCCGUCUCCCGUCGUUGGCCAAUGCAUGCCCAGGCCCCCUCCGGCCAGCCGCAACCUUCUCCUGCCGGCGCGCCCGCUGUUCGGCCGUCGUCGGCCACCCUGUGCUCCACUCAGCUUCGGUAAGCUAGUUUAUAAUUUUCUACACACUGUUUCAGGUUUGGGUGGCUGUUCCGGCUAUCCAAGGGCACCCUGACACUCUCGGAAGUGAGCACGACGAUCCCUGAUCCAUGCAGAUCAUCAUGCUCACCUCUUUUGGGGUCAGCGAAGCCCCCGUUUGUGUGCUAAACAAUGUUUAGGCACUGUGCGCGCUGUUCGCAGAAUUUCGCGUUGCCCCCGCACUCUCCACAGUGGUCGGCCAUGCUCCAAAGCAUGAGCAUGGCCUACGGCACGUUGAGACCUAUCAGCGAGUGUCUCGUCUAGGCUCGAAAGUCCUCGGUUUGCGUUGUCGGGCCGUAAAACCCCGAAAAUCACAUAAAAUGAUAUGAUUUUAUGUAAUCACAGGGGCUUAUUUGCAAAUUUAUGUUUCGUGGUUGUUGUGGGCACUGUGUGCAGGCAGGGGGUGACCUCUGGACUGGUUGUCCAAGGCCCCAGGCCUUUUCGGAAAUCGGAUGUUGAUUUUCGGUGUGUCUUUCGGCGAAAUCCGUUUACGGAACGCGAUUUCGGUUCGAAAUUCUUUCGAUAAUGCCUCACGAUAAAUUAUGUUGUCGCUGACCCUUGUUGUCUAGUCACCUGCGUCGUUUUGAGGGUUCGGAAACGACGGGUGAGCGACGGUGGGUUCCGGUGUCGAAAUUGAUACUUCCGAGAACCCGGAUCGGAAUGAUUAUCCGACGAUAAUCGUUUCGAUGUGAGGAUAUGUGUUUGCUGCCAGGUCACACAAAUUAUUGUGUUUGGUGGCAGCGGGUGACUCGUGGCAUGAGUCGGUGAGUUCCGGGGACAGUUCAUGGGUCCCUGCGGAGUCCCAGUGCGAUUUUCGGGACUUCCGGCGAGUUACAGUAAUCGGUGUAGGGGAAACCGAUUCUCGUGGAUUUACAGGUGGGAAUGUGAGUUUGUGUUUUAUAUACUUGGGUUGGAUUCUAACCCGGUGGACCCUCCGUAGGUCCGGUUUUCCUCCGCGGUCGAGAGACAUGUGCUACGUACGUACAAGUUGGUACUUCGACCCGAAGUCGGUACAGUGGUGAACGCUCGGUGACAUCCUUUCUACCCUUCUCCUACUAUCAUGUUGCAUUUUAUAUGUUGAGCAUUGCACCUUUAUUACCUCUUUAUCGCUCUACUUAGUUUGUAUCUAGCAUCAUGAGUAGAAGUAGAGCAGGUUUAUGAUUACAUGUGAGAUUUGUGACCUAAUCGAUCGGUUCUUGUAUUUCGUACUAUGACCUAUUCGGUCGGCUUAUUGCAUUGAGCAUUAUGACCUACUUGGUCGGUUGGACUACUUGGUGACCUGUACGGUCGGUACACCCUAAGGGGUAGGAUUGUCGGCUAGUUGCCGACAGUUGGCUAUUGAGCAUAUCAACAUCGAUCGCCACUGCUCGUACGCAUUUCACGAAUACCAGCGGUCUGAUCCAACGCAAUGGGGUGUUAUUUUCUGAAAAAGUGGUUGGGAAUGCCAGCUCGUGAGCCCAAGAGCUUAUGCUAGGGUUAUAUGGUUUCAGACCCACGAGCUUAUGCUAAGGUCAUAUGCCAUUCUGACCCAGGAGCUUAUGCUAGGGUCAUUUGCAGGUUUGAGUAGUUGUGGCACAGGCGUGAGGUCUACGGCCCGAUAUGUCAGGCUUAUGAUUGGGUACUUUUGGACUUGUCGUCCAGUUGAUGCAUGCAUAUAGUAGCGGUAGUGAGUUAUAUAUAUCUCGUCCCUUGCUUAUCUUUGCUACUGUAUUACCAUUACUUAUAUUUUGUUAUCCUCCUUGACUGGUGAGUACCCCUCGCCCUCGUCAGCUUGCGGUACCCACUGGGAGGGGAGACAUAUGUAUAUGUUCUCACCCCCUACCCCCUUUCUGGUGACGUCGCGGGUCGAAGUAGGGAUGGUUCGUGAGGCGCGCGUCCUAGCAAUCAAUAGGGCUACCGACCCGUCAUUUUGGUUAAUUUUCUUAACUGGACUUCUCAAAUAAUUAACUUAGUAUUUAUGAUUCAGUUGGUUUCAUGUUAAUUGGAUAAAUGGGAUUUUGUGAAUGUAAUAAAGAACGUAUGGAUUUCUUAUGAGAUGAAAACGGUUCUCUACCCCUUGUGGUAGCGUAUUUUAAAAGAAAAUGGUUUUCGUGUGGAAAACGGUUUUGAAAAGAUUUUUCUCGAUUUUCAUGACUCUUAGUGUUUCAAAAUGAGUUUCCGGGUAGUAAACGAUUUAAACUAAUAGAUAUGAAUAUAUGAAUAUCUAUGAUAAAAUGAAUGGUGAAUGUGAAUGGUGAAUGUAUGUGAGUGUCAUACUGUUGUGGUUGUAUCUUGUACUUGUGUGAUGCCGUGCAAAUACAGAGGAGACUCUGUUCGUUUGAACAAUGAAUUUCCUAUAUUUGUGGUGGAUCUGGCAUACUCUGGGGUGAAGGUUUUCAAAAAAAAAAAAAAAAAUAUUGGGCACUUCUCCAUUGACUUUUAAAUGAAAAAGGGACCCCGGGAUGUGACAUCGGUUGUCACGCCCCGCGCCCCGCCUAUUUGGUCAGGUUCGGGCACGCCGACAGACUGCCGAACGGACAGAGUUUUCCCUAUACGUCCUAAGCGUCGCAAUCAAAACAAUACAAGUGGUUCCAACCAGGAACAGUAUUCAAUCAUAGAUUGCAAAUGAAAGGUAUAACAACAUAACACAUCCUAUGUUAUUACAAGCAUUCCCAUUUCAUGCAUUUUACAUCUCAAUUACCAUUCAUUUUCAUCCAAAUGCAAUCAAGUUAUUACAUCACUUAUUUACAAGUUUUAGUACAUCUUGUUCUUUUCAUUUCACCCUACCCCUAGGCUAUGCCGACUCGGGGUACCCCUAUCUCUGGUCUCUGGGAUAGGGCGCUAUCUAUGGAGCUACGCCCUUGCCUCGCGCCACCGCGCCGCUCAUGUGCGAACCUGUAACACCCCAAAAUAAUGUGGGGUGAGAACCAACUCCAUGGUUCCCAGUGGAUACGGCCACCCAAGGAAAAAGCUCGACCGAUAGGUCCAAGGAGGCAUUGCAACAUGUUAGUCCAACAAUAUAGAACAGAUAUAUAUUCAAAUUGAAAUAUAUGUCAUGCCUCAUAAUAUGCAAUAUUAAAUCAUGCAACUAUGCAACUAAGCAGUUCACUAGUAGAUCCAUCGAUACUACUUUCAAUCUUGCAAAUCAUAGCUGAUGCCAUCUAGCUCUAGGUUCUACUUACCUUAGUUCCACAGCUCAGCCUCAACUAGUGUCUAAGGUCUCUACUGCCUUAGUUCAUAUCAUAUAUCACUAGCCUUUAAGGUUUCCACUAUCCACCCGACUCGCCUCGAGUCAAUCAUCGCAGACUACCGCGCACUGGCUGCACCGCAGCCUGGCUGCCGUCACAGCCCACUGCACCUCUUGACUAAGCCAUCUGCGGCGAACGCGUCGCCCUUACCCAAUAAGGACUCAAGUCAUGACUUAGCCAUCUGGCGGCGAACUAAUCGCAUCACACCCAACAAUAGUUCAGGUCACGACUCAGCCUUCUGGCGGUGUACGCAUCGCCUUUACCCAGCAUGGUUCAAGUCAGUCUAGACGGCAUCAUCCAAUAAGCUAAAUGGGCGAGGAGAACCAACAUACCCAUUUCAAGCUCAAGCUCAUGGCAUACCGGGCGAGGAGAACCAACAUACCCGUUGAAUCACUGCCAGGCGAGGAGAACCAACAUACCUGUAGAUAGGAUUCUAUUUAUGCCAAUACACUUACCGAGCGAGGAGAACCAACAUACCCGUUGAAUCACUGUCGGGCGAGGAGAACCAACAUACCCGCAGUUAGGAUUCACGUGCGCUCAGUCGCAAAUCUCAUUCGUUGCACUAGCAGCCUUCAUUUCCUAGGGAUUCCGGAAUCCAUUUCAGAACUCAAGGGUUGGUCUCAAACCCUAUAGUAUCGACCUAUCUAGGUCCGAUGUCCUUUCCACCCUAGGUCCAAUCGACUCUAGGUUCAACGCCUCUAUCACAUAACCUAGGUUUACUUUAACUCUAGGUUCAAUCCACAACGUAUGUUCUUUAACACUAGGUUCGAUGUCAACCUAUGUUUAACAACACUAGGUUCAUAUGUCAACCUAUGUUCAUGACACUAGAUUCAAUACAACCUAUGUUUACUAACACUAGGUUCGAUGCCACACACCUAGAUCCAUUUGACUCUAGGUUUAUUUACAACCUAUGUUCUUUAACACUAGGUUAAAUGCCACUCGAUCUAUUCGACAUCCUAGUUGUCCAAUCGAGCAUUCUAUAAUUCACAUGCAUAUAUAAUCUAGCAUAUCCUCACCAUUCUAAUCAUGUAUAUGUUACCAUGCAUUCAUCUCAAUGCCAACAUGCAUUAUUUAAUAGCCAUUAUGUUUAUUAUGCCUCUCCUAGCAUCAUGUAAUCAUGCAUUUACCUAGCAUGUAUUCCACCACGCAUAUAGAUAUUAACAUGCAUCUAUCUACUAGCGUAUGUCAUCAUGCAAUUAUCUAGCAUUUACAUAUCAUGCUCAUCAUGCAUUCUAUAUUAUGUCAUUAACAUGCAUUCGUAUAGUAUUAACUACAUGCAUCAUCUAGCAUUUACAUGCAUCAACAUGAAUUCACAUCUUUCUUAGACAUAAGGGCAACCUAGUCUGUAACACACUGGACCUUUGCAAAUUGCGAGGUUCGAGUGUUUGGAUGUAUUUCGAGCUUUUCCACACUUGGUGGAGGGUUGUAGAAUGUUUUCCGACCUAAAAAGUUCGAAAAUCGGAAUUCUGGAUAAGUCCUGAGAGUUUUUACUCUCGGGGACCGAUCCCUGGAAGGAGAGACCGGUCCCCCAAUGAGCAGUGUUGAGGCAGCCUGAGGCAACCGGUCCCUGGCAGGCGAGACCGGUCCCCGAGCGCGUCUUCGCAGAGAGAGACCGGUCCUGCGCGGGGAGAGACCGGUUCCCGAACGCUGGUUUUUCGGGUUCGCAGCGAGAGACCGGUCCCUGCUGGGGAGAGACCGGUCCCUCUGGGCGAAAACUGCCCAGACCGGGCUGUGGUAAUAUUGGAUUUUUGGAGGGCCUAGCUGGAUUUUGUUACAAUAGAGGGUCUAUAUGACCCCUCCACCCUCUCUUCUCCUCAUUUCUCUUCUCUCAACUCUCUCCACACCCUUGAUAGAGAAGAAGAAGAAGAAGAAGAAGGAGAAGAAGGAGGGAAGGAGAAGAAGUUUGGAGUUACUAGUGGACUUGGAGCAUCUUCCUCACCCUUUCAUCUUCCUUGGUGCUUGAAGGCUUGGACUUGGGGCUUGCAAAGGGGGAGAUCUUCACCCUUGGAGCUUGGAUUGGAGUUUCUAAGGAGGUUUGUUACUCAUUCCCUCCCUUUAGACCUUGGAUUUGAGGUUUUAUUGUAUUGGAACCCUAGAAAUGAGAUUUAGGGUUGAUUUUGGGGCUUUUUGGUCUAGGGCUUUUGAGGCUAGAUUAAUUGGUUUAGAACCUUCCUUGGGCUUGGAUUGGAAGGGUUCUAGCUCUCUUUUGGAGCUUUGGAAGAGAUUUUGUGACGCCCCGACUUCCCAGGGGUCACCCAUCCUAGGACUACUCCCGUCCUAGCACGCUUAACUCUCUUAACCUCUUGGGCCUUGCCACCACCCAAAAUGCUUAAGCCGGGUUAAGAGUUUAGCCCUAUUAUAUCUCAUAUAUAGGACUAUCUGGGUUUCACAAUCUCCCCUCCUUUAAGCCCUGACGUCCUCGUCAGGCUCAAACUCACAAGUACCAGGCGAUGUGAGACUCAUCUCGCUAGCCCGUCAUCCAGACCCUGGCUCAGCCGAGACUCAUCUCACACUUCCGGCUGGUAAUUGGCUCUGAUACCAUCUGUGACGCCCCGACUUCCCAGGGGUCACCCAUCCUAGGACUACUCCCGUCCUAGCACGCUUAACUCUCUUAACCUCUUGGGCCUUGUCACCACCCAAAAUGCUUAAGCCGGGUUAAGAGUUUAGCCCUAUUAUAUCUCAUAUAUAGGACUAUCUGGGGUCUCACAGAUUUCUUCUCUUGAGGUGAGUUUUGGCCCUUUUUGCUUCUAGGUUAAUGUUUGAUCUUAUGGUUGGUCGUAAUGCCCUCGUAUCUCUUCGCUGAUCACUUUUAGGGUACUUUGAGGCUCGUGGACAACUCCGUUCGACGAAUCGAAGGAGCACGCGACGGUUCGGUGGGUUUGACCUAGCCUAUGAUAUGAGGAAUGCUCAUAUUUGGCAAAAUAUGUUUCGUAAAAUAGAAAUUCAUGCAUUUCCUUGUUUAAUGUAUUUAAUAUGAAUUUUAGAAUGCUUAACAUGCAUAUAUUAUGUAUAAUGAAAUUUUAGACCCCUAUGUGGUAGAGUGCAUGCAUGUGAGACUUAGCAUUCUAUUUAUGAUUGGGAACCAUGAUCCUUAUUAUGUAAAUGAACCUUGCUUUCAUGCAUUUAACCUAUAUGCCAAUUGUGACAUUAGGAAUGUUAGAAGCCUAGAGAGGGCUUGAGAACUUGGACUAUUUGAGAAUUGGGACAAUGUCAUAAAGAGGCAUUGGGCCCGGGUCAUGGUAAUCAUUGGUAUUGAUGUUUUAAUGGAAACAUAGAACAAGAUUUGGGCUUGAUCUGUUGUGAUGCUUAAGUGUCAUAAAGAGGCACUAAGCAAGUGAGUGUUGGGACAUCACUUAGAGACAUUGGGCUAGAUCCUUGGGAUGCUAGUGACCUUGCCAUGUUAGAGACAUGCGGAUAGAGUAUUUGAGACAGUGACCUUGCUUGUUUGCCAUUUGUGCUCAUUCGCACAUGCUUGUGAGGGUCGCUCCCUACAAGCCGGCACUCCGGAGUUAGCCUACGCGACUUAUGUUCGCUCGUGCGGUAUUGAGAAGCCUACGGGGUCGAGUGGGACAGACACAUUCCAAGAGUAGGGAUGUUGGGCUACCACAGGCACUUAGGCGGCACAAGCUGGACUACCUUUGGUAGGUCCUUAAUUGGAAAUGGAAAUCGAUACGGUGUUGAGAAUGGUUAAUCACAACUAGAUAGGUUUAGUAGUUGAGUUACAUUUAUAUGCUUUUAGCAUAGUGUUGAGACAUGUAGUAUACUUGAUAGUCUCCUUUUGCAUUAAAGCAUACUUGGUUGCCAUGACAGAACUUAUGCAUAAUGUAUUCAUAAAGGUUAAUGACAUACUACUUUGAUAUCGUAGAUGUACAUCACUAUGACAUCGUUUAUUCUCGAGUUUAAUAAUUUAGCAUUUUAAUUAUGCCUUUAUAUCGCGGUCAUUAUUGUUAUUAUUAUCGUACUCACCCUCUUCUUUUGGGGCCUAGUGGUGCAUAGUGCUGAGGUCAGUAAUUGCCCACUGGGAACUAUAAAUUAUAGUUCUCACGCCCUCUUUUUCUUGAUGUUUUUCAGAGCCUUCCACUCAGGGGGAGGCCAGGGACCGCGGGAAGGGAGUUGCUUCGAGCUAGCUUCCUUCGAGGACGAUUUGCUAGGUAGUCUACCUCUCGUUGUGUUUCUUUUUGGAGAGGUUGAGAGUUUUACCAGUGUACUACUGACCACCAUUUUUGUAUUAGAGGCUGAUACUGUAUAACUUAUGUUUACUUUCAUGUAUUAGUUAUGUUCUAUUACUAUUGGUGUAGAUGUUAGAACUUUACUCGCUCUGAUAUCAUUAGUUGCUAGUUAUUUCACUUCUUUUAUUUGUUCCAUCUCUUGCUUUUACUUUCGCUUUUCUUGUAGACGCCUUAUAUGUGUAGACAUAUGGCGGGUAUGGGCACGCUACCGGGAGGGCCUCCGCCGGUCCCGGGGCGUGACAGAUUAAUUUGGUAUCAGAGCCUAGGGUUGAGUCUUAGUGGACCUAGCGAACCUUAGGCCGGUUGGACAAUAGGAAUUAGGCUCGUGAGAGACGGGGUCUAAUUGACUUGUGAGCGAAAGUAUUUCGAUUGGGUUUAUGACAACUCUAAAAAGUUAGAGUUUGAUUGGAGUGUAUGGCUUCUAACUUCGCGGAGGGUUACGUUGGCGGCCGACAACGUAACAUCGGGAGCUAGUAGUGAAGGACACUUCCUUACUUUCGCAUGAUUUUGGGUUUCAUUGUUUCGAGCGGGGAAGCGAUAGCGUGGGUUAUUAACUUGCGCUUUUAUGUUUUGUAGUGACGAUGCCGAUUACACGUUCCCAGUCUGCCGGGGCGGAUGGUGCGGCACAUUCCGAGGAGGUCGAGACCUCCGCUACUUUCGGAUCUAGUGAGGUCCGUGACUUGAGGGCCCAGCUUGCGGUUCUCACUGAUCUGUUGGCGCAGCAGACAGCAGCGGCGCAGCGACAGGCUGCGGUGGCUCAGCGGCAGGAGGCGCGGAUGAAGCAUCUUGAGGACCUCCUACUUCAGCAGGCGGCAGCUUCUAGGGAGACCCAGGGCCCCACACCGCCAGCACCUGUGGUGGACGUCGCGCCGAGCGCGCAGUCCCCCGCGCCCAGUUCUUCCCGGGCGGCACCGACGACCGCACCUUGAGAGGAGGUGGCUGCGGUACCCCCAGUUCAGAGACCGGCCAUGGGAGCAGCUUUCCCCGUGAUGGCCGAGGGAGCCGAGCGGGAUCGGCUCAUGGAUCGCCUUAGUGAGUUUAGGAGGUGCAGCCCGAGGACGUUUGAUGGCGAGAACGUUGACCACUGGAUUGUUGAGAAGUGGUUGCUGCACAUGGAGAAGCUGUUUCGAGAUACCUUCGUUGAAGAGAGGGACAGAGUUUGGCUCGCCACUCACUUUCUGGACGGCGAGGCCUAUCGUUGGUGGUUGGAUAUCCAGGACAACCCCAACACCGACUUGGCAGCGGUUACUUGGACACGAUUCAAGGAGCUUCUACUGGCGCAUCACUUCCUACCAGCGUCAAGAGGAAGAUCGAGUAGGAUUUGCGCAGCUUGCGCCAGGACAAGCGGUCAGUGGCUGAGUACGAGAGGGAGUUCUCCCGGAUACUACACUGCGUACCGUUUGUUGUGAGGGAUGAUGAGGACAAGGCCCGCAUCUUUGAGCACGGUUUGCGGCCUUCUAUCUUCCGGUUGGUGCAGUCUUCCAACCUCCAGACCUACCGGGAGGUUGUGGAUCGAGCCUUGAUUGUGGAGGCAGGAGCGGCAGAUUUGCAGGAGCGUCGCGAGAGCUUGGAGAAAGGGAAGGGCAAGAGACCCGCGGCUGAGGGUGCGAGCCAGACGCACUCACGGAGGCAGCCGAGGCAUCCCAGGAGCAGGAGCCAGUCGCGGGGACGCGGCCAAUCUACCCAGCGAGGAGGACCCGAUCGUCGCCAGGUCCCCCGCUGCGUGAUCUGUGGUGGUCCUCAUUACCCGCGGCAGUGUUCACGCAGCCGGGGCAGGUGCUUCUUGUGUGGCCAGGAGGGCCACUUCCAGUUGGACUGCCCGAGGAGUCCAUUGCCAGCGCCAUCUGCGGCAUCUGCACCAGCAUCGCCAGGUCCCAGCAGGGGACAUCUGUUGCGCAUCACCAGGCAGGACGGCCGCCAGUUCUGCGACAGCCGGAGGGGUCACGACAGGCCCCGAGCGGGCGCAUGUACGCGGUUCAGACUAAGGAGGCGGCGGCAGCCGAGAAUGUGGUCGCAGGUAUCAUUUUACUUUAUGGUAUUCGAGCUAGAGCUUUGUUUGAUACCGGUGCAUCGCAUUCAUUCAUUGAUCGGCUGUUUGCCGAGCUGCAUGGCAUCCCACUUGUAUCCUUGUUGCAUCCGGGACGAGUUACUGUACCUGAUCACUCUUUGGAUAUUCGAGAGUUUUGCCCCAGUUGCCCCGUUCGGGUUGGAGAUUGGAUCAUGCCCGUGAACUUGUUAGCGUUGCAUAAACUCGGAGAGUUUGAUGUAGUGUUGGGCAUGGACUGGUUGACUAAGUACUAUGCCACUAUCGAUUGCAAAGAUCGAACAGUGAUUUUUAGAGAGCCAGGGCAGGCGGAGGUUGUGUACCGAGGAUGCCAGAGUUCGCUAUUUGCGAUGACGAUUAGCUCUUCUCGAGCUAGGCAGUUGAUUAGUAGAGGCUGCGUAGCCUACUUGGCUACUAUUGUGUUGCGGGGUGAGGAUGACGCCCCUAGGAUUGAGGAUAUUCCCGUAGUGCGGGGGUUUGGAGAUGUGUUCCCAGCGGAGCUUCCAGGCAUGCCUCCUGGUAGGGAGAUUGAGUUUGUGGUAGAUCUCGUCCCCGGGACUACCCCAAUCUCAAAGGUGUAACACACUGGACCUUUGCAAAUCGCGAAGUUCGAGUGUUUGGAUGUAUUUCGAGCUUUUCCACACUUGGUGGAGGGUUGUAGAAUGUUUUCCGACCUAAAAAGUUCGAAAACUGAAAUUUUGGACAAGUCCUGAGAGUUUUUUUUCUCUCGGGGACCGGUCCCUGGAAGGAGAGAUCGGUCCCCCAGUGAGCAGUGUUGAGGCAGCCUGAGGCAACCGGUCCCUGGCAGGCGAGACCGGUCCCCGAACGCGUCUUCGCAGUGAGAGACCGGUCCCGCGCAGGGAGAGACCGGUUCCCGAACGCUGGUUUUUCGGGUUCGCAGCGAGAGACCUGUCCCUGCUGGGGAGAGACCGGUCCCUCUGGGCGAAAACUGCCCAGACCGGGCUGAUGCAAUAUUGAAUUUUUGAGGGGCCUCUCCGGAUUUUGUUACACUAGAUGGGCUUAUUAGCCAUUUCCUCCUCUUCCCUCUCCCAUUUCUCUCAUUCUCACCCUCUCCCUACACUUUCUAGAGAGAGAAGAAGAAGAAUGAGAAGAAGAAGAAGAAGAAGAGCUAGCUUGAGGGAGCUUGGAGCUCAACCCCUUUCUCUCUUUUCCACCUUUGCAAGGCUUGGAGCUUGCUUGUAGAGCUUGGUGGUGGACCAAUCUUCAACCCUAGAAGAUUUGGAGCUUGUUUGGAGGCACCUUGGGAGGUUAGUACUUGGAUUCUACCCUUGAACCCUUGAUUUGGUAGGUUUUACCANCGAAACUUGACGAGUGCUUUUGUAAUUAAAUUACACACAAAAACAUCGUCCACUGAGAGUUUAGCUACACUACCAAACUCUCGGUGCUUACAAUAUUGGGACCUCUUGAGACUAUCUACUAUGCCCUAAGUGUGUAUACUCAUAAACAAUACAAGUUCACAUUCAAACGUACAAGAAUUGAAACCUCAUACGGUGGUUCAAUUGUGCCCUAAGAGAGCAUAUUCGCAAUGAAUACGUUUUCGCAAUCGGACGAGCCAAUAUUGGGACCUCAUGAGACUAUUCUACCAUGCCCUAAGUGUCACGCCCCGAGCCCCGCCAAUUUGGUCGGAUUCGGGUACGCCAAUAGACCGCCGAACGAACAGGAUUUUUCCUUUAUCUCGAACAGAGUCUCCCCUGUACGUCCAAGGCGUCACAAUCCAUACAAAGCGUGAGGUUCCAACCAGGAACAGCAUUCAAACAUAGAUUGCAUCAGGAAGGUAUCGAAAACAUAUGUUUGAUUGCAUCAGGAAGGUAUCGAAAACAUAAAUGCAUCUAUGCUAUUACAAGCAUUCAUCUUAGUAUUCAUUUUACAAUACAUUAUCUUAGAUUCUUACUUCCAAAUACAAUCCAGAUUUUACAAAUUAUUACAACAUUGUUCUUUUCUUUCUUUACAUCCCUAAGUAGCCAACUUAGGAUACCGCUAUCUCUGAUCUUAGUGGCAGGGCGCUAUCUAUAGAGCUACGCCUUUUUUUCGCGCCGCCGCGUCGCUCGCGUGUGAACCUGAAACCCCCAAACCGACGUGGGGCGAGAACUAUAUAAAUAUAGUUCUCAGUGGGUACGGCCACCCAAGGGAAGAGCUCAACCCACCAGGUCUAAAGGAGGCACUGCAACAUGUUAGUUCAACAAAUAUCCACAGAUAUAUAAUGCAAGUAUAGAAAUACAUGCUUAUGCCUCACAAUAUGCAAUAUGCGAAUUAUGCAAGUAGAUCUCUUGAUUCUACUCUUUAUUAUUUGUCGUUCUUUACUAUCAUUCGUUCUUUAUUCUUAGUCAUUCUUUAUUAUUGCUAUUCUUUAGUAUUAGCCAUUCUUUAUUCUUUAUCUUAGUCAUACUAUGCUCAUUUGUCAUUCUUUCCUAAGGUUAUUUUUACCUUAACCAACUAUGCCAGUCGACUCAGUCUUGAGUCAAUCAACCGCGGAUAAUCCGCGCUCUGUUAGGCUCGAGGCAAAGGACGUCUCACAUGCACCUCAGCCUUAAAUACACAAACAACAUCGCCAACAGGUCGCCCAGAACUGCGUACACCCGUGGUCAGGGAUCUUUCUGGUGGGAGGGAAAUAUGCCACACACACGCGCGGCCCAAGACCCCCGAUAGGGAGGGGAAUAUGCCAUACACACUAGCAAUCCAAGAUUCUUCCGGUGGAAGGGGAAUAUGCCACACACACUCGUAGCCAAUCUUCUAUAAGCUAAUCCUCGACGUUCUUCUGGUGGGAGGGGAAUAUGCCACACAUAGCCGCGGCCAAGAACUGUCGAGUUCACAAUUCCUUUGAUUCCGGAAUCCACUUUACAUAGCUCAAGGGUUGGUCUCACCCUAUAAUGUCGACCUAUCUAGGCCCAAGCCAUUACUCAACCUAAGUUUAACACAUUUGGUCCAAUGUCACUAUGUUCAUAGCCUAGGUUCUAUAACACUAGGUCUGACAUUCUCUACUACCUAGGUUCAUUUCACUCUAGGUUCAAUGCCACUCGUGUGAUAACAUAGGUUUACUUAACUCUAGGUGUCACGCCCCGCGACCACCCGCCUAUUUGGUCGGGCCGCAGCGCCGCCGACAGACCGCCAAACGGACAAGGUUUCCCCUGUACCGCGGACAGAGUCUCCACUGUACAUUCAAGGCGUCGCAAUCAAUACAAUGUACAAAGUUCCAACCAGGAACACAUUUCAAUCAAAGAUUGUAUAAGGAAGUAUUAAAAACAUAAUUUACUUGCUAUUACAAGCAUUCACAUUCACUAGAUAUAUUUUACAUCAUAAUUACACAUUUUACAUUUAACUUCCAAAUAUAAUCAUACUUUUAUUACAAAUUAUUACAAUCUUAUUCCUUUCAUUUUCUUACAUCCCUAAGUAAAGCUGACUCAGGGAACAGCUAUCUCUGGUCUCGGUGGUAGGGCGCUAACUAUGGAGCUACGCCCUCGCCUCGCGCCGCCGCGCCGCUCACGUGUAUACCUGUAACACUCCAAAACAACGUGGGGUGAGAACUAACUCCAUGAUUCCCAGUGGGUACGGCCAUCCAAGGGAAAAGCUCGACCAAUAGGUCCAAGGGAGGCAACUGCAACAAGUUUGUAACGCACUGGACCUUUGCAAAUUGCGAGGUUCGAGUGUUUGGAUGUAUUUCGAGCUUUUCCACACUUGGUGGAGGGUUGUAGAAUAUUUUCCGACCAAAAAAGUUCGAAAAUUGGAAUUCUAGACAAGUCCUGAGAGUUUUUACUCUCGGAGACCGGUCCCUGGAAGGAGAGACCGGUCCCCCAGUGAGCAGUGCUGCGGCAGCCCUGAGGCAACCGGUCCCUGGCGAGCGAGACCGAUCCCCGAGCGCGUCUACGCAGUGAGAGACCGGUCCCACGCGGGGAGAGACCGGUUCCCGAACGAUGGUUUUUCAGGUUCGCAGCGAGAGACCGGUCCCUGCUGGGGAGAGACCGGUCCCUCUGGGCGAAAACUGCCCAGACCGGGCUGAUGCAAUAUUGGAUUUUGAGGGGCCUCUUGGGAUUUUGUUACAAUAGAGGGUCUAUAUGACCCCUCCACCCUCUCUUCUCCUCAUUUCUCCUCUCUCAACUCUCUCCACACCCUUGGUAGAGAAGAAAAAGAAGGAGAAGGAGAAGAAGGAAGGAAGAAGAAGAAGAUUGAGAGCUUUUAGAGGACUUGGAGCAUCUUCCUCACCCUCUCUUCUUCCUUGGUGCUUGGAGCUUGGUCUUGGAGCUUGCAUAGGAGGAGAUCUUCACCCUUGGAGCUAGGAUUGGAGCUUCUAAGGAGGUUGGUUGCUCAUUUCCCUCCUCUAGAUCUUGUUUUGCUAAGUUUUUGAGAUGAAACCCUAGAUUUGAUACUUAGGGCUUAUUUUUGGGCAUUUUUGAUCUAGGGCUUUUGCACCCAAAUUAGUUGGUUUAGAACCUUCCUUGGGCUUGGAUUGGAAGGGUUCUAGCUCUCUUUUGGAGCUUUGGAAGAGAUUUCUUCCCUUGAGGUGAGCUUUGGCCCUUUUUGCUUCUAGGUUAAUAUUUGGUUUUAUAUGAUGAUCGUAAUGCCCGUGUAUCUCUUCGCUCAAUCCUUUUAGGGUAUUUUGGGACUCGGGGACAACUUUGUUCGGCGAAACGAGGCCCUACGCGACGGUUCGGUGGGUUUGACCUAGCCACACAAUGAGAAAUUCUCAUAUGUGCUUAAUUAAGUAUCGUUAAAUGAAAAAGCAUGCAUAUUCUUGUUACAUGUAUUUAUUGUGAAUUUUAGAAUGCUUAAAAGGCCUAUGUUAUAUAUGAUGAAAUUUUGGACCUCUAUGUAGUAGAGAGUAGUUUGGUAGGCCUAUAGUUGCAUUUAGCAUUCCAAAUGAGACGUGGUUUCAUGCUCCUAUAGUGUAAAUGAGAUUGGAUUCAUGCAUUUAAACCUAAGUCUAUUGAGACAUGAAAGUUGACAAGAUUGCCAUUUAGAAGGUAUGUGAACUAGAGAGCUAAUGUCAUCAAGCGGCAUUGAGCUCGGGACAUGUGAGAACCUAGUGGAUAGGGCCAUUGAGGGAUUUGGGAUACAUGUUGAACAUCAAAUUGCCUAAGUGUCAUCAAGGGGCACUAGGCGUAGCAAAUGUUGAAACUUCACAUUGUGACUUAAACUAGAUCUUCGGGAUGCUAGUGACUAUACCAUGUUAGAGACAUGAGGAUUGGAUACUUGAGACUUGGACUAUGCUUGCUUGCCAUUUGUGCUCAUUCGCACAUGCUUGUGAGGGUCGCUCCCUACAAGCCGGCACUCCGGAGUUAGCCUACGCGACUUAUGUUCGCUCGUGCGGUAUUGAGAAGCCUACGGGGUCGAGUGGGACAGACACAUUCCAAGAGUAGGGAUGUUGGGCUACCACAGGCACUUAGGCGGCACAAGCUGGACUACCUUUGGUAGGUCCUUAAUUGGAAAUGGAAAUCGAUACGGUGUUGAGAAUGGUUAAUCACAACUAGAUAGGUUUAGUAGUUGAGUUACAUUUAUAUGCUUUUAGCAUAGUGUUGAGACAUGUAGUAUACUUGAUAGUCUCCUUUUGCAUUAAAGCAUACUUGGUUGCCAUGACAGAACUUAUGCAUAAUGUAUUCAUAAAGGUUAAUGACAUACUACUUUGAUAUCGUAGAUGUACAUCACUAUGACAUCGUUUAUUCUCGAGUUUAAUAAUUUAGCAUUUUAAUUAUGCCUUUAUAUCGCGGUCAUUAUUGUUAUUAUUAUCGUACUCACCCUCUUCUUUUGGGGCCUAGUGGUGCAUAGUGCUGAGGUCAGUAAUUGCCCACUGGGAACUAUAAAUUAUAGUUCUCACGCCCUCUUUUUCUUGAUGUUUUUCAGAGCCUUCCACUCAGGGGGAGGCCAGGGACCGCGGGAAGGGAGUUGCUUCGAGCUAGCUUCCUUCGAGGACGAUUUGCUAGGUAGUCUACCUCUCGUUGUGUUUCUUUUUGGAGAGGUUGAGAGUUUUACCAGUGUACUACUGACCACCAUUUUUGUAUUAGAGGCUGAUACUGUAUAACUUAUGUUUACUUUCAUGUAUUAGUUAUGUUCUAUUACUAUUGGUGUAGAUGUUAGAACUUUACUCGCUCUGAUAUCAUUAGUUGCUAGUUAUUUCACUUCUUUUAUUUGUUCCAUCUCUUGCUUUUACUUUCGCUUUUCUUGUAGACGCCUUAUAUGUGUAGACAUAUGGCGGGUAUGGGCACGCUACCGGGAGGGCCUCCGCCGGUCCCGGGGCGUGACAGAUUAAUUUGGUAUCAGAGCCUAGGGUUGAGUCUUAGUGGACCUAGCGAACCUUAGGCCGGUUGGACAAUAGGAAUUAGGCUCGUGAGAGACGGGGUCUAAUUGACUUGUGAGCGAAAGUAUUUCGAUUGGGUUUAUGACAACUCUAAAAAGUUAGAGUUUGAUUGGAGUGUAUGGCUUCUAACUUCGCGGAGGGUUACGUUGGCGGCCGACAACGUAACAUCGGGAGCUAGUAGUGAAGGACACUUCCUUACUUUCGCAUGAUUUUGGGUUUCAUUGUUUCGAGCGGGGAAGCGAUAGCGUGGGUUAUUAACUUGCGCUUUUAUGUUUUGUAGUGACGAUGCCGAUUACACGUUCCCAGUCUGCCGGGGCGGAUGGUGCGGCACAUUCCGAGGAGGUCGAGACCUCCGCUACUUUCGGAUCUAGUGAGGUCCGUGACUUGAGGGCCCAGCUUGCGGUUCUCACUGAUCUGUUGGCGCAGCAGACAGCAGCGGCGCAGCGACAGGCUGCGGUGGCUCAGCGGCAGGAGGCGCGGAUGAAGCAUCUUGAGGACCUCCUACUUCAGCAGGCGGCAGCUUCUAGGGAGACCCAGGGCCCCACACCGCCAGCACCUGUGGUGGACGUCGCGCCGAGCGCGCAGUCCCCCGCGCCCAGUUCUUCCCGGGCGGCACCGACGACCGCACCUUGAGAGGAGGUGGCUGCGGUACCCCCAGUUCAGAGACCGGCCAUGGGAGCAGCUUUCCCCGUGAUGGCCGAGGGAGCCGAGCGGGAUCGGCUCAUGGAUCGCCUUAGUGAGUUUAGGAGGUGCAGCCCGAGGACGUUUGAUGGCGAGAACGUUGACCACUGGAUUGUUGAGAAGUGGUUGCUGCACAUGGAGAAGCUGUUUCGAGAUACCUUCGUUGAAGAGAGGGACAGAGUUUGGCUCGCCACUCACUUUCUGGACGGCGAGGCCUAUCGUUGGUGGUUGGAUAUCCAGGACAACCCCAACACCGACUUGGCAGCGGUUACUUGGACACGAUUCAAGGAGCUUCUACUGGCGCAUCACUUCCUACCAGCGUCAAGAGGAAGAUCGAGUAGGAUUUGCGCAGCUUGCGCCAGGACAAGCGGUCAGUGGCUGAGUACGAGNUUUUACCUAAACUUCGUGGCACCGUGUAUUGGCUUCUGGAAAUUAAAGGCCUAGCACCUAACCUCCGGCAAGCCCACCGGCGCGCUCCCUAGCCCGGUUUGGCUCACGGCCCACGGCGCCCUCCGGCUAACGUUCACAGCUGUUCGUUAGCCUUAUGCUUUACUCCACCCAACACGAAUGGCUUUGCUGAUCCAGCGGAGAUACAGAUUCUCUUUACUCUAAAGUAUAACUACGUACAACUGUAUAUUAUAUUUUACGGUCUCCUUACGUAUAACUGUAUUAUAUUCUUACACUUUUCUUACGUACAAUUGUAUAAUAUCAAUUACGAAACUUACGUAUUCUAUUUCCCGUAUACUUACAAUUGUAAUAUUCUUAUAUGAUUUUUCUUACGUAUUUCUAUACAACAUCUUGUACGAUCUACCUACAUUAUAUCUUUACGUUCUUACGUACUAUUACAUUACAUUUCUUACGAUCAAAAGUAUUCGUAUAGUAUACAUAUACGGUCUAUUAAUGUACUUCCAAUCGUAGUACUCCUGAUACUUUAUGAGCUUAACCUGUUGAUCCUACAGUUGAUCUAGCUCACCGUAACUUAGAUCACAAUUAUUUGUAUCCAACCUGUAACUUGGAUCACAAUUAUUUGUAUCCAACCUGUUCUUACUGUAACUUGGAUCACAAUCAUUUGUAUCCAACCUUAGUACACACCGUAAUUUGUUUAUAUCCAACCUUAGUACACACCGUAAUUUAGAUCACAAUUUCUUGUAUCCAACCUGUACUUGGAUCAUAAUUUCUUGUAUCCAACCUGUACUUGGAUCACAAUUUCUUUCAUCAAUUUAUUCCAAAUUGGGUUUCACUGUAACACCAAACCAUAAUCGCCAUAUACGUACUAAUCCAUUUUGGAUAGUAACCGUAACUCCGUAUCUCUAUACCUUGUCCAACCGAUAUGGAGGAGUUUAACUCCUACCCUAGCAUGAGUGUACAUAGCCAAGGCCGAACACGCUCCAGCGAGGAGAUGUCCGCCACAUGAGGCCUCAUAUCUGUGGUGCCCACUCUCACGGGCCGCUUCUAGGGAGGCCACUAUCACGGAACACGGAAGGAGCCAUCUACCCUACCUAGGGAGCCCCCGUAAAGGAAUACGAUUAAGGCCAUCUACCCUGUACACUCUACACUCGAACCCCGCUUGAACUACUUGGGGCCUUCCUAACCCAUUUGCGGUUUCACUUACACACUUUCAAACUCAAUACCUAAACCAUGAGGUAAACUCCAUGAGUUUACGAUAUCGCCUCGGCCCUCCAGGCAGAAACGAAGCCUAAACGUGCGUUUCUUUAAUAGCUUCGCAACGGCUCGACGAAUCGCCGAACCGACUCUGCCAACGCGUUCGUUUACCUAGCAAUUAGGUUUACAGAGGGUCAAAUGAGAUCAAACCCUCAUAUUUACAAAACUAGCAUUUUUGAGCCCUAGAUUACAACUAGGUAAAAAUCCAUUGUUUAGCUUCAUGAAUCAUGCAUUAACCAUCUAUUUAGCAUCCUAGGAUUUCUCUAAAUCCAUUCUUAGAGCAUAUAAUUAAGACUCUAAAGGUCUACCAUGAGAGGGUUCAAAAAACACAUUUCAAGCCCUAGGUUUACAACUAGGCAAGAAAUCAUUAAAUUGAUCCAUGAUUUAAGCAACAAUCAUCUCUUUAGCUUGCUAGAAUAACUCUAAAUCCAUUCUUGAAGCUUAAAACCCAAACUACAAGGAGACACCAUUAAAGGGUUUUGGAGCUUACCUUUAGAGCUUGCUUCUCAUGCAAGGAAGAAGAUGGAGAAGAUGAAAAUCCAUCCUUGAGCUUCAAUCUCCACCAAAACCCUCUCUUUUCGGAGAGAUUUAGAGAGAGAAAGGAGAGUUCUCUUCCUCUCUCUCCUUGCGUGUGUGUGGCGUGUGUGUGUGUGCGCAUUCGGCUGAGGAGGAGAAGGAGAAAAGGGAUUAAAUCCCUUUUUACAAAUCAGCCCCUCAACUAUUACACUAUUCACCUCGGGCAGCAGUUUAGCAGUUCGAAAUAGUUAGAGUCCUUCUGAAUGUCCGUUUGAGCUCAAAUUUGACAGACAGGCUCAGUUUAGCGUACCGAGUAAGAAUAUAUUUUAAGUUUCCAGUUUCGACCCCAUUUGGUCACCGAAAACUGUACCGAAUUGUCACUACAAGAAAAUAUAGUAUUGGUGGCAAAAAUAAGGUGGCAACCAAAUUUAUCGCCAUUAUAUAGUUACCUAUGGUGGCGAUAGGAAAAAUCGCCAUUAAUUAAUUAACUUAAAGUGGCGAUUCUGGUUUCACCACUAAAUGACCAUUUUAUCGCCACUAUUUGAUUAUCUAUAAUGGCGAUAAAAAAAAUUGCCACCAAUUAAUUAAUUUAAAGUGGCGAUGGCAUUUUUACCACUAAAAUUACUAUUUUGUCGCCACUAUUUUCUUAUUUAUGGUGGCAAUAAAAAAAAUCUCCACCGAUUAAUUAACUUAAAGUGGCGAUUCUAACCUCACCACUAAAUUACUAUUUUACUCCCACUAUUUAAUUAUUUAUGAUGGUGAUAAAGUAAAUCGUCAUUAUUUGGUUAGCUAUAAUGACAAUAAAAAAAAAAUAUUACCACCAAUUAAUUAAAUUUAAUUUACUUUUUUAAUUAAAUUAAAUUAAUAUUUUAAUUUAAUUUUAAAAUUACUAAUUUAAUUUUUAAAAAAUUUUAAAAAAAUCUCACUUCCCUCAGCUUACCUGCCCCUCUCCUCUCCACUUCCUCUCAGCUACUCUAGAAAAAACCCAAACCCCAUUUCGCCCGCUCCUCUUUGACGAUCUCUCGUCGGCGAGCUCGUCACGACGAACUCCUCGCCGGCGAUCUCGUCACCGGCGAGCUCCUCACCGGCGAUCUCGUCACCGGUGAGCUCGUCACCGGCGAGCUCCUCAUCGGCGACAUAGGCGACAAGCACCUCGCCGGUGAGCUAUGCAACGAGCUCCUCAUUGCUAAUUUUCUUUCCGACGAGCCCUUCAAAACGAAGCUUCUUCUCGCCGAGCUCCUCGCAAGUGAGUCCCUCACUGCCGAUCUCCUCGCCGAUAAACCCUCUCCUUUCGCUUCUCUCUUCCACUCCAAACCCUCACCGCAGAUCUAUAUGCACUUCUCGUUGCUUCUUUGCGGCUUGUUUUGAUCUCAGUAAUUAGAUAGUCUAUAAUGCAGAGUUGGAGCAACCCUGUAUACCAGAUUGAUCUACUUUUCAUCAGGUUUAUCAAUUAGGAAAGGUGAAUAUUUAAAAGACACUUAGGUAAUUAAGGCUAGCUAUUAAUUCAGCAUGUACACUUAACUAACCGAAAGUUUGCUAGUAACUAUGAAAUUUCUAGUUAAUCUUUUAUUAGAGGCAUACGAAAUGCAAGAUUCAAAUUAGUAUGUUUUACUUACUGCUGAAACUAAUCAAUGCAAUUACCAGUGCUGCAUCAGGAGUUCAAACAAUGCAAUUUCCAGUCCUUUUAUGGCAGUGUUUUUGAGUUUUAUGUUGGCUUGGAGAUGUUAUAACAAAGUUUCAUGUAGGUGAUUCAAUGCAUAUAAGAACCUACUUUGAUUUGUGGGCCAUGUAAUAUGAUAAAUGUCAUUCUUCAAUUAUGAAACAAGUCGUGUCUACUUAAGUCAUGCUUUCUGCUUUUGUUUCCGGCUUAAUUAUGUGAACUCCUAAUCUUAUAUGCUAAUUCUGCUUUUGUUUUCAGCUUAAUUAUGUAAACUCCUAACCUUGUAUGCUGAUUUGAAUAUGGUGUGUUUUAUUUUGUUGGUUUCUUUGUUGUGAGUCUCGACUGAUAUGGAUGUCUUGAAAACAAUAUACAAGACCAGAUACUAGUGGAAAGUUAUUUAAUGUUCAUUUCAAGGUUUAGGAGUUCUAUUCUAAAAACCGUAAUGAAUAAUUAAUUUGCGAGUUUGAUGAGUCAAAAGGGUGGUGAUUUUCUAUUUCGGGUGAUGUAAUGUUCCUUCUAUUUUUUUUUCUUUUUUCUGUUUUUGCAUCGACGGUCAACCCUUGUGCUGUAGUAUUAGAUCUGAAAACCGGAAGAUUAUGAGAAUUUUCUUGUCUUGCAAUUGGGUGGUCUGCUUUCACCUUUGCAGUUGUGAAAUCUACAUUAGUAUAAAAUUCAUAGCAGUGUAACUAGAAAGAAAAUUUUCUACUCAAUGGAUUCCUAGAUAGUAGUAUAUGUGUAAGCCCUAUUAAUUCCUGUAUGAAUUGCACCCAUAGGGUUGGUGUUUCAGGGCUUAACAAAUGAACUGAAGCCAUUGAACAACAAUUAUCUAAUCUUUGUUCAUUACAACAUAUAAUAUAUAAUUAUCUGUUCUAUCUAAGAUAUACUUUAAAAUAUGCACCUAAAGAAUGGUCUUUAGAUACCAUACGAAAACUAAAAAACAACUAUGAUUUCCACUCAUGUCUCGCCAUUUUAAGAUAGUAACCAAGUAACUUCACAUUACAACAUAUAAUAUGUAAUUUACUUGGUUGCUGCUACUUUACUGUAAGGGCGCGUUUGGUUCGUACUAUAAAAGAUUACUAGGAGUAAAAAGAUAUCCGAGAAUCUUAUUCCUAUUCAUUCUAUUACUAAAAAUGUAGUAUUUCGGUGUCUCUAUAACCUUCUGCCUAAAAAGUUCCAUCAAUUUCAUCUCUACACUUCACAUCGUCUCAAAUAAGCUUAAAAAUUUUGAAUGGCCAUCGAAUUCAGAAACAAAACUGUACUAUAGAUGUUACGUCGAAUCGAUAGGAUCUAAAACUAGAUAAAAGAGAUAUCUUUGUAUACUACAGCUACGAAAACUUAGCAGUUCAUUGGACAAUUUAGUCAAUUAAAUUAUUCAACCUCUAUUCAAUAUUUCAACAUCAUCAAUCACCAACUCAUUUCUUACACUAUAAAGAGUUGACAUCUUUAGGUAUGGAGAACAUAUCAAAUUAACAUCUCAUACCCAUGUGCUUAAUUCUUAGCUCUAACAAGAAGGUAGAGAUAUUAUUGCAAUAAUAUAUUUGUUAAUAAUUUAUGCUUUUUGUAUAUGAUACGACUAACACAUUCUUAGCAGGACAAUGGGAAUAGACAAAAGUUGGAUGAUCAUCCAAGAUAGAUCUCUUAUUGAGUAUGAAAUGGGUGUUGACGCAUUCUUGGAUUAUGCUUUCAAUCAACUAGGAGAUGUUAGGGGAAUUCGUUGCCCUUGUACUAAAUGCAAUAAUGUCAUAUUUAAGACACGUGAUGAGGUGAAAGCCGAUUUAUUUUUCAACGGAGUGACUCAAUCUUAUACCACGUGGCAUCAUCAUGGUGAAUCAUCUGAUGAAUCCGAUACUAAUGAGCUAGUAGAUGAAGACAUGUCAAGUGAUGACGGGCGUGGGGACAUUAAUAGAAUGGUGGAGGAUAUGUUUGCACAUAAAGGGAAUGUGGAAACUAGUGAAGCAGGAAAGGAGUCCAUAGGAUGUGAGCAAUCUAAUAUUGAUGCACAAAACUAUUUUCGCCUUUUAGAAGAAUGUGAACAAGAUGCUUAUCCUGGGUGUAAGAAAUAUUCUAAGUUGAAGUUUCUAGUGACUUUGCUAAAUUUGAAAUGCCUCAAUGGAUGGACGGACAAAUCAGUUACAAUGUUGUUGGAGUUUCUUAAGGAUUUUUUGCCUGCUGAUGCAAAUAUUCCCAAAUCAUACUACGAAAUGAAAAAUAUUAUUAAAGACUUGGGUCUUCAUUAUAUUAAGAUUGAUGCAUGUAAAAAUGAUUGUGUUCUUUAUCGGAAGAACCUUGAGGAUGCCACUAAAUGCCCAACUUGUGGUGAGUCUAGNNNNNNNNNNNNNNNNNNNNNNNNNNNNNNNNNNNNNNNNNNNNNNNNNNNNNNNNNNNNNNNNNNNNNNNNNNNNNNNNNNNNNNNNNNNNNNNNNNNNAGAGCGAGUUCGCUCAUCUGGGCCAGACCAAGUACAUACGCCCGCUCGGGGCUCUGUCGUGACCCCUCCGUGCUGCCCGCUGGAUAGGUCCAAAAAUGGAGUCCUGGUGGAGUGCCAGAAGAGGUCCCGCUGUCUGGACCCUGCGAAUGCUGGGCAAGGAUGCCGCAAUGGCAGGCGGCAAAGGACUCCUCAGGGCAGUCCGAGCCUGAAGUGGCGACUCAUGCUGGCGCACGACGAGAAGCACCGCGCCGCCGGCUGCGCAUUACACUGUCGUGGGUAAUGAUGGGGCCGCCCACAGAUCACAGGCGGGUACGGGGAGGCCUACGCGAGAACGGCUCCGGGGUCUCCUGACUUUGAGUACUGGCCGCGGUCGAUCGGGAGGAGAGCGGUACGGACGGCAACCUGGCUCCGCUCUGGGGAGAUGCUCGGCGGCCUCCGCUGAUGCACGUGUCUGACUCGCACCCCUCAGCCGCUGGCGAGCAUCUCCCUGCUUCCCUUUCAUCCAGCUUUCGCAAGGGACGCUCUCUGGGCAGAUCCCCGCCGCUGCUCAACUAUCAAUGCUGCGAUUCCAGCAACCUCCCGUAGUCUGUGAGUUGGAAGAACUGCACCAAGCCGGAAGAUGAAGAACCGCACACCGCGCUCAAAGAUGCGGGCCUGUCGGAUACGGUCGUCCGUACCACAAAAGGCACACAGUGGAGUAAUCGAGAAAACUCCAUCUCGUACUCAACUACGGACCGCUCAUCCUGGCGCAAACUGCGCAAGUCCUGCUCCAUCUUCCUCUUGACGCUAGUAGGAAAGUAGUGCGCCAGAAGAAGCUCCUUAAAUCGCGUCCAUGUGAUCGCUGUCAAGUCGGUGCUGGGGUUGUCUUGGAUAUCCAACCACCAACGGUAGGCCUCGCCGUCCAGAAAGUGAGUGGCGAGCCAAACUCUAUCCCGCUCCUCCACAAAGGUAUCUCGAAAAAGUUUCUCCAUAUGCAUCAACCACUUCUCAACAAUCCAGUGGUCGACAUUCUCGCCAUCAAACAUCCUCGGGCUGCACCUCCUGAACUCACUGAGGCGCUCCAUAAGCCGAUCUCGCUCGGCUCCCUCGGCCAUCACGGGGAAAACCGCCCCCGUCACCGGUCUCUGCACAGGGGGUACCGCAGCCACCUCCUCCCGAGGUGUGGUCGCCGGUGCCGCACGGGAAGAACUGGGCGCAGGGGACUGCGCCCUCGGUGCGACGUCCACCACGGGUGCUGGCGGUGUAGGGCCCUGGGUCUCCCUCGAAGCUGCCGCCUGCUGAAGUAGGAGGUCCUCCAGAUGCUUCAUCCGCGCCUCCUGCCGCUGAGCCACCUCAGCCUGUCGCUGCGCCGCUGCCGUCUGCUGCGCCAAUAGAUCAGUGAGGACCGCAAGCUGGGCCCUCAAGUCACGGACCUCACUAGAUCCGGAAGUAGCGGAGGUCUCGACCUCCUCGGGGUGUGCCGCAUCAUCCGCCCCGGCAGACUGGGAGCGUGUAAUCGGCAUCGUCACUACAAAGCAUAAAAGCGCAAGUUAGUAACCCACGCUAUCGCAUCCCCGCUCAAAUAGAUAAAACCCCAAAUCAUGCGAAAGUAAAGAAGUGUCCUUCACUACUAACUCCCGAUGUUACGUUGUCGGCCGCCAACGUAACCCUCUGCGAAGUUAGAAGCCAUACACUCCGAUCAAACCCUAACUUUUUAGAGUUGUCAUAAACCCAAUCAUAAUACUUUCGCCCACAAGUCGAUUAGACCUCGUCUCUCACGAGCCUAAUUCCUAUAGUCCAACCGGCCUAAGGUUUGCUAGGUCCACUAAGACUCAACCCUAGGCUCUGAUACCAAAUUAAUCUGUCACGCCCCGGGACCGGCGGAGGCCCUCCCGGUAGCGUGCCCAGACCCGCCAUAUGUCUACACAUAUAAGGCGUCUACAACAAAAGCGGAAGUAAAAGCAAGAGAUAGAACAAAUACAAGAAAUGAAAUAACGAGCAACUAAUGAUAUCAGAGCAAGUAAAGUUCUAUCAUCUAUACUAAGGUAAAGAAAUAAAGCUAGUCAUAAGUAGUACAAAAAUGGUGGUCUCUAUACAUAUGCGGGUACAUCUCUCAACCUCUCACAAAAAGAAAACACGAGAGGUAGACCACCUAUCGAACGGUCCCUCGGUAAGCGCGCUAGCCCGAGGCGAUACCCUUUUCGCGAUCCCUGGCCUCACCCUGAGUGGAAGGCUCUGAAAAACAUCGAGAAAAAGAGGGCGUGAGAACUAUAAUUUAUAGUUCCCAGUGGGCAAUUACUGACCUCAGCUCUUGCUCCACUAGGCCCCAAAAACAAGGGUAAGUAACGAUAAUAAUACAAGCAAUAAGGAGCAUAUACAUAAACUGCUGAAAGAAAGCAUAAUUGGAAUGCUAGUCUACUGUGUCUCAAACAAGCAUGAUGUCAACCAAAAUGUACAUCUAUUCUAUCAUUACGAUUAAGUCCAAUCACACUAGUUUAAUGUUGUUAACCUUUGUCAAUACAUAAUGUUGUAGUUCUAAUAUGGCAACCAAGUAUACUACAAGUCUCACACUAUGCUAAAAGCAUGUAAAUGUAACCCCAACUACUAAGUCUAUCUAGUAGUGAUCAUUCAUCCUCAACCCCGUGUCGAUUUUCAUUUCCAAGUAGGGACUUACCCAAGGUAGUCCAGCUUGUGCCGCCUAAGUGCCUGUGGUAGCCCGACAUUCCUACUCUUGGAAUGUGUCUGUCCCUACUACUACCAAACCGUAAGCUCCUAAAAACCGCACGACGAUCAAAAGUCGUGCAGGCUAAACGUCCGGAGUCCGUCUUGUAGGAGCGACUCUAACAAGCAUUGGCGAAGACGCACAAAUGCAAGUCAGCAUAGCCAAGUCUCAAAUACCAAUCCUCAUGUCCUAACAUGGACUAUAAGUAGCAUUCCGAAAUAUCUAAGUCUAAGUCCACAGUGAAUUUCAAACAUGCUACGACUAUGCCUCUUGAAUGAACUUAGGCAAUCGAUGUUCCAACGCGACGUUUUCCCAUCUCUCACAAUGGCCUAUAAACCAGCUAGUGUCGGGGUUCUCACAAUCUCGAGCUCAAUGCCGCUUGAUGGCAUUACCUCUCUCAUACGCAUGAUAUCAAGUCGAAUUCCUUACAUAAAAGCAAAUUGUCAUCUUUCAUGUCCAAAAUUUAACCUAGUUUAAACGCAUGAAUCGAUUAGCUCAUUUACUUUUAAGAACCAUAUGAAAAUCAAAUCAUCAUAUAGAAUGCACAUCAACCAAGAUCUAUCAACGACAACGUCUCUAACUACAUAAGUCCAAAAUACCAUCAUAUAUAACAAUGUCAUUUUAAGCAUUAAAAAUCAUAAUAAAUACAUAAUAGAAAAGCAUGAAUAAUAGUAACAAAGCACUAUCACCAAAUAGUGAGAUUUUCUAUAUCAAAGCUAGGUCAAACCCACGACGAAACACGACUUUUAUCGUUUGCUGGAAACGGAGGUUUCCACACUUUCUAGCACCCAGUAACAUCAAAAUGUGUCAUCCAAUUCGAUAACGAAAGCGAUAAGCUGUCGAUCAUUAACCAAAGAAGCAAAAGGGCCUAAACUUCACCUCAAGAGUAAAAUCUUCUCCUAAAGCUCAAAGAAGAGACUAGACACCUCCAAUCUAAGACCUCUAAAUAAGUCUAAUCCAGACACAAUAGCUCAAGCCCAAAAACGAAAAUGCCGCAAAAUAAACCCUAAAAUCUCCCAAAUCUAGGGUUUCAUCUCAAUGAAACUUUACAAAACCAAAUAAGGAAAGAUCCUGCCACUACCUCUAGAACUCAAAAAACACUCAAAGUCCUCACCUUCAAGUAACUUCCCUCAAUCAAACUCCAAAAUCCGAAGUCCCAAACUACCAAACAAUCGUGAAAUAAGCUCCAAAGGAAAAAAAGAAGAAAAUCCAAUCAAGAACAUGCAAAAAGGAAUCAAAUCCCAAAAGAUUGUGUUGGAGCUCCCUAACCUGGUUCUCCACUCUUCUCAGCCCAGGGGAGAGCCCUAGGGGCGUGGGUGCUGAUAUAAGAAGCCCACAAUCGCAAAUAAGCCCCUGCAGAGCAAACUGUGCAGAUUCUGCCUCCUUGUACCGGUACACGGGAUCUUGUACCGGUACAAGAGCUGCGAAAAUCCAAAUCCGAGGCUCAGGUGCGCGGUCCUGCGGCACUGUACCGGUACAGGCCCGAUGGCUGUACCGGUACAACCAUCAACAUUGUACCGGUACAAGACCAUCCUUGUACCGGUACAAGACCUGCGAAAAUGCAAACCGAGGCUCGGGUUUGCGAGUUCUCGGCUCUGUACCGGUACAAGCACAACCUUGUACUGGUACAAGCCCGCCAGACAGCCAAUCCGAGAGCUGACCAAAAUCCAAAUUUUUGGGUUUUGGUGCAAGGCUUCGUACCACACUCCUCGGGACAUGUGCCAUAGGUCGGAACACAGUCAACGACCUACCAGAAAUCUGGAAAGGCUCAGAGCACGACCAAUCACUCGAACCUCGCAAUUUACAAAGGUCCAGUGCGUUACACUGUACCCACUGACGACUAUGGACAAUAGUCUCACCCCCGUGUUGUUGUUUUUGGGGGUACCGGUUCACACGCGAGCGGCGCGGCGGCGCGAGGAAAGGGCGUAGCUCCGUAGUUAGCGCCCUACCACAGAGACCAGAUAGCAGCACUCUGAGUCGGCUUCUUAGGGGUAUAAGAAAAGAAAAGAAAAGAAUCGAUGUUGUAAUGUUAUGUUUAGAAAUCGAUUGUAUAUUUAGAAGUUGAGAGUCAAUGUAAUAAAAAAUGCGAUGUAAAAUGAUGAGAUGAAUGAUUGUAAUAAUAUAGGAUGUGUUAUGUUGUUUGAUACCUUCCUUAUGCAAUCGUUGUUGAUAAUUGUUCCUGUUUGGAACCUCUUGUAAUUGUAUUGAUUGCGACGCCUUGAACGUACAGGGGAGACUCUGUCCGCGUGCAGGGGAAACCCUGUCCGUUCGGCGGUCUGUUGGCGUGCCCGAAUCCGACCAAAGAGGCGGGCUCGGGGCGUGACAGGUAAGAUGGUAUCAGAGCAUAAAGUAGAGAAUGGGAAAGUGGUUUAGAUGAACCUAGGAGACCCUAGGAUAGUAAACCAUAGGAGAUUAAGGCUCGUGAGAGACGAGGACUUGUGACUUUUGGCGAAAGGUUAAGGGAUUGGGUUGUGUUGUAAACCUCUAAAAAGGAGAUUAGAGGUAGAUCCAAGGUGUUGUCUAUUCUCAACCGAGGGUGUUCAUGUUGGACGCGUACAACAUGAAACCGAGUGAUGAGAAUAGAUGCCCUUGUAUGACUUUCGCCCGAUUUGAGUUGAUGUCAAUUGUUUCAUGCUCGACCUAGAAGGUUGAGAGUUAGUUGAGUUGUCAUGUUCUAGGUAAAGAUGGCACCGCGUAGGCGAUCUUCGUUUAGAUCGACGCGGGGUGGGACAAGUGAUGUCCCUGAGCAAUCCGAGGCGAGCGGAGACUUGGAACUUCGCGAACAGUUGGCCACACUUGUGGGUGUGGUGAGGCAACGAGCAGAUGUGGUGCAGCGGCAGCAGGAGGCUGCUAUGCACCAGGAGGAGCGAAUUAAGAGACUCCGGAAAAGAAAUUGUAGGUGUAAUAUACCGAAAUUUCGGUAAGCGAACAUCGAACCUUGGUCAAAUUGACCAAAGAGCGAGGUUGGUACACUUCGGAAAGGCCGAAGGCGUCAAAUAAUGCAAAAGUGCGUUGCUGGGGGUCUUCGAGUGCGUUGGAAUUGAAAAUCUGCAAAGCUGCAGGUUUUCAGCUCUCAGGGACCGGUCCCAGGUCGGAGAGACCGGUCCCCGAGCGCGUGUGGAGUCUGGGAACUGAAGAUUUGGCUAAGUCUUGGAACGCAGCUCUCGGGAACCGGUCCCAAGGGGACAGACCGGUCCCCGAGAGACCGGUCUCACCAGGGGAGACCGGUUGCAUUGUGCGAGAGCUCUGCUGCCGCGGGGAGAGCUCUCAGGAACCGGUCCCAUGGUCGGGGAGACCGGUCCCAGAGCCCGAAGUCUGCCCAGUUUGGGCAGUGUUGUGAAAUAAAAGUUGAGGGACUUAGUUGCAAUUUUGCAAUGAAUAGAUUGUGUAUGAUGGGUGAAUGAGAUAUUUUCUCAUCCUCACCCUCACACUCUCUCACUUCUCUUUCUCUCUCUAGAGGACAAAGAAAGAGAGAGGAAGGAAAGGAAAAGAAGGAGAAGGAGCGGGCUUUGGCAGCCCUCAUAACCUUCAUAAAGUUUGAUCCACCUAUCUUCGAUGGAGAGAAUGUCGAUUCGUGAAUUGUGGAUACGUGGAUUGACUCUGUGGAAACGCUCUUCGAGGAGCUGUCUACCUUGGAGCGGGACAGGGUACCCCUAGCCGUGUAUUGUUUGAAACGGUCGGCUAAGGCGUGGUGGAAAGGCAUUCGGCGGAACCGAUCGCCUAGUAUUCCUCCAUGGCAUGGGAUGAGUUUCGGGGAUUGGUAUCUUCUACUUACUUCCCCCGACAGUGAAAAGAGAAAGCUUCAGGACAAGUUCAGGAAGCUGCGGCAAGGAGACCGCUCAGUUAGAGAGUACGAACGGGAAUUCUCCCUAUCGUGAACUAUGUCCAGGAUAUGGAACCUGCUGCUGACAACGUCAUGGCAGGUAUGAGCCAUUAAUGUAGUCAUGUGUUUCUGCAUAAUGUAAAGUUGGUGCAUUGCAUGCAUUGAGCAUGUAAUUAAUUACUACUAUUUAUGUAGUAGCAUAGUAGGGUCCAAGUGAGCGGAUAAAUGUAAAUACCCGAGCACGCUUAUGUGCUGAAAGCGUUGCACCUGCCGGUGCAGGUAGAGAACUGGAUGGUACUAGCGAGUUGCUAGUGAUGGUCUAAUGAUGAGACUUGUAGUAGAGGUGGAAACGACGAACCAACUCGCAGAGCAAUGUAUGUAAUUGAUUGUGAGAGUUGUGUCAUGACACUUGUGGACACUCGAAUGGUUUGAGUGUUCUAGAUGUUGCUCCGGUAGAGCGAUUAGCUGCCAAAUACGGGCGCGUUGGCCUAGUAGUACCUCGAAUUGGGGUGGGUGAGUCGUGCUCGUGUGGCCAGUGUGCAUAGGUAAGAGUUGCCUAAUGCUGGACAUAGUGUGGAGCGCUUUAGAGGCGUGCGAUACACGAGUAUAGUUACUCGUGGAGUGCGGAUUUAGUUUAGCCGGAUGAGUGUGUUGGCAGUAGCACCUGAGCAUUGCUAGGUGUGAAGCGUGCCACGGAUUACUCGUGGGGCUGGUGGCUCGCACUUGGUGCAUAGGAGCCGAUAGUGGUACGUAUUGCUCAAUGGAGCGUGUAGUGCGAUCGAUAGUAUACUGAGAGUGCGAGUGUGACCGAACCCGGGAAUCUGUAACGGUUUGGGAUCUUAGUUGCUCCUGGUUGGAGUGUGUGCGAAUUUUCAAGUGAGAAUUUCGCCCCAAUGAUGAUUGGGUCUGCAUUGCGAGCGAGAGACGCUGCGUAUUGAGAAAGGUUAGGCGGUAGGCCUACGUAGGAUUGGUGGCCUUUGGUCCACCUGUGGAGACCGAAGAGAGCGGUUUGGCGGAUAGCCUUAUCGAGGAGUCUAACUCGAAUUCACGAACGAAGUGUUCGUGUGAGUUGUUGCGAAAGUAAUGUGAUGUUGACCGUGGCAUAUGGUAUCAGGUGAUGAAGUGCUCUUGGUGAAACCUCGAGCUAAUGGCAAGCCACGUGGAGUUCGAGGAUUGGAAUUGGGAUGCGCCGAGGUGGGCCAUCUCUCGUCAAAGUUAAAGUUUAGUGCGGAAUUAGAGCACUUACGAUGAAGCGAUGCACCGAUGAUAUUGUUUUUAGGCAAUGUCGGUGAUUGAUUUAGAAUGCAUUCCUUGAAGGGGAAGUAAAUGCAAAGAAGGUUUCUUGCUUGCCAAGUGACAAGUGGGGGUUGGAGCGCGUAGAGUCGUCGAGUUUCGACUUGCCCUACCACCUAGAGUGACGGAGACCGUAAUGCACUUUGUGAGAUGUGCCUUGCAAAGUUGGAUGCGUUUGGUAUCAUAAGCUCCGUAGUAGUCCUCUUGGAUAGUUCCAAAGAGUGUAAAGCCCUUCCGAAGUGUAAAAGUGCAUUAGUGCCCUCAAUUGCUCUAGGAGCUGAAUUGAGGUGUGGUUUGAGUUUCGCGGACGAAACUCCUUUUAAGGGGUGGAGAAUGUAAUAUACCGAACUUCUAAUUCAUGAAGUUACGAUGUAUGUUAGCUUAGAAAGCCAUUGGAAUCGUUUCGGCGAAGUUCGGAAGCAUUCGGGUGCUUCGGUGCGCAUAGGGCGCGAAAACGAAGCCGAAAGGCUAUGUUGGACCGUGAGUUAAAUCCGGCAUUAGCGUGGAUGAAAAGAUGAUGAAAACAUGUUCGAAAACAUGUUUGGAGAGUCUCGGUUCGAUUUGAAAUGAAUCGGAGGUCAAACGAGCAAAAACGAGCGAAAACGGAGCUAAAACGGUGAAAAAGCUGAAAAUUUGGCUAAGUCCUUGAAGGCUGAUUUCUGGACCUUCGGGGACCGGUCUCUCAGCCAAGGACCGGUCUCUCAGGGACCGGUCUCUCAUCGCAAGGACCGGUCCCCGAACCCCGAAAAUGCCCAGUUCGGGCUGUUGCGAGGGAAGCAUUGUGGAGGGGCUUAAGUGCAAAAUGGCACUUAUGAGAGUGUAUAGAGAGGACCCUUUCUCUCUUUCUCUCAUUUCUCUCACUCUCCCACACCAAAACCUCUCCCUCUCUCUCUCUAGAAAGAAAAGAAGGAGAAGAAGAGAAAGAAAGAGAAGAAAAAGAAGAAGAUGAAGGAGAAGAGGCCAAGAAGAUGGAGCUUCAUCUUCAUCUCCUUCCUUGAGCCAUGGGAGCAAGCUUAGAGAGGUAAGCCUUAUGCUCUCUAAUGGUAGAUCUUUAGGGUUAAGUUCUUAUACUCUAAAGAUGAUUUUAAUGGAAUCCUAGCAUGCUAAAUAGAUGGUUUAUGCUUGAUUCAUGAGAUGAAAUGGUGGAUUUUGCAAUAGUUGCAUAUUAGGGCUCCUAAAGAGGGUUUUUGUAAAUAGUUGGGUUUGAUCUCAAUUGACCCUCUAUAAACCUAAUUGGGGACCAAACGAACGCGUUGGUGCGCUCGGUUCGACAAUCCGACGAGUGUACGCGAAGUUAUUGACGAAACAAUCUGUUUUGGUACAGAUAGCCGCAGCACGCGGGAUAAGCCUCCAAAAAUCAUGAGAAUGGAUCGGGAGCAUCGUGGUGUCGGGGAAUAAACUCCCGAACAGACGGAUCGCGAAUUGGUGGCCGUUCGGGUGGUCGCGUGAGAGAUCGGGCCAAACCGGGUUACGGGUGCCGCGGGAGGCCGAUUGCAAGUGUCGACAAGCAAUCGGAAUGCGAAAUGAGGUGGGUUGUGCUCACCGAAGCGAUUAGGUCGCUUUCCAUGCUAAAGUGUAGUAUGUUUACUAUUUACGCAUGAUAAAGUAUGCUAUUUAAGAAUGCAUGAUAAAGAUUAAAGUAUGCUAUUUGAGAAUGCAUGAUAAAGUAUACUAAUUAAGAAUGCAUGAUAAAGAUAGAUGCCAAAUGAAUGCAUGAGUUGAUGUUAAUUUAUAUGUGCAUAUUAUAGAAAUGCUAAAUAGAUGUCAAAUGAAAGUAUGAGAUUGUACUAACCGAGAAUGCAUGUAGUAAACGUUAACGAAUGCAUAAAAUGCUAAGUGAUGACUACCAAUGGAUGACAAAAUAUAUGCAUGUUGAACAUAGAUCGAGUGGCAUUCGAAAUGGUAAAGUGGACACUAGAGUUAGUGUGGGACAUCAAAGAAUAAAUGUGAUGUAAAGAACAAUGAUAAUGGCUAAAGAUAAUGUAAAACAAUGUGAUGAUAAUAAUGUAAUGUUGCAUGAUGUGAGUACACGUGCUUAUUAGAAUGAUUAAGAAUCUAAAUAAUCUAUGUGUAUGCAUGAGAUGUAAUGUGAGAACCUAAUGAUAAUGGCUUGAGACAAGGCAAAGCAAUGUGAUGUAAAGAAUAAUGAUAAUGGCUAAAGACAAUGUAAUGUAAUGUGGCAUAAAGAACGUGUAAAGUUAAAGAAUGUGAAAGCUAAAGAUAGCUUAAAGUAAAGGAAUGUGAAAAACGUGAUUGCUAGAGUUAGCAAAAGUAAAAGAGAUGUAAAGAACAAUGAUUGCUAGAGUGGCAACAUAAAGUGAUGUAAAGAACACUAGAGUUAGUGUAAAACCAUGAUCCAACUACAUAUCCUUAGAGUUAAGGAUUGAUCAUACUUGCUAUGAGUUCCGUGCUCGAGGGCGGUCGCUCCCCCUCGGGCGAUGCGCUCCGGAGUUUGGCAUCCGGGUUGGAGUAGACCCGUAAGGACGGUCCUAGCUGGUGAGUUCCUGCGAUGAUGGACUUAAUGUGAAGCAAGUUAAUGUGGCGAAACCCCCGGGUUAGCCGUGAGAUUAAAGAACAAAGAACAAAAAGGAAUCAUGAAUUGGAAAGUGGAUCUUGUAUUCAUUAUGAAUUGACUCAAGACCGAGUCGAGUGGCAUAGUUGGCUAAGGUAAAGGUAACCCUGUGAAAGAAUGACAAUUGAGAAAGAAUGACAAUUGAGAAACGUUUGUUAAUGUUAUAAAGAAUGGCAAAUGUGUAUAAUGCGCCUAAGGUGCGAGUGCCCUUAGCAAAGAAUAAAGAAUAAAGAAUAAAGAAUAAAGAAUAAAGAAUAAAAAAAGAAAGAGUAAAGAAUGGCUAAUGAUAAAGAAUAGCAAAUUCUAAAGAAAGGCUAAUGGUAAAGAAUGACUAAGAGUUGCAUAAUUUGCAUAUUUGUGAGGCAUGAACAUGUAUUGCAUGAUGUUAUAUAUAUAUAUAUCUGUUGGACUAACAUGUUGCAGUGCCUCCUUUGGACCUGGUGGGUUGAGCUUUUCCCUUGGGUGGCCGUACCCACUGGGAACUAUGGACAAUAGUUCUCACCCCAUAUUGUUCGGGAUUUUUCAGGUCCACACGCGAGCGGCGCGGCGGCGCGAGGAAAGGGUGUAGCACCGUAGAUAGCGUCCUACCACUAAGACCAUAGCAGUACCCCAAGUCGGCUAGCUAGGGGUAUAGAAAAGAAAUGAAAAUAAAAUUGUAAUAACAAAUGGUUGUAUUUUGGAAGUUAAAUGUAAUAUGUAAAAAGCAUGUGAUGUGAAUGCUUGUAAUAACUUAGUUGUUUUAUGUUAUUGAUACCUUCCUUAUGCAAUUUUUGUAUGCAAUCUGUUCCUAGUUGGAACCUCGCGAAUUGUAUGGAUUGUGGCGCCUAGGACGUAUAGCGGAGACUCUGUCUGUUCGGCGGUCUGUUGGCGUGCUCGAAUCCGACUAAAUAGGCAAGUCUCGGGGCGUGACAGCCCGAGUGAAAAUGGGAGCAGAUAACGAUGGACUUUGUCGUGGGUUUACUGAGUGCAGCGUGAUUUCGAUGCUAUUUGGGUGAUAGUGGACAGACUGACCAAGUCUGCUCACUUCCUACCAGUACAGACCAUCUGGUCCGGAGAGAGAGACUCUUUCAGUUAUACCUGGAUGAGAUUGUAAGGUUGCAUGGUGUGCCGAUCUUGAUAGUAUCAAAUAGAGACCCGGGGCUUGUCUAACAUUUCCGGAGGAGCCUUCAUACGGCCUUGGAUACACAGCUACAUUUCAACACAGCGCUUCACCCACAGACAGAUGGUCAGUCAGAGCGGACCAUUCAGACAAUGGAGGACAUGCUGAGAGCUUGUGUCCGGGACUUUGGAGGAGGGUGGCAUCGACAUUUGAGACUGGUUGAGUUUGCAUACAAUAAUAGCUAUCAAAUGAGCAUUCAUAUGGCUCCGUUUGAGGCAUUGUAUGGACGCAUGUGUUGAUCCCCUUUACAUUGGAGUGAUGUGGGUGAGAGGAAGACUCUGAGAGCUGAAAUUCUGAUAGAGGCAGAGGAGAAGGUCAAGGUUGUACUACGACACAUUUUGACAGCUCAGAGUCGAUAGAGGAGCUACGCCGAUACCAGGAGACGAGACUUAGAGUUUCAGCUUAGAGAUCAUGUGUUUCUGAAAGUCUUGCCGUCCCGAGGGAUACGCUGAUUCGGAGUUCAUGGAAAGCUCAGUCCACGGUUUGUAGGCCCUUUUGAGGUAUUGGAGGGAGUCGGACCAGUAGCAUACAGGAUUGCUCUACCCCCACGACUGGCCGGUGUUCAUGAUGUUCUUCACGUUUCGGCAUUGAGGAGAUACGUGUUCGACCCCUCACACGUGAUUGACUUCACUCCACUAUAUAGAGCUUGGCGAGGACUUGAGAUAUGAGGAGCGACCGGUGCGGAUUCUUGCUCGUGGGACGAAGAAAUUGCGCAACCGGCUCAUCCCUUAUAUAAAAGUGCAGUGGAGUUAUCACGAGGAGCGUGAGGCGACUUGGGAGUUUGAGACGGUGAUGCGGGAGUCUUACCCUUACUUGUUUGAGGCUCAGGAGUGAGGUAUGUGUUAAGUUUCGAGGACGGAACUUUUUGUAGUGGGGGGGGAUAUAGUAUCCCUGAUGUUUGGUUGCUAGUGAGAUUUCAGCAUCUGAGACUUGUCGACACAUCUGGAGAGUGUCGGCACAAGUCAGAGUCGUUUUGGCGCGAAAUGGACGCAAAACGGACUCAACGCGAGGCGAGAGUGGAGUUCUGACGCUGAAAUCCGCAAAGUGCAGGAUUUCAGUGUUGAGUACCAAUACCAUACAAGGAAGUACCGGUACCCCAGUGUAUGGUCAGAACUGAUGCUCUCGGGUUGUGCCAAUUUGAUGCUGAGUACCGGUACAGUAUCGUUGGUACCGGUACCCUGUGUGAGAGCUUGCGGGCUGAGAGGCCGAGUACCGGUAACCAAAUCGGGUACCGAUACUCCAACUGGUUUGUUGAGUUGGUAGGGGUAGUAGUGUCUUUUUGGUUGGUGGUUAUCCACACCACCUAUUCCCUCUCAUAUCUAUCCACCUAAGAGAGGAUAAUUAUUUCAUUUCCUCUCUCUUUAGUUUUUGAUCGUGAGCUUGGUGGUGGUCGUGGUUCGAGCUCGGAAGUCGUCGCCGUUGCGCCGGAGGGUCAUUCGAGUGCGUGGGCGUCGCGGUUGCGUCGUUGGGAGGCCGAGUGAGCGCGUGGUUUUCCUCAUGUUGACAUCUCGCCGUGGUUGGACGGGCUUUUCGAGGUUGGUUGAAGUUUACUGAAAGCGUCGGAAUUCCUUCUAAGUUUUAUCAACGUCAACAUGUGUUUCUAGGUUCAUUGGUUUAUCUUGCAAGUACUCGAAUUCAUGGAAAUUAUAGGUUAUGCUAUAGAAUUUGAAUAUAGGGUUAAGCUAGUUACUUUGUUUAUGCAUGUUGGACCUAGAUUUGACUUAGGAGAAAACUAUAGAUCCUACACUGUCAUUUUCUAAAAAUUACCAGAUUUAGCUUUAGAAGAUGUAGUUUGUUUGUAUCGCCGCUGUUCGUAUGCGAUAGAUACCCAGAUUAGUGUAGGGUGAGUUUACGCUCGUGCUGGAAUGCUGAGCUUAUUUUACAGUAGUGUGUAGACUGUUCAGAAUUGUCGGGUGCUGUCGCAGUUGACAGUGGACCCAGAUUUCUGUAUUUGCAUCAGAUUGUACCGGAGGCACGUGAGCUUUCGUUGUUAAACCAACUAAAACCUUUUUCUUUGAUUGUAGCCUGCGAGAGCCUUAUUGAGCUCGGCAGAAAUACGCUUGCAUGCUCGGUUGGGUAGCGCCCACGAGUGCCACUCCGGAGUCGGGCUUUGUGCGUUCGCGUUGAUGUCGUCAUGUUCGAGUUGGACUUACACUCCACUAACAACCCAGCGUGGUGGUGGUUGGUGUAGCUUCGACAGACGGGAUAGGUGCGUUCACAGUCCCUUGUGAGAUUGAGUCAGAGAUUGCAUCUUGUUUAUAUCUACAGAUAGUUAGCAUUGGUUAGCGAUAGUAUAGUGGCAUAUAACUGUAGAGUGUUACCAGCUUCCUUUACUAUCCUUGAGCAUACUUUUUGUACACUUAGUGGGGGAGCCAUUGAGGUCGGUAGCGGUACCCACUGAGGACUACUUUUUGCAGUAGUACUCACACCCAGUUGUUGACCCCUUUUUGCAGAGCCUUCAUCUGCGGCUGCUACUGUUAUAGAUUCUGAUCGUGGAAAGGGAGUCGCUAGCUAGACCCCUUAUAGCCUUGCUGCAGUAUUGGGGCUUUUUGUACAUAUGGACUUAUUGUCUGGGUACUCGCUGGAGCGAGUGGUGUAGUAGACAUUUUGUAUGUACUAGAACCCCUCGAGGUUUUUAUAUAUGCUUUUUUCAGUUUAGCAGCUCUUACCUUGUGGUUGUAGCUUGUUUUCGUUUACAGGUACAGCUAUCGCUUCGUAUACAGAAAAAAUUUCUAUGUAUACGGCGGGUCUGUUGGUGUGCCCGAAAAAAUGUGUAAUCCAGGGCAUGAAAGAUUGUAAGGACUGAGAUUUUGGCAGUAUAGCUAAAUGCUCUGUUGACAAUGUUUUUGUGUGUAAUUUAAUUACAAAAGUACUCAUCAAGUUUCGGAAGAAAACGAGUUAGAACGGAGAUUUUACGCGAUCUCCAAGUUUCACUUAAAGUGAAUAGUAACUCGGUUUUCCGGAGAAACCACGGUGCGAAGUUGGCUUCUGGCACGUAUCGGACUCCGUUCAUAGCAGUCCAAUAGCUCGUUUCGAACGGUUUGGUUAUUCUAGAACCGAUGGCGCUGACGGAUUUUGAGUUUGACGUACGGAUUUCGAGAAAAUCUGAAAAUACAUGUUUUAUAUGUAUUUGUGUGUCACUUUGUCUUUCGGAGAGAAAGAACGGAUUUCGUCGUGAAUCCGUGAUUGUUCGAGGUGAACCAAAAUCAUAGCUUUGUUGUCUCCGUCGUGCUGACCGCACUGGUGCGAUCCAUUCGCAAAUCUGACGGGCGGAUCUGCGGAGAAUGCACAUUGUUCGAGGAGAGGUUGGUGAUGGCAAAACGGUAAUUUCGCAGAAGUUGCGAUAUUUUAUGUGCCGUUUUGCGUGAAUUUGAUUGUGGAGGUGUAUUCGCGCGUUUUACUCGUGUUGCAGAGGGCUUGGUUGAAAUUAACCAUCUUCGGAGGACUUAUUUGCAUUUUAGCCAACUUGUAUAUAGUGUUUUCUAGGGUUUUUCUUGGGAUCCUAACCCUAGUUCAGCCCCGAGCUGCCCUAGCCGCACCUUGCCACCUUCACCUCUGUUCCCCUGCCCCGCCGCGCACGCGCCGGCCACCGCCGACCGAGCCCCGGCCGGUAGCCGCAGCCGCAGCCGCAGCCACCAUCUUCCUCCCUCUCCAUGUCACGCCCCGGAACCCAGCGGAAGCCCUCCCGGCGCUUACCCAGACCCACCAUAUGUUUAAAACAUAUAAGGCUUCUAAAACAAAAUGAUAAAUAAGGCAAGAAGAGAGAGAACAUCUAGCUGCAUCAGAGCAAAGUGUAUCUAUUAGCUACAAUAAAAGAAAUGAACAUAAGGCCGGAAGUUCACUAGAUAAAAGCAUGAAGUAGUACAAGAAGAAUCCCAAAUACAAAAGCUAAACAUAAAAACAUGGGUGGUCUCUAUACAUGGUAACAAAACUCUCUCUCUCACAAAACCAAAAAGAAGAGAGUGACCACCUAGGAGCAACAGCAAGCUCCGCUAUCUAGCUAUGCGACUCCCUUACCACAAUCCUGUGCCUCCGCCGAUGCUGAAGGCUCUGAAAAGGAAAUAGAGAAACAGGGGUGUGAGAACUAUUAAUUAAUAGUUCCCAGUGGGCAAUUACUGACUUCAGUAAAAAGCACCACUAGGCCCAAAACUAGGCAAGUAAGUAGAAGCGAGUAAAAUAUCGAAAUGAACAGCAAGUAAAUAAACAUGAAUGCUGGCUAUAACAUAAUGUCUCUACUUAGCAUGAUUUGCAUAAGUAAGAACGCUAUGCUAACAUAAAUAAGCAUGAGUAUGCAACUAACAUAAUGUCCACAACGGAAAUAGUAAGAUGUCAUUGUUUAUUAUUCUAGUUCAAGUCCACUUGGUAUACCAACUACUUAUAGUUGCAAUCUUGUAAGACCCACCCGUAGGCUGUCUUGCUUAUGCCGUGCCUAAUGGCCCCGUGGUAGUCAACAUUCCCACUCUAGGAACGAGCCUCCCCCACGUCAAUCCACUUCGGCGACCAAUCUCGCACGGGCGAGCAUAUGUCACGAUGGCUAUCUCCGGAGUGUCGGCUUGUAGGGAGCGACCAUCACAACAUGUGUGAAUGAGCACAAGGGCAAGCAAGCGUAAAAUCUAUUUCAAAUCCAAAGUAAUCAUGUCUAAAACAUAGAAUAUAGCCUAUGUCUCAAUGGCCAAUUACUAUGUCAUCGUGUCUAAAACACGGAAUAUAGUCGAUGUCACAAUGGCCUAUUUCUAUGCCUCUAUGUUGCAGUUCCAUAGUUUACUAGUUCAAGUGCCCCUUUAUGGUACUUUUGUCCACUAAAUCCAAGCAUGAGUUUAGUGUUCAAAAAUACAUAAUUCAAGUCAUUUUCGGCAUAUGAGGCAUGUUCCAAACCACAAGAAGAAUGCCACUCACAUGCAUGUUAAGUCCACAUAAGGCUCUACUAUAUAGAGAUAAAUUUUCAUAAUACAUAACACAUGCAUUUUAAGCAUUCAAAAAAUUCACAUAAAUUCUAUCUAGCAUGAAUAUGCAUGCGAUGCGAUGAAACGAAGACAUUGAACCACUUAGGAGAAGUUUUCUCCUAUUCCAAUGAAGCCAAACCCACCGCGACUUCACGAAACCCUUCGUGUGCUCCGACGAAGUUGCCCACUAGUCUCCUAGCACCCUAAAGAUGUAGGAACAAGAGUCAAACGGACCUUACGAUCAACCCUAAGCUCAAUCAAUAAGCAACAUAGGCUAAGGUGAAGAAAAACUCACCUAGGUGAAGAAAUCCUCAAAUAAAGCUCAAAUGGGCGCCAAAUCCCUUCCAAAGCAACCUAAUCCAAGGUUCAAAACCCAUCAAUAGAGCUCUAAAAGCCACAAAUUCAAAACCCCCAAAAUAAACCCUAACUCCACAAUCUAGGGUUUCAUCUAGUAAAAUCUAGAAAACUUGUAUUAAAUGGAGAAUACAAGCUAUCAUCCUCAAGAGAAGCUCCAACCCAAGCUCUAAACCAAGUAGGGUUGAAGUUUGAUCCUCCACGAAGCUUCAACCACGAGCUCCAAGCCACAAAUGCUAAGAUGAGAGGAAGGGGAUGAUGCUCCAAGCCUCCAAGUAAGCUCCUCUCUUUCUCCUUCUUCUUCCUCUUCUUCUCCUUCUCUUCCUCUCUCUAGAGUGAGUGUGAAGGGGAGAAAUGAGAGUGAGAGGAAGAGAAAAGACCAUAUAAGCCUCCUAUGGUAACAAAAUCCACUUAGGUCUCUUAACUGUGCAAUCUGUGGACUGCUCGGUCUGGGCAGUUUUCGUGCUGGGGGACCAGUCUCCCCGAUACCUGGGACCGGUCUGUCGGUCUGCCCCGCAAAACCAAAGUUCGGGAACCGGUCUCUCCCCGCAUGGGACCGGUCUCUCCCCGCGAAAACGCGCUCGGGGACUCGUCUCAUCCGCAAGGGACCGAUUGCCUCGCUGACUGCCGCAACAUUGUUCCGAGGGGACAGGUCUCUCCUACCAGGGACCGGUCCCCGAGAGUGAAAACUCUCAGGACUUAGCCAAAUUUCAAAAAUCGAACUUUUAGGUCGGAAUACCAUCUACGACCUUCCACCAAGUGUGGAAAAGUUCGGAAUCCAUAUCAAACACUCGAACCUCGCAAUUUGCACAGGUCCAGUGCGUUACAUUCACCCCUCCUAAAGCGGAGUUUCGUCCGCGAAACUCAAAAGCAAACACAUACCUCAAAGCUCCAUAUGAAAAAGAUGGGGAUAGCGCUCCAGCAGCGCGCUCUCAAGCUCCCACGUGGCCUCCCGCUCCCCGCGGUUGCUCCAAAGAACCUUCACAUACGGAAUAUCCCGAUUUCGCAGUUUCUUCACCUCGUGAGCCAAGAUCUUCACGGGUUGCUCCUCGAAGCUCAAGUCGUCCCGCAACUCCAAAGGUGUAGCAUCCAACACAUGAGUCGGGUCGAAGACAUACUUCCGAAGGACCGAUACAUGAAAGACGUUGUGCACGCCCGAUAGGUUCGGUGGUAGAGAAAGUCGAUACGCUACCGGACCUACAUGCUCCAAAAUCUUGUACAGUCCAAUAAAACGGGGGCUCAACUUACCCCGAAUCCAGAAUCUCUUGAUCCUCCUAGUCGGCGAGACCUUCAAAAACACAUGGUCUCCAACUUGGAACUCCAAGUCUCGCCGUCGUCGGUCGGCGUAGCUCCUCUGUCUACUCUGUGCCGUCAAAAGUUGCUCCCGUACAAUUCGAACCUUGUCCUCAGCUUCCUGGAGCACGUCAGGGCCUAAAGCCAAUCUCUCGCCUACUUCGCUCCAAUGAAGUGGCGAUCUACACUUCUAUCCAUAAAGUGCUUCGAAGGGUGUCAUCUUGAUGAUUGCUUGAUAACUAUUAUUAUAAGAAAACUCUGCCAUCGGUAGAUGCUGCGACCAUCCUCCCUGGAAGUCUAUCACACAAGCUCGGAGUAUAUCCUCUAAAGUCUGAAUAGUGCGCUCCGACUGCCCGUCACUCUGAGGGUGGAAAGCAGUGCUGAAGUCCAGUCGGGUGCCCAGGGCGUCCUGCAGACUCCUCCAAAAAUGAGACACAAAACGAGUGUCUCGAUCCGAAACAAUGGAUGUAGGCACUCCGUGAAGUCGCACAAUCUCAUCAAGGUACACUUGUGCGAGCUUCUCUCCGGUCCAAGUAAUAUGAAUAGGUAUGAAGUGCGCCGACUUCGUCAACCUAUCCACGAUCACCCAUAUAGCAUCAUGCCCGGCCUGAGAGCGAGGCAAUCCUGUCACAAAAUCCAUGGUGAUCUUCUCCCACUUCCAUACGGGAAUAGACAAAUUCUGAAGUUUUUCCGCGGGUAAUCGGUGCUCAGCCUUUACUUGUUGGCAAGUUAGGCAAUGAGCUACAAACUCGCCAACGUCCUUUUUCAUCCCGGGCCACCAAUAGAGCAACUUUAAAUCCUUGUACAUUUUAGUGCCUCCCGGAUGUAUAGGAUAGGGCGCUUGGUGCGCUUCUUGAAGAAUAUCCUCUUUAAUUUCCAAAUCCGCCGGUACACAAAUCCGUCUAUGGAAACGCAUCAAUCCUUGGUUAUUCACAAGGAAAUAGCCAGUGCAAUCAUCAACCAUUUUACCUUUAAUCUUUUGUAACUCCACAUCGGAAGCUUGCAUUUCUUUAAUUCUAUCCAAAAGUGUAGGUUGCACCACCAAAGUCAUCAACCUCAAGGGCGUGUCAGGAGUCACCCCCCUCCAACUCCAACAGCUUCAUCUGCUCGAUCAACUGCAGUUGAGUAACAACAUGCAUCGCUAAGUUUUCCGUUGAUUUCCUACUUAGAGCAUCCGCCACCACGUUAGCCUUGCCCGGGUGAUAUAGGAUCGUCAAAUCAUAAUCCUUGAGUAGCUCUAGCCAUCUGCGAUGUCUCAAGUUUAACUCCUUCUCAGUGAACAGGUAUUUCAAGCUCUUGUGAUCCGUGUAUACUUCACACUGCUCCCCAUACAACCAUGACAUUAAUGCAAAGACUACAGCCGCCAACUCCAAAUCGUGAGUAGGGUAAUUCUUUUCAUAAUCCUUCAAUUGGCGAGAAGUAUACGCGAUCACCUUGCCAUCCUGCAUCAAAACGCAGCCCAAUCCAUUAAGAGAUGCAUCACUGUAAACCACAUACCCUGCUCUAGCCAUCGGCAGGGUUAGGAUAGGGGCGGUCGUCAAUCUCUGCUUCAACUCUUGGAAGCUUCUCUCGCACGCAUCAUUCCAGAUGAACUUGACACCUUUAUGCGUGAACCUCGUGAGGGGAGUAGAUAGCUUAGCAAACCCCUCGACAAAUCUCCAGUAGUAACCGGCCAGUCCAAGAAAACUACGAAUCUCCGUAACGCUCGUCGGUCUCGGCCAAUCCUUGAUAGCCUCAAUUUUCUUAGAAUCUACGGCUACACCCGAUCCCGAUAUCAAAUGUCCAAGGAAAGCUACCUCUCGAAGCCAAAAUUCAUACUUUCUCAGCUUGGCAUAAAGCUCCUUUUUUCGAAGUAUUUGAAGUGCAAGUCUCAAAUGCUCCUCGUGAUCCGUAUCACUUCGGGAAUAAACCAAAAUGUCGUCGAUAAACACCACGACGAACCUGUCCAGGUAAGGCUUGAAAACACAGUUCAUCAUAUCCAUAAAAGCUGCCGGGGCAUUAGUAAGCCCGAACGAUAUAACUGUGAACUCAUAGUGUCCAUACCAUGUUCUAAAAGCCGUCUUCGAUACAUCCUUGGGUUUGAUCUUUAACUGGUGGUAUCACGACUGCAAGUCGAUCUUGGAAUACACACACGAUCCUUGAAGCUGAUCAAACAAGUCGUCGAUCCUCGGCAACGGAUACUUAUUCUUAAUCGUGACUUUAUUAAGUUCACGAUAGUCCACGCACAGGCGAAGUGAUUCGUCCUUUUUCUUGACGAACAGAACUGACGCUCCCCACGGCGAGACGCUCGGUCGAAUGAAGCCCUUGUCCAACAGAUCCUGUAGCUGUGCCCUCAACUCCUUUAGCUCCGCCGGUGCCAUCCUAUAAAGUGUCUUCGAGAUUGGAGUAGUCCCAGGGACGAGAUCUACCACAAACUCGAUCCCCCUAUCGGGUGGCAUACCCGAUAGCUCAGCUAGAAACACGUCCUGAAACUCUCGUACCACCGGGAUAUCCUCAAUUCUAGGGGUAUCAUCUUCGCCCCUCAACACAACACUAGCCAAGUAGGUUACACAUCCACGGCUGAUCAGCUGCCCAGCUCGAGACGAGGUGAUCGACAUCGCAAAAAGCGAACUUCGGCAUCCUCUAAACACAACCUCAGUCUGCCCCGAUUCUCUAAAAGUAACCGUGCGAUUCUUGCAAUCAAUCGUGGCAUAAUACUUGGUUAGCCAAUCCAUACCCAAGACCACAUCAAAAUCUCCAAGCUUGCGCAAAGCUAGUAAAUCUACAGACAUGAUCCAAUCUCCUACCCGAACAGGGCAACUGGGGCAAAACUCUCUAAUAUCCAGAGUGUGGUCGGGUACUACAACAUGUCCCGGAUGCAACAAAGAAACCAAAGGGAUGCCAUGCAACUUGGCAAACAGCCGAUCUAUAAAGGAAUGCGAUGCACCAGUAUCAAAUAAAGCACGAACUCUAAUGCCAUCAAGUAAAAUGAUACCUGCAACCACAUCCUCGGCUGCUGCCGCCUCCUCUGUCUGAGCGACGUACAAACACCCACUCGGGGCCUGUCGAGAUCCCUCGCUCUGGCGCUGGACGAGUGGCCGCCCAGGCUGGUACUGUGCCGAUGGAGUCCCCUGGCUGACGGCUGGUAGAGCCGGUGCCGAUGCAGUCGACGGUGCCGGUGAAGAACCUCUCGGGCACUCGGUACGCACGUGGCCCUCCUGGCCACACUGGAAGCACCUGCCUCUCCGCUGCGGACACUCGGUGGAAUGUGAGGACCACCGCAGAUCACACACUGGGGAGGUCGGCGUCGAUCAGGUCCUCCUCGCAACGCUGCCGAGCCGCGCCCACGCUGCUGGCUCCUAGGGUGCUUCGGCGGCCUCCUAGAGUGCAUCUGGCUCGCACCCUCAGCCGUAGGCCUCUUGGCCUUACCCUUGUCCAUGGACUUUUGCCGCUCCUGGACAUCAGCCGCGCCGCUCUCCACAAUGAGCGCGCGAUCCACCACCUCCGGUAGGUUUGGAGGUUAGAGGAUUGCACAAACCGGAAGAUCGACAGUCGCAACCCUUGCUCGAAGAUGCGGGCCUUAUCCUUGUCGUCCCGCACGACGAAAGGCACGCAAUGAAGAAGCUGAGAAAACUCCCGCUCGUACUCGGCUACAGUCCGGUCUCCUUGGCGCAAGUUGCGCAAGUCCUGCUCCAUCUUCGUCUUGACGCUGGUCGGAAAAUAGUGCGCCAACAGAAACUCUUUGAACUUCUUCCAUGAAAUAGCCACCAAGUCGAUGUGUGUGGCGAGCCAAACUCGAUCUCUCUCCUCCACGAAGGUGUCGCAGAAGAGUUUCUCCAUAUGCAUCAACCACUUCUCCACGAUCCAGUGGUCGACCUUCUCGCCAUCGAAAAUUCGGGGACCGCACCUCCUGAACUCAUUGAAGCGCUCCAUAAGUCGGUCCCGCUCUGCCCCCUCGACAAUAGUACGAAUAACUGUUCCAAUUGGGGGCCUCUGCACAGGUGGUGCCGCGAUAGCCUCCUCCUGAGGCUUGGCCGCUGGAGCUGCUCGCGAAGAACUGGGCGCGGGGGACGGCACUCUCGGCGCGACGUCCACAACUGGUGCUGGCGGUGUAGGGGCCUGAGUCUCCCUGGAAGCUGCCGCCUGCUGUAGAAGAAGGUCUUCCAGGCGCUUCAUCCGCGCCUCCUGUCGACGCGCCGCCUCUAUCUGCUGUCGGGCCGUCUCCGCCUGCUGCUUUACCAAGUCGGUGAGAGCCGCAAGCUGGCUCCUCAACUCUCGGACCUCGCCGGAUCCGGAGGUAGCGGAGGUCUCGACCUCCUCCAAAUUUGCCGCAUUAUCCGCUCCUACAGAAUGAGAGCGUGUAAUCGGCAUCGUCACUACAACGUCAUAAAAGCGUAAGUUAGUAACCCACACUAUCGUAUCCCCGCUCAAGAAGACAAUACGCAAAUCAUGCGAAAGUAAGGAAGUAUCCUUCACUACUAACUCCUGAUGUUACGUUGUCGGCCGCCAACGUAACCCUCCGCAAAGUUAGAAGCUAUACACUUCGAUUUAACUCCAACUUUUUAGAGUUAUCAAGAUACCCAAUCACGAUACUUUCGCUCACAAGUCAAAUGGACCUCGUCUCUCAUGAGUCUAUGUUCUAUAGUCCAACCGGCCAAAGGUUUGCUACGUCCACUAAGACUCAAUCCUAGGCUCUGAUACCAAACUAAUCUGUCACGCCUCGGGACCCAACGGAAGCACGCCCGGCGCGUGCCCAGACCCGCCAUAUGUCUAAAACAUACAAGGCGUCUAAAACAAAAUGAUAAAUAAGGCAAGAAGAGAGAGAACAUCUAGCUAUAUCAGAGCAAAGGGUAUCUAUGAGCUACAAUAAAAGAAAUGAACAUAAGGCCGAAAGUUUACUAGAUAAAAGCAUGAAAUAGUACAAGAAGAAUCCCAAAUACAAAAGCUAAACAUAAAAACAUGGAUGGCCUCUAUACAUGGUAACAAAACUCUCUCUCUCACAAAACCAAAAAGAAGAGAGUGACCACCUAGGAGCAACAGCAAGCUCCGCUAUCUAGCUAUGCGACUCCCUUGCCACGAUCCCGUGCCUCCGCCGGUGCCGAAGGCACUGAAAAGGAAAUAUAGAAACAGGGGCGUGAGAACUAUUAAUUAAUAGUUCCCAGUGGGCAAUUACUGACUUCAGUGAAAAGCACCACUAGGCCCAAAACUAGGCAAGUAAGUAGAAGCGAGUAAAAUAUCGAAAUGAACAACAAGUAAAUAAACAUGAAUGCUGGCUAUAACAUGAUGUCUCUACUUAGCAUGAUUUGCAUAAGUAAGAAAGCUAUGCUAACAUGAAUAAGCAUGAGUAUGCAACCAACAUAAUGUCCACAACAGAAAUAGUAAGAUGUCAUUGUUUACUAUUCUAGUUCAAGUCCACUUGGUAUACCAACUAUUUAUAGUUGCAAUCUUGUAAGACCCACCCGUAGGCUGUCUGGCUUGUGCCUUGCCUAAUGGCCCCGUGGUAGUCAAUAUCCCCACUUUAGGAAUGAGCCUCCCCCACGGCAAUGCACUUCAGUGCCCAAUCCCGCACGGACGAGCAUAUGUCGCGAUGGCUAUCUCUGGAGUGCCGGCUUGCAGGGAGCGACCCUCACAAGCAUGUGCGAAUGAGCACAAGGGCAAGCAGGCGUAAAAUCUGUCUCAAGUCCCAAGUCAUCAUGUCUAAAACAUGGAAUAUAGCUUAUGUCUCAAUGGCCUAUCACUAUGUCAUCGUGUCUAAAACACAGAAUAGUCGAUGUCACAAUGGCCUAUUUCUAUGCCUCUAUGUUGCAGUCCACAGUUUACUACUUCAAGUGCCCCUUUAUGGCACUUUUGUCCACAAAGUCCAAGCAUGAGUUUAGUGUUCAAAAAUACAUAAUUCAAGUCAUUUUCGUCAUAUGAGGCAUGUUCCAAACCACAAGAAGAAUACUACUCACAUGCAUGUUAAGUCUACAUAAGGCUCUACUAUAUAGAGAUGAAUUUUCAUAAUACAUAACACAUGCAUUUUAAGCAUUCAAAAAAUUCACAUAAAUUCUAUCUAGCAUUAAUAUGCAUGCGAUGCGAUGAAACGAAGAUAUUGAACCACUUAGGAGAAGUUUUCUUCUAUUCCAAUGAAGCCAAACCCACCGCGACUUCACGAAACCCUUCGUAUGCUCCGACGAAGGUGCCCACUAGUCUCCUGGCACCCUAAAGAUGUAGGAACAAGAGUCAAACGGACCUUACGAUCAACCCUAAGCUCAAUCAAUGUGGAGAAAAACUCACCUAGGUGAAGAAAUCCUCAAACAAAGCUCAAAUGGGCGCCAAAUCCCUUCCAAAGCAACCUAAUCCAAGGUUCAAAACCCAUCAAUAGAGUUCUAAAAGUCACAAAUCCAAAACCCCCAAAAUAAACCCUGAUUCCACAAUCUAGGGUUUCAUCUAGUAAAAUCUAGAAAACUUGUAUUAAAUGGAGAAUACAAGCUACCAACCUCAAGAGAAGCUCCAAUCCAAGCUCUAAACCAAGUAGGGUUGAAGUUUGAUCCUCCACGAAGCUUCAACCAUGAGCUCCAAGCCACAAAUGCUGAGAUGAGAGGAAGGGGAUGAUGCUCCAAGCCUCCAAGUAAGCUCCUCUCUUUCUCCUUCUUCUUCCUCUUCUUCUCCUUCUUUUCCCCUCUCUAGAGUGAGUGUGAUGGAGAGAAAUGAGAGUGAGAGAAAGAGAAAAGUCCAUAUAAGCCUCCUAUGGUAACAAAAUCCACUUAGAUUCCUCAACUGUGCAAUCUGUGCACUGCUCGGUCUGGGCAGUUUUCGUGCUGGGGGACCGGUCUCCCCGACACCUCGGACCGGUCUCUCGGCCUGCCCCGCAAAACCAACGUUCGAAAAUCGGUCUCUCCCCGCAUGGGACCGGUCUCUCCCAGCGAAAAUGCGCUCGGGGACCGGUCUCAUCCGCAAGGGACCGGUUGCCUUGCAGACUGCCGCAACACUGUUCCGAGGGGACCCGUCUCUCCUACCAAGGACUGGUCCCCGAGAGUGAAAACUCUCAGGACUUAGCCAAAAUUUCAGAAAUCGAUCUUUUAGGUCGGAAUACCAUCUACGACCUUCCACCAAGUGUUGAAAGUUCGGAAUCCAUAUCAAACACUCGAAUCUCGCAAUUUGCACAGGUCUAGUGCGUUACACUCCAUCUCUUCCCCUCUCUUCUCUCGGGUUGAGAAGAGGCCCGAGGCUGUAUUGCCUUCUAUUCCUUUGCCCGCGUCGUCCCGGAGCCCCUGCGUCCGCGCGCCGCCGCUGCAGCUACUGCACCAUGUAGCUAGCUAGGCCGAGCCCAGGCCGAGGUAGGCCGAGGUAGCCCCAGCUCCUUUUCCUCGCGCCGCCGCCGCCUGAGAUCACCCCGGCCACCUUCCCCGGAGCCCAGGCGACCACCCCGGCGGGUCGCCGCCGCCGCCGCCUCGGCUAGCCUGCAGCCGCCCUAGGUCUGCUCGGGCCGAGCAGACCUUGCAUCUCCAUUAUCGCGUCGCCGCUGCCCGGGGCCACCCGUGCCGGCUCCCGUCGACCUCAGACGGCCCCCCGCCCUCGCCCGAGGUGCCCCCGCCGCCGCUGUGGCCGCAACUGCUCUGGAACCCGAGCUUUAGCUAGUACGGGCUUAUCUCUUGUCGCCGUCGCCGCCGCCACUCCCCGCCGCCGAUAUAGGUGAGCACUGUACUCCUCCCACCCCCCGCAGCCACCUCUGGCCCGCGCGCACGUCGCCUUGCCGCCGGAAGCCGGCCGGAGCAAGCUUGCUUCAGCCAAGCCCGAAAUAGGGCUAUUCCUUGGCGGUUUGCUGUUCCGAGCAACCCAAGCCUCCCCAAUCUUUGCGGAAGGGAGCACGAUGAUCGUGGCAAAUUUAUGAUCAUCGUGCUCACCUUAGUUUCUGUCGGGAAGGCUCCGUUCUGCCGUUUCGACGGUGUCGCCCCGUUAGGGCCUUUUUGACUGCUGUUUUGGGAUUGCGCACACUUUUUCGGCGAUCCGAGGCUGUCCUAAUGCCUCUGGAGGUUAGCACGGUGAUCGUUGUUCAGUGCCGAUCACAGUGCUCCCCUCACUUUGGAUAAACAGAGUCCGGUUAGUCCUGUUCGGCGCGAUUUUCCCCAACUGCGCGCUGUUCGCAGAACUUCAGGUUGCUCCCGCGCCUCCUACAGUGAGCCGAUGUGCUCCAAACCAUGAGCAUGGCCUCCGGCACAUCGAGACCUGUCGGUACGUGUCUCGGUGGACCUUGAAACUCCUCGGUUUGCGUGAACGAGCCAUGUUAUCGCCCAAUUUACAUAAAAUAUUAGGAUUUUAUGUAAAUACAAGGGCUUUUGUGCAAUUGUACGCUUUAUGGCUACUGUGGGCAGUGUGUAGGCGUGUGUGGUGACCUCUGGACUGAUUGUCCAUGAUCCGUUAGCUUUUCCGGAAAUCGAAGAGUCGAUUUUGGUGCGUUUUUCGGCAAAAUUCGUCGAAAGAACGCGGUUUCGGUUCGGAUUCUUUCCGACGGUGUUUGGUUGCUUCGUGUUUUGUCGCUGAGCCUUGUUGGCUGGUCACCAUCAUCAUAUUGUGGGUUCGGUGAUGACGGGUGAGCGACGGUGGGUUCCGAUGUCGAAAUAGACACUUCCGGGAACCCGGAUCCGAACAAUUAUCCGACGAUAAUUGUUAGGUUGUGUUACCUUGUGUUUGCUGCCAAGAUAUUCAAAUUGGUGUGUUUUGUGGCAGCGGGUGACUCGUGGUAUGAGUCGGUGAGUUUCGGGACACUUAGUGGGUCCCGACGGCGUCCCGGUGUGGUUUUCGGGACUUCUGGUGAGUUACGGUGAUCGGUUGGGAAACCGAUUAUGGGGAUCUUGUGUGGGGGAUUUGUAAGUCUCGUGCUUUGGAUUAGUGGUUUAGAUACUGACCUCGUGAAUCUUCUUAGGUCCGGUAGACUCUGUGCGUACCCAGUGUUCCGACGCGACAGUGAUAGGUGGGUGCUUCGAGCUGGUAGUCGGUGAGAUCGUUCCACCUUCUCUGUUCUUUCAUUCAGUAUCAUAGUCUCUGCAUGUCUAUUUUGCUUAGUUAUCGAUGUUCAUCUUACCAUAUUGAUUGCAUACUAUUAGUUAUUGAUAGACAUGUAGAGCAGGUUUGCAUUUGUAUUUCAGUAUCUCUAUUGACCUUGGGUCCAGGCAACACAUCGACUCUCUCAUCAUGUGUUUCGAUCUGGUUGAUCGAGAUUCGGCGUUGUACGCCCUAGCAUCUAUCAUAGUUUGGCGUUGUACGCCCUUGUUGUUGGCUUCGGCCUAGACACCGGCUUCAGCCGGUUUUUGUUUGAGCAUACCAGCAUGACUUAGUCACAGCACUUGGAGGUAUUCAUGACACCAGAUCGGUUUGGCCACUGAUCGGAGGUAUACUUAUUCGGAUAGGUUGUCCUGUGGGGCGGAUGGAUCAGGUCGGUGCAGAUUAGUGACAGGCAGCGCUUGAGGUCUGUGGACCGAUAUAGCAGGUACCAGAUUGGGUACAAUUUUGGUUUGUUUACAUUGAGGCAUUCUCGUAUUGUUUCUAUACAAUAGCAGUUUACUUAUUGUUUCUUAUCAUAUCUGUUAUAGCUACUGUAGUUUGUUUUCGUAUAUCAGCAUAUAUAUUCGGUUACCAUAUCUCCUUUGGUUUUCGGUGAUUACGGCUUGCCUUCGUGGCUCUGUCAUACCCACUAGAAAACCAUGGUUGCGAUUUCUCACCCCCCAUUCCCCCUAGGGGACAUGGAUGAGGAGUUAGAUUUUGGGCUCGACGGGAGGACGAUCUAACUAGUCUGGUAUAGCAACUGUCACCCUGGUUACUUUCAUUUCGGAAUUUAGUAGUUUUAAUAAUAAAUGGUUCAGUUAGAUAAUCAUUACUAAUAUUUGAAUGUUCGAAUGAGUUGGUUUUCCUCCUAUGCAUGAGAUUAUGGAUCAGAGAUUAGAGAUUUACGGAUUCUUGGUUUUGGUUUUAUGGAUAGUUGAUUCUCAAUUUAUAUAUUUACGAAUUUAUACAUUGUGGUUUUCUACCCCUCGAGGUAGUCGAAUUUUAAAAUAGAGUUUCCGUGUGGGAAACGGUGUUCAAAAGGUUUUCGAAUUGGUUUUCGUGAAUGUUUGAAUUAGAGUUUUAAAAGCAAAGCUUCCGGGUAGAGAGCUCUUUUAAUAAGAUGAAUGUUGUAUUGUGUAUUGCAUCAUCCAGCGCCUAAGGAGUGCUUAGAUGCAUGCAUCAUCUCUAAGGAUUGCUAGCUGUAUGAAAAUGCAUGGCAUGAUGAUUGUUGAUUGGUAAAUGUAGAUUGUGGUUGAGAUCCUGAUGUAGCUGUUAGUACGCUGUGCAAAUACAAAGGAGACUCUGUCCGAGUAGGCAGAGGAAUUUUGUAUUUUUGGCGGAUCUGUACGUCACGUGGGCCAAGUUGGAAAAAAAAAUGAUACGUUUUCCGCAACUCUGAUUUCAAACAUGGUAAUGGAUUUUAAAAAGGCUUUUAAAAUCGGCCCCGAGGCGUGACACAGAUGGUGUCAAAUUUCAAUCAUCAUGAGACAAGUAUUGAAAAUAGUAAUAUAACGAUGAACAAAGAGGUUAGAUGAUCACAAGAUUUGAUAUAGAGGUAAAAAUGAGAGAAAAAGAAAAAUCUUCUCGAAGACGGUGAAGACGACGGCAAGAUGCCGUCAACAACGAACCGAAAAAAAAAUAAUAAUAAAAAAUAACGGCCGAUGAGGAUUACGGCGGAGGCGGCUACGGAUAACGGCGACGAUGGUGGUGAUCGGAAUGACGAUAUGCGCGCGCAUGUGAGGGGAUGGCGUACGGACGCAAGGUGGAGAGAUGGGCCGAGGGGGGAGAGAGAUGGCAUACUGACGCAAGGUAGAGAGAUGAGUCGAGCGGGGGAGAGAGAGAUAGGUUGGUUAGGGUGCUGUUAGGAGUGGGAAUUUAAAUGUACAAUAUGAUGCCAAAUCCUUCAAAAAUUAAUAUUUACGAAAACGUCCACAGUUUAAAAGAAAAUAGAGUAAAAUAAAAAGGAUAAAGUGCAGGGGUGUUACAGAUUAAUCAUUUUUCAAAAAUUUACAGCAUGAUGCAUUUAUAUUUAGUUUAUUUAAUUAUUUUUAAGAUGAAUUGAGAGAUCUAACAUUGAUUAACAUACUUUAUUAGUGCUACGUUUUGCUUACUAGUAAGUUACACAUUAUUUGUGCACACUUUUCUGCUUACUAAUAAAUUGUCUCUUGUUUGCUUUAGCUAUCUUUUUUAAUAAUUUAAUAAGAGCAUAGUGUUUAUUUUUCGGCGCGAUAGGUUCUAAAUAUUCUUCCCCUUCUAGCAAUGUCAAGAAAAAUAAUUUACUAGUAUGUGUUCCAUAGAAAAAGAAAUUAAUAACUAGUAUGUGUUACAUUGAUUAAUCAUAAGCUGUACAAGUUCAACUAGCUUCAGCUGCUUCAUGUAUUUGUGAUGGUUGUUUUAAUAAGAAUUGAUGUGACAAUACUAGGGUCAGAACUAAUUUAACGAUAAUGAUUGUAUUAAUUUGUAUGUGCACCACACUUUAAAGCAAACUUGCUUAUUUUUCCUUCAAAAAUUUUCUAUUAUCUUAAUAGUUUAUAUAGUGAAGUCAUUAAACUUCAACUAACUAACGAUAAUAUUUACCCUCCGUCCGAAGCGCGGACACUUUUACUAGUAAAAUAUGAAAAGACACAAAAUAAAAUAAAAAAUACACCAAUUGACGAAUAAAUUCAAUUAGCUAUGCCGACAGUUGCAUCAAGUUUUCUCAGGGGAGGCCGCCAGAGAGGUGUAACAACAGUAAUAAUCUUUAGGAAGGACGAAUAGAUUAUUCUUUUUCAAAAUAAGACACCCCAAUUUGCAAUCAACACCAUCAAACACGAUCCAAAAUAUAUGAACGUAUCCGAGGAUUGAAUUUAGUAAUGAUCGCAUAACUAACAAUAAAAAAAAAAAAACCGACCUCAUAAAAAUAGAGGCCACAAGAUCAGAAUUCUUAAAUGUGAUCUAAAAAGUGUUAGGAUUUUUUAUCAAAAGCUCAAAUGACUCGCAUGGUCCUACAAUAUUAAACAAGCGAUCAGCUCAUGUUGACCAUAUAAAUCCUUGAUUUUUUUUUCUUUAUUUUGAUCAUUUUUUUUUUAUAAUGAGACAUCCAUCAGCACAAUCAAACAUGAUCCAAAAUAUAUUAAGUACUGAAGUUCAUAAUUUUUAAAACUCAUUAUCUAGCGCAUCAUAUGACCACAACAUGACGAAUAAAAAACAAAGAACCUUACGAAAAUAGAGGUGAGAUACUCUGAAUAGAAGAUCAGAAUUCUUAAACGUGAUCUAAAAGGUGUCAAGGCUUUUUGCUCAAAAUAUCAAAUGACUUGUAUUGUUAAGCGAGCAAUCAGUUCAUCUUGACCCAAAAAAAAAAAAAAAAAGAAAAAAAAAGAAAAAAGAAAACAACAACAACAACAACAACAACAACAACAACUUGAUUUUUAAGCCUUCUCAACGACCUGGUAAAUGGUCUCUAAAUAUUAUAAAUUCAGUUUACAAAGACACUUCAAAUACUCAAAUGCUAAUAAUUUCUUUUAACUCCCCAUAAUAGCAACUCUUAAAAACAUGCUAAGCUGGAUUCAUUAUAGUAAUUGUGCCUCAGUUUACUGCCAACUAUUUUUAUCGUUUCAGGUGACACUAAAACACAUCGCUAAAACUUGAUGCCUUCCGAAUUUCAUAACAAACUUCUCGGAACCAGCUUAGCUCCUACGCCCACUGUUCACGCAUAAGUUAUUUUUGGUCUUCUUUUCACCUCUGCUUCUAUUCAAAAUUUUCAUUUUUCUUCAAGGAUGACUUCAACUUCUCCCACCAGCCAGUAUGGCUCAUUAGGCUAAUGAAGUUCAGACGUCAAACAUUCACCCAUCCCAUAAUGUGAAGCGCUCUGAUCACUCUGGUAGAUAGGAAAAACCACAGUUCAGUCAGCUCAAUGCACAGCACGAAAAUGCGAUAUAUUCUAUCUUAGAUAAUAAUUAGUGAGAAUUUGCAGACUUAAUUGAAUGAGUUCCCCACAAAACUAAACAGACUGACUGGAAUAAGAUAAACUAGCAUGACUGAGGUUAAGGUCUAGACCUCAACUUCUGAGGUUAUGAUCUGGAAACUCGAGUGGAAUCAGGAGGGGACUGAUUGAGAUCAGACCUGCGUCACAUCAAACCCAAAGCAUUCAGCAGAGUCAUAUUAUAAUAGCACCACCUGAGUUUAAUUACACUGUUCACACCAAUCAAGAAUUUAAGUCAAAUCCAUUAAUGUUUCAAAUUUGUAACUUCAGGUUGCAAAACCGACAACCUUGUUAACACCUGCAACUAAGCUUGCGACUAAAUAAAGGCAUCCUGUUACACAUAUACAAGUUUGGAUUGCCAAAAAAGUGGCUGUCAACAUGUCAAAGUGGAUUGUCGUUUCAGAAAAUCAGUAAUUGAAUAAUGUUUGACCAAAAUGCCUCCAUCUUCACUCACAUACCACACAAGUUGGUAAUGAAAGACACGAAACUGACGUCUACUAGCUAGCUGGUUUUCCAGUAUCUCGUUACAUGGGACACAAAGACCUUACAAAUGAUUAAACACACGACAUGGCUUAAGAAGGUACAAGAUCAAUCUGAAAAAUUCACUAUUAUUUUAAUCCAAAAUUGUCCUCUACCGUGUUGCAAGAUGAUGCCAACCUAGUUUGAAGAAUCAAUUUUGUUGAGGUCGGCAAGCACCCAGUGUAGGAUCAUUGGCGACCAUUAAUACGAAAUUUAGUUAAGUUGGACAAGCACCCAGUGUAGGAUCAUUGGCAACCAUUAAUCGAAAAGCUCAAGUUGUUAGAAUAUGCAACAAAUUAACUUAAAGCACAGAGUCAUAGUGCCGAUGGGGGGUUUUUUAGUGCAAUAGUCUUCUCCUAAAAUUUUAUUCUAAAAAUAAACCUGUUAAAUUUUUAUUUAUAAAUAUGAUCCUAUAAAAGCGGUGAAUGGUUCACCACUAUAUUUCUACGAUGGUAAAAGCGGUGAAUGGUUCACCUUUUAUUCUUUUUCUACUCCUAAUGAGGAGUUAUGAAUGCGGUGAAUCAUUCACCGCAUUUAGAGGUAUAUUUUUAUAAUUAUUUUUUAAAAAAAUUAUUUUUGUAAUUAUAAAAAUCGAUAGGAUUAUUUAUAAAAAAGAUUCGCCGAUGGGUCUCGAUUGUAACUCAGCCCAACCCGAGUUCCCGCCACGAAGCAGGAUGUUGGCCCCUUUAAGCCAACAACCCCUACCCCGAGCACCGGCACAAUUUGCAGCAUGCGAAAAUCGAACACGUGACCUUUGAUUCAGAUACCACUUGUAGGAUCGUUAGCACUAACCAUUAAUAUGAAAAGCUUAAGCUGUUAAAAAGAUGCAACAAAUUCACUUGAAGCAUACAGACAUAGCACGCAAGGAUCUCGAUCGUGACUCGGCCUCCUGCCUCUUCGAACAUGACUCGACCCAAUCAAGUCUCCCGCCAUUUCGAACAUGACUAAGCCCAACCCGUCCUCCUACCACAAGGUAAGAUGCUGGCCCCUUUAAGCCAACACCCAGCAAUUAGAUUAAUUGGGACAAUAAUUGUUUGUCGAUUAUAGCAACUCUAAUGAGUUUAGAUAAGCUGUUACAAUGUGACCUUUUUCAUUUGCAGUCUCAAUGUGCCCGACACACAUGUACACAUGGCUGCACGUGUGCACACAUACGCGUGCACGCAUGUGCACACACGCACGUGCACACACACGGGGAGAGAGAGAGAGAGAGAGAGAGAGAGAGAGGAGAGUUCUUUUACAACUUGCCCCUGGUAAUCCACCUUAAAUUUUUUGGGCAUCCUACUAAAUGACCCACACCAUUAGAGACGAUUUGAAGUGUUUGAAGUUCCUAGAACGAAAAUUUUAAUAAUCUACCAAAACAAUCAACUGAUCUCCAAACAAAAUUUCAACAGCUAAUAUAGGUACUUGUCAGCAUAGAUCUAUAUUAGCCGAAACUUUAUAAGGUCGUAUUUUCAUCUAUACUGAUCACAAUCAGUAAUUUUGGUCCAAAAAAUGAGGAAUAUUGUCAUCUAUUUUAAUAUGAUUUUUACCAUCUUGCCCAUGGACGCACUACAAAAUUAUUUCCAAAAUUAUGACUUUUUGGUGUCUAGAAACUUCAAAUACUGCAAGGGCCACUUGUAUAUGCUAGAAUAAAUUAUCUGCCAUAUCUCCUGCUGUUUGCUAGAAAACAAAUUGUGAGUUGGUAGCUGCGGCAUGAAAAUAUGUCUUAAUGAGUAAGAAAGAUUCAAUUUCUAGGAUGUAAUGCUUGAAACCAAGGAUUGCUCAUGCAGCCCAUGUUGUACUGUGCCAAGGCCAUGCCGGCAUGUGGCACAGGGUCAUGUCGACACCGUAUCAACAAAAUGAUUUUCUUUUUGACUUUUUUUAUGUCCUUUUGAGUCGUUUUGAGGUAAACAUUUUUACGAAGGUCCUUCCUUGCACAUCUACUAACAUUCGGAACAAUUAGUGAUACCUAUUAUUUAAAGAGAAUAAUGAUUAGAGAGAAACUACAAAUAAGAACAUAUCCCCCAAUAUCUUUUUAUCAUUUUAGAUUUUAGUAAAUUUACCCACGGUAGUAUUCCCUUCAACUUCUUACUCAAUUAUGACUAUGUUUUCAUGCAUGUAUUUUCAUAUAUAAUUUUUUAAGUUAUUAAGAUAUUUAUAACUCUAUUCAGACUAAAAUGUAUGAGAUAUAAUACUUGAGCCACUUGUAUAGCCUUAGAGAUAUUAGAAUACCCUAAAAACUAAUUUUUCAUGAAAAUUUACAUUAAAAGAAACCGUGCCAAGGUGUACCUGUGUGUUAGUGCUAUGCCCCGGGCAGCAUGCCACUGGCACAGGGUGGCGUGUGGACAUUGGCACACCCUGUGCCACUGUGCUGGUAUGGGCCAUAUCAGUGGCAUCGCAAUCCUUGCUUGAAGCAGUACAAAAAUAGUAGAAGCAAACACUUACCCACAGGUGGAACACAUCUUCUGAUGCUUGCAGAAUAUUGACAGGCAAACUGAACAAACAUAUCCCAUGUCGAUUGUUUUCUUGUGACAGAAACAUCUGCAAAGGCCAAUAAUCAGACACAGAAUCAAGGGUGGCAAUUAUGCAUAAUAACAUGAAAAUGUCCAGAGAAAGAAUUACAGGAAUACAACCAAGAAUUGAAAUGAAUAACAUUAUGUACGUUCGAGUAUGAAUGGAUUUUCAUAUCCGAUGUCUUACAUUUGAGUAUGAAUAAAUUUUCAUAUCUUAUGUCUCUAAAAUAUGUGUAGAUUCAAACAACUCCUAGAAAUGCUAAUUCUGCCACAUGAGAAGAUAGUUGCGUGAUUAUUUGUUGUUCUUACGAUUCGGACAACUUUCUUCAGCACUUUCUUAUUUGACAAAAGCAAUUGCAGCAGCAUAAUAAUAACAACAGCACACCCCAACAUGUCAGGGUGAAAUACAAGAUUCACUUUACACCAUUUAACUCUUUCUCAAACAAUAAUCCUAAAAAACAUAACUAUCCAUUCUUCACAAAUCCAAUCCAAGUCGGUGUGGCUGUAAUUAUUCAGGUUAGUAAAUUCUUUAUGCUAGUAUAUGUUUGUCUGCACCAAUUUGACAAAUCAGUGGUUAUAAUGCAAUACAAAAGGCAACAAGCUUUAUACUGCAAAGGGGAGACAUCCUGGUUGAUAAGGGUGUGCAAGAAAAAUAAAAUAAAGAAAACCCAAAGAACCAAACCUGUCAGUUGGUCGCUUUUUGUAGAAAACCAAUUCAGUUUCUUUUUAGCUUUAAAACCCAUGCGAUCCAGUUUAGUAACAAAAAAAUUCGGUUUUAAAAUGAUCAAACCAGUUUUGUUUACUAAUCACUAUAAAAUAAUGUAUUUGGCCCUGUUCAGAUGUAAAAAUAAGUUAUCCAUUGAUAUCCUAUUUGAUCUAAUGAUUUUCUAUAGUAAUUGGAAGCUAGGAGUGUUAUCAAAUGUCUAGAAUGGAAUAUCAUAUUCAGCCUUCAAGUCAGGUUUUUUGGAACAAGAUAAAUCACAUCAAAUGUAAAAUAUGUUAUCCUAUCAAAUUAUGAAUGCCAAAACCUUUCGAGGAGCAGGACUCAAAACUCCUAGCUUCCAAUCACAUAAGAGAUCUUCAUGCCGAAUAAGUUAUCAUUGAAUACCUUAUUCUCACAUCCAAACAGGGGCUAGAGGUUUAAAUGAACUGCAGCAGCAGGACCUUAAAAACUGCAGAAGCUAGAGGCAGGGCAGAGUACCAUAGCCAUUUUACUUUAUAUUACUUUUAAAGCAAACCAAACCAAACUGAAUAUUUCGGUUCAGUUUUGGAUUAGGUUCUCCUUUACAUUCGCAUUUUCCGAAACUAAAAAGCCAAAUUCAUUGAAGCAAGCAGUGAGCACCCCUACAGGUUGACCGCUGAGUAAUAUCAAUUUUAUGGUGUCGUAGAAAAGCUUCUUAUCAUUCCAAAAGAAAAUGCGCUGUAGUAUGUCACUAAAAUAAAUAAAGAGAAUGAGUUACAUGCCGAGUAGACACCUUAAAACAUAAGGCAAUCAGAAGAAUAUUUUGGUAGCUUUUUAUAAAAAAAAUAAACAUGGAGAAAUAGUUUUAAAUUUUAUGCUCAUCUAUAAAUUUUGGUUUCCUUUAAAAGAAGAAUGAAUAUAUAGAUAGAUGAAGUACUUCAAUAAAAUAAAAAUAAAAAUGAACGUAACAAAUUCCAGUAAAUCUCCAAUGAAGCCCUGAAUAAGCAUAUCAAAAAUUUUCUAAUUGCUAAAAUUUCGAGAGAUCUCACCAAAUCAAACAAAUGGAAGUUGUAAAAAAGGUAAGAAAAAGCAUGCACAAACAUUAAAUCAAUUGAUUAAUAAGGAAUUAUCACCAAUUAUGAUCUUAUGGACAUGACCUUCUAGAGAAUAUCUAGACCAGACAUAAUAUAAGCAUAAUUCUCUGUGUUAACGCCUCUAGAUGCAUACGAAAUUGUGGAAACCAGCAUAUACAGGAUAAAAUACUAAGUAUGCUAAGAUAUAUUACUUGGCAAUUAUUUUUCUUGAUUUAAUAAAAAAGUGAUUCAGGAAUAACUGCCAUCAAACUCAUAUCCGACGUAAAAACAUUGGGUUUAGGUCUUCAUGAAUCAUUCCUCUUAUAAUUCAACUGCUACAGAAUGAAAAGCUUAAAUCUUCUCUCAUGAUAUUCUGUAAAAAAGAAGACUUUGUACGACCAUACAAGUCUGUGAGGAUUCAAUCAAAAUUUCCAUCUUCUAAAUUCUAAUCAUCAAGAACAAAGUUAACCACCAUAUGACAAAUGGAAAAAUUGCAUGGAAAGGGGCUAACAGAAGUAGGAUCAAAUACGAUGACCAAUAAAUGGGAAGCACAUACGAGGCGCGGAAAUCAACUCCUACAGGUUUAGGCAGUCGCAGAAAACUUCGUGACUGCAAAUCAGAUGCAAAAACUGCCUGCAAAUUUAGUAAAAGAUCGAUAUUAACAACAAAUUAUUUGCAAACACAGAAAGAAUAUUCUAUAAAACUAAAGCCUUUUGAGUACAAAGCAAGCGGAAAACAAAGAUUUCCAAUUUAGUUCUACAUUACUGACAAGUGACAACAACAAUCUUCUGGAAAAAGUAACAACAAUCAUACUUCUCAGAUGUUAUGGAUGCUAGAAUGCAUUUGUUAAGUACAAGGCUGCAGGAAGAAAUAUAAAGAAACCAAGAUUGUUAUGAAGCCAAAUUAAAAAGUUAAGCAUGUUUCGAUGUUGACUUAACUAUUCGAUGUUUGCUUAACUAAAACAAAAGGGCAAAUGCAAGAAUGCAACAACACAUUUCAUGAGUAUGAGCAUUUAUAGUUAAUGUGUUCCUCCUCAUACAGUAGUUUUAUAUGAUCAUAUAGUGAAAACCCUAAUUCUCGAGUUAUGGAUUAUGGGAAUCUAGUUACUAGCAUGUUACAUAUCUCGUGUCAUUGCUUUUCCUCAAGUUGGGCAUUACGCCACUGAUCUUCUAGAACUUGUGGACUUCACAUAAUAAUAGACAACUGUGAGAUCUUGUUAAUCAUAAUUCAUGACUACAGCUUGUAAGAAUCAAAUUGAGCUCAAUGAAACACAUUAUGCUGAGUCGCAUCCCUACGGGCCUUGGCCCUUGCUCAAUGAAACACAUUAUGCUGGGUCGCAUCCCUACGGGCCUUGGCCCUCUGAAGUUAUAACCACGCAGUUGUGCAAUAAACAAACCACCUACAAUUGAGAGCCCAAGUGGGUCGCGUGCAAGUAUCGACAUCCCACUUGGCACCACACAGGCUUGACCAGACCUUGAGUCGGUCGAGUAAAUGGCAACCUUGUAGCGAACUUGAUUUACAUUUGAACAAGUUACUUCAUGUAUCCAGUGCUUGCAUUGAGGCAUAAUAGCACUAUUGUACAUGAUAACCUAGUAUUCUUGUUAGUUGUUAUCGUUUAUUACUGUAAUUCUGUACUAUUGAUGCCUCGAGAAGACCUAAUGGUGUAGGUUGCCCCUUUUGGGGGUUGUAUCCACUGAAAACUAUUUUUAAUAAUUGUCAUACCCGUGUUUUUGUUGUCUUCUUUCAAAGCCUUCUUCCUUCGCACAAGACCGUAGUAGUGGGAUGUGAUGCCCCACUUCCCGAGGGGUCAUCCAUUUUAGUACUACUCUAGCCCUAGCAGUCUUAAGCAUUAGCUAUGUACAUUGGGGUUCCACCACCAAGUCUCGUUCAUGCUGGGGCAAGUGCUAUCUAACUUAUGAUCUCCUGUGAGACCCUUAGUAGUCCUAUAUAUAAGAUAUAAUAAGGUUAAAACUUUUAACCCGGCUAUAGCAUGUUGGGCGGUGGUUAGACCUAAAAUGUUAAGAAGGUUAAGCACGUUAGAACUAGAGUAGUUCUAGGAUGGGUGACCUCUCUGGGAAGUGGGGUGGUUCCCAGCUAACGACUGUUGUGAGUGGAGAGUGGCUUCCUAUAAGAUCGGCUAAGGCUAUCGAGAUGAGUCUCACAUUUUCUGGUGCUUGUAAGUUUCUAAACUCGGCUAUAGCAUAUUGGGCGGUGGUUAGAUCCAAGAAAUUAAGAAGGUUAAGCGUGCUAAAACUGGAAUAGUUUUAGAAUAGGUGACCCCACUGGGAAGUAGGGCAUCAUAGUUGGUACCAGAGCCAAUUACGAGCCGAAAAUGUGAGAUGAGUCUCGGCUGAGUCGGGUUAUACAGCAGGAAGAGCGAGACUCUAAUGUUGAUGACUAUUGUGGGUAGAGUGCGGCUCCCCUAUAAGGUCGGUUAAGACUAGCGAGACGAGUCUCACAUCGCUUGGUACUUGUGAGUCUGAGCUCGACAAUAACGUCAGGACCUAAGGGGUUGAGAAUGUGAGACCUUAGCUAGUCCUAUAUAUAAGAUAUAAUAGGACUAAAAACUCUUAAUCCGGAUAUAGCAUUUUGGGCGGUGGUUGGGCCCAAGAAGUUAAGCGAGUUAAGCGUGCUAAAACUAAAGUAGUCUUAGGAUGGGUGACUCUGAAAAGUGGGGCAUCACAGGUGGUAUCAAAACCAAUUACCAGCAGGUAAUGUGAGAUUAGUCUUGACUGAGCCAGGUUAUACAGCAGGAAGAACGAGGCUCUCAUGCUGAUGACUGCUGUGGCUAGAGUGGGGCUCUCCCACAAGGUCGGUUAAGUCUAGCGAGACGAGUUUCACAUCGCCUGGUACUUGUGAGUCUGAGCCUGACGAGAACGUCAGGGCUAGAGGGGAGAAUGUGAGACCCCAGGUAGUUCUAUAUAUAAGAUAUAAUCGGGUUAAAACUCUUAAUCCAGCUAUAGCAUUUUGGGCGAUGGCUAGGCCCAAGAGGUUAAGAGAGUUAAGCGUGCUAAGGCUAGAGUAGUUCUGGGAUGGGUGACCCCCUGGGAAGUGGGGCAUCAUAGUUUAUAUCAGAGUCAAUUAUCAGCAGAAAGUGUAAGAUAAGUCUUGGCUGAGCCAUGAUUAUAUAGCGGGCAAAGCGAGGCUCUUAUGUUGUUGAUUGACGUGGGUAGAGCGCGGUUCUCCCACAAGAUCGAUUAAGGCUAGCGAGAUGAGUCUCACAUCGCCCGGUGCUUGUAAGUCGGAGCUUGACGAGGAUGUCAGAGCUUAGAGGGGUGGAGAAUGUGAGACCUUAGGUAGUCCUAUAUCAAGGUUUUAAGUGCCCGUCGGCACGGGCUGUAUCCACCGUGCCGUACCGUGCCAACAAGAUAUCGGCACGAUACAGACCCCGUGCUGAUGGCAUAGCUCAAAACCCUCUAUUCUUUAAAUUAGUAAGUAAUUUCCUCAAUAAAGUUCAAAAGAUGUGACAAAAAGACAUAAUAAAUACUUAGAAUAUUUUGUUGCUAAAGAAAAUAAAUAUUUCAUUCUAUUAUGUGUCAGCACACAAGAAUUUUUUUGACCGACAUGCAUCGGCACGGCUCGGCACGCACCGUGCCGUACCGUGCCGGCAAGUUUCCGGCACGACCCUAUGCCACGGCACUUAAAUCCUUGUCCUAUAUAUAAGAUAUAAUAGGAUUAAAAUUCUUAACCCGGCUAUAGCAUGUUGGGCGGUCCCUGGAACCCUAAGAUACAUCUAGUACGUUAUAAUAAGCAAUUACAAUUGUUAGGCCACCCAAGUCUACCUAGCUAGGUCUGAUUAUGAAACAAAUCAACAAUUAAGAUUCAAAUGUAACCCAUAAGCAUUAACAUGGAGGAUUUCACAUGACAACUUUAAUUAUAUUAUUGUAGUAAGUCCUUAGAAUAUUUUGCUCAAUCCUUCAUAUGUUUGUUUGCAUUUAAUUAAUUGUGGAUAUACUUGCAUAAUUCCAUGAAUCCAUAUGUUGUCUAUAACACGUGACUACAAAGUGCUUUUCAAUCAUAAUUAUUCAAGUACUUGGGUGUUACUAGUAUCAUCGAAGUUAUUAGGCUUAUUGCAUUAGAAGUACUUAUUAAUUUUCUUCCUGGCUUAAACCUACCGGCAGGAUUUGGGUGCGCAUGAGCGAGCAAAAGUAGCUAGCCAGCAAACUCAGCCCUUUUCAGAGAAACUACUAACCAAAUACGUUUGGAUAUGUAAUAAAGGAUGGAAUGCUUGUGUGACAAUGGGCAAGUAAGGCAUCCUAAUGGCAUGCUUUGGCACGACUUUAUUUUAUUUUUGGUUGGGUCCCGAUAAGAUCUUGUAACAAGGAUUUAAGAACUGUGGCACAGGGUCGUGCCAAAAAUUUGUCAGCACGGUACAGCACGAUGCAUGCCGGACCAUGCUGAUGCCUAUCGAUCACAAAAAAUACAUGUGUGCCAACACAUAAUUGUAUAAAAUAUUUAUUUUCUUUAGCAACAAAAUAUUCAAAUUGCUUAUUAUGUAUAUUUAUUAAGUCUUUUUGAACUUUAUUAAAAAAAUUACUUACUAAUUUAAAAAAAAAGAGAGUUUUGAACUAUGCCGUCAGCACGAGGAAUGUAUCGUACCGAUAUCCAUAGAUACGGCAUGCGCCGAUAGACACUUAAAUCCUUGUCUUAUAAUGUUAUUUUGAACCUUUGAGGGUAAUAAUUAUGAAUUUUGGCUAAGUAUUGAUUUUUUCUUAAAUUUUUCAUGUAAAUUGCAAGAUCUAUCCAUAUUGAUUCGACAAGGAACCAUAUUAUGACUAUAUUACCAAGAAUAGAACAAUGAUUGAUCCAUUAACUCCUAUUCAUUUUUAAAUUUUUUUAAAAAUAUUUAUUUAAAAAUUUGAAGAAAAUUGUUUUCUCUUAAAAUUUGAAUAAAAAAUUGAUAGAUCUAUCCAUGAAAAUUUCUUCAACUUAUCUUUGAUUUUUAGAAGUUUGAAAGUUAAAACUAUUUUCACCGUGCAAAACACGAGAUUUAUCUAAGAAAAUUAAAAAUCAGACCAUAUAAUUAGUAGAUCAAGUGCAUCUAUUCUCAUAUUUUUGUAAACUUUAAAUGAAAAUUUGUGAAAUUUCAUAUUUCUUCAAAAAAACAAAAGCUUUACAACCUUUAAAUCUCUAAAAUCUAUGGGGAAAAAGUUGAUUUAUAAAUUAUUUGACUUAGUUGAUAAGUAGAUCCAAAAUUUCGAUCUUUCCUCUUCAGAUAGAAGUGGUCAAAGAGGAAAUUAAAGGGAUUGAAAUAAAAAUAAAUAAAUAAAUUAAAAAUUACAAGAGGAGAGGGAAAUAGAAAAUUGAAAGAAAACAAAUAGAGAAAGAAAUAUGAGAAGAACAGAGAAAGAAAGCAGAAGAGAAGAAAGAGGAAAGGAAGAAAGGGAGAGUAAAUAAUAAAAAAAGGAAAAAAUAAAAGGACAAAACAAAAAGGUAUGCUGCGUGCCCGUGAUUCGUAGACAUGAGCACGCAGCAUGCAGUGUUGUGAUACCAACAGGGUAUCGCAUGAGACAACAUGAUACCCAUUGGGAAUUGUGGUACGGACGUUCUCGUUAUUGAAGGGCACAGUAUGGCACAAGGCAGCACUUUAAUCUUUAUUUUUGACAUUGGAUUACAUGUCCUCAUCUAUCUAUAUACAUAUAUGAAUUUAGAGUCAAGAGCCACGUGAUACUCUCCCUAUAAUCCUCUCUCCUCUCUCCCAUUCUCAACUAUGAGAAAUCAUUGCAUGCAUCAUUUCUCUAAACAUAUGACAUGAGUCAUUCUAAUUUUUUAAUAACAAGUAUAGUAAAAUCAUAAUGGAAUUUAAAGAUAUAGGGUAUAAGAUAUAAUUUAUACACUUGGUGGAUAAAAUAAUUUCUUAUUUACUACUCUAUGGUGCUCAUUGCCAUUUUAUAAUUUCUUUCUCUAAUUCUUUUUCACAAUUGACUUUAAAAAAUAAUUUUAAUUACUAAUAGAAAAUUAAAUCUAAUUACUAAUAGUUCUUCAUUUCUCCUACACUUUCAUUUUCUUUCCUAGCCAACUUUAUUUAUGUUUUAUUAAAUAUAUUAUUCCUUAUUUUACAUAUUUAUAAUUUUAUAAACUUAUCUAAUUAAUUAUGAGCAUACAAAUCUUUUAAUACAAAUAUUGUGAUAAAAUUGCUUAAUGAAAUGUUAUUAAUAUAUUUUGAUCUCAAAUAAUGAAGCAGGUGACACUUUAGUCCUCAAACUUUAAUUAAUUACAACUUUCAGGUCGAACUAUGUGGUAUGUGAUAUUUUGGUCCUCAAACUUUUUAAAUUGUAGCAAUAUCCUAUUUGAUGAUGUAACAAUAGUUAAAAUGCAAUAUUACUUUGAUAUUAGUAAUUCACCCAUACUUAUUUAAAAAUGUUAGGUUGUUGGACGGGAUCGGAACAAUUCAGAAAGUUCGAGAAGUAAAAUGUCAUCAUACUAUAUUUUAAUGAUUUUAAUCAUUUAAUACUCAUAUUAUUAGUCAUUUACUAAUACAUAUAUCCUUAUUAAUUAGUUAGUCUUAUUAAAAUUUAUUUCACACGUGUACCAAUAUAAAUAAUUUUUAAUUAAAUUAGUAUAAUUGCACGUGGCAAGUGCACAAUUUCUACAAAUAUAGCACAUGAACCGAUCUAUUUUUAUAAUAAUAAAUAUAGUAAAAUUAAGGCAUGAAUCAAUAUGAGCAUGGCACAUCUCCAAUAAAAAUUGUGCCAAUAAAAAUAAAUUUUGGACGCACCCAUUGCACUGCAUCAAAGAUAAAUUUCUGUAGUACAAUAAAUUAUUUAAGCAUUUUAUAUUAGAUAUAUUAUAUCAUAUUAUAUUUUACAGUAUUAAUUAUCAAAUACUCCAUCAAUUAUCUAAUAUUAUGAACGGUGUAUGUCGCAUUGGAAUGCACUAGGUGCAAGCAAAGAUUUCUAAUCUCUCUUAGAAUUAUGUGUGUACCGUUAUAAGCAUUUUCUACACCGGAUGUAUAUAUGUACAUGCACCACACAUUUAAAACCCUUUAAUAGAGAUUUUAAAAUUAAGUCAUCAAACAUUAGAUUUGUAGAUCAGGUAUAUUUAAUUAAAUUUUGAUAUUAGAACGUUAGUCAUAUAAUAUAAGUUGCGGUAUAUGGAGUAUGAACAUACACCAGGUGCAUGUAAUAGUUUCUUUUUUCCCCAAUCAAUUUUACCUAGGUAAAGACACCUCUACCUAUUCUUCAAUUUGAAAUAAAUCCUCCAACUUUAACUUUUUAGUUAAAAAAAUUAUUUAUAGAAUAUUUAUCACAACUAUUAAGUUUGAUUGAAUUUUUAAAUAAAAUAAUUUAAAUAAUUUAACUCUAAAAAUACUAAAGUAAAUAAACUAUUAAUAAAAAAAGAUUAUUCUUUAUAAUAUACAUAAGACUACUUAAUAGAUAGACUACUUAAUAGGUUUUUUUAUAUCUCUUUAGUUAUAAUUUUCUCAGUCCUAAAAAUUAAAUAACUAUAUAUCUCAAUUGGUUGAAAUACUACCUACCCGUCACGAAGCGCGGGCCCUACACUAGUGAUACAUUAAAUAAGUCGGUAAGAACAACUGCAUUAUCUUCGUAUAUGUCGUUCUAGGCUAGUUAAAGAUGCUCGCAGCCCUAAUGCAUCAGGUCUAGUGACAUUACUUUGGCAGAAAAUGUAUAUAGGUUUAGGAAAUUAGUAAUGAAAUGUAUAUAGCAGUGCACUAUACUGUAGUACAGUAAUUUCACUAGGCUUAUAUUUUUGUGCUAUCAUUUGUAGGUUUCUUUAUUGCCUAUUGCAACAGAUUACUUUUUAGUCAGUCAUAAUAUUGCAUUUAAUUCAUUUCUUUGCUGCAAUUUAUGUUAUACAAUACUUCAAUAUGAUCUUCCAAUUAAUGCAACAAAAAAGUCAUAGAUUAGCUUCAGAGUUUCAAUUACUCUGAAGAUGAAUCAGUGAGAUUAUUUAAUUUUUCGAUCAACGCAUAGCAACAUAUAUUGCGAAAAGACCCAAAAAAAAUGUUCUAAGAGGAGCUCUUCAAACUAUUAGUUACUCCGAGAAUAAAUUGCUAAAACCAUCCACUUCUCCUGUCACCACCUCUUAGCCACAUAUACUUUAGAACAACAAAAAAACCAAGAAUGCUCUAUAAGGAAAUUCUAAACACAAAAGUCUUCCUAAGCCUAUCUAUCACAACAGUAUACAUUUUAGAUCGAAUAGAUCCAUGUUAGAGCUCGUUAAAACAAAACAAAGCAGUAACAUGCUGGAUUACACAAAUUAUCGAGCCAAUUAAGAUUUUUUCCCCUAAAUGUGCUUAAAAUUAUUCUGAACCUGGACGUUAUUUGAUAAAUACUAGAAAUACGUAAAGUCUUAAUAAAUAUAGAGACCGCAUUACUAUUGUUAUGGUAUCAAUUCUCUUCUGUAAAGCUGUUUCGAUAAGUGAAGAAACAGUGAAACAACAUUAUUAGAGUUAUCCGAAUAACAAGUCCAGUGGCGGUUGUCUCACUAAAGGAUAUCAAGUAUUAGUUUUAGAGUAAGAAAAGAAAACCAAAAAAAGACCUGUUGUUCGCAAUAUUAGUCAACCAAAUAGUGCACAAAAUUCCUAACAAGCACAAGCAUUAGCAUAGAUUCAAGGCUACAGACAUUUAUAGCAUACAGUACAAGGAGACGGCACAUCAUCAAAACUUUACGACAUAUUAUUCUUACUUGGUAUGAAAAAGGUGUAUAAGAGUAACAGAUCAAAUUAAAACAACAAUAUAACUUACUGCAAGAUAUUGGAAUAGACCAUCCAGAUGUUGCGGCUUCAAAUAAACUCCACCAGUAAUAUACGAAGCCUGCAAAUCAAUUUAUUAGCAUUACUCAUGCCCACAAUAUAUGGAAUUAUAAUUGAUUUAAAAAAAUUAUCGAAACGCAAUGAAAACAAUUAUCUAAAAUCAACAAUUUAAAUGUUGUGGCAUGGGGUCGUGCCGAUAACUUGCUUUCAUGGUAUGGCACGGUGCAUGUCGUGCCAAUGUGUGCCGGUCACAAAAUUCAUGGUAUGACACACUAUCAAGAAAUAAUUAUUUUCUUUAGCACCAAUAUUUUGUAAUUGCUAAUUAUAUAAAUUUAUCAAAUCUUUGACACUUUAUCAAAUCUUUGGCACUUUAGAUAACUGCUUGUGAAUUUCAAACAGAAGAGAAUGUUGGCAUCGGCACCGGGGUUGCACUAUGCCGAUAUCUUGUUGGUAUGGUACAGCAUGGUGGGCACGGCCCGUGUCGAUGGGCACUUAAAAUCUCGUCAAAAAGUAACAAGCAUAUACCUGUUGCAAGAAGGCAGAAUGUUGAGGUCCCACAAUGCACGAAUCGAUAGGAACCUAAAAGUUACAUUUGACGAAAUGAAUAAUCACCAUUGUUGAAAAUGUAAAAGUAGAAUAAGUGAAGAGUGGAUAUAAACAGAACCCUGGAAAAAUUGUGCGCAAAGAAAUCAUGUAAAAUAAGAACACUUGCAGAUUCCAAAUAAGGACUACCACUAUCCAAGUCCUAACAUUAUAUAGAAGAUGCUACUAUCAUUAUGGCACACGUGCAUUGACUAUCGAGCAUUAAUAAGGAUAUAAUACUUGUGGAACAAGCUAUUGUUGGCAAACCUCAACAGAGCUCAUGCAAUAACACAAGAGUGAGUGCGCGCAUUCAAACAUUCAUGCCUAACAGAGAAACUAGAACUGACCACUGUAGAACUGAUAAAGCUCUGCACAAGAGAUAAAUCUAGUCUCAGGUUGUUUACUGCUUUAUGGUUAGACUAGGAGGAAUUUGCUUACAUCAUAAGCUUUUAUUGAGUUUCUAGCUUCUACUGUUUGAAUAUGAAAUGGAGGGAACUAGAAGGGAAUGCUUUAUGGUUAGACUGGGAAGGAAUUCUCUUACAUUAUUAGUUUCAAGUGAGCUUCUACCAUUUGAAUAUGAAUAGUGGAUCUUAUUUACAUUCUUACCAUGGCAAAAGGAGGGAGAAAGGGGGAGGGAAGAAUUAUUUUCUGUACCGAUGCAUCACCACAUCCAUCCAUCGCAAGCUGAAUUAAGUAUGAAGAUCUUCAUAUCAUAUAAUUGAUCUACAAUAAAUAAAAGGCUUAUUUAUAAGUUUUGAACAUUUCGCUUAAUUUUAGCUUUUAGUGCAUAAUGAUUUUAUAGAAGUAUAGCAAAUAGCUUCACCUCUCCUUCCUCUCUAUUCAAGUGGGCAUGGUUUUAGUGCACUAAUAAUGUGGCAAUGACUGGAAUGUCACAUAAUUGCCAUGUUGGCAAUUUUUUAGCUCCAUUAGAUGGAGCCUAAUGGUGGGACUUGAAUACAGCACUUGCAAAAGUUUUGAGACUUCAAAUGGGCCUAAAGUUUAGGGACCACAAGCGACCUUAUUAUCUUGAGGCGAUCUGUAUAAUUUACCCUUUGUUUUCAGAACUUGAAUUCAACCACUAAAAGACUCCAUUCCUUAAUCUUUCAUGUCCCAUUUCCAGAACUGUUAUUACUCUGAUAUCCUAGAAAAAUUCAGUGAAAACUGGAUUUCGUUUGUCUAAGGUUUUAUAGAUUUCUAAGAUUAAAUUUGGAUUUGAUCAAAUCGUUGCCAAGUCUAUCUAACAUUCUGACUUGAGAUCUAACAAAUAAGCUCCUCCAUCUCUCUUCACAAAACAUUGUAAUGGACAUAGUCUGCAAUUAUUAAAAAUGCGGGAGAAUGCUACCAAAGUUAAUAUUCAUAAAGAGAUCAAAGGCAGAUAAGGCUUUGAUACUUUUAUGACACUCUUCAAUUAUUGUGGGAGAAGGGAUUGAGAUAUUGAUUAAUGAUGAGAACCUUACAAAGAUAAUCCAACAACAAAAUAAAUAUUUUGAAAAAAAGAAAACAUAAAUGGGCGGAUGCAUAGUCAGUUUAAUUGUAUAAUUUCGGGGACAGAAACAAGUCAGCAUGCUAGUAUUGCAAAUAGUAUGCAUCAAUGAUGCAUAGUCAACUUACUCGUAGCCAUAACACCUUUAAGCUAUACUCUAGUCAAAACUAUAUUGGUCUCAAAAUGUCUUGGAGAAGAUGAAACAGGGCAUGAAUGUCAUGGUUGUAGUGGUUGUCAAGGCCUUACUUUGUAAGAACUUUCCCCACCCAAGUUAGCAAUAUAAUUCAAAAAACCAUUACAUGUAUAUAAAAUUACAUAGAAUAAUGGCAUGAACUAAGCCAAGUAAUAAUGACGACAGGUUACCUCGGUACUGAAAUCUAUGCCAAAAUAGUUGAGAAAAAUAUUUACCAAAAAUUAAAGAAAGUAAAUUGUGUAUCAGUUCUAUGAGAUAGUCGAGGCAUCAAAUUAAUAGAUAGAACCAAUGUAUAUUAAACUGUUAAAACAAUUUGGGAGAUAUUUCCAUGAUGGACGGCCCAUAAUAAGCUAACCCAAGUACUAAUCUCUUGCCAUAUGCUGAAUUCAUAAAAUCCAUUAGAGCAGAUUUCCACAAUAGAAGAAAUGUUAUUACCCCUAGCUGUUCGAUUUAGUGUUGAAAACUAAACUAAAAGUAUAAAGAUCACUAGCUGGUUCAGUAGUUUUAUCAGCACUUACAGAAUCAUCUAUUGAGGACAGUUCAGAUGACAAAUGAAAAUCAGGAAAUUAUAAUGUGAUAGGUGACAACUCUGUUAGAGUUCUAGAUGGUCCUAUUAGUUACCAUAGAGCGCUGAGCUGAAAAUAUUGCAUUCAUUACUGCUACAUAUCUGCAAAUUCACCACCACAUAUUUGAAGUCAAACAAGUCAUCAACAUUGCAAAUAGAACAAUUCCGUACAUACUGUUCAGGUCCAUCUGGAGAACCCUGCAGGCAUAAAAUCUGUCUCGUAAUGUUAGUAUAGCAAGUUUCAAUAAGCAUCAGUAAGUUUACAAUCAGAAAAAUGAAAAAAAAACACAAGAUAAUGUUUUUCAUUAUAAACGCAAAAACGGAUGGAAUGAUUAUCUAAACCCAAAAAGUUCCUAGAAUCUCAUUUAAGCCAUUAAAAAUGGGGCGAUGUUCUUAUCUUAUGUAUUCUUCAUAUAAUUUAUUCAAUCAAGAUUUCAUUCAUACCAAAGCUAUAUCAAGUAGGCCUUAUCAUUGUGAGAAUUCUUUGAUCAGAAGGUGUAAAGAAAGUCUAAUAACAACACAAACAAAGCUGACGCCAAAAAAAGCAUGAAAAAUUAGUAUAAAUAAAUUAGGCAGCAGAAUAAUUACUCGAGGCUCGGGAUGGCGAGCACCAGAUCGGAAAACCCUUUGUAUAUCUACAUUAUUUCGAAUCAAAGAAACAACAAAACCUUGCAAACCCAUUUACACAGAGAAAGAUACCAACUUUAAACAAACAUCUGAAAAGGAUACAACAAAGAGCUAUGGAUAGCGAGCCUGAAAGGAGUGACGAUAUGCCGUUACCCCCGGCAGCCGCUUUAUCAGAUCCCUUUGCCAAGCGGGCAUCCUUAGUGACGAAAUUCUCCAGCCUAUUAAGGAUGGUGGAGGAGAUGGCGGCCACAUUCGCAGCAUCAAUAGAGUUUCGUCCUCCUGCUUCAGCGGAGUCAUAUAUGUAGUCGCAGGAGUUGACGCCGGUGGCAAUGAGAACCACUUGAUUGUGUUGGUUGAGGAGGAGAAGAGAAUUCAGAAAUGGAAUGACCUAGGGGUGAAAGAUAAUUCAAUUAAAAAGGAAGAGGGUAUAAAAAGAGAGAAGAGGGUGCAUAGGACAAGUACUUGAUUGAGAAAGUUGGAGAACGGGAGGUUGCCACUAGUGGAGGCAGCCCAAAAGAAGGGGUUGGUGUCGAGGAGGACAACAAUGAGGCUGACAUCAUCUGUGGCCAUUUAAAUAUAAAGAGAGAGAGUAAAGGAAUUAAGACUUACCAAGAAAGAGAGAGAGAGUAUAGGAACUAAGACUUACAGAGAGAUAAAUGGAGAGAGUAGAGUGUCAGAGUAGCACAUACCCGAGUAUAGUUUGGAUUGGGCAGCUGUCAUGACUGAAGCCUAAUGCGGAGGCUUGGCAGCUACAGGGCAGUGUUUGAAAAUGCCCAAGGUGUACCAAGGAACAAAGGGCUUUAGAGCCAGGCGCAAGCCGCAGGGGUGCACCUGAGAGAGGGGAGAAGCAUAACUCUUUAAAAUACUUUCUAACAAUUGUUAAAUGGCACUAAAGACUCUUUAAAAUCAUAUAAUCACAAUAAACAUUUUAUAAAUAACCAAAUAAUCAUGUUUCCAAAAAAAAAGAGGAAGAGAAGAAAAUAAAUCAAACAACAUAAAUGAUAAUGUUAAAAAAACAAAAUAACAUGUAAAAAGUAAAGAACAAAAUACCUUGAUGUCUCCAAAUAAAGAUUGGCAUGAAGUUAACAAGAAAUGUACAAACAUAUAGGAAACUUUUUAUGUCAAAAACAUAUGAAUUAUAAGUAUAAGAUCAUCAAAAAGUGAAAUGCAUAACAACUUAAGUUUCGGGGCAAAGAUCAUUAAAAGGGCAUCAUAAAAAAGUUAAGGUCCCAUGUGAUAUUGCUACCAUUUUUUAUUGGCUAAAUUACAAAAAACUCUCCUAUAAAUAUCCCUUUUUUCACUUUCCCUCCCUAACUUUCAAAAACCUACAUUUUACCCCCCUCAACAUUUCAUUAGCCUCCCUCCAUCAAGUUUCCAUCACUAUUCUGUCCAUUUCUUAUAAUUUAUCCCGGAAAUGUACCUCAAAGUGACAAAAAUGUAAUAAAAAAUUAUUUUUUUUCUUAUAAAAGAAGGUAAUUUGGUCAUUUUGCCCUCUCCAUUAAUGUCGUACGCCCCUAAAAACAAUAUCCUAAAAUUUUAAAGAGGCAAAACAUAGAUCUUUGAAAGUUCAGAAGGAAAAGUGAAAAAGCGGGUACCUACAGGGGGUUUUCUAUAAUUUAGCUUUUUUAUUUUUUUAAACACUAACUCUAUAUAAUUUGAUAUGUUGGAAGAAAGAUUUUUCUUUUGUUGUUAUAGUUAGUUGGUUUAUAGUGCAUUCGGUUAAGUGACAGAUGACAACCUUUUUAAAAAAAAUUUGGAAGCAAAAGGGAAUUAUUUUUAAGCUUUUACUUUUUGUUGCCAAGUGAUUACUUUCAUGAAAGAAUUACAAGCAAUCCACUGCCGACUCCUACACCUUAUAAUAUAAAAAAUUCUUUUUAAAAAAUAAAAAAAAACCCGAUAAAAUCGAGGCCUAAGUGUUCGAGGCUUCAAGCCAAAAUAAGUCACACUAGAAAUGUUAAUUAGUCUUCAUUCAUCAAUCAUCAUCUCUACCCUAUUCGCCCAAUUCCCAAAUAAUAUGCGAGAGAGAAAGAGAGAGAGAGAGAGAUGAACACCUAGGAGGUGGCACCGUGGCAGAGGAGUCGGCGGGAGGGGUAGAGGAAAACCAAGGACAGGGGAUAACCGGAGGAGGUGACGAAGGAGGAAAGGAGCAAAAAUAAGCGAGAGAGAGGGGGAGUGGGAGAAAGAUCGAGAAACGGAGCGAUCGAGAGAGUUCUACAAGGGCAACCGGACCAAACCAUAGUUAAUUCAAAUUCGGCAAAAAUCGGUACGGGUACAAUACGAAUAAAAUUCGUAUCCUAAUUUUUAAAUUCGUUGAAAGAUACAACUAAAAAACAAAUUCGGCAAUUAUUCAGAUACAUGAUUUAUACAGAUACUGUACGUUCACCAAUUAAAAAUUCGGGAUCAAAAAUUCGACUAUUAAAUUAAGUUUUUUUCCUCUAGACUUAUGCUAUUAGCAUGAAUACUCAUAAUUCUUAAGAAUAUAAAAAUAAAGAGCUACAAAAUUAAGCAGAUUAAGUAAAAAAAAAAAUAGCAAACUGUAUGCCCCACAAUAUGUAAAUAAUCAAGCAAAUAAAAGAUAUAUAAAGUUCACAAUUCCACAUACAAGCAUACAUAAAAGCUUGAAUAAACAUAAAACAUUGGUUCUGAGUCUUGGUUCUGAGUAAUUAACCCCACUCCAUUGGUUCCGAGUCUUCAGACAACAGCAAGCAAAUUAAUGGAUGUAAGUAUGUAACAACAGCUUAAUUAGGACUAAUAUGGAAAUCUGGAGUUUAGAGGAAGAGAAGGAUGUUUUGGGUGAAAGAAAAACACAACAGCAACAGUAUCAACCAUAUAUAUAUAUAUGAGAGAAAACUGUUAUAAAUAGAAAUCAAAAUUAACUAGGGAGAAAAAAACAAUAUUGCUAGGAUUCUACAAAUUUGGCACUCAACAUGCAGAUAAUAGCAAAUAUUAACUACACUCAUAGUCAUGGAAAAUAUGAAUUUGUAGUUCUGUACCAGAUGAAGCGGUCGUGCGGCAGCGGAACUCGGAACCAGAUUGCGAGUGGUGCGCGGCCUCACGGGGGUUCCGAACUUCCGAUGCUCCGCCUCGCGGGGGUUCCGAUGGCGAGCGGUGCGCGGCCGGGGUGGUACCGAACUUCCGAUGCUCGGCUUCGCGGGGCGUUCCGAUGGCGAGCGGUGCGCGGCCCGGGGCGAGAAGGGUUCUAAAGAACCCGAUCUUGGAUGUCGAGCGUCGUGUGGCCCUGCGGGAGCUUCCGAUGGCGAUCGGCGAGCGGCUAGGGCAGGGGCGAGAAGCUAGGGCAAUAAAAUUUUGAGCGAGUAGGUGGUUUUUNNNNNNNNNNNNNNNNNNNNNNNNNNNNNNNNNNNNNNNNNNNNNNNNNNNNNNNNNNNNNNNNNNNNNNNNNNNNNNNNNNNNNNNNNNNNNNNNNNNNCGUUUUGGUGUUUUGGUCCUUUACGAUUCUGUCGAAGUCUUGGAUUUCGAUCUUCAAUACCUCCACUUCGGACUUCUUCAAGACUCCGACUCGACCCACGAAACUUGCCAACACAUAGGACCUAACAGGUUUGUGUACCGGUACACCACCCACGAAAAGCCAACUCGAGCCUCGGGUUUGCUUGGACAUAGCCUGUGUACCGGUACACGGGCCCGCGUACCGGUACAACCAUCACCGCGUACUGGUACAGCCAUCAAGCCCGUACCGGUACACUGCCCUCUGAAGGCUACCCGAGAGCUAGCCAAAAAUCCAACUUUUUGGAUUUUGAUGCAAGGUUUUAAACCACCAUUCUCGGGACUCGAACCAUAGGUCGGAACACUGUCGACGACCCACCAGAAAAUCUGGAAAAGCUCAGAACACAAUCAAUCACUCGAACCCCACAAUUUGCGAGGUCCAGUGCGUCACAUUCACCCCUCCUAAAAAGGAGUUUCGUCCGCGAAACUCAAAAGCAAAGGCAUACCUCAAGGCUCCUUCAGAAAAAGAUGGGGAUAGCGCUCCUGCAAAGCGCUAUCCAGCUCCCACGUGGCCUCGCGCUCUGCGUGGUUGCUCCAAAGAACCUUCACAUACGGAAUAUCCCGAUUCCGCAGCUUCUUCACCUCGUGAGCCAAGAUCUUCACGGGUUGCUCCUCGAAGCUCAAAUCCUCGCGCAGCUCCACUGGUAUAGCUUCCAAAACAUGAGUUGGAUCAUGAAUGUACCUUCGAAGGACCGAUACAUGAAAGACGUUGUGCACGCCCGAUAGGUUCGGUGGUAGAGCAAGUUUAUACGCUACCGGGCCUACACGCUCCAAAAUCUCAUACGGUCCAAUAAAACGGGGGCUCAACUUUUCCCGAAUCCCAAAUCUCUUUAUCCCUCUAGUCGGCGAGACCUUCAAGAAAACAUGGUCUCCAACUUGGAACUCCAAGUCUCGCCGUCGUCGAUCAGCGUAGCUCCUCUGUCUACUCUGCGCUGUCAAAAGUCGCUCCCGAGCAAUUCGAACCUUGUCCUCAGCUUCCUGGAGCACAUCAGGGCCUAAAGCCAGUCUCCCGGGGUGGUAUAGUAUAGUGACAUCAUAGUUCUUCAGCAACUCUAACGACCGCCGCUGUCGCAUGUUCAACUCUUUCUGGGUGAACAAGUACUUCAGACUUUUGUGAUCAGUAUAAACUUCACAAUGUUCACCAUACAAGUAAUGCCUCCAAAGCUUUAGCGCGAAAAUCACCGCGGCUAACUCGAGGUCGUGAAUCGGGUAGUUCUUCUCAUAACUCUUUAAUUGGCGCGAUGCAUAAGCAAUGACUCGCCCAUUUUGCAUUAACACACACCCGAGACCAACAUAAGAGGCAUCACUAUACACUACAAAAGUCUCCCCCGGAGUCGGCAAGGCAAGCACCGGGGUUGACGUCAACCUGUUCUUUAACUCCUCGAAGCUCCGAUCGCAAUCGUCGCUCCAAACAUACUUUACUCCUUUAUGCGUAAGGCGCGUCAGUGGAGUGGUUAUCUUGGCGAACCCCUCCACGAACCGCCGAUAGUAGCCCGCAAGUCCGAGAAAACUGCGGACCUCCGCUACAUUCGUUGGGCAAGGCCAAUCCUUUAUUGCCUCAACUUUCUUCGGGUUUACCGACACUCCGUCGCCCGAUAUCACAUGACCCAAGAAUGUGACCUCCUUUAGCCAAAAGUCACAUUUCUUUAACUUCGCAUAGAGCUUCUCCUGUCUGAGUAUCUGCAACACAGCUCUCAGAUGCUCUUCGUGCUCCUCUUCACUUUUCGAGUAAACCAAUACAUCGUCUAUAAACACCACGACGCACCGGUCUGACAAUGGCCUGAAGACUCGAUUCAUCAAGUCCAUAAACGCUGCCGGGGCAUUAGUAAGCCCAAACGGCAUUACCGUGAACUCAUAGUGGCCAUACCGCGUACGGUACGCCGUUUUGUGCACAUCCUUCGGCCUUAUCUUUAAUUGAUGAUACCCCGAUUGGAGAUCAAUCUUUGAAUACACUUUGGACCCUUGCAACUGAUCGAAUAAAUCGUCAAUUCUUGGCAACGGGUACUUGUUCUUUAUCGUCACUUUAUUCAACUCGUGAUAAUCUACGCAGAGUCGAAGAGUGCCAUCCCUUUUCUUCACAAAUAGCACCGGAGCUCCCCACGGUGACACACUCGGUCUCACAAAGCCUUUAUCAAGCAAGUCUUGCAAUUGGCCUUUCAACUCCUUUAGCUCCACCGGUGCCAUUCUAUACGGAGCCUUCGAAACUGGUCCCGCCCCGGGAAUCAAGUCGAUAACGAACUCAACUUUCCGGUCCGGUGGCAAUCCCGGUAGCUCUGCCGGAAACACGUCCGAAAACUCACACGCAACCCGGAUACUUCCAAGGUCUGGGUGCUCCCUACGGCCAUCAACCAUGGUUGCCAAAUAGGCCUUACAUCCACCCUUGAUCAUUCUCUUGGCCCUCACUGACGAUAUAGUCGCCGCGAAGCGCGCGCCUUUGCACGCCCAGUACACAAAUUCUUCUUGAUUAGGCUCACGAAAAGUGAUCACCUUACUUUCGCAAUCUAUGACCGCAUAGUAUUUGGAGAGCCAGUUGGUCCCCAAAAUGACAUCGAAGCCCCACAUCCGGUCUAGCACCAAUAGGUCUAUUGGCAUAAUCCAGUCGACGAUUUGCACCGGAACCUCCAAGCACUCAUCAUACACACGAAAUGAGUGCUCGGGACCAUUCAGCCACCAGUAGUUUUCGUUAUGUGUCAUCUCUAUGCCAUGUGCCCUUACAAACUUUGAGCCUACAAAUGAUCGUGAUGCACCAGUAUCGAACAAUGUUCUACCUCUAGUGCCAUUAAUCAUAAUUAUACCUGCCACGACGUCGUCGGGUGCUGCAGGCUGCUGCUCCUCCACCUGAGCGGCAAAAACUCGACCGCUAGGCGCUCUCGAUCCCUCCGGCUGACGCGGUGAUGACGCGCGCCCAGCCGACAUCACUGGUGGUAACCCCGCAAACUGUCUCGGGGUAGACGGUGCUGAUGCCGCCGUCGGCGCAGACGACGUCUAGCUCGGGCACUCCCGGAUAAGAUGUCCCGGUUGGCCACACUUGAAACAUUUGCCGUCUCGCUGCGGGCAAGUCGACAUCUUGUGCUCACCGCCGCAAAUAACACACCGAGGAGGUCUCCAAUACCUCGACUGCUGUCGGGGAUACCGAGGGGGUUUCUUAGCAUUUGGCCGGCCCUCGGCACCGCCCGCCGCUCGCUUUUUGCCCUUGUCCUUUGACUCGGCCAUAGCUUCUCGCUCCUCACGUACAUGGGCGCUACCGUGCUCCGCCCACAAUGCUCUAUCGAAGACCUCCGCAAAGGUCGUCAACUUCAGAAUCUGCACCUUUUCGUAUAUCCGGGGUUGAAGUCCUCGCAAGAACCAAUCCGCCCGGUCCCGAUCAUCACGAACAACAUCGGGAACACAGUCAAUAAGGUGGGAGAACUCUUGCUCGUACUCCCCCACCGAUCGAUCGCCCUGUCUCAACUUGCGAAACUUUUCCUGUAGCUUCCGCUUCACCGUGUCGGGGAAGUAGUUCGCGAAUACCGCUCUCUUGAACUCCUCCCAAAGCAUAAGCGGAAGAUCGGUAGGACGAUCCCGCUUCACUCGCUUCCACCACACCUUUGCCGCUUUCUCAAGACAAUGGGUGGCGAGGUACACUUUAUCCUUCUCCGAGGUAUUCAAGUCCUCGAAGAGCGUCUCCAUCGAGUCGAUCAACGACUCCACAACCGCUGGCUCCACCAAACCGCCCUCGAAGGUAGGUGGGUCGAACUUCUUGAACUGUAUAAGCGCUACCAGUGUGCGCUCCCGCUCCGCAUCAACUGCCGCGCUAUCGGGAUUCGAAGUUCCCGACCCGGCCGGUACUACCGUAACUGGAACAGCCGCUGCUGCCGCCGCUCCCUCAUCAACACUCGGCACUACCACAGGGGGCGCGACAUGCUCGACACCCGCCUGGGCCGCCGCCGCCUGCUGACGCUCCAAGGUCUCCUGGAGCUGCUGAAUCUGCUCCCCUUGGCGUUGAACAGACUCCGCUUGCUGCCGCACUACGCCAAUAAGCGCGGCCAUUUGUUCCCUAAGCUCUCCGUCGCCACUUGCUCCGGAUUGCUCAGGCUCCGCAUUCGGCUCCUCCGGCAUCGACCUUGUUUGCGAUCGACGUCGAGGCGCCAUUGCUUCUUGAAAAGAAGCAACUCACAUUAGCUACUUGACUAACAUUACUCGUCAACACCCAAUUCGGCGAAAGCAACAUGCACGUUCAUCCUUGCCUCAAGCGUCAUGUCGUCGGCCGCCCGACACAACACUAGAAGUAAAGAAUAAACGAAAAUUAAACUUAGCCUCUAAUCACAUUAGAGACGUCCCAACUUAACCCAAUCGCAUGCCUUCGCUAACUUUGAUUCCACGUCACUCACAUUUCCUAGAUCCUUAAGGUCUUCCAAUCCUAAGGGUCUCUAGGUCCAUACCUAUUCUUUCACUAUUGGCUCUGAUACCACGAUAUCUGCCACGCCCCGAGACCAAUACCAAUUUGGGCCGGCCCGAGCUCGUCGAACAGACGCCGAACGGACAGAGUUUCCCCUAUCCGCCCAAGGCUCAUCACAUGUACAUUUUCAUCAAUAGAGAAAAGCACUAGCGGAAACAUACACAAACGGCUUACACGAGGGUAAGCAAUAGCCAUUAGUGAAAGAAANNNNNNNNNNNNNNNNNNNNNNNNNNNNNNNNNNNNNNNNNNNNNNNNNNNNNNNNNNNNNNNNNNNNNNNNNNNNNNNNNNNNNNNNNNNNNNNNNNNNNNNNNNNNNNNNNNNNNNNNNNNNNNNNNNNNNNNNNNNNNNNNNNNNNNNNNNNNNNNNNNNNNNNNNNNNNNNNNNNNNNNNNNNNNNNNNNNNNNNNNNNNNNNNNNNNNNNNNNNNNNNNNNNNNNNNNNNNNNNNNNNNNNNNNNNNNNNNNNNNNNNNNNNNNNNNNNNNNNNNNNNNNNNNNNNNNNNNNNNNNNNNNNNNNNNNNNNNNNNNNNNNNNNNNNNNNNNNNNNNNNNNNNNNNNNNNNNNNNNNNNNNNNNNNNNNNNNNNNNNNNNNNNNNNNNNNNNNNNNNNNNNNNNNNNNNNNNNNNNNNNNNNNNNNNNNNNNNNNNNNNNNNNNNNNNNNNNNNNNNNNNNNNNNNNNNNNNNNNNNNNNNNNNNNNNNNNNNNNNNNNNNNNNNNNNNNNNNNNNNNNNNNNNNNNNNNNNNNNNNNNNNNNNNNNNNNNNNNNNNNNNNNNNNNNNNNNNNNNNNNNNNNNNNNNNNNNNNNNNNNNNNNNNNNNNNNNNNNNNNNNNNNNNNNNNNNNNNNNNNNNNNNNNNNNNNNNNNNNNNNNNNNNNNNNNNNNNNNNNNNNNNNNNNNNNNNNNNNNNNNNNNNNNNNNNNNNNNNNNNNNNNNNNNNNNNNNNNNNNNNNNNNNNNNNNNNNNNNNNNNNNNNNNNNNNNNNNNNNNNNNNNNNNNNNNNNNNNNNNNNNNNNNNNNNNNNNNNNNNNNNNNNNNNNNNNNNNNNNNNNNNNNNNNNNNNNNNNNNNNNNNNNNNNNNNNNNNNNNNNNNNNNNNNNNNNNNNNNNNNNNNNNNNNNNNNNNNNNNNNNNNNNNNNNNNNNNNNNNNNNNNNNNNNNNNNNNNNNNNNNNNNNNNNNNNNNNNNNNNNNNNNNNNNNNNNNNNNNNNNNNNNNNNNNNNNNNNNNNNNNNNNNNNNNNNNNNNNNNNNNNNNNNNNNNNNNNNNNNNNNNNNNNNNNNNNNNNNNNNNNNNNNNNNNNNNNNNNNNNNNNNNNNNNNNNNNNNNNNNNNNNNNNNNNNNNNNNNNNNNNNNNNNNNNNNNNNNNNNNNNNNNNNNNNNNNNNNNNNNNNNNNNNNNNNNNNNNNNNNNNNNNNNNNNNNNNNNNNNNNNNNNNNNNNNNNNNNNNNNNNNNNNNNNNNNNNNNNNNNNNNNNNNNNNNNNNNNNNNNNNNNNNNNNNNNNNNNNNNNNNNNNNNNNNNNNNNNNNNNNNNNNNNNNNNNNNNNNNNNNNNNNNNNNNNNNNNNNNNNNNNNNNNNNNNNNNNNNNNNNNNNNNNNNNNNNNNNNNNNNNNNNNNNNNNNNNNNNNNNNNNNNNNNNNNNNNNNNNNNNNNNNNNNNNNNNNNNNNNNNNNNNNNNNNNNNNNNNNNNNNNNNNNNNNNNNNNNNNNNNNNNNNNNNNNNNNNNNNNNNNNNNNNNNNNNNNNNNNNNNNNNNNNNNNNNNNNNNNNNNNNNNNNNNNNNNNNNNNNNNNNNNNNNNNNNNNNNNNNNNNNNNNNNNNNNNNNNNNNNNNNNNNNNNNNNNNNNNNNNNNNNNNNNNNNNNNNNNNNNNNNNNNNNNNNNNNNNNNNNNNNNNNNNNNNNNNNNNNNNNNNNNNNNNNNNNNNNNNNNNNNNNNNNNNNNNNNNNNNNNNNNNNNNNNNNNNNNNNNNNNNNNNNNNNNNNNNNNNNNNNNNNNNNNNNNNNNNNNNNNNNNNNNNNNNNNNNNNNNNNNNNNNNNNNNNNNNNNNNNNNNNNNNNNNNNNNNNNNNNNNNNNNNNNNNNNNNNNNNNNNNNNNNNNNNNNNNNNNNNNNNNNNNNNNNNNNNNNNNNNNNNNNNNNNNNNNNNNNNNNNNNNNNNNNNNNNNNNNNNNNNNNNNNNNNNNNNNNNNNNNNNNNNNNNNNNNNNNNNNNNNNNNNNNNNNNNNNNNNNNNNNNNNNNNNNNNNNNNNNNNNNNNNNNNNNNNNNNNNNNNNNNNNNNNNNNNNNNNNNNNNNNNNNNNNNNNNNNNNNNNNNNNNNNNNNNNNNNNNNNNNNNNNNNNNNNNNNNNNNNNNNNNNNNNNNNNNNNNNNNNNNNNNNNNNNNNNNNNNNNNNNNNNNNNNNNNNNNNNNNNNNNNNNNNNNNNNNNNNNNNNNNNNNNNNNNNNNNNNNNNNNNNNNNNNNNNNNNNNNNNNNNNNNNNNNNNNNNNNNNNNNNNNNNNNNNNNNNNNNNNNNNNNNNNNNNNNNNNNNNNNNNNNNNNNNNNNNNNNNNNNNNNNNNNNNNNNNNNNNNNNNNNNNNNNNNNNNNNNNNNNNNNNNNNNNNNNNNNNNNNNNNNNNNNNNNNNNNNNNNNNNNNNNNNNNNNNNNNNNNNNNNNNNNNNNNNNNNNNNNNNNNNNNNNNNNNNNNNNNNNNNNNNNNNNNNNNNNNNNNNNNNNNNNNNNNNNNNNNNNNNNNNNNNNNNNNNNNNNNNNNNNNNNNNNNNNNNNNNNNNNNNNNNNNNNNNNNNNNNNNNNNNNNNNNNNNNNNNNNNNNNNNNNNNNNNNNNNNNNNNNNNNNNNNNNNNNNNNNNNNNNNNNNNNNNNNNNNNNNNNNNNNNNNNNNNNNNNNNNNNNNNNNNNNNNNNNNNNNNNNNNNNNNNNNNNNNNNNNNNNNNNNNNNNNNNNNNNNNNNNNNNNNNNNNNNNNNNNNNNNNNNNNNNNNNNNNNNNNNNNNNNNNNNNNNNNNNNNNNNNNNNNNNNNNNNNNNNNNNNNNNNNNNNNNNNNNNNNNNNNNNNNNNNNNNNNNNNNNNNNNNNNNNNNNNNNNNNNNNNNNNNNNNNNNNNNNNNNNNNNNNNNNNNNNNNNNNNNNNNNNNNNNNNNNNNNNNNNNNNNNNNNNNNNNNNNNNNNNNNNNNNNNNNNNNNNNNNNNNNNNNNNNNNNNNNNNNNNNNNNNNNNNNNNNNNNNNNNNNNNNNNNNNNNNNNNNNNNNNNNNNNNNNNNNNNNNNNNNNNNNNNNNNNNNNNNNNNNNNNNNNNNNNNNNNNNNNNNNNNNNNNNNNNNNNNNNNNNNNNNNNNNNNNNNNNNNNNNNNNNNNNNNNNNNNNNNNNNNNNNNNNNNNNNNNNNNNNNNNNNNNNNNNNNNNNNNNNNNNNNNNNNNNNNNNNNNNNNNNNNNNNNNNNNNNNNNNNNNNNNNNNNNNNNNNNNNNNNNNNNNNNNNNNNNNNNNNNNNNNNNNNNNNNNNNNNNNNNNNNNNNNNNNNNNNNNNNNNNNNNNNNNNNNNNNNNNNNNNNNNNNNNNNNNNNNNNNNNNNNNNNNNNNNNNNNNNNNNNNNNNNNNNNNNNNNNNNNNNNNNNNNNNNNNNNNNNNNNNNNNNNNNNNNNNNNNNNNNNNNNNNNNNNNNNNNNNNNNNNNNNNNNNNNNNNNNNNNNNNNNNNNNNNNNNNNNNNNNNNNNNNNNNNNNNNNNNNNNNNNNNNNNNNNNNNNNNNNNNNNNNNNGACUGCAAGUCUAUCUUGGAAUACACACACGAUCCCUGAAGUUGAUCAAACAAGUCGUCGAUCCUCGACAACGGAUAUUUGUUCUUGAUCGUGACCUUAUUAAGUUCACAAUAAUCCACACAAAGGCGAAGUGAUCCGUCCUUUUUCUUGACGAACAAAACGGGUGCUCCCCAAGGUGAAACGCUCGGUCGAAUGAAGUCUUUGUCCAACAAAUCCUGCAACUGUGCCCUCAUCUCCCUCAGCUCCGUCGGUGCCAUCCUAUAGGAUGCCUUUGAGAUUGGGGUAGUCACAGGGACGAGAUCUACCACAAACUCAAUCUCCCUAUCAGGAGGCAUACCCGGUAGCUCAGCUGGAAACACAUCCUGGAACUCCCGCACCACCGGGAUAUCCUCGAUCCUAGGGGUGUCAUCCUCACCCCUCUGCACGACACUAGCCAGGUAGGCUAUACAACCUCGGCUGAUCAGCUGCCUAGCUCGAGACGAGCUGAUCGUCAUCGCAAACAGCGAACUCCUGCAUCCACUAAAUACCACCUCCGUCUGCCCCGGUUCUCUAAAAGUAACCGUGCGAUUCUUGCAAUCAAUCGUGGCGUAAUACUUGGUUAACCAAUCCAUGCCCAUGACCACAUCAAAAUCUCCAAGCUUGCGCAAAGCUAGCAAGUCUACAGGCAUAAUCCAAUCUCCUACCCGAAUAGGGCAACUGGGGCUAUACUCUCUAAUAUCCAAAACGUGGUCGGGUACAACAACAUGUCCCGUGUGCAACAAAGGACCAAAGGAAUGCCAUGCAACUCGGCAAACAGCCGAUCUAUAAAUGAAUGCGAUGCACCAGUAUCAAAUAAAGCACGAACUCUAAUGCCAUCAAGUAAAUAAUACCUGCAACCACAUCCUCGGCUGCUGCCACCUCCUCGGUCUGAGCGGCAUACAUACGCCCACUCAGGGCCUGUCGAGAUCCCUCGCUCGGGCGCUGGACGAGUGGCCGCCCAGGCUGAUACUGUGCCGAUGGAGUCCCCUGGCUGGCGGCUGGUAGAGCCGGUGCCGAUGCAGUCGACGGUGCCGGUGAAGAACCUCUCAGGCAGUCAGUACGGACGUAGCCCUCCUGGCCACACUGGAAGCACCUGCCCGCCCGCUGUGGACACUGCGGUGGAAAGUGAGGACCACCGCAGAUCACACACGGGGAAGGCCGGCGCCGAUCGGAUCCUCCUCGAUGCGCUGCUGAGCCGCGUCCACGCUGCUGGCUCCUCGAAUGCUUCGGCGGCCUCCUAGAGUGCGUCUGGCUCGCACCCUCAGCCGCAGGCCUCUUGGCCUUCCCCUUGUCCCUAGCCUCUCGCUGCUCCUGGAUAUCCGCCGCGCCGCUCUCCACAAUGAGCGCGCGAUCCACCACCUCCCGGUAGGUUUGGAGGUUAGAGGAUUGCACAAACCGAAAGAUAGACGGUCUCAAUCCUCGCUCGAAGAUGCGGGCCUUGUCCUCGUCGUCCCGCACGACGAAGGGCACGCAAUGCAGAAGCCGAGAAAACUCCCUCUCGUACUCGGCCACAGUCCGGUCGCCCUGGCGCAAGUUGCGCAAGUCUUGCUCCAUCUUCCUCUUGACGCUGGUUGGGAAGUAAUGAGCCAAAAGAAGCUCCUUGAACCUCGUCCAAGUGAUAGCUGCCAAGUCUGUGCGGGGGUUCUCCUGGAGAUCCAACCACCAGCGGUAGGCCUCGCCGUCCAGGUGGUGAGUGGCGAGCCAAACUCUGUCCCUCUCCUCCACGAAGGUAUCGCGGAAGAGCUUCUCCACAUGCAUCAACCACUUCUCCACGAUCCAGUGGUCGACCUUCCCGCCAUUGAAGACUCGGGGGCUGCACCUCCUGAACUCAUUGAGGCGCUCCAUCAGUCUGUCUCGCUCCGCCCCCUCAACCAAAGUAGGAAAAGUAGCUCCAACAGGAGGCCUCUGCACAGGUGGUGCCGCCAAAACCUCCUCCUGGGGUACGGCCGCAGGCGCCGCACGCGAAGAACUGGGCGCGGGGGACGGCGCUCUCGGUGCAACGUCCACAACUGGUGCUGGCGGUGUAGGGCCCUGCGUCUCCCUAGAAGCUGCUGCCUGCUGCAGAAGUAGAUCCUCCAGGCGCUUCAUCCGCGCCUCCUGUCGGCGCGCCGCCUCAGUCUGCUGUCGGGCCGCCUCCACCUGCUGAGUGACCAAGUCGGUGAGGACCGCAAGCUGGCCCCUCAACUCACAGAUCUCGCCAGAUCCGGAGGUAGCGGAGGUCUCGACCUCCUCNNNNNNNNNNNNNNNNNNNNNNNNNNNNNNNNNNNNNNNNNNNNNNNNNNNNNNNNNNNNNNNNNNNNNNNNNNNNNNNNNNNNNNNNNNNNNNNNNNNNNNNNNNNNNNNNNNNNNNNNNNNNNNNNNNNNNNNNNNNNNNNNNNNNNNNNNNNNNNNNNNNNNNNNNNNNNNNNNNNNNNNNNNNNNNNNNNNNNNNNNNNNNNNNNNNNNNNNNNNNNNNNNNNNNNNNNNNNNNNNNNNNNNNNNNNNNNNNNNNNNNNNNNNNNNNNNNNNNNNNNNNNNNNNNNNNNNNNNNNNNNNNNNNNNNNNNNNNNNNNNNNNNNNNNNNNNNNNNNNNNNNNNNNNNNNNNNNNNNNNNNNNNNNNNNNNNNNNNNNNNNNNNNNNNNNNNNNNNNNNNNNNNNNNNNNNNNNNNNNNNNNNNNNNNNNNNNNNNNNNNNNNNNNNNNNNNNNNNNNNNNNNNNNNNNNNNNNNNNNNNNNNNNNNNNNNNNNNNNNNNNNNNNNNNNNNNNNNNNNNNNNNNNNNNNNNNNNNNNNNNNNNNNNNNNNNNNNNNNNNNNNNNNNNNNNNNNNNNNNNNNNNNNNNNNNNNNNNNNNNNNNNNNNNNNNNNNNNNNNNNNNNNNNNNNNNNNNNNNNNNNNNNNNNNNNNNNNNNNNNNNNNNNNNNNNNNNNNNNNNNNNNNNNNNNNNNNNNNNNNNNNNNNNNNNNNNNNNNNNNNNNNNNNNNNNNNNNNNNNNNNNNNNNNNNNNNNNNNNNNNNNNNNNNNNNNNNNNNNNNNNNNNNNNNNNNNNNNNNNNNNNNNNNNNNNNNNNNNNNNNNNNNNNNNNNNNNNNNNNNNNNNNNNNGGACCUCCUAGAUGAAGACGUCGUCCGUCGUCGAAGAUCCCUCUGCGUCCCGGGAUGUGGCGGUCGUGGUCAACACCUGCAACGUGGCUCUCGCGGCAGGGGGCGCGGGUCAAGAAGCGCACGCCGCGGACGCCGGCAUGGGGUCCCGCUUCAUCCGCGCCUCCUGUCGGCGCGCCGCCUCAGUCUGCUGUCGGGCCGCCUCCACCUGCUGAGUGACCAAGUCGGUGAGGACCGCAAGCUGGCCCCUCAACUCACGGACCUCGCUGGAUCCGGAGGUAGCGGAGGUCUCGACCUCCUCAAAGCUCACCGCAUUGUCCGCCCCGGCAGAUUGGGAGCGAAUAAUCGGUAUCGUCACUACAAAACAUAGAAGCGCAAGUCAGUAAAAUCCACGCUAUCGCAUUCCCGCUUAGUAAGCAAUACCCAAAUCAUGCGAAAGUAAGGAAGUGUUCUUCACCACUAACUCCCGAUGUUACGUUGUCGGCCGCCAACGUAACCCUCCGCGAAGUUAGGAGUUAUACACUUCAAUUUAACUCCACUUUCUAGAGUUAUCCAAGAUACCCAAUCAAGAUACUUUCGCUUACAAAUCGAAUAGACCUCGUCUCUCACGAGCCUAUUUCCUAUAGUCCAACCGGCCUAAGGUCUGCUAGGUCCCCUAACACUCAACCCUAGGCUCUGAUACCAAAUUAAUCUGUCACGCUCCGGGGCUCAGCGGAAGCCUACCCGGCGCGUGUCCAGACUCGCCAUACGUCUAAAACAUAUAAGGCGUCUAAAAACAACAACAAUAAAAGCAAUAGUAAAAGACAUAUAGGAGUAUCAGAGCAUAAUAAAUGUCUAAAUGCUACAACAAAGAAUAAGGAUAAAACUAUAAAUCCACUAAAUAAAACAUAAAAUGAUACCAGGAAAUCCCAGAUACAAGUGCUAUAGGUAGAUACAUAGGUGGUCUCUAUACAUGGAUACCAAAAACCUCUCACUCUCUCAACUACAAAAAGAAAGAGUAAACCACCUAGGCAAAGUACCGCUCCUCGCUAGCUAGCUAAGCGAUCCCCUUGCCGCGAUCCCGUGCCUCCGCCGGUGCCGAAGGCUCUGAAAAGUAAACCAUAAAACAGGGGCGUGAGAACUAUUAAAAAAUAGUUCCCGGUGGGCAAUUACUGACUUCAGUGAAUGCACCACAAGGCCCAAAGCUACAAAAGAUGUUAGUGACUAUAAAUGUAGAAAAGCGAAAGGGUAAGUAAAAUGUAACUUACUACAACAUGAUAUCUCUACUCAGCAUAAAUGGCAUAAAUAUGAAAGCAACUAUGCAUGAAGUAAAAGUCUCCAACUAUUAUAAUGUUCACAGCGCGAAAUAGUAAAGUUCCGUAGUUUACUAUUCUAGUCAAUGUCCAAGUAGUACACUAAGUCAUCAUCUGUCCACAUGUCGUGAUGAAUACUCAAGUCAAAUCUGAAGAGACCCACCCGAAGGUUGUCUAUGGCCCUGAGACCCACCCGUAGGCUGUCUGGCCGGUGCCGAGCCUAAUGGCCCCGUGGUAGUCAUCAUCCCCACCCUAGGAAUGAGCCUGGCCCACGGCAAUCCACUUCGGCUUCCAAUCCCGCACGGCGAGUAUGAAUCGCGGUGGC
rnacentral:lncRNA from 1 species